rnacentral:lncRNA from 1 species
AAAUAGAAACUGAUUGACAAUACAAAUGGCCAAUAACAUGGAAAAUAUGUCCCUCGAAACAUUACAACUACAAUAAUGUUGCUUAGAACUCGUGACGAGAGAAUAGGAACUACCAUCUUGCAAGUGAUCCGUCAUGCUCGGAUUCCAGUAUGUUGAAAAAAGUGGAUUAUAGUUAAAAAACUGAAUUAUAAGGCUAUUGUGCUGAGAGGAUAAAAGAAAAACAUGCACUGAAAGUGAUGUAACCAACUUGAUUUUUAUUCCUCUGAUCAUUUCAUAUUUAUACAAAGUUGUUGUACUGUGUUAACAGCUGUAACAUCACAAGAUCAAGGGCCUAGGUAAAAUGGUGAUAAGAACCGUUAUUGUACUGUUGUCUCUUUUUACUGCACAGUCUUAGCCAUCCAUCUUGUUUCUUAAAUCUCAGCUGUUUGAUUGGAUGAAGCUUCUAGACUCUUCAAUUUAAGCCAGCCGCCAAUAUUGAAUUCACUGCAGCAAUACAUCAUAUAGCUUGUGUGCUUAUUAUAGAUUCCUUAUUUUAACUCCCCCUCUCAAGCUCAGUUAUCUGGAUAGACAUUGAGCUUACUUCUAACGUAUUUAAAGCUUGCUAUUGGCAAGGCUUUGGUCAAGAUAUCUGCUGCUUGAUUCUUAUUGUUUACAUACUUCACUUUCUAGCUCAUUCGCUGUAAUUUCAUCCCUGACGAAAUUUUCAUCGAUUUCAAUGUGCUUCGUUCUUCCAUGAAAUACGGGGUUUUUAGCAAGUGCAAUGGCACUCUUUUUGUCACACCAUACCGUAGGGAUUUGACUGAGCUCAAUUUCCAAUUCUAAAAGAAGUGACUUCAUCCAACUGAUUUCUGCAGCUCCAUGGGAGAAUGCUUUGUACUUUGCUUCGGUACUUGACUUGGAUAUAACUUUUUGCUUUUUUGAGCUCCAUGAUACUAGAUUCCCAGCCAAAAGGUUGCUAUACCCACUCGCUGAUCUCCUAUCAUCUUGGUCAAUAGCCUAAUCAGCAUCGGUAUAUGUUGUAUGGUGUGUGAUUUCUAAUACUAUGGGUGUCAAUGUGCAAAUGUACACAAUAAGUAAUAUACUAAUAAGUAUUCAGAUUAUCUCCACAUAGACUGAUGUUAUCAAAUUGUCUACGACAAUCUUAACAAUACAGUUCUAUUCUAAAUUAAAAUAAGACAGUUUAUGAAACUAAAUAACUAAUAAAAAAUACAAUAAAUAAAACGCAAUAAAAAAAAUUCUCAUGUCAAACACAAGGAUGUAACCAAUGGGAAUAAAGUAGUUGAGUUAAUAAACUCACUUAAUGGCUUUGACUAUUUUUUCAAUUACAGUGCCAUUGCUACAACAUCUACUACAACACUAGACAGAAUCCCUCAUGCAUCAUCAGCUGUCGCCUAUUGGAUAAAUAUAAUACAAUACCAUUGCUACAACAUCUACUACAACACUGGGCAUAAUCUCUCGUGCAUCCUCAGCUGUCGCCUAUUGGAUAUCUUGUAUCUAAUGCAGCUUAACAGUUACCAAUUGUUAUGCCAACAUUAAAUAUAGCAUUAAAUGAUCUAGAUUUGAUUUACCCUGCAAGGUGAAUCUCCAUGUCUAGUCUUUACUAAUUUUCGAUCAAGUAUGACCCUAUUCAAAUUAAGAUUAACUCAACUUAAGAAACCCAAUGUAAAACCAAGUAUUAUUUUAAUGAGAUCUACAAAGUCAUACCUUUUUUAGGCUCUUUCUUAGUUAGUAUCCACUAAAUGGGUGGUCAGUCAAAAUAUGGAAUUAAAAUAAACAUAAUUAAGACAAAAUGCUAUAGCAAACAUAAAGCAACAAGUGUAUAUCACUCAAACAUCUAUUGAGAUGUUUAUUACUCAACCACAAUCAAAAUCAAUUUAUAAUUUGUGAUAAAAAUAAAUAAAAUUGUUUUAUCCACCAAAUACAUCCCCAUAAAUAAAUAGAAAAUAAGAAAAUAAGAUAAAGAGUUGAAGUCCGCUUAAUCUUACGAUCUUUCCUUCUUGUUCACUGUGAAUCCUCUGUUGCAGCCUGAAAAUCUAUCUUAUUUUAUGUUUUUCUUUUGUUUUUCUCUGUGAUUUUUCUGUGAGUGAUGACUUUCUCUUUUCCUUUGCAAGUGUGCUCCUUUUAUAACCCAAAAUUAGGCAACCGAAAGUUUAACGCGUGCAUCUUCGAUUUUUGAAACUUUAGAUCACAAUCUUUUAAUUGUUGCGCACGAAAUCCAGUCUGUCAUUGCUCCAGGAUUGUACAGCAACAGCUAUAGCAUUUGUACUGUUCCAGAUUUGUUUCAAUUCCUCUAUAGCCAAGUUCUUUCAUUGUCUCUACAAGUCUAUUGCAGCAAUAUUUCUUCCUUAAAACUUGUGCUUUCAGUCACCUAUAAUUAUGCAUAUAAUCUAAGUAUAAAUUAUUUUAAAACAACUCAAUUUAUUAAAAAUAAAGCAAAAUGGAUGUUCAUGCAAAAUAUAACUAAAAUGCAAUAAAAAUAUGUCUUUUACUUUCUAAGUAAUCUUGAUUUAAGUUUAAAAGUGUCAUGAUAACUCUUAUUUCAUAGAGUUAUCACUGUAAUUUCCAUUCUUCUUGUUGGAGUGAAAUAGAGAUCAUGGUCUAUAAUUCCAUUGAGGUAUCUUAAUAUUCUCUUACUCCCCUGCCAAUGUAUUUGCCUUGGAUCCUGCACAAAUUGAGACAACUUGUUAACACUAUAUGCUAUAUUCGGCCUUGUUAUUGUUGUCUAUUGAAGUGCUCCAAUUACACUCUUAUACAAUGUUUUGUCAUCAAAUGCUCUUCCUCCAUCUUUUUUAACAUUUGACUAUACUGGACAUGAGCUUAUGGUAUGCGACUUGGUUUACAAUCGACCAUGUUUGUUUUAGUUAAAACAUCUUGUAUGUACUUUGCUUGACAUAAAUACAUUCCCCUACGAUCUCGCUUAACUUCGAUUCCCAAGAAGUAAUUCAAAUCCCCCAACAUCUUGAGUGCAAAAUUUUGUUUUAAUUUUUUUUUUUUGGUCUGAACCACGAGGUGGUCCUGAGUGGGCCCCAACUGUGGGAGGCACCUUUAAGCCCGUACCACAACCCAGACUAAUCCCCACUCGCACCAGGUUGGCCCAUAAGGGGUAAAGUGCUGGCCAAAGUUGGUUGGUGUGAGUGGUUCGGCACUCUCACUCCUUAAGAGAGGUCAGGGGUUCAAGCCCCGCUCUCGUAUGUAUCAUCACAUUAUUAUUUUCGGUUAUCAGUAUAUUAUCAACAAAAAUCAGUUGGUAGACUGAUUUUUCUUUAUUUUUCCAAUAUAACAAGAAAGCAUAUGAGAUUGCUUUUUGAGCUCAACUUGUGGCUCCAUCAUUGCUCUUCUCUACAUUAUACAAAUAGAACCAUAAGAAAAUUCCCAGCAAACUAAAACCAUAAAUAAACUAAAGAUUAUUAAAUUAAUAGUAAUGGGGACUGAUUUAUAUAAUAAAAGUCCCCAAAAAUGUGGAAAACACAAACCUUGAAACAAUAUAAUUGCAGUGGACAACGAUUUGUUUUUUAAGUGUUUUUUUCUCUUCUAAUCAUUCUUAUUAGUGAAACAAGUAGGUAAAAUUGAAUUUUAAAUUUUGAUACUAACAAUUGAACAAACAUUUUUCAUUGUAUUUAUAAUUACACCAAUUUUUUCAUUAGAUUUAAAAAAAUAGGAGAGACUACGAGAGGAUUGUAAGCCAAUUACAGUAUCCAUUUGCAUUCUUCUUCUUAUUUGAAAACUUUUGCCAUCCCUCGACACCAUCAUGCUUUGUUGUAGUUGUAAUUUCUUUAUUGUUUCUUUUUUGUGAGCUAAAUACUCCAUUGCGGUUACGACAUCGCUCAUCUUGGCCUUGUUCCAGCUUCUUCUUGCGGACUCAUAUUCCUGCCACUGCACAUUCUUUGGUGGUGUUUGGUUGGGAGGAAAGAAUAGAGAAAAGGAAAAUAAUUUAAUUUUAUCUUUAUUUUCAUUUUUUGGUUGAACAAAGUAUAUAAGAAUUUAAUUUCCAUUAUCCUUUAAUUUUUUAACUUGUUUAAUGCCAUUAAUAAUAAUUAUUUAUAAUUUUAUAAGUUAAUAGUAUAAAUAAUUUUAUAUUAAUUAAGUUUAAUGAAUAAUUUAAGAAACUUAAAAAAAUAAAUAAAUGUUAGAGUGCAAUUUAUGCACUAGUUUUGCAUUGUUUACUUCCCUCAAUAUUGAUGUUUCGCACUUAAUAAUAGUGAUUUACUUGUGUUUUACUUUUGUAGGUGCAAUUCUAUUGAUUGGUGAUAAAAUUGAGCUACAAGAUGAUGUUUAAGGAUGAUUGUUCUCUUGGAGAAAUUAUGAGCGUCAGAAGAACUUUGUUGAUAAGGCGUGGGCGCGUGCUGUCAACUGCGGACCUGCAGUUUUUAGUUUAACGUGUUUUGUAUUUUUGGUUAUUUUUGUAAUUACGAAUUUAAUAUUUCAGAUAUUAGUAUUUAUUUUAAAUAGAAUUCUAAAAGAGAAGAGAGAGAGAGUAUUUAAGGGAGGAAUCUAUUGUGAAAAAGGGGUUUGGAGAAAAAGAAAGAAACCCUAGAUCUAAACUUUUAUCUUUUCUCUAUGAAGAACUAAACCUAUUUUUCUGGUUGAAGGAUAAUGAAGCUUUGAUUCAUCACUACUGUGAGAUCUAUUUUAUGCUUUAAUUGUUUUAUUACUUUUUGGGUAUUUGUUUAUUCUUUGAAUUAUUUUCAUGAUUAUGUUUGUUAAUUAGGUAAUUGGCCACUAUUUAAUUAUCAACUUAAUCUAUUGUUAAUUAAAGGAUUCAUCGUAUGAAGAUUUUAAUGUUUGUGACAAAUAACAUAGCAGUGAGUUGUAUUAUGAGAAUAAACAAUCUAAUUUAAAUGAAUCAUCGUGUGUGUUGAUUAGGAUUUGGGUCUCUCUGGUUUUUCAGGCUGUCAAUUGAUUAAAUUCUAUGAUCGUAUCUAGGGAUGUCUAUUGAUUAGGGAAAUAACCAACGGUCGUACCUUGGUUAUCGACUAGUUAAGGAGAGAUUGGCUAUUAGAGGGUCUCAAUAGCUAUAACCGGUCUAUUAAUAAGUAAUAAUAAUCUAUAUUUGAAUCAAUGAUCAGUAGUCGAAUCAAGUUGAGUUAAUUCCUUCAACCAGAGCUUUCUCCAAUUUGAAUUACAACUUUAAUUUGCAUUCUUGUUAUUUUAAUUUGAUUUUUAUUAUUGUUAACAAAAACCCCAUUUUAUGUUUUACGUUUUAAAAGGACUUAAAUAAUUACCGAUCUCUGUGGACACGACCCUGCUCACUCACUAUACACAAUUUAUUUAGAGUAGGAAUUUAUUUUUGUUGGCUUCGACAACCAUCAAUAAACUUGUUUAUUUAUUUAUUUAAUAUGAAAAUAUAAAUUAACCGUUGUCAGAACUUUGACGGACCAUCGCCAGACAGUCGCCCGAUAUCUGCGGGACCAUAGCCAGAACUCUAUCAGACCGUUGCCGAAACUCUGCCGGACCGACAUUUUAUACACACACACACACACACAUAUAUAUAUAUGGUUUUAAAAGGAUUAAAACUAUAAGGCUUUAAAGCCGUGCGGUUUUAAAGCCGUGCAGUUUUAAAACUUUCUCGAACUUUCCUACACUUUAAAAUUCCUAACAAAAAAACUACUGUAUGUAUAUAUAUGUAUGUAUAUAUAUACAUAUAUAUAUAGGAUCGAAGGAUGGAUGUGCUUUCGUUGGAAUAUCAAUUAUUUAAAACUCAAAUUAAACAAUGCUUGGAUUGGGUCGGCUUUAUCCAAUUUUAAAAGUAAUUACCAGCUUUGAAAUAAAUAGAUUUGCUUUGGAACGUGGUUGGUCAAAUUUUAAUAAAGGUACGUGGCGUUGUAUCUAGAUCGAUGCAGAGACAAGUCUGCCUUUGGAACCAGAUCUGACUUAGAACAGAUCAAUAUUCCGCACGUUCUAGUUUCCAGCCGAUAUACGAAUUUUAUUUACCAAAUAUUUGUUAAGUUCUUUAAGCAAGCCUAGCAACAACAUUCAUCUAAGGCUAGGGUGCAUACACAGUACCAGAUCUGGUUCCCGGAAAUGGUGCUCUGAAGGAAUGGAGGGAGAAGAGAAGAUUUACAACUGAGGAUCGAGAUCUGGUCUCUUUGCCUCAGAGGAACGUACAAUUUUUAUGGCAGAUCUGAUAUAGAUCAGUCUGCAAUCAUGCUUUGUAAAAGAGAAAUGCUUUAAAAUUAAAUUGCAAAAAUUUAAAUUACAUAAAGUAAAUUACAGAAAUUUAAAUUACAAAAAUUAAAUUGCGGAAAUUUAAAUAUACAUGAAAUUGAAAUUGCUUUAAAAUAACAUUACAUUUAUUUCUUUAUUUCUUUAUUUCUUUAUUUCUUUUGAUUCGACAGCUUUAUGAGUGGAAAAUCAGAAAAUAGUCUGAAAACAAGGAACUUAGGGAAAAUUCCUUGAAUACAGAAGAUCUUCUUUAAUCCGAGAGAGAGAGAGAGAGAGAAUUCUAGAGAGAAGGAGGAGAAGAAGAGAGAGAAGUUCUAAACCAAAAAUGAAAAACUUGAGGAGUCUAAGUCUUCCUCUUGGUUUUUAUACAAAAUUUUUAAACUGUUCACUGUAGCGGAGCUUUGAGUGCACAAUAAUCUUUGGAAAUCGGCACUGUUCACUGUAGCGGAGGUGAAGCAAACAGUAAGCUUUGGAUCGUAUGUAACAGUAAUCUUUGGAGCGUAUGUUGGAAUAGAAGCUUUGUAGAAAUACGGGUGAAGAGACAUGUGCGCUCCCACUUGUGUCCAGAGGACCACCCGAAAAUGUAAAAUUAUAUAUAUAUAUAUUUUUUUUUUUUUUUUUUUGAAUAGUUACAUGAACUAUUUACAAUGCUUUAAUGGAGAGAAAAUUCCAAAACAAUCAUCUUCAUUUUCAUCUCCGAGAGAAACGGUUGGCUCUUCAUCUUCGUCUUCAUCUUCGGAGGAGUCAGCCACUGAUGACUUUGACCGGGAGGCGAGGAGUUGUUCCAUGGCUUUGAAGUAUUCUUCUUCUGUCUUGGCACUUGCCAAAAGAGACUGGGCUUUGGACUUUUGGGUAAGGAAAGUUUGCUGGGCUUUGGAGUCUUUUAUAGAGGGUUGAAGGAAGCCUUUGGAUGAUAACCAAUUUGUGAUAAGGUUAUCGGUUAAUUUGGAUUUCUCAUCAAAUUUUGACCACCAUUUUACUUUAAAUGUUCUUUGAAGGAUGAGCUGGGCAUCUUGAGUAUGAAGCCUAAGGUUCCACAUCCAUACCCAUGGAAGGAAGAAAUUUGUACAGAAACAGAGAAAUGGGGGAAAUCUUUUUUCGGAUUCAGAAGGAAUAUAGUGGGCUUUAAAGAGGUUUAAACAGUGGGUGGCAUUUGGGGUUAAAAUUUGUGGUGCAGGACCAAAGGAAUUCCACCAAUGAUGGAACCAGUUUGGAAGGCUUUGGACGGUUAUCUUCGAGUUGAAGAAAAAUAACCAGGAGUGGGAUUUUUUGGGGUUUUGGAUAAAAAAUGUGUUAUACCAGGCUUGUUGGUAAUCCCAGUAGGAAUAAGUCCGACAAUGAGGUAAACGUGUUUGAAAAUUUAAAGGGAAGGUUUUAAAAUUAUGGAGUAGGUCACCCCAUUGGUUUGGGCUCAAAACUUUUAAAAUAGUAGCCGUGGAAUAGGCUGGCUCUGAAUGUGACUCACUGAGAAAGAAAUGUUUAAAUUUUACUGACUCUAUGAUUUCUAAAAUGCUUUGAUAAUAGGACUGGGGUUUUGUUAAAUCCCAUGAUUUGAAAAACCAGCCCUUAGGGAAAAACUUUGAAAUUGCUUGGAAAGGAUCAGCAUGGUAAAAUCCAUCUUCAAUUGAUAAAAUGUUUUGAAAAUGGGUUUUAUCAAACCAAUCGGAUGAUUUCUUUGAAAGUGUUGGCUGGGAAAGUACAAUUUGGGAAGAUGAACUUUCACCAGAGACAACCACAUUUUGAGAGGAAGGUUUUGAAAUUUCUUUGGAGAUUUCUUUUUCUUCUUUUGGAAGAAUCUGGCUUUGGGAAAGGUUUUGUAGAGCGAGCAUAAGCUCAGGUGAUUUUGUAAUGGAACUCAUCCAUUGCUUUACUUGGUCAUCAGAAGAAGUGGUUUUGUAUUGGGCUUCAUGUGCUUCAACCAAUUCAAUCCAGGAUUUAAUGGGCAUGGCUGAAGAAAGCAAUUUUUCUUUAGAAGGCGUUAGUUGGGGUUCUUUAGGGGUUGCUUGAGAUUCAGCGUCUUUAAGGACAGCUUUGCCUUUAUCCUUCUUCUUUGGCGGCAUUAUCUGUUUUGAAGAAAUUCUCUGGUUAGAAAAUCAAGAACAGAAUUCGUAUCUCCUUUAAUAAAUUCAAUAUCAAAAUCAAAAACACUUAAAAUGGCUUGCCAACGUGCAAAAAUCUGUUUGGAUGCAAUAUUUUGAACAUCUUUUUCCAAAACAUGUUUUGCAGCUUUGCAAUCAAUUCUAAGUAAAAAAUUUUGGUUUAACAAAUCACUUUGAAAUUUAGAGAUGCAUAAAACAAUUGAUAAAAUUUCUUUUUUAAUGGUGGAAUAAUUCUUUUGACAAUCGUUCCAAUGUGCAGAAACAUAUUGUACUAUUUGUUCUUUACCAUUCUCUUUUUGCUUUAAUAUGCCUCCAUAACCUAAAUCUGAUGCAUCUGUUUCAACAACUUUAGGCAAUGUAGGAUUAGCAAGGAAUAAACAUGGAAUGCUUUUUACUAUGGUCUUUAUAUGCUGAACAAUUUUUGUAUGCUCGUCAGACCAUGCAACAGGGGUUUUCUUUAGCUUAUUAUGCAAUGGUUUGGCAAUCCUAUUUAUGUUGGGACAGAAAUCAAGAACAUAAUUAAGACUGCCCAAAAAUCUUUGUAACUGGGUCUUAUCAAGGAUUUUAUCAGGAAACUUGUCUGUAAAGGCAAGGGACCUUUCAAUAGGAGUAAUGGUUCCUUUAGAAAUAUAAUGACCUAGGAACCUGACUCUAGUUUGGAAUAAUGAAAUCUUUGAACUAGAAAAGGCUAGACCAGCUUUCCUAGUGGCAUAAUAGAAAGUCUUUAAGUGUUUGAAAUGUUGAUCAAUUGAUUGAGAAAAAAUCAACACAUCGUCUAUAUAGACAAUGCAAAACUCAGAAUAAGGGUUGUAAAUGUCAUUCAUUAUUCUUUGGAAUUCUGAGGGUGCAUUCUUUAAACCAAAUGGCAUAACAGUCCACUCAUACUGUCCAAAAGGAACAGUAAAAGCAGUUUUGUAACGAUCUUUUGGAUGAAUUUGAAUUUGCCAAAAACCAUAUUUCAUGUCAAAUUUUGAAAAAAUAAGAGCAGAACAUAAUUUUUGAAGCAAAUCCUUUUUAUUAGGUAUGGGAUACCUAAUCCAUUUUAAAGCUUUGUUUAAAGGUUUGUAAUUUAUUACAAGUCUUGGUAUGCCUCUUUCAAUUUCAGAAUUUUUAUUCACGUAAAAAGCAGCACAAGACCAUGGGGAUCUGAACUUUACAAUGAGUCUUUUUGACUCUAAAUCCUUUAUUUUAUUUUUACAAAGUUGUUCCAAUUCCAUAUUCAUCUGGAUUGGACGGGCUUUAGUGGGUAUCUGCUUUUCAUCAAAAGAGUUUUCAUAAGGUAAAUCAACUAAGUGUUGUUUCCUAUCCCAAAAAGCAGAAGGUAGAUCAGCACAAAUUUCUUUUUCAAUAAGGGUUUUGAAAUCAGAAAUUUGUCUUUUAAUGAAGUCAUUUUGUAAAUGGGUCUCAAUUCUUUUUAAAUUUAAAUCCUUUUUUAAAAAAAACAAGUCAUUUUGUUUAGAUUUAAGAACGACAUUGAUAUGGUUUUGAUAGACAGAGCAAGCUUUAACAAUGUUUAGAUUUCUUGUUUUUGGUUUUUCAAUAAAAGGAAAAAUAAGUUUUUUGGAUUUUGCUUUAAAAGAUAUACUAUCGUAAUUGACAGUAUAUGAGGUAAUCAAAUUUAUAAAUGGGGUUCCUAAAAUGACAGCAUGGUGUAUGUCAUUUGUAAGGUAAAUCAACUAAGUGUUGUUUCCUAUCCUAUUACCAGCUUUAAAACAAAUCACCACUAGAAAAUAUUUGAUUAAAGUCACCUUAAUCUUUUCAAAUGAUUUUGCAAUAGACGUCAUUGCCCUUUUUGACACUGGUGCUGAUUUAAAUUGCAUAAGAGAAGAUAUUGUCCCUAAAAGAUUUCAUGAGAAAACUAAAGAAAGACUUUCUGCCGCCAAUAAUUCAUAACUUAAAGUCAACUCUAAAGUCGAAGCUUCUAUUCAUAAUAAUGAUUUUGAAUUCAGAACUUCUUAUAAGAUCUGCCAUAAAAAUUGUACGUUCCUCUGAGGCAAAGAGACCAGAUCUCGAUCUUCAGUUGUAAAUCUUCUUUUCUCCCUCCAUUCCUUCAGAGCACCAUUUCCGGGAACCGGAUCUGGUACUGUGUAUGCACCCUAGCCUUAGAUGAAUGUUGUUGCUAGGCUUGCUUAAAUAACUUAACAAAUAUUUGGUAAAUAAAAUUGGUAUAUCGGCUGGAAACUAGAACGUGCGGAAUAUUGAUCUGUUCUAAGUCAGAUCUGGUUCCAAAGGCAAACUUGUCUCUGCAUCGAUCUAGAUACAACGCCACGUACCUUUAUUAAAAUUUGACCAACCGCGUUCCAAAGCAAAUCUAUUUAUUUCAAAGCUGGUAAUUACUUUUAAAAUUGGAUAAAGCUGACCCAAUCCAAGCAUUGUUUAAUUUGAGUUUUAAAUAAUUGAUAUUCCAACGAAAGCACAUCCAUCCUUCGAUCCUAUUUCCUUCUGGUAUCAGAGCCAAGGGGAGGAUUGUGUAAAGCAGUUUAUAGAUUUUGUGUUUAAAGACUUGUGUUUUAUUUUAAAGUUUUGUUGUGUGGUGAAUUCCUUACUGGUAGUAAGUCCCGUUUUAGGAUAAGAUUUUCCGCUUAGGGCUGUAAAACCAUACCUGUAGCCAUUCUUUCAAAACCAUAAAUAGACCAUAGGUUUUUACCCAUGGACCCUAUACACUGUAGAACAUCAUCCUUUUCUAGCUCUUCUUCUGGGAAGACUAGUGAUUCAAAGCAUGUUGUGAGUUCAGAAGAAUUCUUUAUUGAGAACUUUGAUAAAGCAAUAGAUUGUUGGGAACUUCCUAAAAUUUCUAAAGAAAAGAUUUACAAAACAAAAAAGCUUGAUUUCUUAAAGAAUGAUUAUAUUAUAAAGACUGAAGAGCGUGACAUAACUCUUUCAAAUCCAUUUGAAACAAUUCACUUGUUUUCUGAGCAUUCUUUAAAGAAAUUAAAAGAAAAGAAUUUCAAUUAUAUUCAUAUCGGCCUAAUUCAAGUCGGAAUAAAACCUUUAACCAAAGAAGGCUUGGAUACUUCUAUCCUUGCUGUCCUAAGAGAUGGGCGAUUCAUCUCUUUUGAUGAUUCUUUGCUAAGUAGCAUCGAAUCCAGUCUUUGUAAAGGUCCAAUUUCAUUUGAUUGUUAUCCAAACAUAACAAUUUCCCUUAAAGAUAAAAAUAUUUUGAAAAGCAUGAUUUUACAAAUCAAGACUCAUAAUUACAAUAUGAUUGAGGGAUCCAUCCCAGUUGCUUUGAUUUUUAAAAUUUCUUAUAAAGCUAUGAUCACUGCAUUCAGUACACAACAUAAAUUCCAGUCAAAAAGAGAUGAGACUCUUCUCUUGCAGACUGAUUUGUCUAGAGCCAACACUGUCAUUCAAAAACCCAUCCAAUGGAAAGAUGUCCAUCUUCCAGAAGAAUGGAUUCUUGAAGGAGCCGCUCCACCAGCGAUUCCAAAACAACUUGAGCCUAAUACAGAGUUGCAAAAUGUGACUCAGUAUUCUGAUGGAAAAGUCAAAUUGUCAUUCAGAAGAUCUGCUUCAACUAGAUUUUCUGAUAAAGAGUCGUGCUCAAGUAUUCCUUCAUUAGAAAUGAAAUUUACAAAAAUCCCUUCUGUUAUAAAUCUUCCUUUUUAGAGUCAACCUAGGUUUUCUACUUCAGAUAUACCUAGCACUUCUAUACGAUCUGUUGACUAUGCCACUAGUGUUCCUAUUUACACUAGUAGUCAACAUGAACAAAGACAUGAAGAGAAGGAACCUUCUCCUCCAACCUCUCCUACUUUUUCUCCAGUCACAGAAAAUGUCAUAAAUGUUAUUGAAAAGAAUUUUGAGCUUGAUAAAAAUCUUCUUCAUAAUAAUUUUUAUUCAGAUACUAAUAAAGAAAAAACACUUUGGUUUUUUAAAUAUUUUUUGAAUCAAAGAAAAGAAAUCCAACAAAUCUAUUAUGAAUUUGUGAAUUUACAUCAAAUUCAUAUAUUGUUUUUUGAUUGGUUCGAAAUAUAUUCUUCUGAGAACAACAUUUCUUAUCCUUUUAACGAGUCAAGCCCUAUUAUUAUUAGAAAAAAAAUCCCUGAUUGGAAACUUACUGAUAGUAAUAGAACCAUCGAAUCUGAACAUCCACCUUUUAGGAGUAUAAUCAUAGACCAUGGUGAACCUCCUAUCGAAAUCAGAGCUUCUCCUUACAAAAUCCCUAAACCAAAUGAUUCUGAUAUAAAUUUAAGUAGUAUUAUCCAACAGAAUAAUUUCUGUAAUACUAACUUAAAUACUAUCAGAAAACAGUUGACUAGAAUAGAAAACCAAUUCCAAAAGUCAACCAUAGCUGUUUCUUCUACUCCUAUUCCAUCAAAAUCGGAUUCUGGCAAGAAGCUUAAAGAGCCUAUUUUCAAACCUUUUCAGGUUUCGAAAACUAGUCAAAAGCUUGUUUAUGAGUCAAAAUCAGAUUUUGCUAAAGCCAUUAGAGAACAACUAGAUAGGAUAGAAGCUGCUUCUUCCUCAUCUAGCAAAGUUCAGAUAGCUCCUGAUACUCCUCAAUCUAGCAAGAUUGGAGUAUUAGAACAAGACCAAAUGUCUGAUCAAACUUCUAUUGCCUCCUCUGAUCUAGAAGCCUUUAAAGAAGAACCUAUUCCUAAAGCCAAUAAAAUCCAAUGGGAAUUAGUCCUUCCCACUGUUAAGUCUCCACCUGAUUUGACCAUAAACAACAGGCCUAGUGCAUUAAAUCAAUCUCGAUACAAUGCAUCCUCUGUCUAUGAGUGGAAUUUAGAUGGAAUGUCUGAGUACAACAUCCUAGGAUUGUUGCAACAGAUGACCAUGGCAGCUAAUGCUUAUAAAACCCAAUCAGGAACUUCUGACAGAGCCAUUGCAGAAAUCCUUAUUGCUGGUUUUACAGGUCAACUCAAAGGUUGGUGGGAUCAUCUUCUCACCCAACAACAACAAUUAGAUAUUCUUACUGGGAAAUAGGAUCGAAGGAUGGAUGUGCUUUCGUUGGAAUAUCAAUUAUUUAAAACUCAAAUUAAACAAUGCUUGGAUUGGGUCGGCUUUAUCCAAUUUUAAAAGUAAUUACCAGCUUUGAAAUAAAUAGAUUUGCUUUGGAACGCGGUUGGUCAAAUUUUAAUAAAGGUACGUGGCGUUGUAUCUAGAUCAAUGCAGAGACAAGUCUGCCUUUGGAACCAGAUCUGACUUAGAACAUAUCAAUAUUCCGCACGUUCUAGUUUCUAGCCGAUAUACCAAUUUUAUUUACCAAAUAUUUGUUAAGUUCUUUAAGCAAGCCUAGCAACAACAUUCAUCUAAGGCUAGGGUGCAUACACAGUACCAGAUCCAGUUCCCGAAAAUAGUGCUCUGAAGGAAUGGAGGGAGAAGAGAAGAUUUACAACUGAGGAUCGAGAUCUUGUCUUUUUGCCUAAGAGGAACGUACAAUUUUUAUGGCAGAUCUGAUAUAGAUCAGUCUGCAAUCAUGCUUUGUAAAAGAGAAAUGCUUUAAAAUUAAAUUGCAGAAAUUUAAAUUACAUAAAGUAAAUUGCAAAAAUUUAAAUUACAAAAAUUAAAUUGCGGAAAUUUAAAUAUACAUGAAAUUGAAAUUGCUUUAAAAUAACAUUACAUUUAUUUCUUUAUUUCUUUUGAUUCGAAAGCUUUAUGAGUGGAAAAUCAGAAAAUAGUCUGAAAACAAGGAACUUAGGGAAAAUUCCUUGAAUACAGAAGAUCUUCUUUAAUCCGAGAGAGAGAGAGAGAGAGAGAAUUCUAGAGAGAAGGAGGAUAAGAAGAGAGAGAAGUUCUAAAACCAAAAAUGAAAAACCUGAGGAGUCUAAGUCUUCCUCUUGGUUUUUAUACAAAAUUUUUAAACUGUUCACUGUAGCGGAGCUUUGAGUGCACAGUAAUCUUUGGAAAUCGCCACUGUUCACAGUAGCGGAGGUGAAGCAAACAGUAAGCUUUGGGUCGUAUGUAACAGUAAUCUUUGGAGCGUAUAUUGGAAUAGAAGCUUUGUAGAAAUACGGGUGAAGAGACAUGUGCGCUCCCACUUGUGUCCAGAGGACCACCCGAAAAUGUAAAAUGUACAGAAACAGAGAAAGGGAGGAAAUCUUUUUUCGGAUUUAGAAGGAAUAUAGUGGGCUUUAAAGAGGUUUAAACAGUGGGUGGCAUUUGGGGUUAAAAUUUGUGGUGUAGGACCAAAAGAAUUCCACCAAUGAUGGAACCAGUUUGGAAGGCUUUGGACGGUUAUCUUCGAGUUGAAGAAAAAUAACCAGGAGUGGGAUUUUUUGGGGUUUUGGAUUAAAAAAAUGUGUUAUAUCAGGCUUGUUGGUAAUCCCAGUAGGAAUAAGUCCGACAAUGAGGUAAACGUGUUUGAAAAUUUAAAGGGAAGGUUUUAAAAUUAUGGAGUAGGUCACCCCAUUGGUUUGGGCUCAAAACUUUUAAAAUAGUAGCCGUGGAAUAGGCUGGCUCUGAAUGUGACUCACUGAGAAAGAAAUGUUUAAAUUUUACUGACUCUGUGAUUUCUAAAAUGCUUUGAUAAUAGGACUGGGGUUUUGUUAAAUCCCAUUGUUUGAAAAACCAGCCCUUAGGGAAAAACUUUGAAAUUGCUUGGAAAGGAUCAGCAUGGUAAAAUCCAUCUUCUAUUGAUAAAAUGUUUUGAAAAUGGGUUUUAUCAAACCAAUCGGAUGAUUUCUUUGAAAGUGUUGGCUGGGAAAGUACAAUUUGGGAAGAUGAACUUUCACCAGAGACAACCACAUUUUGAGAGGAAGGUUUUGAAAUUUCUUUGGAGAUUUCUUUUUCUUCUUUUGGAAGAAUCUGGCUUUGGGAAAGGUUUUAUAGAGCGAGCAUAAGCUCAGGUGAUUUUGUAAUGGAACUCAUCCAUUUCUUUACUUGGUCAUCAGAAGAAGUGGUUUUGUAUUGGGCUUCAUGUGCUUCAACCAAUUCAAUCCAGGAUUUAAUGGGCAUGGCUUAAGAAAGCAAUUUUUCUUUAGAAGGCGUUAGUUGGGGUUCUUUAGGGGUUGCUUGAGAUUCAGCGUCUUUAAGGACAACUUUGCCUUUAUCCUUCUUCUUUGGCGGCAUUAUCUGUUUUGAAGAAAUUCUCUGGUUAGAAAAUCAAGAACAGAAUUCGUAUCUCCUUUAAUAAAUUCAAUAUCAAAAUCAAAAACACUUAAAAUGGCUUGCCAACGUGCAAAAAUCUGUUUGGAUGCAAUAUUUUGAACAUCUUUUUCCAAAACAUGUUUUGCAGCUUUGCAAUCAAUUCUAAGGAUAAAGGCAAAGUUGUCCUUAAAGACGCUGAAUCUCAAGCAACCCCUAAAGAACCCCAACUAACGCCUUCUAAAGAAAAAUUGUUUUCUUCAGCCAUGCCCAUUAAAUCCUGGAUUGAAUUGAUUGAAGCACAUGAAGCCCAAUACAAAACCACUUCUUCUGAUGACCAAGUAAAGCAAUGGAUGAGUUCCAUUACAAAAUCACCUGAGCUUAUGCUCGCUCUACAAAACCAUUCCCAAAGCCAGAUUCUUCCAAAAGAAGAAAAAGAAAUCUCCAAAGAAAUUUCAAAACCUUCUUCUCAAAAUGUGGUUGUCUCUGGUGAAAGUUCAUCUUCCCAAAUUGUACUUUCCCAGCCAACACUUUCAAAGAAAUCAUCCGAUUGGUUUGAUAAAACCCAUUUUCAAAACAUUUUAUCAAUAGAAGAUGGAUUUUACCAUGCUGAUCCUUUCCAAGCAAUUUCAAAGUUUUUCCCUAAGGGCUGGUUUUUCAAACCAUGGGAUUUAACAAAACCCCAGUCCUAUUAUCAAAGCAUUUUAGAAAUCACAGAGUCAGUAAAAUUUAAACAUUUCUUUCUCAGUGAGUCACAUUCAGAGCCAGCCUAUUCCACGGCUACUAUUUUAAAAGUUUUGAGCCCAAACCAAUGGGGUGACCUACUCCAUAAUUUUAAAACCUUCCCUUUAAAUUUUCAAACACGUUUACCUCAUUGUCGGACUUAUUCCUACUGGGAUUACCAACAAGCCUGAUAUAACACAUUUUUUUAUCCAAAACCCCAAAAAAUCCCACUCCUGGUUAUUUUUCUUCAACUCGAAGAUAACCGUCCAAAGCCUUCCAAACUGGUUCCAUCAUUGGUGGAAUUCUUUUGGUCCUACACCACAAAUUUUAACCCCAAAUGCCACCCACUGUUUAAACCUCUUUAAAGCCCACUAUAUUCCUUCUAAAUCCGAAAAAAGAUUUCCCCCCUUUCUCUGUUUCUGUACAUUUUACAUUUUCGGGUGGUCCUCUGGACACAAGUGGGAGCGCACAUGUCUCUUCACCCGUAUUUCUACAAAGCUUCUAUUCCAAUAUACGCUCCAAAGAUUACUGUUACAUACGACCCAAAGCUUACUGUUUGCUUCACCUCCGCUACUGUGAACAGUGGCGAUUUCCAAAGAUUACUGUGCACUCAAAGCUCCGCUACAGUGAACAGUUUAAAAAUUUUGUAUAAAAACCAAGAGGAAGACUUAGACUCCUCAGGUUUUUCAUUUUUGGUUUUAGAACUUCUCUCUCUUCUUAUCCUCCUUCUCUCUAGAAUUCUCUCUCUCUCUCUCUCUCGGAUUAAAGAAGAUCUUCUGUAUUCAAGGAAUUUUCCCUAAGUUCCUUGUUUUCAGACUAUUUUCUGAUUUUCCACUCAUAAAGCUUUCGAAUCAAAAGAAAUAAAGAAAUAAAUGUAAUGUUAUUUUAAAGCAAUUUCAAUUUCAUGUAUAUUUAAAUUUCCGCAAUUUAAUUUUUGUAAUUUAAAUUUCUGCAAUUUACUUUAUGUAAUUUAAAUUUCUGCAAUUUAAUUUUAAAGCAUUUCUCUUUUACAAAGCAUGAUUGCAGACUGAUCUAUAUCAGAUCUGCCAUAAAAAUUGUACGUUCCUCUGAGGCAAAAAGACAAGAUCUCAAUCCUCAGUUGUAAAUCUUCUCUUCUCCCUCCAUUCCUUCAGAGCACCAUUUUCGGGAACUGGAUCUGGUACUGUGUAUGCACCCUAGCCUUAGAUAAAUGUUGUUGCUAGGCUUGCUUAAAGAACUUAACAAAUAUUUGGUAAAUAAAAUUGGUAUAUCGGCUAGAAACUAGAACGUGCGGAAUAUUGAUAUGUUCUAAGUCAGAUCUGGUUCCAAAGGCAGACUUGUCUCUGCAUUGAUCUAGAUACAACGCCACGUACCUUUAUUAAAAUUUGACCAACCGCGUUCCAAAGCAAAUCUAUUUAUUUCAAAGCUGGUAAUUACUUUUAAAAUUGGAUAAAGCCGACCCAAUCCAAGCAUUGUUUAAUUUGAGUUUUAAAUAAUUGAUAUUCCAACGAAAGCACAUCCAUCCUUCGAUCCUAUUUCCCAGUAAGAAUAUCUAAUUGUUGUUGUUGGGUGAGAAGAUGAUCCCACCAACCUUUGAGUUGACCUGUAAAACCAGCAAUAAGGAUUUCUGCAAUGGCUCUGUCAGAAGUUCCUGAUUGGGUUUUAUAAGCAUUAGCUGCCAUGGUCAUCUGUUGCAACAAUCCUAGGAUGUUGUACUCAGACAUUCCAUCUAAAUUCCACUCAUAGACAGAGGAUGCAUUGUAUCGAGAUUGAUUUAAUGGACUAGGCCUGUUGUUUAUGGUCAAAUCAGGUGGAGACUUAACAGUGGGAAGGACUAAUUCCCAUUGGAUUUUAUUGGCUUUAGGAAUAGGUUCUUCUUUAAAGGCUUCUAGAUCAGAGGAGGCAAUAGAAGUUUGAUCAGACAUUUGGUCUUGUUCUAAUACUCCAAUCUUGCUAGAUUGAGGAGUAUCAGGAGCUAUCUGAACUUUGCUAGAUGAGGAAGAAGCAGCUUCUAUCCUAUCUAGUUGUUCUCUAAUGGCUUUAGCAAAAUCUGAUUUUGACUCAUAAACAAGCUUUUGACUAGUUUUCGAAACCUGAAAAGGUUUGAAAAUAGGCUCUUUAAGCUUCUUGCCAGAAUCCGAUUUUGAUGGAAUAGGAGUAGAAGAAACAGCUAUGGUUGACUUUUGGAAUUGGUUUUCUAUUCUAGUCAACUGUCUUCCGAUAGUAUUUAAGUUAGUAUUACAGAAAUUAUUCUGUUGGAUAAUACUACUUAAAUUUAUAUCAGAAUCAUUUGGUUUAGGGAUUUUGUAAGGAGAAGCUCUGAUUUCGAUAGGAGGUUCACCAUGGUCUAUGAUUUAUGAUUUACCAUGCUGAUCCUUUCCAAGCAAUUUCAAAGUUUUUCUCUAAGGGCUGGUUUUUCAAACCAUGGGAUUUAACAAAACCCCAGUCCUAUUAUCAAAGCAUUUUAGAAAUCACAGCGUCAGUAAAAUUUAAACAUUUCUUUCUCAGUGAGUCACAUUCAGAGCCAGCCUAUUCCACGGCUACUAUUUUAAAAGUUUUGAGCCCAAACCAAUGGGGUGACCUACUCCAUAAUUUUAAAACCUUCCCUUUAAAUUUUCAAACACGUUUACCUCAUUGUCGGACUUAUUCCUACUGGGAUUACCAACAAGCCUGAUAUAACACAUUUUUUUAUCCAAAACCCCAAAAAAUCCCACUCCUGGUUAUUUUUCUUCAACUCGAAGAUAACCGUCCAAAGCCUUCCAAACUGGUUCCAUCAUUGGUGGAAUUCCUUUGGUCCUACACCACAAAUUUUAACCCCAAAUGCCACCCACUGUUUAAACCUCUUUAAAGCCCACUAUAUUCCUUCUGAAUCCGAAAAAAGAUUUCCCCCCUUUCUCUGUUUCUGUACAAAUUUCUUCCUUCCAUGGGUAUGGAUGUGGAACCUUAGGCUUCAUACUCAAGAUGCCCAGCUCAUCCUUCAAAGAACAUUUAAAGUUAAAUGGUGGUCAAAAUUUGAUGAGAAAUCCAAAUUAACCGAUAACCUUAUCACAAAUUGGUUAUCAUCCAAAGGCUUCCUUCAACCCUCUAUAAAAGACUCCAAAGCCCAGCAAACUUUCCUUACCCAAAAGUCCAAAGCCCAGUCUCUUUUGGUAAGUGCCAAGACAGAAGAAGAAUACUUCAAAGCCAUGGAACAACUCCUCGCCUCCUGGUCAAAGUCAUCAGUGGCUGACUCCUCUGAAGAUGAAGACGAAGAUGAAGAGCCAACCGUUUCUCUCGGAGAUGAAAAUGAAGAUGAUUGUUUUGGAAUUUUCUCUCCAUUAAAGCAUUGUAAAUAGUUCAUGUAACUAUUCAAAAAAUAAAUAAAUAAAUAAAUAAAUAAUAAUAAUUUUACAUUUUCGGGUGGUCCUCUGGACACAAGUGGGAGCGCACAUGUCUCUUCACCCGUAUUUCUACAAAGCUUCUAUUCCAACAUACGCUCCAAAGAUUACUAUUACAUACGAUCCAAAGCUUACUGUUUGCUUCACCUCCGCUACAGUGAACAGUGCCGAUUUCCAAAGAUUACUGUGCACUCAAAGCUCCGCUACAGUGAACAGUUUAAAAAUUUUGUAUAAAAACCAAAAGGAAGACUUAGACUCCUCAGGUUUUUCAUUUUUGGUUUUAGAACUUCUUAUAUAUAUACAUACAUACAAUAGUUUUCUAAUCAAGGAUCCAUGAGUUUAAUAAAGUCAUGGAUUAGUUAAAAGAUAAAAUAAAUAUAGACUCUAAUGCACUAUAUUUUUUCAUAUAGUGUAUUAAAAUUUAAUUUUUUUUCUCUUUUAGCUAAUCCCUGACUUUAAUAAAGUCAGGGAUUGAUAUCACACACACACACACAGCCAUAAGCUCACAUGCUCCUCCCCUUUCUUUAAACCAGACAUGGCCUUAAUACAAACCUUUUAUAAGGUAGUUCCCUUCUAAUGAAAAUUGCCAAUAACAUAAAUGAUGAUUGAUUUCAUACUUUUACGUUAUUGAAUCUUUUGUACAGUAAAAUUAUGCUUUGGAGUCAUUUGAAACAAUAAGAGAGUGAAUUAUUAUUCUUCCUUUAACUGUUUUUAAAUUCUUUAGAUGAAGCUGAAUUUUUUACUUUCUUGGUGACUAAUACUUUGGACAAUGACUUGUGGCCUGAUAUAAAUUUUCAUCUAAGCAUAUACAUGUUGGUGUUAGUUGUCAAUAUAAUGCAAUCAACUUCAUUGUCAAUAAUGAGUACACAAAUAAGGUCUUAUUUGGUAUUAAAGUUGAGCAGUUGUAAUUUAAAAACUACAACAAUAAAGUGUUUGGUAAAUAUUAACAUUUACGGUUUAGAAUGUAAGAUGAUUUAAUCCACACUUAUAUGAUAAAAAAUUUAUCAUAUGAUUUGUCAAAAUUAUCAUAUUAUACAUUAUUGAUUGUUAUUUCAUAAUUACAAUUUUUUUUACAGUAGUUGUAACUUAAAAGUUACAAUAUCCAAAAACCAAACAUGGCCUAACUAUAUUAGACAUAUUCAUUAUUUUAUUUGAAAUACACACUUGUACAUUAUUAUUAUUUGAAUCCCUUAGUUAGCUACUUGUGCCUUGUUCUUCAUAAUUUUAUAUCACAUGUGCAUGUAUGACAGUUAAAAUUUAAUUAUUUUUAUAUUCUUAUCUAAUAAUUAUGAAUUAUAUCUUUUAAAAAAUUAGUAAAAAGGCCAGCUCAACACUGAACCCAAAUUGUAGAGUUUUAUAUUCCAAUGUGUCUUCUUCUUCUUCUUUCGGGGAAAAUGUUCAUAAAUUCCAAGAAAUAGACCUUCAAAUUAGCCAUAAAUGUAGCAUAGAACCCAAUGUGUCUUCUUCUUCUUCUUCUUUCGAGAAAAAUGUUCAUAAAUUCCAAAUAAUAGACCUUCAAAUUAGACCAACAAGCACGUAGAUCAACUUGCAUGAGGUUAUUCUAGCUUAACUAAGGUUCUCGAUUCAAGGCUUGGGAAAGCAGCUGCGUUAAAUAGUUGUUGGGAGAGUUUUACCGCCCUAGUGGUCAUACCCGACUCAAAUCUGGAUUAGUUGAGACCCAAUGUAGUUAUUGGAUACCAGAUGGCUUAAUACACCGAAAAAAAAAUAGACCUUCAAAUUAGCCACAAAUGCAGCGUUGAAAGGAAACUGCAUUAGUGCUAAAACAGUCACUGGAAAGAAAACAACAGCGUAGAGAGUGGCUUUCCAUUUCUUCUCCGAAUGAAUCAGAAUUGAAGCCAAGAAAGUGAUCAUGCUGGUUAGUAAAGAGAAGAAGAGUAAAGUGAAGCCAAUGGUCAGCUUGCUUGGAAGUACGCUAAGGAAAUCAGAUGAAUCAAAUGACGACGUGAAGAUAGAGAGAAGCAUUACAACGGAUGACAAAGAUAAAGCUAAGGUGAAAACGUCCAUUACAGUAAAAACGUAGAAUAGUGGUGACUCAAGGAAAUGGGGAAACCCCUUAUCAUUGGUCCCUCAAGGCACCAUGAAGUUAGCUGUAAAGAUGACAGUCGCGAUGAGAAUUGUCAGAGUCGAGGAUGAUUGAGAGUUUCUUUGAUCCAUUUUUGUGCUUAUCUAAGUUGAUCUUGAUGUGUUAGAUCGAAGAGGUCACUUGCAAUCAUUCUCUUGUUUUAAUCACGGUACAUCGCAUAACGGGGAGGCGCUACGUCUUUUACACACUGCAUAUAAUAAUGCAUGCAUGGAGACAAUUAAAAAAAAAAAAUUAGAGUAAGCUUUUAUACAUUAAACCAUUUCGCAAUGUUGUAAACUCAUUUGACAAUAUUAUAAAAAUUCAUCCUGCCCCUCCCCCUCCCCCCGGUGUUGAUGUUUACUAGCGUAGUGACAGUAUAGGGACUGCGUUCCUUCGUAUUAUUAAGCUUUAGCUUCUGUUAGGCUCGCCUUCUUUAUAAAAAAAAAUAUAUAUUAUAAAAAUUCAUAUCGCACUUUAACAAAAUGUAGGAUCUCUUCUUAAAAAAUGCACUACAUAUAUAGCGUACUUGUAUGGUUUAGAAUCUUAAAUUUUAUUAAAAUCUAAAAAAAACUAUUAUGACAGUCUUGAUGGAACGACGGUUUCCCUUUAAGGCCAUUCCAUAAGGAUUGCAGCCCUUCGUUUUCCACAUGUUAUCCAUAUGAUCCGUCUCUAUAGCGUUAUCCUCAUCACAUCCGUACGAUCCAUUUCGCUAUCUCUCUCGCUCUCUCACUUGUAUAUAUAAUUGAUACAAAGAACAAGCUGUACGUAGAUGUCCUUCAAUAUCCUUGGUUUUAAUUGUCUUAGUAUUAUAAGGUCCGUUCCUUGCAUCCUUAUGCAAGUUCUAAACGAAGUUGGCAUAAUUUUAAGAAUAUUAAUAAUGGUAAAGUUAAUCUAUCGAUGGGGUCAGGAAAAAGAAUAGAACAGAUUAUUUAAUUUUCAACAGCUUAAUUUUGUCUCUCCGCGAAUAUAAUAAUCACAUUUAUUCUGCUACUUUUGUGCCCAUCGCUUAUUUUAUCCGCGAAUAUAACAAUCACACGUUUUUAAAGUAAAGGCGAUUUUGGAAGAAGGCUGUACGGUUUGGAAAGAGGUUUCGACUGAUAUAUAAAAAAGAAGAAAAAAAAAAAGUGAAUUUACUCCAAGGCCUUUGGCGCAACUAUACAUAAACAUAUAAAUUACACUUGAAAAGGGUGAAUAAUCAAUUAAAGCGGCGGGCGCUACAACCGACCGUAAAAGAGAGGAAAUCCGCCACAUUUCCUUCUGAAAAGGUCCUUGAUUUUAUCCAAAAGCGUGCUGUGCCCGUUACAGGCCAAUCCUUGGUCACUCUCAUGACUAAGGUUUUGUCUGGCCGCCACAAUCAUUAAAACAAGAGGGAAAAUAAAUGGGAAAUUAUCAAUUUUUCAUCUGAUUGGUAAAAAUGCAAAAAUAAUUGAAAAUUUUAGAACUUAUCAAUUUUUUUUUUCGCUAGAAAAAAUAUAUGAGAUUUGACAGAGAAUUAGGUCUUGAUUAUUACUGAUGUAUUGUUGGAAAAAAAGUUGCAAUUAUAACAUAAAAUUAUGCGACAAAUAUAGUUUUUAAAUAGUAAUUUUAAUAACAAUAGUAAAAAUUUAUAGGUUUUCAUCAUACAAAUUUAAAAUUAAAUCAAACUUAAUUUUCAAAUCACAACAAUAAGUGUUUACCAAAUACUUUUAAUUCUGUUGUUUAAAAAUUACCACUACCCAACCACAAUAACACAAGGCCUUCAUCUAAGUUAAUCCCGGCAAAUUUCUGAUUGUAACUCAAAAAAAUCAUAUUAGUAUUAAAAAAAUCAACACCUAUUUUUUAUUAAAAUUUUUUAAAUAUCCUAUUAUAUGAACAAAACACAUGCUCGAUUUUUUUUUUUCAAUUAAACCUUGAUCAGUAAGGCAAUUUAUUAAAUUAAAAAGCAGGGAACAGUUAUUUAGGGGACAUAAUAAACUAUAUCCCGCAAAAUAAUUUUAGAAGAACCAAUACAGAUGGGUGGCCUACAUAACAAGACGGUUUAGCCGAAAACGAAAAAAUAAAAAAUAAAAAAACCAUCACUCCGUAUUAGCAUUAUUAUGAGCUAGGCAGCUCAGGCCCGAAUGAGCUAGGCAGCCGCCGCACAGCCCCUCGAAAGUAUGGCUAAUACGAAAAUUCAUUCGACUCACUAGAUGACAACAAUUAAACACAUGCUCGAUCGAAAUGCCAGUAUGAAUGGAAUUUUAAAUCAUCAAAAUCUUUAACCAAUGAUUAACACACUUGUUGUUAUUCAAUGGAGUUGUGAUUUUUACACCCCUCCAAAGUCCUUAUAAUUAAUCCCCCUUUUACAUACACGUGACUACUAGAAGUUUUGAAAAUUAUGAUACUUUAAUUUAAUUCCCAAUCAACCCUUCAUAAACAUUUCUACAUCUCUAAGGUAAUUGUCUACUUCCUAAUGUCCCUUGUAAUUAAAUGAUGAAGGCUGAUUUUGCUUUAUUUCUAUUUUCAGUAUCGUUCAAAGAACAUCAACGGCCCCAUUUCAUUUUCACUUUGGGUGUGAAGCUAAAAGAUCUAUGUUAUCUUCAAUUAAGUAUUCCUUUUUCUUAAAUGCUCUUUUAUCUCUCUUUUUCUAAAACCUAAAUCAUUCAAAAAAAAAAUUGUAAAAUUUCACCCAAUUUAGCCGAAAAAUUGCCAUUCCUACGGUAUUGAUAAUUGAGGAGUGAACAACUUGCAUCUAUCAGCGGGAUUGCGGGAAAAAGAAAACCUAGAAAGAGAGUUUGCUCUUGAAGGGUUGUAAGUUUGUUCAGGGGUUAUUCGUAGAAUAAAUAUUAGAUAAUUGUAAGCACCGAAAUUUAAAAACUCUUUUAAAUGGAUUUGUUUAGAAAAAAAAAGGUUCAUAAGAGUUCCGGAAGGGGUGCUAAUAGCUCAACUCCAUUCAAUAUUCGACGUUAUGUCUUGGCUGGAUGUGAUGAUUCAUUGAUUCCAUUGCAUCAAUCAAUCGUCCGGUGGAAUAUCAUAUUAUUUUGCCUUAAAAUAAUUUCUAAUUUCUUUCUUGAAUGUUCUACAACAUUCUGAAAUACAUCAAUUUAUGCUUAAUUUUUUAUUUCAUAAUCCAAAAUUCAAGUGUUCAUUUGAUUUACGAUUCAGAAAUAAUUUUCAAAAAUAAAAAAUGAAUCUAAAAAUGUGUUGAAGGUUUUAAUGUGUUUAUUUUCUUUAUGAUUUAUAUUAAUGGCAACCUAAUCAUCUCCCUACCUAUGUGAAAGAGAUUUGAAUUCUAAACCUCUUUUUUCAAGAAAAGGGAUUUUCACCAACCUAACUAAAUGAUGCAAGUUUAAUAUGUUUAUAUAAUAUCCAAAAACAAUAAUUUCAACAACUGAAACAUGUUUAACAUAAUUUCUAAUUAAGUUAAAAAAAAAACAUGUUUACGAUAUCCCCUGUUCUUUGUGUCUACAUAAUGUAUGGUCCAUCAUGUGCAAAUUUUAUGAACUUGAAUCCAGUAGCCCCUGAUAAGAGACACAGCAUUCCAAUAAAAUAGGAUAUUCUUUAUUAGAAGCUCACUCCAUAUACAUGUGUGUGUGUGUGUGUUUGUGUCAAGAAUCAUUGCUAUUAUAACAUGUGCAUUAGAAGAAAUCAUGAUCAUUAUGGAUUACAUAAUUUGGUGGAAGAUGAAUUUGUGAUUUAUGAUCAUUUUCUUAUUAUCAUAAUUUUAAAGGUGAUGAAUCCGUUAUUUAUUAUUAUUUUUAAUAUAUUUAAUGAAUUUUCUUUUUAAGAUAGCGGGGUGUGUAAAGGCCAAAUCAAUUUUUAUGAUAUGUCUUAUAAAAAAUUAUUAAAUUAAUGAUAAUGGAGACUGAUUUAGAAUAGAAAUUGCCAAAACAACAGAAAUGAUGAUUGGUUUCUUACUUUUUGUCUUUUGUAUAAGUUAGACCUUGAAGCCAUUUAAUUGAAGCAAGAGGACAGUGAAUUCAAUUGUUUUUUAAAUUCGCCGGAUGCAGCUGAAUUUUAUUUUUCUUUCUUGAUGAAUAAUACUUUGGACAUUGACUUUUGUUUUGAUCUAAAUUUUUAUCAGCGCAUAUACACGUUCGCGUUGGUUGUCAAUAUAAUGCAAUUAACUUCACUGACGAUAAUGAGUAACAAUUACAUGUGUUAACACAUUCAAUAUUUAAUUCGAAAUACACCCAGUACAUUAAUAUUUUACAUGACAUGAUACAACACACCCAAAGGAAAAACCACUGUUAGAACCAAGCAAAAUAAUUAGAGGUACAAUACAUAUAAAGAUUGCCAUCCUAUCAUGCAUACAACUUAGAAAUAACGCGUCUACUUCUUCUUCUUCUUCUUCUUCCAAGGAAAAUUAUUCAUAAAUUCCAAGUAAUAGACCUUCCCAUUAGCCAAAAAAUCAGCACAGUAAGGAAACUCCAUGAGUGCUAAAACAAUCACUGGAAAGAUAGCAGCGGCAUAGAGAGCAGCGGUCCAUUUCUUCUCCAUACGAAUGAUGAGUAGAAGUGAAGCCGAGAAAGUAAUCAUGCUUGUUAGUACAGAAAAGAAGAGCAAAGUGAAGCCAACCACCAACUUGCGCGGAAGUUCUCUAAGGAAAUCAGAUGACUCACGUGGCGACGUGAGGAUGGAUAGGAACAUAACAACGGAUGACAAAGAUAAGGCCAAGGAGGCAACGUCCAUUACAGUAAAAACAUAGAAAAGUGGUGACUUAAGGAAAUGGGGAAACCCCUUAUCAUUGUUACCUCCAGGUAUCGUGAAGGCAGCUGUAAAGACGACGGUUGCGAUUAGGAUUGCCAGCACGGAGCAUGCCUGAGAGGUUUCUUUGAUCCAUUCUUGUGCUUUCCUAAGUUGAUCUUCAUGUGUUAGAUUAAAGAGGUCACUUGCAGUCAUCUUAUUUUUUUCGUCGCGGUGCAUAGCAUAAUGGCGAGGCAUUAUCUCUUUUACAUGCUGCAUACACACACACACACGUUAAAUAGGGACGGAGGCCUAUACACAUAGCCACAUGUGUAGUCAUUACCUCUGUAGCAUUUUAAAAUAUAGAUUCAAGGUUUUACUCAAUUGUAAAAAACUUCUAAGAGCGUUGUAAAAGGUUUUACACAAUUAAAGAAAAAAAAAUGUUUUAUAAAAUAAUGAAAUGGUGAAUCACCUGAGAAUGAAUAUACAUAUACAUACAUAUAUACAUAUAUAUAGAGAGAGAGAGAGAGUGAGGGGGAGGGGACAGAGAGAGGGAGAGAGUACUAAUUUAGUCCAAGAUUGUGUACUUUAUUAAAGUUUAAGAACACUAUUAAACCACAUAGUAUAUAUAGGGGGAGAGAGCGAACGAGCUAUUAUUUAAUAACAGAUCUCUUAAGUUAGUAAAGUAAAGAAUAAAUUAAAAGACAAAUAAAAGUGCAGUGUAUUUUAUCUAGUAAUAUAUAUUGAUGUAUGUGUUUUUCUUAUUUUUUAACUUGUCCCUUAUUUUGGUAAGUUAAGGAGAUCCUUCAAUGAAAAAAAUUAUUUUACAUAUAUGAAGAUACUCAAAUAUGGUGUGUACACAAAUUUUUUGUGUGGAUUUUAGGUUUUAUAACCGUUUGAAAGCCUUUCACAUUAUUUCAAAAAUAUUUUACACUGUUCUAAAAUCCUAUAUCUGCAUGAAAAUUCAUGUGCACAUAAGUUAUAUAUAUAUAUAUAUAUAACUGAAUAAAUUACAUUUUGUGGGACAAAAUUAAAUAUUAUCGAAGGGCUUACCUCGAACAAUUGUAACUCCUCCUGAAAUUGGAGAACAGGGCCAGGGCGGGUUCCUUCUUUAUAAUGUUUCAUGUCUGCGACAUGGUGCAGUAAUGUGUAGCCUUUCUUGUCAAUUCUUGAAGCCCAUUUGGGCACAGACAGUUGCAUUUCCUUCGUGAUGAGUUCAAAGACCUUAUAUUGACGACGCUUUACGGCCACAUGUAAUAUAUUCUGCUCUUUCUCAUUCAAGUUAUCUAACAAUAUUGCUUGAGGAUGUUGAUGGAUUAGCUCCUUCAAAAUCUCUGUUAUUCCAUUGCUUGCUGCAAAGAGUAGCGUCAACCUGAUUGCCCAAUUCUUAUCCUUUUUAUGAUUAGGAACUCCUUUGAUAGUGCAAUCUUUCUUCACAAACAAUUCGACCAAUUCUGCAGCUGAAAAAUCAACAAAUUUUUUUGCCUUGAUCAUAUUUCCUUUGUUAGUGCAAUCUUUCUUCAGCAGCAAUUCGUCCAAUUCUCCAGCUGAAAAAUCAACAAGUUUUUUUGCCUUGAGCAUAUUUCCUUUGCCUAAUCCUAAGGAAAUUGUGGAAAUAUUAUCUUGCCAAGUUGUGGAACUUUCUGGGUCCGGCGAGAAAAUUUCUGGGUUCGGCAAGGAACUUGUGGAACUUUCGGGGUUCGACGAGGAAAUUUCUGGGUUCGGCAAGGAAGUUGAGGAACUUUCUGGGCUCGGCAAGGAAAUUUCUGGGUUCUGCUCUCCAUCCCCAAGAAAAAGGGUUUCUUCUUUAACCAGCUUUUUGAGCAGUUUAUUCGCAUUUUUAUGCAUUUGCUUUUUCAUCCAGAUUUUCUUUAUCGCCGGACGUCCUGGUCAUGCAUGCAUCAACAUCUUGUUAAUUUAUAAACAAUUUCGCACGCAAGUACGGCAAAUCCAUUCAUCAACUGAAUGAAUUGCUCAAGUUAUGUUACAUUUCCCCUGUUCUGCUGCGUAAUUCAUAAAUGUAGAAGUAAUUAAUGAAAUUAUUAUUGGUCGCACCUUCAAUCACUUGCCCCCAAAUGCCAAUGUACAUCUUCCAAAUUGGAAUUCCUGCAUUUUGAUUAACUGCUCAGGCGCAAUUUUACAACUAUAAGUAUAUUUAUACGAUAUGAAAAUAUGAAAAAUUAAUGCCGCCACAUCAAAAAGGAAACCGUUCCCUAUAAUAAAAUACUGUAUGUCUGGACAAAAAUAUUGUGUCUGGAAAAAUUAAUACCACCCUUCUAGAAGGUGGGCGCGCUCAUUUUGAAAAAGGAGGCGCUGCUUCCUUCUUUGACUCGAAUAAAUGAAAAAAAAGAAGGAAAAAAAGAGUGAUGCAGCACCGCAUAGGUAAAAAGAAAUAAAAUAAUAAAAUAAUAUUUUUAAUUGAAAACGAAGGGAAAUGAAGCCUAUAAAUAGAAGGGUUCAUUUCCCUUCCCAGCAUCCAAUUCUUCUCUUCUUCUUUAGAUCCAUUUUGAGAGGAGAAAAAGUCAGUGAGAGUUGAGUGAUUAGUGAGUGAGAGAUUGGGUGUAUUGAGGUUCUAGAUAAUGAACUAAAAUAUUACAAUACUUAUAAUCUUAAUUUCACUAGUAAAAUAUUUUCUUUCUGUCUUCGCCCAUGGACGUAAACUAAAAGUCAAACCACGUAAAUUUUGAUGUCCCUGUGUGAUUCUGUUGUCUCAUUAUUUCUCAAUUUUACUUUAGUUGCCUGUAUGCUUCACCAAUCAAUUUCCAACAUGUCUUUGUAUCAAUCGGUAGUUAAGGUCCUCAUCAUGAGAAUUUGUACAAGUCCAUAGAAAUUAAAGAAAAAAGGAACUUCAUCUUUUCCCCCUUACAAUUUAAGGUAUUUCACACUUCCCCCCUUAGUAUUUUCAAAAUUGGCAUAUUGUUAUUGCGUCUAGAGGAUUCCACUUCACUGUGAUGAUUCUUCAUCUAUAUCUAGUGUAUUUUUGAGUUACCAAAAAAAAAAAUAAAGGAACAAAUCGACGUCUAAAAGAAAAACUAGCUUUUAUAUUAUACUAUUUAUUGUUUAUUUAGGUCUCAAAACUAAUAUUCUGUUUGGUUUCUAAGAGACAAUUGCUCUAAAAUGAAAGUUUUAGUUAUUAAUGGAAAAUUCGUGGGUAUUUGGUUAAGCUAAACCACUAGAUGUCAUAAAAGUUCUUUUUUUAUUCUCAUUUUUGGAGUAAACUUAUCAAUAAAUAAUUGUGAAAAAUAAUCAAUUUAAAAGGCAAACUGAGAAAGUGUUUACAGCUGAGUCGUCAAAAAGAUAGCCAAAACAAAUAUUAUGACUUGUAACCACAGCUAAAGCCGUUUGUUCGGAUUUUCAUUUUUCAAUUUAUAGAGUUAUAAUGAUUAAUGAAACCACUAUAUUAUGAUUAUGAACAAAUUAAAGCUGCCUCAACACUACCUCUCGUCCGCUUUCUGCAGGCGACGCAAUUAUCAAUUUUACCAGUCUCCAAAUCUUCUUUGUAAUUGUAGUCAACGUAAUCGUCAUCAUCAUACGUUGGAAGACCUGCAAUUAGAAAUUGCAAUUGUAACGGCAUGCAUCGAAGUCAACUGGACUAUAUAUCCCCUUAGAGAUGGAACUAUAUAUAUGUGUAUAUAUAAUUAAUAUAUAAAAAAUGCUAAAGAAAUUGAAGGCUGAUAGAAUGUUAACAGGGAUAACGGUAUAUCAAGUCGGGCUUACUACACGGUAAUCUCGGCCAGACGUACCGUUGUUUUUGUUGAAUUUUUCUUUCUUAGUAGUAAUUUUCCCAUGAAGGAUCUCUUAAGUUAUUAAGUUAAUUGCCAACAAAGUAACCCCGAACGGAUGUAUUUGCACUUCAUUAAUCAGCUUUAAUCUCUUUCAUAUGGUUUUUGUAUCCACGAAAGCAAGAAAUAAAUGAAUAUAUUCACGUACAAGAAUAGACAAGACUCGUCCAUAUAUCCGCGGUCUUCGAAUAACUCUUGAAAGCAGAUGGCAUUAGAGCUAGUAGUUGAAGACAUGUCAAGCCAUCAGGCCCCUCGGACGUUAGUUUGUUCGCAAGGCUUGAGUGGUGUUUAAGUAACCAAAUAGCAGUGUCUGUACGUAUUGAAGCAGAUUAAUUAAUUAGUUAAUUAAGAAGACAACUAAUAAAUUUUUAAACUUUAAUCUUUUUUUUUAAUUAAUAACCACAAAAAAAAAAUGGGGUUAGGCGGGAUCCCUGCUUAUCAUAUAAAUCAAUACAAAAAUAAUUACAUAAGAAUAAUAACAUAACCCAAAACCUUCUAAAACAGAUGAAAAUAAAAUUUAAUUUAACUAUUGAUCUAUAUAUGAAUGAAUGAAAGAGAGAUUUAAUUACUAUAUUUUACCGAAGUGUUGGCCAAGGACAGCCAUAUGAAGAACGGUCUUGCCAUCAUUUCUACGGAAAUGAUGACGUAAGUCACCAACUUGCUCAGUGCAGAUUUGCAACAGUUUAGUUUUCCCAAGAGCAGCAGCCCUGUAAACUGGGGUUUCCCCCAAACCGUUUUUAGCCUCAAGUAGAUUUUUGUACGCAUCACCAGACUGUCUGGAAAAGUCAAUCAAAACCCUGGCCACGUCAAAAUUUUCGACGACGGCCGCUUCGUGAAGACCAUUGUUUCCAAACGCAUCUGUUUGCUUCAAGACUUCAAGUCUGGUCUCCGAUGUUAGACUUUCGAGAAAUUCCUGGAUCAGCUGAGGGUCUUCCAUGGCCGCUGCAAUGUGAAUUGCUCUGUCCCCGUUGACUGUUCUGUAAUCCAACAAGUCUUUAGCAGUUCGUUGAGCAAAGUACUGCAAGAAGCCUCGACAGUCUCCCUUCAAGGCCAUUCCAUAAGGAUCCAUUUCUCUCUCUCUCUCUCUCUCUCUCUCUCACUCACUCACUCACGCGUGUUCUUAGACGAUUUUAAUUUUUAUUGCCUUAAUAUAUAUAGGUUUAAUCAUUCUGGAAGUUCUAAACGAAGUUAUCAAAUUGGCACAAUCACUUUGCAUAUUAUAUUAGUAGGGCUCAAGCAUAUUAAUUAUAAGAAUAGAAUAAAGGUGAAGUUAAUCUCUCGGGUCAGGCAGAAGAAUAGAAUAAAUUGUUUCCAACAGCUUUGCUGGUCCCUAUUCCUUUUUCUGUGAAUAUAAUAAUCACAUUUAUUCUACAACUUCUAUCUCCAUUGCUUUUUAAUUUCCGCGAAUAUAAUAAUCACAUUUAUUCUAAAGUAUUAAAAUACCUAAAAAUUUUGAAUUUAAAAAAAAAUCAUCUUUUUUUUUCACCUAGGCGUUAAGAAAGUUGGAAUUUGUUAGGAAAUGUUUGCAAAAUGAUAAUUUUACUCUUGUAAUAUAAACAUUGACGGAUUCCAACGUUUAAUUUCAGAAUAUUUUGACUUUUAAUAAUUUCUAAUUUCCUUCUUGCAUGUUUUUCGACAUCGUUAAAUACAUUAAGCUUAUUCUUCAAUUUUUAUUUCAUAAUGACAUAAUCCAAAAUUUUGACGAUUCAUUGGAUUUAUGAUUAUUCAAAAAUAUUUUUCAAAACUCAAAACAGAAUCUAAAAAAUUGAGUUGAAGUUCUAAUAUUAUCUGUUUAUUUUUAACAUUUAUCCAAUUCUCUUCCCUAUUAGCGGGGUCGAAAAUUGACCAACUUAGAAAGCCAAACUGACAAGAUGUUUACAGCUGAGCUUUCAAAAAGCUAGCCAAAACAAAUACAGCCCAAGUACAAUCGAGAGUCGUCUGUGUAAGUGGGUUAUGACUUGUGACCGUAGCUAAAGUUGUUUGUUCGGGUUUCGAUUUUCGAAUUUAGCGUUAUAAAGAAGCCACUAUUUCAUGAUUAUGAUGAACAAAUUAAAGCUGCUCUUUCGCCAUUACUCUUCUCUGCAAUCCUACCUGUCUUCAAAUCUCUUUUAUAAUUGUAGUCAACGAUAUCCUCAUCCAGAUACGUUUGGAAGACAUGCGAGUAAAAAUGCGAUUAAAUUUAACUCUCUAUAUUUUAAGUUCUAAUGAUGUAGACCUGCAAGUAUUUAUUUAUUUAUUUAUUUUUAAAUUUCACUUCAUCGUAUACAUGUAUAAAUGCAAAUUAAAUAAUAAUUAUUUCUCCUAAUUAAUUUGCUUAUUGUUUCCACUGCAAAGGCAUGCACCUAAGUCAACUGGACCAUAUAUCUCAUAAGAGAUGGAACUAUACGUACAUAAUUAAUGUAUAAAAAAUGCUAAAGAAAAUGAAGGUGAAUAGAGCGUUGACAGAAAUAAUAGUAUAGUAAAUCGGGGUUUAUUAUGUUAAUUAAUUGAUUUUUAAUUAAGUAUAAGUCGAUAAUCUCGGCCGGGUGUACCACUGUUUCUGUCAAAUUUUUCAAUCUUACUCAUUAUAUAUAAAUAUCAUGCAUAUGUUUUUCAUAAGAGAACUGAUAUUCAGUCAAAAUACGAACAAAAAUAAAGUAAAUCUGGCCAGGUUUACAUAGUUAAAUGCCAACAUAGUAACCCUGGCUAGGUGUAUAUAUACUGUAUUUGUCAGCGUUUAAGUCUAUUUUAUCAUUUUUUUUCUCCAUGAAAGGUAGUAAUUAGUUUAUAUAUCUACGUAUUAAGAAUGUAUGGACAAGACUCGUCCAUAUCUUCAUGCGCUUCGUAAUCUUGAAGAUAAUAAUAAAUUUUUAUACUCUUGAUCUAUAAAGAAAUAAAUUCAUUAAUUUAUGUAUAUAAAUUCACCAUUAAUUACUCAUGAUCACCAGCUCGUUUCUAAAAUGCAGAUUGAACCAGAGAUUUAAUUAUUAUUACCGAAGUGCUUGGCAAGGACAGCAAUAUGAAGAAUGGAGAUAUUAUCCCAACAAAUCUUCAGCUGUUAGUUGAGCAAAGUAAUCCAAGAAGCCAUCAUCACAUUCUCUCAUUAAGGCCAUUCCAUAAGCAUCUUCCUUCGUUACCCUCAUCUCAUCCAUAAACAUAAGCGCCAUCUCGCUUCUCUCUCUCUCACUUGUAUAAUUGAUACACUGAACAAGCUGUGUUCUUCGAUUUCCUUAAGUUUAAUUGUCUCAAUAUAAGUUGGCAUAAUCACUUUGCUUAAUUUCUUAAUGAAGCUCAAGCAUUAUAAGAAUAAAAUAAAGAUAAAGUAUUUAACCUAUCGGGUUCAGAAAAGGAAUAGAACAAAUUAUUUCAACGAUUUUUGUCUGCAUUGCUUUUUGAUUGAAUAUACAUAAUAACCACCAAUUCACCAUGUUCUCAUAACGUAAAGGUGCUUGUGCUUUGCCUAAGCCUUAAGGUUUUUGCUAUUUUAUAAAGAAAUCAUGACCAUUAUGGAUUACAUUGAAACGACCUGCCCCAAAUCAUAGGGAUGAGUCUAUUUAGUCUCAUCAAACUGAAUAGAUUAUAAUCUAAUUAGCAGGGAUUCUGCCGAAAAUUUGAUAAAGUUUUCUUUAUAAAUAUAACACUUCGAGCUUGUAAAUAUGUAAUACAAGUACUCCCAAAAUAAAUCAAUAUACAAGCAACUCCAAGGAUCAACAUUCUCAGUGAAAAAUACUGAAUUAUUACAUAAGAUAUCUCCAGAGUAUCGAAAGAUUAUAUUAGAACUAAUAUUAAUAUAUAUUAGUUUAUUCUUCAUCCCAAAAGAAUAAUACAACAAAAUUUAUACAAUUUAAAAAGAAAAAGAUGAUCUGGAUGUCUUAACAAAAAAAAUCAUCUAUAUUUUAUAAUAUCAUCACGUGACUAAAACUCAAAAUAUAUCUACAGUUGUUGGGUUGAUUUGGUGUACCUGCAACCUCUUAUUGUGGGGGGGGGGGGGGGGGAAGGGGGAAUAUAAUAAAACGAAAUGAGUAUAAAACUCAUUGAGCUCAGUGAGUGGAUAUUAGUUUUUUUUUUAAAAUAAAAUUACUAAAAAAAAUAAUUUAAUCUUUCUUUGAACGAUCCCAUAAAAAUAUCAUAAGAACUUAAAUAAAUUUAUUUAAUUUAAAUCAUGCACUGAUAUAACAAUAAUACAUAAUGCUGCAUAAAAUCAAGGAAAUCAUAACACUUAUAAUAACAGAGCGUGAAUGCCGAAAUUAUGACUAAACAAGUACCCAUGAGAAAUAAUCUUGUCAUAUCCUAACCUCAAUGGACGGGCAAUGAUGUACUAUCUAGAUACUAUCAUGCCCUCGGGCUACACGAAUAGACAGGGAGGUGCCAUCUCAUAUCUCAUCAUAUUUGUACAUGCAUAAUCUAAUCCCCAAAGGAUAAAAACACCCAAGCACACAGCUCAAAACCUUUAUGUGUAUUUAGACGGGCCCCAAAGGCCUGUAUCUCAUCUGUAUCUGUAUUAUUGUUAUCAUCAUAUCACAUGCAUAUGCCCCCAAAAGGCAGAAGUGCCUCGAAAUAAAUUUUGUUCACGCAUUGAUAUUUUAUUAAAAUGUUUGGUUAAUGGUUUUUCGUAUUGAUUUCGAAUAAAUUAUGAUAGUAUUUUAAAGGCGAGAAAGGUGAAUUUAGAUGUGAUAAUGAAAAGAAAAUGGAUUUUAAGUAUGUUAAAUAGAAAAGAAACAAGAUAUAUAUUAUGAUUAUAUGUUUAUGUAUAUGUGUAUAAAACGUUGUUUGUAAAAUCAUUGGACAAUAUCCUUCCUUGGUUAUAGUGAUACAGAUAUGAUGAGACUUUUAGGGCCUGUUUGAUCACAUAUAGAGGCUUUGGGCCGUGUGUUCAGAACAUUUAAAAUAUUUAUUUUGCAAACGUAUUUUACUAUCAUAAUUAACUAUGAAAAUAAGUUUUGUAUAUUUUACUCACGGUGAUGAUUUUUAGAUUCGGUUAUCGCCCAUGUUCGAGGACUGGUUUUCGCUUGCAGAUCCUUCUAAAUUAAGGAAAUGACAUAAUUAUUUUCUGUAAAUCGAAAUUAGGACUAAAUUUAUGUAAUAAACUCGAAACGAACAUCUAUCCAUAAUUUACAACUUUCGUGUCGAUAAAAUUACUAAAAUAUCAUCGAAUCAUUAAAUCAUUAGAAUACUUUAAAAUUGUAAAUCACUACAAUACCCUUGAAAUCGUAAUUACAUCCAAUCCUCAAUUUCAGAAAUUAUUAAAAUCUAUAUCAGGUCAGAAAUUACAAAAUCACCCUCAAAAUGUGAAAUUACCGAAUUGCCCUCACUAAGGUCAAGUGUGAAAUUUUCAGCCAUGAUGAGUCUAAUGGUGCCUGCAGUGACCUCCCACGUGUGCAGACGGUGGCAGAUCGAAGUCCCAAAGCCGUGAGCUUUCCGGCGGGCGAUCGACAGCAAUCCGGCCGUUUCGGGUGGCGGGAUUGGUCGGAAAAUGAUGAGGGUGAGCUAAGGAUCAAGAUCCAGGCAGUGGCAUCAUCCAAAACUGGCGGAAUCGACAACGAGAAGAGGUGGGUUUUGCCGCAGCUUUUCGAGCUUCAAAAGGCGGCGUUCCGGUCAGUUUUCGGCGGCUAGGAUGGUACAGAAACGAUGGCCGUCUUCCAAGCUUCAAAUCGGUACCUUGAUCGGCCGGAGGGGGUCAGAAUUGCGAGAUAUGGCCGGGUCGAUUUUGUGUCAAACGGGUCAGGUUUUCGGGUCGGUUUGAUAGCUUCCUCCCUCCCUCUCUCACACGUGUGGUCUCUUCCUGUCCUUCAAGCCUUUUAUUUAUUUAUUUUUUAUUAUUAUUUUCUUAACCGCUUUUUUUUUUCACAUAUGUUACAUACAUAAUUUGGAAGGUGAGGAGUUCGUGAUUUAUGAUGAUUUUUUUACCACAGUUCGAAAGAUGAUGAAUCCAUAAUUUUUGAUGAUUUUUUAAUAUAUAUAUAUAUAUAUAUAUAUAUAUAUAUAUAUAUAUAUAUAUAUACCAGAAGGAAAUAGGAUCGAAGGAUGGAUGUGCUUUCGGAAAAACUUUAUUAUUAAGAAAUAUGAAUUACACAAUUGUUCGAAUUGGAACGGCUUUGUCAAAGUUUAAAACUAAAUCGGUACGUGGCGUUGUUACACCUUAGACCACCAAUUAAGGCCUUGAGGUCUGAUCAAACUUAGACUUUAUCAGGAUCCCUGCACUAUGGUUUCCAGCCUGAUAUACCAAAUUAGCUUUCUUUUACCAAAUAAUAAUUAGAUUCUUUAAAUUGAUCUGCUUUGGAUCGCGGUUAGUUGAUUUUAAAAUUAUUUUACCAGAUCUUUAUUAGGUUCUUUAAGCAAGCCUAGCAACAAUCAUACAUCUAAAGGCUAGGGUGUAUACACAGUACCAGAUCCGGUUCCCGGAAAUGGUGCUCUGAAGGAAUGGAGGGAGAAGAGAAGAUUUACAACUGAGGAUCGAGAUCUGGUCUCUUUACCUCAGAGGAACGUACAAAUUUUAUGGCAGAUCUGAUACAGAUCAGUCUGCGAUCAUGCUUUGUAAAAGAAAAAAUGCUUUAAAAUUAAAUUGUAAAAAUUCAAACUACAUAAAUGAAAUUGCGGAAAUUAAAUUGCUUUAAAUUAAAUUACAGAAACAUAAAUCCUACAUGUUUGCUUUGUUGCUUUGUACUUGAUACAAUUUUUCAGAUCUGAAAGAAAAGAAAGAUUGAAAGACGGGAAGAUUACAAGACAGGAAACUUCCUUGAUGUCUUGAUCAUUUACAAGACAGGAAAGGUUCCCUGGAUUUCUUGAUCCAAACUUCCCAAGAGGAGAGAGAGAGAAGAAGAGAGAGAGAGAGAGAGAGGAAAAACGAAAGAAAGAAAAACUAGAUCUGAAACUUCUGAGGAGUCUCAGUCUUCCUCUUGAAUUAUAUACAUUGACUUUAAACUGUACCGGGGCUGUAGCUUUAAACUGUAGCGGGAACGGAGUUGCUUGAAACAGUGAUCUUUGGAGCAUACAGUGUUUUCUAAUUUUACAAACUUUAAAUAAAUUCGGGUGAAGAGACAUGUGCGCUCUCACUUGUGUCCAAAGGACCACCCGAGGGUACAAAAAUACAAAAGUACAGAGGAAAAUACUGGAAUACCUUUUUUUUUUUUUUUUUUUAGUACAGGAAUAUUACAAAUAAUAAUCUAAUGCUUUAUUGGUGAGAAUAUUCCGAAGCAGUUAGGAAUAUUACAAAUAAUAAUCUAAUGCUUUAUUGGUGAGAAUAUCCCGAAGCAGUCAUCUUCAUUUUCAUCACCAAGGGAAAUAAAAGGUUCUGUUUCACCUGAUGAGCUUGAAGAGGAAGAUGCAACGGACGGCUCAGAUCUUGAAGCAAGGAGUUGCUCCAUAACUUUGAAGUAUUCUUCUUUUGUUUUGCAGAGGCUAAUAAGGAUUGAGCCUUGGAUUUUUUAGAUAAGAAGGUGCUCUGGGCUUUGGUUAUGUCUUUACUUGGGCCUAAGAGGCCUUUUGUAGUAAGCCAUGACCGAAUGGUGGAUUUGAAUAAUUUUGACUUUUCAUCAAACUUUGACCACCAUUUGACUUUGAAUGUUCUUUGUAGGACUAAUUGGUUUUCUUGAGUGUGGUAUCGGAAAUUCCACAUCCAGACCCAAGGAAGGAAGAAAUUUGUACAAAAACAGAGGAAAGGAGGAAACCUUUUCUCAGACUCAGAAGGAAUGUAAUGAGCUUUAAAAAGGCUUAAACAGUUCAUGGCAUUCAAGGUGAGAAUGUCAGGACUUGGGCCAAAAUAGUUCCACCAAUUUUGAAACCAAUUUGGAAGGCUUUGUAUGGUUAUUUUUGAAUUAAAGAAAAAUAACCAUGAGUGGGAUUUCUUUGGAUUUUGUAUAAAAAAUGUAUUGCACCAGGCUUGUUGGUAGUCCCAGUAGGAGAAAAAUAAACAGUGUUUUAUCCGCAUUUGAAAAUUUACGGGAAAGGUUUGAUAUUUGUGGAGUUGGUCACCCCAUUGUUUUGGACUUAGGACUUUAAGGAUGGUAGCCGUAGAAUAGGCUGGUUCAGUGUGGGUUUCACUGAGAAAGAAAUGUUUAAAUUUUACAGAUUCAGUAAUCUCAAGAAUGCUUUGAUAAUAGGACUGGGGUUUUGAUAAAUCCCAUGGUUUAAAAAACCAGCCUUUAGGGAAAAUCUUUGUAAUUGCUUGAAAUGGAUCAGAAUGAUAAAACCCAUCUUCAAUAGUUAAAACGUUUUGAUGGAAAAUUUUAUCAUACCAAUCGGAAGUUUUCUUUGAAGGUGUUGGCUGGGAAAGCACAAUUUGAUAAGAUGAGCUCUCACCAAAAACAACAACAGAUUGAGAAGAAGGUUUUGAAAUCUCUUUAGAAAUCUUUUUUCUCUCUCAGAAACUUGAGAAAGUGCUUUAGAUUUUGAAAUACCUUGCAGAGCAAGCAUAAGUUCUGGGGACUUUGUAAUUAAUUCCAUCCACUCUUUUACUUGCUGUUCGGAGGAGAUGGCUUUGUAUUGGGUUUCUUGUUCUUCUUCGACCAUUUCAAUCCAGGAUUUAAUGGGCAUGGCAGAAGAAAGAAGUUUUUCUUUAAAGGGAGUAGUUUGAGGUUCUUUGGAGGUCUUUAUAGGCUCAGUAUCUUUAAGAACAGCUUUACCCUUGUCUCUUUUCUUUGGCGGCAUUAUCUGUUUUGGAGAAAUUCCCGAAUUAGAAAAUCAGGAACAGAAUUUGUAUUACCUUUAAUAAAUUCAAUAUCAAAAUAAAAAACACUUAAAAUAGCUUGCCACCGUGCAAAAAUCUGUUUUGAUGCAAUGUUUUGAACAUCUUUUUCCAAAACAUGUUUUGCAGCUUUGCAAUCGAUUCUAAGUAAAAAGUUUUGAUUUAGCAAAUCACUUUGGAAUUUUGAAAUGCAUAAAACAAUUGAAAUAAUUUCUUUUUUAAUAGUAGAAUAGUUUUUCUGGCAAUCAUUCCAGUGUGCAGAAACAUAUUGUAUUAUCUGUUCUCUAUCAUUAUCUUUUUGUUUUAAUAUGCCUCCAUAACCUAAAUCAGAUGCAUCAGUUUCAACAAUUUUAGGUAAUGCAGGAUUUGCAAGAUACAAACAUGGGAUGCUUUUAAUAGAAUUCUUUAUAACUCUAACAACUUUAGUAUGAUCAUCAGUCCAUGCGACAUGAUUUUUCUUUAACCUAUCAUGCAAAGGUUUUGACAUCCUAUUGAUAUUUGGAUAGAAAUCAAGUACAUAAUUUAAACUUCCUAGGAAUCUUUGUAGUUGAGUCUUGUCUAAGAUUUUGUCUGGAAACUUGUCAGCAAAGACAAGAGAACGCUCAAUAGGAGUAAUGGUUCCUUUAGAAAUAUGAUGACCAAGGAACCUGAUUCUUGUUUGAAAUAGAGAAACUUUGGAACUAGAAAUAGCUAGCCCAACUUUCCUAGUGGCCAAGUAAAAAGUCUUUAAAUGUUUGAAAUGUUGAUCGAUGGUUUGAGAGAAAAUCAAAACAUCAUCUAUAUAAACAAUGCAAAAUUCAGAAAAAGGGUUAUAAAUAUCGUUCAUAAUCCUUUGAAAUUCCGAAGGUGCAUUUUUUAAACCAAAUGGCAUGACAGUCCAUUCAUACUGUCCGAAUGGAACAGUAAAAGCAGUUUUGUAACGGUCUUUAGGAUGGAUUUGAAUUUGCCAAAAACCUGACUUCAUGUCAAAUUUUGAAAAUAUGAAAGUAGAAUGUAGUUUUUGAAGCAAAUCCUUUUUAUUAGGUAUUAGGUACCUAAUCCAUUUUAAUGCUUUAUUAAGAGGUUUAUAAUUAAUCACUAGUCUUGGUGUUCCUCUUUCAAUUUCAGAAUUUUUGUUUACGUAAAAAGCAGCACAAAACCAGGGGGAUCUAGAUUUUACAAUGAGUUCUUUAGACUCUAAAUCUUUGAUUUCAUUUUUACAAUGUUGUUCCAAAUCCAUGUUCAUUUGAAUUGGACGGGCUUUAGUAGGAAUUUGUUUUUCAUCGAAAGAAUUUUCAUAAGGUAAAUCUACCAAAUGUUGUUUUCUAUUCCAAAAGGCAGAUGGUAAAUCAGCACAUAUUUCUUUUUCAAUGAGAUCUUUAAAUUCAGAGAUUUUUCUUUGUAUAAAUUCAUUUUGUAACUGGUUUUCAAUUCUUUGUAGAUUUAAAUCCUUUUUUAAACAAAACAAGUCAUUUUGUUUGGAUUUGAGUAUGGAAUUGAUUUGGUUCUAGUAAACAGAACAAGCUUCAACAAUAUUUAAAUUUCUUGUUUUUGGUUUCUCAAUAAAGGGAAAAUUAGCUUUUUGGAUUUUGCUUUAAAAGAUAUACUAUCAUAAUUGACAGUAUAUGGGGUAAUCAAGUUUAUAAAAGGAGUUCCUAAAAUGACAGCAUGAUGUAUGUCAUUUGUAAGGAUAAAAGAAGUUCUAAAUUCAAAAUCAUUAUUAUGAAUAGAAGCUUCGACUUUAGAGUUGACUUUAAGUUUUGAAUUAUUGGUGGCAGAAAGUAUUUCUUUAGUUUUCUCAUGAAAUCUUUUAGGGACAAUGUCUUCUCUUAUACAAUUUAAAUCGGCACCAAUGUCAAAAAGGGCAAUGGCGUCAAUUGCAAAAUCUUUAGAAAAAAUUAAAGUAGUUUUAAUCAAAUAUUUUCUGGUGGUGAUUUGUUUUAAAACAAACAGAAAAUCAUUUGGUACUGAUUCAAUGUUGUCUAAUCUUUGUUCUCCAUUAUCACCAUCGUCAGAUUCUUUAUCUGAAUUAUCCUAUAAUUAUUUUUGUAAGAGAAGUUGGAUAGUUUCAGAAUCAUUCUUUUGUUUUUCUUUUAACUCUUUUAUUUCGAGUUUAAUGUCUUUGAUCUCUUUUUGAAGAUCUUGGAUAUUAGGGGUUGUUUUCUUUAUUUUCUUUUUGUCUAAAAUUUGGGUGAGAUCAUAAGAACUCUUUUUAAUGAUUGGAAUUUUGGAAGUCUCUGCUUUAUUAGAAUCCAGGGUCUUUAAAAGUUUAUCAAGAUAUUCUUUUUGAAGAUUCGGAUCAUAAAUAUGUUUAACUAGUUUAAGAAAAAUUUCUUGGUCUUUAGUUAAAACAUUGAUUUUCUUUAAAUAAGAAUCUGACUCAGAAUCACUACUGCUAUAUGUAGAGGUUUCUGAAUCAAUUAUCUCAUCGACCUGAAGGGAAUCACUGUCUCCCGACAUGGAAGACUCAGAGUCAGAAGACUCUAUAAGAAGAGAGGCAACUUUGGAGAGGGUUUCUUCAUCGAGUCAUAACUCAUGAAGCUUUCGGUUCAUUCUGCAAUACUUUGCAGUAUGGCCUUUUAUACCACACUUAUGGCAAAUGGCUUCUUUGUAAUUGAAAGGGGUUUUGUUUUUAGGUUUAAAUUCCUUUUUCUUAGAGAAGUUGGGCUUCUUAUGAGGCCUCGAAGGUUUCUUAUAAGAAGAUUCUCUAAAAUUUUGGAAUGGCUUCCUAUGGCUUUUGGAUUUGUAAUGUCUUCUGUGAGGUUUGAAAGAACACUCACCAUUACAACCUUUGGAGGUGGAAGUUUUAAAGGGGUCAUAGUUGAAUUGCUUACAGAAACUACCUAAUUCUUGCUUGGAUUUCCUAAGCUCCCAUUUAAGUCGUUUCUGUAGUUUCAAAUCUUGACAGAUCUUUAAUCCUUCCUUGUUAAUAAAACUAACAAGUUCACCGUAGGUGAGCUCAUCAUAAGGGAUACGAUUAUCGUAUAAGGAUUUAAUGGAAUUCCUAACCUUUUCACCUAAAAGGGUAGGUAAACCCGCAAGGAAUUUCUCUUUCCAAGUUAUAUGAUUUGCAUCAUCUCUGAGAAAGAGUCUGGUAAAGAAAGUGGUUUUGUAGCUUUGGAAUUCACUAAGUGUUCUACAUCUUAAAUUAUGUAGUAACUCAGCGUUUUUAUCUCUAAGGUGAGAGGGAUCACCUAUGAAAUGAAGGGAAAUUGUGAGGAUUAAAGUGGCAACAGCAUCUUGAAUUGGGUUAUUAAACUCAUCAAGAAUGGGUGUUUUAUCCUCAUCGAUUUGUAUGGAAUUAAGAAUAUCUAAUUGUUGCUGUUGAGUGAGAAGAUGAUCCCACCAACCUUUAAGUUGACCUGUAAAUCCAGCAAUGAGGAUUUCUGCAAUGGCUUUGUCAGAAGUUCCUGAUUGGGUUUUAUACGCAUUAGCUGCCAUGGUCAUCUGUUGCAACAAUCCUAGAAUGUUAUACUCAGACAUUCCAUCUAAAUUCCACUCAUAGACAGAGGAUGCAUUAUAUCGAGAUUGAUUUAAUGCACUAGGCCUAUUGUCUAUGGUCAAAUCAGGUGGAGACUUUAUAGUGGGAAGGGCUAAUUCCCAAUGAAUUUUAUUGGCUUUAGGAAUAGGUUCUUCUUUAAAGGCUUCUAGAUCAGAAGAGGCAAUAGACAUUUGAUCAGACAUUUGGUCUUGUUCUAAUACUCCAAUCUUACUAGAUUGAGGAGUAUCAGGGGCUAUCUGAACUUUGCUAGAUGAGGAAGAAGCAGCUUCUAUCCUAUCUAGUUGUUCUCUAAUGGCUUUAGCAAAAUCUGAUUUUGACUCAUGCACUAGCUUUUGACUAGUUUUCGAAACCUGAAAAGGUUUGAAAAUAGGCUCUUUAAGCUUUUUGUCAGAAUCCGAUUUUGAUGGAACAGGAGAAGUAGAGGAAACAGCUAUGGUUGACUUUUGGAAUUGAUUUUCUAUCCUAGUCAACUGUUUUCCGAUAGUAUUUAAGUUAGUAUUAUAGAAAUUAUUCUGUUGGAUAAUACUACUUAAAUUCGCAUCAGAAUCAUUAGGUUUUGGAAUUUUGUAAGGAGAAGCUCUAAUUUGGACAAGAGGUUCGCCGUGAUCAACGGUUAAACUCUGAAGAGGUGGAUGUUCAGAUUCUAUGGUUCUAUCACUAUCAGUAAGUUUCCACUCAGGGAUUUUCUUCCUAAUAGUAAUAGGAUUUGACUCUUUGAAAGGGUAGGAAAUGUUGUUAUCAUAAGAGUAUAUCUCGAACCAAUCAAAAAAUAAUAUAUGAACUUGAUGAAGGUUUACAACUUCAUAAUAGAUUUGUUAGAUUUGUUUUCUUUGAUUUAAAAAAUGUUUAAAACACCAAAGUCUUUUUUCUUUAUUUGUUUCUGAAUAAAAAUCAUUAUGAGGAAGAUUUUUAUCAAGUUCAAAAUUCUUUUCAAUUACAUUUAUGACAUUUUCUGUGACUGUAGAAAAAGUAGGAGAGGUUGGAGGAGAAGGUUCCUUCUCUUCCUGUCUUUGUUCAUGUUGACUGCUAGUGUAAAUAGGGUGAGGAACACUAGUGGCAUAGUCAACAGAUUGUAUAGAAGUGCUAGGUAUAUCUGAAGUAGAAAACCUAGGUUGACUCUGCAAAGGAAGAUUUAUAACAGAAGGGAUUUUUGUAAAUUUUCUUUCCAAUGAGGAAAUACUUGAGCACGACUCUUUAUCAAAAAAUCUGGUUGAGGCUGAUCUUCUGAAUGAUAGUUUGACUUUUCCAUCUGAAUACUGAGUCACAUUUUGCAACCUGUAUUAGGCUCAAGUUGUUUUGGAAUCGCUGGUGGAGCGGCUCCUUCAAGGACCCAUUCCUCUGGAAGAUUGACAUCUUUCCAUUGGAUUGGUUUUGGAAUGACAGUGUUGGCUUUAGACAAGUGAGUCUGCAAGAGAAGAGUUUCAUCUCUUUUUUACUGGAAUUUGUGUUGCGUACUGAAUGCAGAAAUCAUUGCUUUGUAGGAAAUUUUGAAAAUUAAAGCAACUGGGACAGAUCCCUUAAUCAUAUUGUAAUUAUGUGUCUUGAUUUGUAAAAUCAUACUUUUCAGAAUAUUUUUGUCUUUAAGGGAGAUUGUUAUGUUCGGAUAACAAUCAAAGGAGAUUGGACCUUUACAGAGACUAGAUUCAAUGCUACUUAGCAAAGAAUCAUCAAAAGAGAUGAAUUGCCCAUCUCUUAGGACAGCAAGGAUGGAAGUAUCCAAGCCUUCUUUAGUCAGGGGUUUUAUACCAACUUAGAUUAAACCUAUGUGGAUGUAAUUAAAAUUCUUUUCUUUUAAUUUCUUUAAAGAUUUUUCUGAAAACAAAUGAAUUGUUUCAAAAGGCUCAGAAAGGGUUAUGUCACGUUCUUCAGUCUUUAUUACAUAAUCAUUUUUUAAAAAAAUCAAGUUUCUUUGUUUUGUAAAUCUUUUCUUUAGAAAUUCUUGGAAGUUCCCAAUAAUCAAUUGCUUUAUCAAAGUUCUCAAUAAUGAAUUCUUCUGAACUCACAACAUGCUUUGAAUCACUAGUCUUCCCAGAAGAAGAGCUAGAAAAGGACGAUGUUCUACAGUGUAUAGGUUCCAUGGGUAAAAACCUAUGGUCUAUUCUUGGUUUUGAAAGAAUGGCUACAUGUAUGGUUUUACAGCCCUAUGCGGAAAACUUAUCCUAAGACGGGACUUACUACCAGUAAAGAAUUCACCACACAACAAAACUUCAAAAUAAAACACAAGUAUAUAUAUAUAUAUAUAUAUAUAUAUAUAUAUAUAUAUAUAUAAAAUUUUUGUUUUAAGAUAGAGAGGUUGGGAAGCCCAAAUCAAUUUUUAAUUAUAAUCUUAUCAAAAAUUAUUAAAUUAAUGGUAAUGGGACCGAUUUACCGUACAAAUUGCCAACAACAUAAAUGGUGAUUGAUUUGUUACUUUUAUGCAAUUUUAUAUAAACUGAGCCUUGGAGCCAUAUGAUACAAGAAGAGUCCGAAUUAUUAUUAUUAUUAUUUUUUCAAUUGUUUCUUAAAUUCGUGGAUGAAGCUGAAUGUUUUUUUUUUUGUCCUUUCUUGAUGAAAAAUAUAUAUAUUCUUUGGAUAGUGACUUUUAUUCUGAUCUAAAUUUUCAUUUGAGCACAUACAUGUGGGUGUAAGUUGUCAAUAUAAUGCAAUGAUGAUUCUACCAAAAAAAGAAAAUAUUCAUAUUGAUGAUAAUGAGUAAACAGAUAGAUCAUAAAUUCAUUAUUUAAUUUGAAAUACACACAGUACAUUAUUAUUAUUUGCCACACCAAACCCAUCUUUUACAUGAAGUAAAACGACACACCCAAAGGAAAAAUAUAUGUGAGAACAAAUGAGAUAAAUAGUGUUAAUUAGAGCUGCAUUACAUAUAAGGAUUGUCAUCAUAUCAUGCGUACGUAUUAAUUAUUAACGCCAAUGCGCCCUCUUCUUCUUCUUCGAAGGUCCCCAGUAAUCCUUAAAAUUAGCCGCAAAAUUAGCAUAGACAGGAAACUCCAUGAGUGCUAAAACAACCACUGGAAAGAUAGCAGCAGCGUAGAGAGUGGCGGUCCAUUUCUUCCUCAAACGAAUAAUGAGCAGAAGUGAAGCCGAGAAAGUAAUCAUGCUUGUUAAUACAGAGAAGAAGAGUAAAAUGAAGCCAGUCGUCAGCUUGAACGGAAGGUUGCUAAGGAAAUCAGAUGACUCACGAGGCGAGGUGAGGAUAGAUAGAAACAUCACAACGGAUGACAAAGAUAAGGACAGCGAGGCAACGUCCGUUACGGUAAAAACGUAGAAGAGUGGUGACGUAAGGAAAUGAGGAAACCCCUUUUCAUUGUUACCUCCAGGUACCGUGAAGGCAGCUGUAAAGACGACGGUCGCGAUUAGGAUUGCCAGUACGGAGCAUGCCUGAGCGGUUUCUUUGAUCCAUUCUUGUGCUUUCCCAAGUUGAUCUUCAUGUGUUAGAUCGAAGAGGUCACUUGCAGUGAUGUUCUUUUCUUUGUCGCGGUGCAUGGCAUAAUGGCGAGGCAUUAUCUCUUUUACACACUGCAUACACACACACACAUAUAUAAUGCAUGGAGUCCAUCAGAAAAUAUAAAUAUAUAAUAUUAGAGUAUGCUUUUAUUUAUAUGAACACAACGAAUAAAUUAAAUGUACUUGGGGGACAAAAUUAAAUAUUAUCAAAGGGCUUACCUUGAACCACUGUAACUCCUCCUGAAAUUGGAGAACAGGACCAGGGCGGGUUCCUUGCUUAUAAUGUUUCAUGUCUGCGACAUGGUGCAAUAAUGUAUAGCCUUUUUUGUCAAUUUUUGCAGCCCAUUUGGGCACGUACAGUUGCAUUUUAUUCAUGAUGAGUUCAAAGACCUUAGGUUGACGACGCUCUACGGCCACAUGUAAUAUAUUCUGCUCAUUCAGCUCAUUCGCUUCAGAUAAUAUUGCUUGAGGAUCUUGUCGGAGUAUCUCGUCCAAAAUUUCUGUAAUUCCGUUGCUAGCUGCAAAGUGUAAUGUCCUAUCCUGUGUUGUGGCGUUUUCACCAUCCUCAACUGGGUCCUUAGUGCCAUCUUUUUUCCUCAGCACCUCGAUCAAUUCUUCAGCUGAAAGAUCAACAAGUUUUUUUCCCAAGAUGUCCUUUCCUUUGCCCAAUCCCAAGGUAAUUGUUUUCGGUUUUCCGGGAAUUUCUUGUUCCGUUGUUUCGGAAUUUUCUUGUUCCGUUGUUUCCGCCAAUCCCAACCUUUUUAUUUCAGCCAGCCUUUCGACAAGGGCAUCCGCAUCUUCAUGCGUUUUCUUUUCCUUCCAGAUUUCCUCAAUCCAUGAACAUCCUGGUGAUGCAUGCAUCAACAUCUUAUUAAUUUAUGAACAAAAUUAUGCACGCAAACGGCAAAACCGUUCAUCAAAUGAAUUGAAGUUAUUAGACAUUUCCCUGUACUUCUAAUGUGUCUCAUAUAUGUAGAAGUAAUUAAUGAAAUUAUUAUUUGUCGCACCUUCAAUCACCUGCCUCCAAAUACCAAUAUACAUCUUCCAAAUUGACAUUCCUGCAUUUUGAUUAACCUGGUCAGGUAAAAUUUUAUAUGCACAUAAUUAUGAUAUGAAAAAUUAAUGCUAACGCAUCGAAAAGGAAACCGCUCGGACUCAAGUUAAAAGCGUGGGGGUUUAAAUAUAAGGAGACAUGUGGAUGCAAUUUAUUUGAGAUGGUAAAUAUUUUAAUCUGCAAUAUGUAGAUAAGGUCCUUACCAUAAGAUAUGCAUGAGUCCAUAGAAACUAAAGAAAAGGGAACAUCUUUCCCCCAACUAUUUGAGGUAUUAUAUACUUUUCCUCGCGAUAUUUUCAAAACGGUCAUGUACCUCGUUGUUAAAGAGAGAAUACAUUAAAACAAUCCUUUUUACUAUUUUGUCCUUGAAACAAUAUACUUUUAUCCUAAAAAUUAAUGAAUAAAAUAAAAUCUAAAUAAUUAUUUCAAUAUUAAAUUUGUUAAAAUAUAGAUUGCAACAAAUCUCCGAUCGGUCUCUUUUGUAAUUAUUUUUUCUGACGUGCCAAUGAAAAUAUGAAAAUCAGACUUUCUAUUUGAUACAGAGAUAUUUUUCAAAGAUAAAGGUAGACUGGAUAGUAGCUCAAAUGUUUAAGGGGAACAAAUAGGUUUCUAACAAACAAUACAAAAAAAGAGCAUGCAAUGAUAAUACCAUUAGAUGUCAAAAUUAAGGCUUCGUUUGCCUUCUGGGCUAUAUAGAAUGAAAAUUUUCGUUACUAAUAGAAAAUUUAUGGGUAUUUUAUAAAAUUAAACACUACUAGAUGUCAAGUAAAAAUUGGAGUAUAUUAUCAAUAAAUAAUUGUGAAAAAUAACCUACUUAAUUAAAAGCCAAACUGACAAAGUGUUUGCGGCUGAUUAGGUGUGCAAAAAGCUAGCCGAAACAAAUAUAGCCCAAUUACGAUCCAGAGUCGUAUGCGUAGGGGGGUUAUGACUUAUAACCGUAGCUAAAUCCUAAAGCUGUUAGUUCGGGUUUUGAUUUUUGAAUUUAUAGAGUUAUAAUGAUUAAUGAAACCUCUAUACUAUGAUUAACAAAUUAAAGCUGCUCUUUCAGCAUUACCUCGCCUCUUCUUUGUGUGGCCGCGGCGAUUGUCAAUCUUAUCAGUCUCUAUAUCUUCUUUAUAAUUGCAGUCGUCAUCCAUACACGUUGGAAGACCUGCAAUUAGAACUACAAUUGAAUUUAGCUAUAUAUAUUCUAAGUUCUAAUAAUGUAACAAAGCACUUUUUUUUUUUAAAUUUAUGCUUAAAUACAAAUUAACUAAAAUAUUUCUCCUAAUGAAUUUUCUUAUGUUCCCAUCGUAGCCGCAUCCACCCAUGACAACGGGACUAUAUAGAUCCGUUUGGGGUAAUUGCGCUGCCACAGUGUAGCUCCUCCACCUCCUUGAUUUUAAGAAGAUUCUCUUAAAGUAAAGGGUAGAGCAGCUACCCCAAACGGCCUCCAUAUCCCUUUAGAGAUUAAAUUAUAGUUGCAUAUAAUUAAUCUAUUAAAAACAUUAAGAAAAAGUAAAGGCGGAUAGAGUGUUGGGCAGAAAUAACAGUAUCUCAGUCGGGGCAGGUGGACCAUUGUUUCCGUAUAUUUUCCAUGAGAACGCUGAUAUUAUGAAAAAAAAAAAUACUGAAAGAAACAAAAUUAAAUGCAAUCAAAUUUGCAUGGUUAAUUGCUAAUACUGUAACCCGGACCGAAUGUAUGUAUAAUAGACAAAGUCAAUAUUGAUGCUUAUUCAUUUUUAUAACUUUUCUCUGCUGUAAAUCUCUUUUAUGUAUAUUUUAGUUACGAUCGACCGUACAAUCAGUGGAACAAAUUGUUGUCUUGUAUUACAAAUAUUGAGUGAACUCAAUGAGAAAUAGUAGAGUCAUAUUUUCCAAACCUGACAUCAAACAAUGUAUCCACGCACGAUAAUGGAAAGGACUCUUGAUCAUUUCCUUCGUGUCAUCCGCACUCUUGAAAGCAUCUGGCAUUAGAGCUAGUAGUUCAAGACAUGUAAAGCCCUUAAGCUUGUCGGACGUGGACGAGAGCUCGUCGGACUUCAGCGUUGCACGUUUUUCUGCACCUGUUGCACGUUUUUCUGCAAGGGUUGAGUCGUGGUUAAGUAACCAAAUAGCCGUCUCUGUACGUAGUCGAGAAAAUUAAUUAAUCAGUUAAGAAAAUAAUAAUAAAUUUUUUAACUCUGGAUCUAUAAACGCAUGAAUUAAUUGGAGAUUUAAUUAUUAUAUAUUACCGAAGUGUUGGCUGAGGACAGCCAUAUGAAGAAUUGUCUUAUCAUCUUUGUUUCUACUGAAAUGACAACGUAAGUCACCAACUUGCUCAGUCAGCAUUUGCAACACUUUAGUUUUCCCGAGAGCAGCAGCCCUUUAAACUGUGGUUUCCCCCAAACAAUUUUUAGUCUCAAGUAAUUCCCUGUACGCAUCACCAGACUUUCUGGAAAAGUCAACCAAAACCCUGGCCACGGCGAAAUCUUCGACGACGGCCGCUUCGUGAAGACCAUUGUUUCCAAACUCAUCUGUUUGCUUCAAGACUUCACGUCUGGUCUCUGGUGUUAGCCUUUCGAGAAAUUUCUGGAUCAGCUGAGGGUCUUCCAUGGCCGCUGCAAUGUGAAUUGCUCUGUCCCCGUUGACUGUCCUGUAAUCCAACAAGUCUUUAGCAGUUCGUUGAUCAAAGUACUGCAAGAAGCCUCGACAGUCUCCCUUCAAGGCCAUGCCAACAGGAUCUUCCAUCGCCCUCUCUCUCUCUCUGUUUCUCACUUGUAUAAUUGAUGCACAGAACAAGCUAUACGUGUUCUUCGAUAUCCAUAUAAUUAAUUACCUCCAUCGCCGUCCCUUAUAUAGAAGUUCUAAACGAAGUUGGCAUAAUCACUUUGCCUAUUUUACUAAUAAAGCUCAAGCAUUAUAAGAAAAAAAAUAAAGUUCUAAAGUAACAAAACGGAAAAGAUGAUAAAAGAACAAAGUUUUGAAAAGAGAAUUGAUUAUUGAUGAAAAGUUGUUUACAUUGUACGUGUAUUAUUCCCUUGAAAUUCAUAGAAUGUGAAGUUACCAAAAGAGCAAAGUUAAAAAUAAAAUAAAAUAAUUAUGUUUGAGGUAAAAGAGAGAAAGAAUAAGAAAAAGAAAACGCACGCAAUUAAAAAUGAAAUUAGCUUUUGUCUUCCUGUACGUUUGGGAACGAUAUAUUAUAUAUGCAAAAACGAAUAGUUUUGGGAAAGUAUAAAGUUCAUGCUCUACGUCAUAAAGUUUGUUAAUCAAUGACGUCAGAAAAAAGAGUAGAAUAUAUAAAUUAUUUCCAAACUCAAGUUACAACUCGGAGAAGGUGAAAAGUCCAUGCUGUACAUCAUAAGGUCUGUUAAUCAACGGUGUCAGAAAAAUAGAGUAGAAUAUAUAUAAUUUAUUUCCACAACUUAAUUUUGUCUCCAUUGCUUUUUCCGCGAAUAUAUAUAAAGAGUAGGAGAGAUCCUAAUCCUUACUUUAAUAACAUGGUGAUUAUUGUAAACGCGAUUGUGCUUUGACUAAGACUAAAGCCUUUUGCUAUUCUACAUGUUACUUCAUUAUUUCUCGUCAUGGAGUGGCAGCCAAUCAUUAAAAAAUAAAUAAAAAUGUAAAAAUAUUUAGAAAGUUAAAACUUAUGAUAGAAUUUGGCCUUAUUUUUUAUAGAUGUGUUGUAAAAAUGAAUUGUAUUUAUAAAAUAAAAGAUAAUAGCAUACGGUAAAUAUGACUUUAGAAUAAUAUCUUUAUAGACUUUUAUCGUACAACUGUAGAAUAAAAUCAACUUAACUUCCAAACCAUAGCAGUAACUAUUUACCAAAUACUUUAUUGAUAUAUUUUAAAAACUACCACUGCUCAAUUACAAUACCAAACAAGGUGUUCUAAGUUGGUUCCAACCACAAUACGAAAUAGGGACUUACAUUCUAUAAGUUAAAGUCAUUAAGUUUAUUUGUUUUUUUAACUUAUUAAAAAUUUUCAAUCAUUAAGCUAUUAAGCCUAUUUUCUUAGCUUCUUAUUUAAUCUAAAAAGUCUGAAUAAUGUUAUUAAAAGAUAUUAUUUAAAAUAUUCCUAUCCAACUAAUUUAUUUUCAUCUUUACCUAAAUAAAACUUACUAAUUAGCAUACUAUUCAUCUUUAUAACUUGUGAGAAUAUAGUAUAUUUUUUUAUUUUAAUCUUUUUAUUUUCUUCAAAUUAGCAUUAUCUAUUUUCAUAAUUUUUUAUGAGUAUUUUUUAUAUAAAACAUCAUAAAGUGCAAUAAAAUUGAUUCACAUCUUCUAAUUUAGAAUAUUAAAGGGUUGUAUUCACCUGAACAUGAUUCAUAUUAUGAUAAAAUAAUAUCAUAUUAUCCGCGAAUAUAAUAAUCUCCAUUUUAUUUAAGUAAAGGCGAUUGUGCUGUGCCUAAGCGUAAAGCCAUUUGCUAUUUUGGCGGCUACAUGUGUUACAGGCCAAUCCACGAGCCAAGAAUAGACAAGACAUGUCCAUGCAUAUCUUCGUGCGCCUCGUACUCUUAAAAGCGGAUGCCAUUAGAGCCAGUGGUUGAAGGCAUGUCAAGCCAUCGUCCUUCUUGGACUUGGUUCUUUUCCAAGACUGGACUCGCGAUUAAGUAACCAAAUAGCAGUGUCUCUGUGCGUGAUAAGUCCACGAAUCAUCAGUUUGAAGCAACUGUGGCAACAUGCGCUGCAUUAGCUAGCCAGGUGUCUACACUCUACACAAAGACCCCUUUAAGGCAAAUUCUGGAUGUUAGAGAUUAUACUAAUGAAGAAUUUGGUCACCUUGAACAUAACUCAAUAGCAACAGACCUGAUGCCUCCCAACGGCUCCUAGAAUAUCAUGCAUAAGAUUAAGUCAUGAGAUUGCAUCAACGAUGAAGCCUUUAGUUUAUGUAAAUAUCUUUGUAAUUAUGAGAUGUGUUUUAUUCCUUUUAAAGCAUGAUACAACUUGUAUAUAUGCUGUACGAUUUGUUUGAGUAGAAACAAUCUCAAUUACUUUCUCAUAUUUACAUUUUCCACAGCACGUAUUCAAGCAGGACAGAAAUGUAAUUAAUUAAUUAAUUAAAAAGAUAGCAAUAAAUGUUUAAACUCUUGAUAUAUAAAUAAAUAAAUAAAUUCAUUAAUAUAAAUAUAUUCACUACUACUCAUAUAUAAAUAAAUAAAUUCACUGAUAUACAUAUUUUAGUUUUCUAAAAUACAGAAUGAAUGGAAAGAUUUAAUCAUUAUUACCCAAGUGUUUGGCAAGGACAGCAAUAUGAAGAAUGGAAAUUUUGUCCCAACAAAUAUUCGGCAGUUAGUUGAGUAAAGUAAUCCAAGAAGGCCUCACAGUCUCUCUUUAAGGUCAUUUGUUAUCAUCUCCACUGCUAUCUAUCUCUUUCUCACUUGUACAGUUGAUACACAAAACAAGUUGUACGUACCCGUUCUUCGAUAUCCGUAAUUUUAAAAUUGACCAUUUUCUCACUCUAAGAAAUUUGGGAUAUGACAUAAUAGAACUAGAUCUCGAUUGUAUUGCGGUGUUGUGGAAAAAAAAAAAGGAUAUAGCUAAAAUAAAAGUCAAUAUUUUAUGAUAAAUAUAGUUUUAAAAUAAUUUCGAUAAAAAUAAUAAAGAAUAUUAUAGAUUUUCAUUGUACAAGUGUGGGAUAAAAUUAACUUAAUUUUCAAAUCAUAAGUCAAUAAUAAUAAAUAUUUGCCAAACAUUUUAAUGUUGUAGUUUAAAAAGCUACUCUAUGCACAUCCUUGAUUGUACAAGCAUAUUAUUAUUAAAAAAAUUAUUAUCUAUUUUUUUGUUAAUUACUUCUUUUCCCAAUUAUUGCAAAAUAUAGACAAAACUCAUGCUUGGUCGAACGUUUUUAUUGUUAAUAGAUUAUUGUAAGUUGACUAUAAACUUGGUUGAUAUUCAGUAUUCGACGUAAUGUCUUGGCCGGAUGCGGUUAUUCCAUUGCAUCAAUUAAUUGUACGGUUGAAUACCAUGAUUGUUUUGCCUUAAAACAUUUUCUAAUUUCUUUCUUGGACGUUCUUCAAUAUUGAGAAAUAUAUUUAAUUUUCUCCGAUUUUUUUUUUUCUUUCAUAGUGACAUAAUCCAAAAAUUUAAGGGUCCAUUUGAUUACAAUUCAAAAAUAAUUUAAACAAAUAUAAUCUCAAAAUUUGUGUUGAAGUUUUAAUGUGUUUACUUUUUAUUAUUUAGCCUGACAGCACUCAAUUCCCUCUCCACCUGUGUGAACGGAAUUUAACUCCUAAAUCUCUUGUUUCAAGAAACUAAAAGAGAUUUUAUUAUCUUAACUAAAUGGUAACUACAAGCUUUAAUGUCUUUAUAUAAUAUUUAAAACAAACAAUUUCAACAACUGAAACAUGUUUAACAAAAUUUCUAAUUAAUAAAAAAUAAAAAUACUUGUUUAGGUGGUGUGAUUUCAAAGGUAAUAUUUACUUAAGCAUUUACAAUUUUAUUUUCCUUUCAGCUAAUUACAUUAUAUCAAGCAGUAACUUGACCAAAAUAAGCAUAAAACAAGCUUCAUCAAGAUUCAAUAUUGAUUAUAUUCUGUUAGCUUCUAUUCUGUUACAUUAUACCUGUUAGGCUUGCCACCAAAUAAAAGCUGGCGCAGUUGUGUGUCACUUUGCACGUUCAUCUACUUAGCAUCAGGACAAUGCUUAGAUGCCCAUUUUCGGAACCUGUUAACGGCAGCUUCUUGCUCUGCUCUGGCCACCUUCUCAAUCUCAGAAAGAUAUUCCCGAUCAACCAACAUCCCCUCAGUUUCCAUUUUAACUAGAAUCUCACCGAAUGGUUGCCAGUAUUCCGGAUAAAAGUCAAACAUGGAUUUUCCUGGAACUGGUUUCCCAUCAAGUUUCCAUGACAUUUCUAAAAGUAUUUUUUUUCAAGCUCUUACAAAGCUUCAGUGUGUUUAUUGAAUCAAAGGCAGAAUAAGAGAUCCACAAUUCUCGCUCCUCUCUUUGAAGCUCUUCAACAGGAGCAAUGGUGCUUAUUUUGCCAGCAGAUCCAUCCUUUUUCAACUUUCUCCUGCCAAAGAUAUCUUUCAUUGAUAUUUUGCCCAUGAAACCCUCAUCUGUGUUGUCCUUAGACAUGUCUUUCUGAUAAGCUUUCUUAUCCUCAGACAUGACUUUCCGAUCACCUGUAAGUGCUUCAGACUGUAACCACCCUCUGUGUGUCUCGAUGAAUCCCAAAGCUGUGCCAUAUGCAUUGUGUCAGCAUGAAAACCAGAAACCUUCAGCCCAUAGUUCUCAAGGACAUGGUUAUCAGAGCUAUAGUUAUGCCAAACCUACACAAAUGAUAGCUGUUAAUAUAAGAUCAUAUGAAAAAGCAGACGACAUAAUUUUUUUUUCUUUUUUUGUGAUCCAAGUAAACUAAUACGGAGUAAAGCAGUUUGUUUAGCUAAGUAAAGGAAAUUGGAUCAGUUACGUCUAUAGAAGGUGGAAACAGCUAGAAAUCCACCAUAAAAAGAGAGAGAGAGAGAGAGAGAGCACAGAGAGAGGAAACAGCUCUGCAACUGAGCAGAGUAUUUCCUUUCUUUGAUCGGCGUACAACAUAUUUUCCUCAACUAACAUAAAUAGCUAUCUAAGGGGGAAAUUGGAGUUUUAGGUUUCAUCAAAUCUAUGAACUGUACCACACGGGUAGGAGAACAUAGCAUAGAUGUAAGGGUAAACUUGUAACCCAGUAGACAGCAAUGGGAACCCUAGCUUAAAUUGGAAAAGAGCAACAAAACUUGAAAAAAUGCACAGCGUAGGCAGUCACCGUAAAUCUUAAACCUGUCACUGCAAAGCAAUGACAAUAAGACUCCAUCUAAUUAAACCAUAAUAUGUGAAAAAUCAGUUAUCCAGAAAUUUACUAAAGCGCAUAACCAGCUGCAAGUCCAAUGCUUGAACCGUGCACCAAUCACAUAAUGACUGGUGCAGAUUAUCAAAGAAAUAUCCGCCAAUCCAUUUCUCCCUACUGCUAACCAGAUGAUAAUUAUUCUAAUUAAAAAAAAGCGUGCAUAUGAAAAGGACUAUAAACAAGAAAAAGACGUGGUGAAGGGGGAGGAAGGGCUCACCUUUUUGAUGGAUGGAUCCUCAAAAAAUGGAGCAAAUUCAUUCAAAAGGUCCCUGCCACCACCGUCAAGAAGAUCAACCCAGAUGCAGGACUUCCCAUUUCCAAAAUCUGCUUCUGGUCCAGAAUAAAUACUGAAGCAUAUCACUUCUCCAUGAUCAACAGGUGUCUCUUGCUUCACAUCAAUUUUGGCCACCUAUAAACAUGCUAUAAUUAGAUUCCUGUAUGCACAAAACUAGGGUAUCUACAUUGAGUAAAAUGUGUGCUUGUAUACAGGAAGACAUGCAAGGUAGAAGUAAAAAAGAAGGCAACUAAGUACAUCACUCAUUACCUGCCGGCAAAAAAAAAAAAAAAAAAGUACCAAUUUCAACUAGAAGAAGAAAAGAACAAAGUACCUCAGUAUCACAUGCAUGGACAAGAUGCUUAUAUUUGUUUGUAAGCAUCCAUACAACCUUCUUUGCGGCAGAAACAUUAUCGACAACCAUAACAUUGCUGUAGAAGCUAGCAAGUUUACUGCGAAGAAUCUCGAGUUUUUCACUAUUUUCAUUUUCUGAAGCCUUUAUGUUCUGGCCAGUACCUUCUGCAGCAUCAUUCUUAGGAUUCUUUUGAUUACUUCGCUUAGAACUAACUAGUUUUGGAGGAGGUGAAUAGGAACUACCAUCUUCAAAGCACUCAAUCUCUGAGUUCCUGAAAUCUGACAAGUUGGGAGCUGUCAAAACAGUGGCUCCUUUUCUCUCUUGAUAUUCUGCAACUUCCUUUUCAUAUCGCAAGCACUCCAUAUUAGUCUUCUUGUCUAAGGGUAUUUGAUCAUUCACAAAGUCUUUGCUUUUUUCUUCACUGCCAGUAACUUCUUGUUUAAUAACAGCCAUCACAGAUCCAGGAUGAUUCGUAGGAUGACCACCUACUGCACCAUUUCAGAAAUCUGCCAGUCCCUAACAAUGGGCUUCUUCUGCUGCUUAAAUUUCUGAAAAUAAUGUUGCUUAGAACUCGUGAUUGAAGACUAGAAACUACUGUCUUGCAAGCACUCAGUCUUUGAUGAAGUAAGUGAUCUGUCAUGCUUGGAUUCCAGUAUGUUGAUAACAGUGGAAAUGGCAGCUCUUUUUCUCUCUUGAGCUUUUGCAUCUUCCUUCUCAUCUCUCGAGCUCUCUGUAUUUGUCUGACAAGAUUCUGAUUCUUUCAUUACAUGCAGUCUGGUCGUUUCUGUCAUCCACCCUCUCAAACUGCGGACAGUAUUUUUUGCAGAAAAUGUUUCAUUACUGGAAAUAGAAGGAUUAGGACGAUAGUAGGAUGCAACCUCCAGAAAUUGAUUUUUGUAAAGUUUUUCUUCUCUUUUUUCAUCUGUUUUUGGCAGAUCAAAAGUUCCUUUUGAGGAGUACUUUCCUUCAAAACUGUUGAGAUCUUGGCAGAAAGGGACCAUCUUAGCUGGCGCAGCACCCACCGAAAGUCUAUAAGCAUAUUUUUUAAUGGGAAAUCUCCUAGCAUUGUUAAAAGAACUAUAAAAUCGGGGAAAACUACUCGAUAUCAUAAUGUUGGGAAAGGUAGUGUUGGUUACGCAGCCUUCUUUCCUGAAAUUUUUUUCAAUGGAAACAAUAUCAAAGGCAGCAGAAGGUAAAGCAACCAUGAUAAUAUACAACUUGCUGCAUGCCAAGUAAGAAAGGCGGAACAUCUCAAACAGCACCAAUAAGAAUUUAGCACCAUAUGCACAGCUCAAACCCACUGAACACUGAACAUCAGUACAGGAUGACAUUCGAGACAUAACAUAUCAUACAUAAUCACACAUAGCAUCGAUAUGACAAACCGAAACCCAGUUAACAGAAAUAAAAUGUGGGUGUUACAUAAUCUUCAAAAGUCAAAACCCAGAUGGCAAAAGCUAUGCACGCAAAAAUACAAUCUUUUUAACCUCUCCAAUUCAACAAAGCAAAACUGUAAGUGGGUAUCAAAUAACCCUAAAAAGUCAGAAUGAAAAAGCAAUAAACAGCACAAAAACACAACAAAUAAUUUCAUAACAUAACAAAUGAGAGCCAAAAAUAUAUAUGUAAAAAAAUUGAACCGAACCUUUUAAAAGAAGUGAGAGAGACAUGAGGAGAGGAGCAAGGAGUCCACUUUCUGGUGGUGAGAUUCGGGGAGACUCCCAUGACCGUUAUCAAGUUCGUAACUUUUGUUCUGCUAAACAGCAGCUUGUUGCCAGUGGUGGUUGUGCUUGUAAGAGCCGUUUUGAAGGGUUUAAGAGGGGGCAGAACGGUAAUAAAGGUGGGAUUCUGAGGGUGGGGUUUAAGAGUAUGGCGGUUCUGUGUCUGUUUCUGUAGCUGAAAUACGGAGUGUGGCCAUCAACAAUCUCAACUCAGCACUGGCGCCCUUUAUUAUUAUUAUUAUUAUUAUUAUUAUUAUUUAUUCUUAUUUUUAUUUUAUUUUUUAUUUUUUUUUACUUUUGGGUAAUUUUUCAAAAUCUCCCUUCAGGUAUGGUGAAUUUCCAAGUAGAUGACGAGAAUUGUUUAUUUUUGAAAACCCUCUACAAAAUUUUGAAGUUUGACUUUUGUUAACUGGUUGAGUAAAAUCAUAAAACUACUUGACAAAGUGAAAUACUCAAGCUUUACGUGUGUAAUCAUUCAUAAUUAUAGAUAAUUUACUAUUUAUUUGAGAUUAAGGUUUAACUUAAAUUUUCGGAUUCCUAGUAUAGUAUUAUAGAAUUCAUAAUAAACACCAAACCAAAUCUAGCACUUCAACACUUUCUCUCAUAAUUCAUUUAUAAAAACUAUUAAAUAAAUAGACUAAUCACAUCGCCUUGCUCUUUCUUGACAAUAUCUAAGUCAAAAACUACCACAUUUGAGGUAAAAUUAAAACAAAAAAAAUCUAAAAACAAAAAAUAAAGAAAUUUAAUGUUUCUAAUUUUCUCAUUAAAUUAAAUGUAACGGUAAAUCAAUAAAUAAAGAGUGGCUAGUUAAAAAAGACUAUCAAUUUUGUUAAACACAUUUUGAUUGCAAAAGGCACUAUUUGUACACAAACCAUUUUUGGAUUUGGUUGUUUUAGUGGCUCUAAAGAAAUUAAUUGCCUUUUCAGUAUGACUUGUUUAAUAAACAUAAGUAUUUAUUUAUUUAAUUUAAUGAGCUCUUUUCAAAUUUAUUGUUGUUGUUUAAAUUUUUUGGUAGAACUUCUAAAGGCUAAAUAAGUUAUUUUACUUUUAUCUGCAAAAGUUCAAAUUUUGAGUAGAAGUUAAAAAGUUUUUUUUUAAUUAUUAAAAUAUUAAAAUUAUCCUUUAUUUAUUUGAGAAUCUUAUUCAUUCAUUUCACAAUAUAACUUUAAAAUAAUUUUAUAACUUUUACUAAAUGCUCUUAUUGACAACUAAAUAAUUAAAAAAAAUUAGAAAAAUCUCUACUUACAAAAGUUUUACUGACAAUAAUUCUACUCAAACAAAUUUUAUUUGAAAAGUUAUAUCUAAUAGAGAUUAAAAGUAUCAUGAUCAUUUGUUAUUAUGUAUUGGUACGAGUUUUUUUCUUUUAUUUUUAUUUUUUCCCAAAAUUUUUUUAUAUGAACUUUUACAAAGAUUUCCCUCUGAAAUUGAGUAUAUAUUUGUAGGUAAGUCAGGCCUUGAUUGUAUCUAAGGGCGUUGUGAUGCUUUCUCAGUUAAGAGAUGAUCAACAAAAAAUUUAACAAAUGAUGAGAGGAUUAUAAUCAAUAAAAUGACUUUUCCAUCUAAUUGCAAAUAGAUUAUACCUCAGGGGAGAUUACGAAAACGUACGCACAAGAGAACAAACAUUGUAUACAGUGACUGAUGUUGACUUUGCCACGUGGGUACUUGUGAUGUGUGGCUCUGUAGUUGUCAGAUUUCUGUCAAUUUUUUAAAAUUUUUAUAAUAAAUCCCACUUUUUAACCCAAAAAAAAUAUUUAUGCGGCGUUUACUAAAUUGAAAUCGGAAUGAAUUGAAAUUGAAAUAAGUAGAAAUAAGAAUGUUGUAGAAUUAGAAUAGAGAAUGAGAAUUAAAAUAAGUUGUUUAUCUCAACUAUAAGAAUCUGAAUCGAAAUCAGAAUGAGUUAGAUUUGUAUUAAUGUGUUUACUUUAUCUUGUAAUCGGAAUCAGAAUAAAUUAAAUUGUUAUAAAUUACUAAAAAGUCGUUAAUAAUAAUGACAAUAAUAUUCAUUAAAAAAUAAAUAACAAUAACAAUAAUUAAUAAAAAUAAAAAUAAUAAAUUUAAUAUAAUCUAAUAGUAAUAACAACAUUUAAAUAUUAUAAAAUAAUAAAUAAAAUUAAUAAAUUUUAAUAAAAUAAUAAUAAUGGCAUUAUUAUUAUUAUUGUUAUUAUUAUUAUUAUUAUUACAACAACAACAGCAGCAGCACCACCAGCAGCAACAAUAACAACAACAACAACAACAACAAUAAUAAUAAUAAAUGACCUACUUGAGGGCAAUAUUAGAGUAAGCUUUUAUAUGCAAAACCAUUUCACAAUGUUGUAGACUCAUUUACAAUAUUAUAAAAAUUCAUAUUGCACUUUAAUAAAGUGUGAGAUCUCUCAUUAAAAAUGAACUAUAUAGAUAUAUAGGGUAGUAAUAUAGUUUAGAAUCUUGAAUCUUAUUAAAGUUUGAAAAAACUAUCAUGUCAAUCUUGACAAAAAUAAUGGUUUCCCUUGAAAGCCAUUCCAUAAAGAUCGCCUUUUCGUUUUCCACAUGUUAUCCAUAUGAUCUAUCUCUAGCGUUAUCCUCACCUCAUCCGUAUGAUCCAUUUCUCUUUCUUUCACUCACUUGUAUAUAUAAUUGAUACACAGAACAAGCUGUAUGUAGAUGUUCUUUGGUAUCCUUAAUUUUAAGGUAAAUGCCAAGUUACUUUUAACUAUAUUUUAUGCCACACAUACAAAUCAUGCAGAUCACACUAAUAUGUUACUGUCAUUGUGUGUGGCAUAAGUUACAGUUGAAUAUAACUUAGGGGGUCCUAAUUUUAAUUGUCUUUGUCUUAGUAUCAUAAGGUCCAUUCGAUGCAUCCUUCUACAAGUUCAAAGCGACGUUGGCACAAUUAUAAGAAUAAGAGUAAUGGUAAAGUUAAUCUAUCGAUGGCGUCAGGAAAAAGAAUAGAAUAAAUUAUUUAAUUUCUAACAGCUUAAUUUUGUCUCUCCGCGAAUAUAAUAAUCACAUUUAUUCUACUACUUUUGUCUCCAUUGCUUAAUUUAUCCGCGAAUAUGAUAGUCACACGUUUUUAAAGUAAAGGCGAUUUUGGAAGAAGCCUGUACGGUUUGGGAAGAGGAUACUUCAAGGCCCUGGGCACAACCAUACAUAAUAUAGAAAUUACACUUGAAAAAGGAUGAAUAAUUAAUUAAAGCAGCUGGUGCUUGCUACAACUGAUUGUAAAAGAGAGAAAAUCCGCCGCAUUACCUUCUGAGGAGGUCUCCUUGAUAUCCAAAAACGUGCUGUGCCUAGGCCCAAAGCCUUUUGCUAUUUUACCGAUUACUGCCCGUUGCAGGCCAAUUCUUGGUCGCUCUCAUAAAUAAGGUUUUGUCUGGCCGCCACAGUCAUUAAAACAUGAGUGAAAAUAAAUGGGAAAUUAUCAAUUUCUCGUUUGAUUGGUGAAAAUGCAAAAAUAGUUGAAAAUUUUAAAACUUCUCAUUUUUCUUUUCUUUUCCACUAGAAAAAAUAUGGGAUCUGACAGAGAAUUAGGUGUUGAUUGAUAUGAUCUAUUGUUAAAAAAAAGUUAUAAUUAUAAAAUAAAAUUGUUCGAUAAAUAUAGUUUAAAAAUAAUAAAUUUAAUAAAAUAGUAAAGAUUUAUAGGUUUUAUCGUAUAGAUGUAAAAUUAAAUCAAACUUAACUUUCAAAUUAGAACAACAAGUAUUUACCAAAUACUGUUAAAUAUGUAGCUUAAAAACUACCACUACUCAACCACAAUAACACAAUGCCUUGAUCUAAGUUAAUCCCAACAAACUUCCAAUUGUAACUAAAUAAAAAAAAUCAUAUUAGAAGUAAAAAAAUCAACAUCUAUUUUUUAUUGAUUUUUUUUUCAAAUAUCAUGUUAUAUGAACAAAACACAUGCCUGACUUCUUUUUUUCAAUUAAACCUUGACCAGUAAGGCAAUUUAUUAAAUUAAAAAGCAGGGAACACUUAUGUAGGGGAUAUAAUAAACUAUAUCCUGAAAAAUAAUUAAAAACCUGAAACAGUGGGAUCAAGAUCCUCUUCUGAUCUGAUCUUGAUUUGAGCAAAUUGUAUUAAUGUGAUUGGUGUUUAAUAAAUUCAAAAGAAAAAACAGUUAAAUCCUAAUUAUUCACUAACAUUAAAAGACAGAUAACACAAGAUCUGUAAAACAUCAGCAGUGCUCAGAUCAAAAGAAGAUCCUAAUCCGAAACAGUGAGCCCUGACCAAUUUUUUGGUUUACCAGAUAACCAAAAAAAAUGAAAAAUAAAAAACCAUUUCUCCGUUAGCGUUAUUAUGAGAGACGAACUUGGAAGCCUCUGGAAGUUCAGAGUCCCAGCAAGUGAAAGGACCAGCUUAGGCCCGAAUGAGCUUUGCUGCCGCCACACACACACAGGCCACAGCCUCUGGAAAGAUGUAGCUAAUACGAAAAUUCAUUUGACUCACUAGAUGACAACAAUUAAACACGUGCUUGAUCGAAUGCGCGUGUGAACGGAGUUUUAAAUCACCAAGGUCUUUAACCAACAAUUAACACUUGUUGUUAAUCAAUAGAUUUGUGCUUUUGACACCCCUCUAAAGUUAAUCAGGAAUGCUCAGAUCAUAAGAAGAUCCUAAUCCAUUUAAAAUACAUCUUACAAUUAGAAGCUUUGAAAAUUAUGAUACUUUAAUUUAAUUCCCAAUCAACCCUUGAUAAAUAUUUCUACAUCUCUAAAAGACCUAUCUACUUCCUAAUGUCUAUUGUAAUUAAAUGAUGAGGGCUGGUUUUGUUUUAUUUCUAUUUUCAGUAUCGCUUAGAGAAGGUCGAUGACCUGUUUGAUUUUCAUUUUAGUUGUGAAGCUAAAAGACCUAAGUCAUCUUCAAUUAAAUAUUCUUUUUUUUUUUAAAUGUUCUUUUAUCUCUCUUUUUCUAAAACCUAAGUCAUUAAAAAAAAAACUGUAAAAUUUCACCCAAUUUAGCCGAAAAAUUGCCAUUCUUACUGUACUGAUAAUUGAGGAGUGAACAACUUGCGUCUAUCAGCGGGAUUGCGGGAAAAAGAAAACCUAGAAAGUGAGUUUGCUCUUGAAGAGUUGUAAGUUUCUUCAAGGGUUACUUGUUGAAUAAAUGUCAGAUAAUUGUAAGCACCGAAAUUUAAAAACUCUUUUAAAUGGAUUUAUUUAGAAAAAGGGUUCAUAAGAGUUUUGCUGUUUUGGAGGGGGUGCUAACAGCUCGACUCCAUUCAAUAUUCGACGUUAUGUCUUGGCCGGAUGCGAUGAUUCAUUGAUUCCAUUGCAUCAAUCAAUUGUGCUAUUUUGCCUUAAAGCAAUUUCUAAUUUCUUUCUUGAAUGUUCUACAACAUUCUGACAUACAUCAAUUUAUGCUUAAUUUUUUAUUUCAUAAUCCAAAAUUUAAGGGUUCAUUUGAUUUACGAUUCAAAAAUAAUUUUUAAAAAUAAAAAAUGAAUUUAAAAAUGUGUUGAAGGUUUUAAUGUGUUCAUUUUUCUUUAUUAUUUAUAUUAAUGGCAACCUAAUCAUCUCUCCACCUAUGUGAGAGAGGUUCGAAUCGUAAACCCCUUUUUUCAAGAAAAGGGAUUCUACCAACCUAAAUAAAUGAUGCAAAUUUUAACAAGUUUAUAUAAUAUCCAAAAAUGAUAAUUUGAACAACUGAAACACGUUUAACGUAAUUUCUAAUUAAAAAAAAGAAAAAAACAUGUUUAGUUGUUGUGAUUUUAAAGGUAAUUCUUAAUGAAGUAUUAAGUUUCAUAAAAUUACAGUCUUGUUUUCCUUUUAGAUAAUUGCAUUACAUCAAGGAGUAUCUUAGAACAAAAUAAAAAUGAAACAAGCUUCGUCAAGAUUUCAAUAUUUAUUAUCUUUAGCUUAGCUUCUAUUCUGUUAUGUUAAACUAAAAAAAGUAAUUAAGUUAAUGGUAUGGAGACUGAUUUACACAACACAAAUUGCCAACAACGUAUACUUUAAUUUGUAGUUAACAUGGAAAAUAUAUACUUCGAAACGGUAUGAUUACAAUAUUCAUUACCAUCAUGCCUCUUCUAGCUGUAUUUUAUGUGUGCCUACGUAGUGUACGGUCCAUCAUGUGCAAAUUUUAUCAAUUUGAAUCCAGCGGCUCCUGAUAAGAGACACUGCAUUCCAAUAAAAUAUGAAUCAUUGCUCACUUCAUAUAUGUGUAUGUGUGUGUUUGUGUCAAGAAUCACUGCUAAUAUAACAUGUGCAUUGGAAGAAAUCAUUAUCAUUAUGGAUUACAUAAUUUGGUAGUAAAUGAAUUCAUGAUUUAUGAUUAUUUUUUUAUUAUCAUAGUUCAUAAGAUGAUGAAUCCGUGAUUUAUGAUGACUUUUAAUAUAUUUAAUUAAUUUUCUUUUUAAGAUAGAGGGGUGUGCAAAGCCCAAGACAAACAUAAAUGAUGAUUGAUUUCUUACUUUUAUGUUACUGAAUCUUUUGUAUAAGUUGGACCUUGAAGCCAUGUUAGACCUUGAAGCCAUUUAAUAGCAACAAGAAGACAGUGAAUUCAAUUGUUUUUUAAAUUCGCCGGAUGAAACUGAAUUUUCCUUUUCUUUCUUGAUGAAUAAUAAUUUGGACAUCGACUUUUAUUCUGAUCUAAAUUUUUAUCAGCGCAUGUACAUGUUCGCGUCAGUUGUCAACAUAAUGCAAUCAACUUAACUGACUAUAAUGAGUAACAAUUAAAUGUAUUACACACAGUACGUUAAUAUUAUUUGUCACACCAAACCCAUCUUUUACAUGACAUGAUACAACACACCCAGAGGAAAAACUAUUGUAAGAACAAGUAAAAUAACUAUCAUGAAUUAGAGCUAAAAUACAUAUAAAGAUUGUCAUCGUAUCAUGCAUAAAACUUAGAUAUAAUGCGUCUACUUCUUCUUCUUCUUCUUCUUCUUCCAAGGAAGCUUAUUCAUAAAUUCCAAGUAAUAGACCUUCCCACCAACCAAAAAAUCGGCACAGUAAGGAAACUCCAUGAGUGCUAAAACAAUCACUGGAAAGAUAGCAGCAGCAUAGAGAGCGGCGGUCCAUUUCUUCUCCAUACGAAUGAUGAGCAGAAGUGAAGCCGAGAAAGUAAUCAUGCUUGUUAGUACAGAAAAGAAGAGCAAAGUGAAGCCAACCAGCAACUUGCGCGGAAGUUCUCUAAGGAAAUCAGAUGACUCACGUGGCGACGUGAGGAUAGAUAGGAACAUAACAACGGAUGACAAUGAUAAGGCCAAGGAGGCAACGUCCAUUACGGUAAAAACGUAGAAAAGUGGUGACUUAAGGAAAUGGGGAAACCCCUUAUCAUUGUUACCUCCAGGUAUCGUGAAGGCAGCUGUAAAGACGACGGUUGCGAUUAGGAUUGCCAGCACGGAGCAUGCCUGAGAGGUUUCUUUGAUCCAUUCUUGUGCUUUCCCAAGUUGAUCUUCAUGUGUUAUAUUGAAGAGGUCCCUUGCAGUCAUCUUAUUGUUUUCAUCGCGGUGCAUGGCAUAAUGGCGAGGCAUUAUCUCUUUUACACUCUGCAUUAUACACACACGUUAAAUAGGGACGGAGUCCUACAUACGCAUAGCCACAUGUGUAGUCAUUAUCUCUGUAACAUUUUAAAAUAUAGAUUCAAGGAUUUACUCAAUUGUAAAAAACUUCCAAGAGGGUUGUAAAAGGUUUACACAAUUAAAGAAAAAAAAGUGUUUUAUAAAAUCAUGAAAUGGUGAAUCACUUGAGAAUGAAUAUACAUAUACAUCCAUACAUACGUGUGUGUAUAUAUAUAUAGGGAGAGAGAGAGAGAGAGAGAGAGAAGGGGGGAGAGAGUGAACUAAUUUGGUCCAAGAUCUAGGAUUUUAUUAAAGUCUAAGAAAACUAAUAAAUCACAUAGUGGGAGAGAAGGGGAGAGAGAGCGCGUGGACAAGCUGAUAUUUAAUAAUAGAUCUCUUAAGUUAUUAAAAUAAAGGAUAAACUAAAUGACAAGUAAAAGUGCAAUGUAUUUUAUCCAUUAAUAUAUUAAUGUGUGUUGUUCUUGUCUUUUAAUUUAUCUCUUAUUUGGUAACCUAAAGAAAUUCUUCAUUGAAAAAAAAUAUUAUAUAUAUAUAUAUAUGAAGAUACUUAGGUAUGGCGGCUACACAAAUUUUUGUGUGGAUUUUAGGCUUCACAACCAUAUGAAAGCUUUCCACAUUAUUAUAAAAAAUAUUUUACACUGUCCUAAAAUCCUAAAUCUGCAUGAAAAUUUAUGUGCACAAUGGUUUUAUAUAUAUAAGGCCGAAUAAUUACAUUUUAUGGGACAAAAUUAAAUAUUAUCAAAGGGCUUACCUCGAACAAUUGUAACUCCUCCUGAAAUUGGAGAACAGGGCCAGGGCGGGUUCCUUCUUUAUAAUGUUUCAUGUCUGCAACAUGGUGCAAUAAUGUGUAGCCUUUCUUGUCAAUUCUUGAAGCCCAUUUGGGCACAGACAGUCGCAUUUCCUUCGUGAUGAGUUCAAAGACUUUAUAUUGACGACGCUUUACGGCCACAUGUAAUAUAUUCUGCUCUUUCUCAUUCAAGUUAUCUAACAAUAUUGCUUGAGGAUGUUGAUGGAUUAUCUCCUUCAAAAUCUCUGUUAUUCCAUUGCUUGCUGCAAAGAGUAAUGUCAACCUGAACGCCCAAUUCUUAUCCUUUUUAUAAUUAUGAACUGCUUUAUUAGUGCAAUCUUUCUUCACAAACAAUUCGACCAAUUCUCCAGCUGAAAAAUCAACAAAUUUUUUUGCCUUGAUCAUAUUUCCUUUGUUAGUGCAAUCUUUCUUCAGCAGCAAUUCGUCCAAUUCUCCUGCUGAAAAAUCAACAAGUUUUUUUGCCUUGAGCAUAUUUCCUUUGCCUAAUCCUAAGGAAAUUGUGGAAAUAUUAGCUGGCGAAGUUGUGGAACUUUCUGGGUCCGGCGAGAAAAUUUCUGGGUUCUGCUCUCCAUCCCCAAGACAAGGGGUUUCUUUAACGAGCAUUUUGAGCAGUUUAUCCGCAUUUCUAUGCAUUUGCUUUUUCAUCCAGAUUUUCUUUAUACCGGGACAUCCUGGUCAUGCAUGCAUCAACACCUUGUUAAUUUAUAAACAAAAUUUCGCGCGGCAAGUACGGCAAAUCCAUUCAUCAACUGAAUGAAUUGAUCAAGUUAUGUUACAUUUCCCCUGUUCCUUGUGUAAUUCAUAUAUGUAGAAGUAAUUAAUAAAAUUAUUAUUGAUCGCACCUUCAAUCACUUGCCUCCAAAUGCCAGUGUACAUCUUCCAAAUUGGAAUUCCUGCAUUUGGAUUAACUACUCAGCCGCAGUAUUACAACUAUAUGUAUUAUACGAUAUGAAAAAUUAAUGCUACCACAUAAAAAAGGAAACCGCUCGGAUCAAUUAAAAAGUUUUUUUUUUUUUUUGGGGGGGGGGGGGGGGGGAAUAAAAUACCGCACGUCUAUGUAUCAAUUGGUAGUUAAGGUCCUUUUCAUAAGAAUUUCUACAAGUCCAUAGAAAUUAAAGAAAAAAAGAACUUCAUCUUUUCCCCGUAUUAUUUAAGGUAUUUCACACUUCUCCCCUUAGUAUUUUCAAAAUUUGCAUACUGUUAUUGCGUCUAGAGGAUUCCACUUCACUGUAACGAUUCUUCAUUUAUAUCUAGUAUACUUUUGAGUUACACCCAAAAAAGAAAAAAAGAAAAAAUCGACGUCUAAAAAGAAAAACUAACUUUUAGUCUAAAAAGAAAAAACUAACUUCUAUAUUAUAUUAUCUAUUACUUAUUUAGUUCUCAAAACUAAUAUUCUGUUUGGCUUCUAAGAGACAAUUGCUCUAAAAUGAAAGUUUUAGUUAUUAAUGGAAAAUUCGUGGGUGUUUGGUAAAGCUAAACCACUGGAUGUCAUAAAAGUUCCUUUUUUUUUUUAUUCUCAUUUUGGAGUAAACUUAUCAAUAAAUAAUUGUGAAAAAUAACCAAUUUAAAAGGCUAACUGGGAAAGCGUUUACAAAUAUUAUGACUUGUAAUCGCAGCUAAAGCUGUUUGUUCGGAUUUUCAUUUUUCAAUUUAUAGAGUUAUAAUGAUUAAUGAAACCACUAUAUGAUGAUUAUGGACAAAUUAAAGCUGCUUCAACACUACCUCUCAUCCGCUUUCUGCAGGCGACGCAAUUGUCAAUUUCACCAGUCUCCAAAUCUUCUUUGUUAUUGCGGUCAACGUAAUCGUCAUCAUCAUACGUUGGAAGACCUGCAAUUAGAAAUUGCAAUUGUAACGGCAUGCACCGAAGUCAACUGGACUAUAUAUCCCCUUAGAGAUGGAACUAUAUCUAUGUGUAUAUAUAAUUAAUAUAUAAAAAAUGCUAAAGAAAUUGAAGGCUGCUAGAAUGUUGACAGGGAUAACGGUAUAUCAAGUCGGGCUUACUACAUGGUAAUCUCGGCCAGAUGUACCCUUGUUUUUGUUGAAUUGUUCUUUGUUAAUAGUAAUGUUCCAAUGAAAGAUCUCCAAAUAGCAGUGUCUGUACGUAUUCAUGCAAGCAGAUUCAUUAAUUAGUUAAUUAAGAAGAUAAAUUAAUAAAUUUUUUAAAACUUUAAUUUAACACUUGAUCUGUUAUGAAUGGAUGAGAGAUUUAUUAAUUAAUUACUACAUAUUACCGAAGUGUUGGCCAAGGACAGCCAUAUGAAGAACGGUCUUGUCAUCAUUUCCAUAGAAAUGGUGACGUAAGUCGCCAACUUGCUCAGUCAAGAUUUGCAACACUUUAGUUUUCCCAAGAGCAGCAGCCCUGUUGUGAGAGUUUGUAAUAUAAUGUGUUUGGUUAACAGGAAAGUUAACGAGAAAAUGAAGAAGAAGAGAUAAGAAGAAUCUAGAGUUUAUUGGAUCUAAUUACACUUUUCAAUAAUGAUCUAAGCUUUGUUUUUAUACAAAGAUCAAUUCACAUACUCAAGUCUGUUAUAACAAAUACACGUGCUUAACAAACUUGUUAACAGUAAUCUGAGUCAGCUAACUAACUUGAACACGUCAGCAGUGGAAUUAUCUUAUGCCCGCAACUCCAUACUCUAAUCAUGCUCUGUAACAUCCCCUCUCAAGCUAAACUUUCCAGGAUGAACGUUUAGCUUGCUUCGAAGGUAAUGAAACUGAUCAAAAGUUAAUGGCUUGGUAAGUAUGUCUGCAGUUUGAUCUUCACUAGGAACGAAUUGCACAACUAUCUUCUUUGCUGCUACUUUCUCCCUGAUGAAAUGAAUAUCCAGUUCCACAUGCUUGGUUUUAGCAUGAUACACUGGAUUGUAAGCUAAGGCUAUAGCACCUUGAUUAUCACACCACAUUAUAGGAGCUGCGGCAAGCUUGAUUUUGAGUUCAUCAAGCAGUGCUUGAAUCCAUACAGCUUCAGAUGUGGCCUGAGCUAAAGCUCUAUACUCAGCUUCAGUACUGGACCUUGAUACCACUGGUUGCUUCUUAGAACACCAGGAAACUAAGUUUGAGCCAAUGUAAACUGCAUACCCAGCAACUGAUUUUCUAUCAUCUUUAUCACACGCCCAGUCUGAGUCACUGAAGCAAUUCAUUUGUAAAGUUCCAAAAUGAUAAAAAUGCAGACCAAAAUGAAUUGAGCCCUUCAAAUAUCUGAGAAGUCUCUUACAAGCUUCCCAAUGUUCUGAAGUUGGUGAAGACAAAUAUUGACUAAGUUUAUUAACAGAGAAAGCUAUCUCAGGCCUUGUAAGUGUCACAUAUUGCAAAGCUCCAAUUAUGCUUCUAUACUGAGAUGCAUUAGUAAUGGUUGAACCUGAUCCUUUUCUGAGCUGAUGUCCAGUAGACAUAGGAGUAGGAACAGGGCUACAAUCUGCCAUAUUAUGCUUAGCUAAGAGAUCAGCUAUAUACUUUGCUUGAGAGAGAUAGAAUCCAUUUGAAGUUUUUGAGACUUCAAUCCCAAGAAAAUAAUUCAACUCUCCUAAGUCCUUCAAAGCAAAAGUUUUCUGCAUAUUAAGAAUCACUUGCUGCACCAGCUGAUAACUAGAACCAGUAACAAUGAUAUCAUCCACAUAUACAAGCACAAGCAAAAUAUGACCAUUUUCCCACUUAUAGAAGAGUGAACUAUCAGACUUAGAGUUGAGGAACCUCCAUUGAGAUACCAUAGCAGAUUUGAACCUGUCAAACCAUGCUCUGGGGGCCUGUUUUAAUCCAUAGAUUGCCUUCUUGAGUUUACAGACAUGAGUAGGUCUGGUGGAAUCAGUAAACCCUGCAGGCUGGGCCAUAUAAACAUUUUCAACCAAAAUACCAUUUAAGAAGGCAUUAUUGAUAUUAACCUGUCUUAGAAUCCACUUAUUCAUAACAGCUAAGCUUAAAACUAUUCUGACAGUAGAUGCUUUCACAACUGGACUGAAGGUUUCAGUGUAAUCUUCUCCAUGUGUUUGAUGAAAUCCUUUUGCUACAAGCCGUGCUUUGUAUCUAGAAAUGGUACCAUCUGAGUUGUGCUUAAUUCUGAAAACCCACUUACUUCCUAUCACUUUGACAGGAGCUGAAGGUGAAACUAAGUCCCAAGUAUCAUUAUUUUUAAGUGCUUGAUACUCCUCUUGCAUUGCCUUGAACCACUUUGGAUUAGAUAUUGCUUGGGUUAUAGAUGUAGGUUCUGAAGGUGUAGCCAAAAGAUCAGCAAGAUAUGAUUUAGGCUUAAAAAUACCAGCCUUUGAUCUAGUUAUCAUAUGGUGUCCUACUGGAGGAGCAGUAGGUAUGACAUGAGGUGGGGAGUUAAUAUGGCUUGGUAAAGAUAGAUUAUGUGAUUGGUCUGUGGGAGAAGAUAUAGGAGAAGAAGAUAGAGAUGGUGAAGGAGCAUAUACCUCUCUAGGAGCUGGAGAUGAAGUCUCUGAGGAAUCACUUGCUGAUUGAGGUUGCAGAGGAGAUUGUAUUGGAAAAUGAGUAAAAGAAGGAAGAACAGAAGAGACUGUAUUUGAUGAAACACAAGACUGAGAGACAGAAGAAAAAUCUGAACCAGACACAUAUGGAAAGGAAUUUUCAUAAAAAAUGACAUGAUUUGAGAUAUACACUCGACCAGAGGAAUGAAGACACUGAUACCCUUUAUAGUGGCUGCUGUAGCCAAGAAAGACACAUCUUCUUGACCUAAAAGCAAGCUUGUGUUUAUUGUAUGGCCUGAGAUAGGGAAAACAAGCACAACCAAAAAUUCUAAGAAAGUUAUAAUCUGGUGAUUGAGCAAAGAGCUUUUGAUAAGGAGAAAUGUUAUUUAAGGUUGGAGUAGGUAACCUAUUGAUGAGAAAAACAGCCGUGUGAAAAGCAUUCCACCAAAAUUUGAGUGGCAAAUUUGCUUGAGCUAACAAGGUAAGGCCAAUGUCUACAAUAUGCCUAUGCUUUCUCUCUAUUCUACCAUUUUGAUGGUGAAUAUAAGGACAAGGAUGCCUAAACUGAAUUCCAGACUGAGCAAGAUAAGUAGAAAAACUUCUAAACUCCCCUCCCCAAUCUGUUUGCACAGUUUUAAUAUUUUUACUCAAGAACUUUUCAAUGAAACUUCUGAAGGUUUGAAACACUUGUAGUGCAUCAGACUUAGCAGCCAAAGGAAAAAUCCACGUAAACCUACUGAAAUCAUCUAAGAUUGACAGAUAGUAGGAGUAGCCUUGUGUUGAAGUAACAUGUGAGGGACCCCAGAGAUCAGAAUAUAAAAGCUGAAGAGGUUCAGUUGUUUUUGUGGCAACAGAAUCAAAAUGUAACAAAUGACUUUUUCCAAAUUGACAAGCAGAACAAAAAUUCAAGACUUUGGUUUUAUUGAAAAUACCAGCAGUACAACUUUUCAAUACAGUUUUAAGAGUAUGAAAAGCAGGAUGCCCUAGCCUUUUGUGAAGCAAAUUAACAUCUAUUUCACUUGCUCUAGCUAUGAAAGCUUUCUUACAUGAUAGAUGAUGAACUGUAUCAGAACUGUUUAGUGAACCAGAAGGAUUACAAGACAUAGAAGGAAAAUAAGCAAACAUAGACUCAAAUUUAUUGGAAGAAGAUUGACAUAACAAAGCUGUGCUAGCUUGAGAGAAUUGAGAUGCACUUUGAACUUGAUACAAUCCUCCUUUUGCAAUUCCUCUAAGCAAAAUGAUCCCUGAGCUCCUGGCCUUAAUGAAGCAAACAUUUGCAAAGAAUUCAAUAGAAACAUUAUUAUCAGCUAAGAGUUUGGAGACACUGAGUAAAUUUUUGGUUAUUUGAGGAACAUGAAGAACAUGAUUUAGUAAUAAAGAUUCAUAUGUGGUUGUGUUUAGCAAUACUGAUCCAAUGAGAUUAAUAUGCAAGGAGGAACCAUCUCCAACAAGUAGUUUUUCAUUUCCAGUAUAAGCUUUUGGUGCUAGAAGUUUACCUGAAUCAUUAGUGAUGUGAUUGGUAGCACCACUAUCAAUGUACCAGGUAGGAUCUUCAACUAUCUCUGGAGCAGGCACUAAUGGAGCUGAGGAAGAACCACCACUGUUAUAAUCUUCAUUGGAACAAAAAACAGGUGCAGAAGGUGUGAAACCUGAGGAGCUGCCAGGAUGAGCAACAUAAAGUGCAGUGGGAUCUGAGUACAUCACAUAGCCUUGAUAACCAGAACCUCUUGGCAUAUUAGAAUUUCCAAGAUUAGGUUGACCAAACAUAUUGCCAGGCUGAGGAUAAAAACCUCUACCAUAAACUCCAUUAUAAGAUCGACCACCAUUGUUUCCAAAACCUCUUCCAAAAUUCCUUUGACCAGGCCUAAAGUUGCCAUUAAAUGCUCCUCUAGCUUGAUUCUUAGAAGGCACAAAAGCAGAGUUGUACCUGUUUCUGCAUUUAUUUGCUCCAUGCCCAGGUAUAAAACAUAUUUGGCAGAUGAUUGUUGAAUUAAAAUCACUUGUCUAACCCAUACUAUUUCCACCAAAACCAGAGUUAUAAGCACCUCCAUUGUUAUAUUUUUGGUUACCACCAGCAUUUUUCCCAGAAUUAUAUUGCUUCUGAGCUAUAUUAGCUGUCAGAUGAUGUGUAACAUCACUAGCAAUUUUGCCUUUUUUCUGCUCAACUCUAUUUUCAUGACUUAAUAACAAGGAAUAAAAUUCAUCAAGACCUAUGUUGUCACCUCUAGCUAAAACACUAGUAACCAGAGAUUCAUAAUCUGAAGAGUCCAAUCCAGUUAACACAUGUUGAAGAAAGUCAUUCAACUCAACUGGUUUUCCAGCCAAGGCUAAGCUAUCAGAUAACCUUUUCAUUUUAGCAAAGUAAUCAAUCAUAGACAUAGAUCCUUUUUUAAGUGUUUGAAUCUGCAUUUUAAGUGGCAUAAUUCUAGCCUGAGACUGAGAGAUAAACAUACUUGUGAGUGCAUCUAGAAGCUCUUUAGCUGUGGAGCAAUGAAUCACUGUUGCAAGUAAGUUUUGUUGGAUGGACGACAUCAUCCAACUUAGAAUCAAUUGAUCAGUCUUAGUCCAAGCUGUAUAUUCUGGAUUGAUCUCUUGAUCCUCCACUAGAGUUGAUUGACUAGUAAUAGUGCUUGCUGACGAGAGAAACUUUUCUGGACAAAUUCGAUCACCAUUGACAAAGCUUUCUAAACCGUUUCCUUUGAUUGAUGUUAAGAUCUGAGUACGCCAAACAAUGAAAUUAUUCUGAUCUAGUUUGACUGGAGUUGCAAAGCUAUAAGAUCCAGAAAUCUGAUUAGAGCUCAUCAUGUUUGCUCUGAUACCAUGUGAGAGUUUGUAAUAUAAUGUGUUUGGUUAACAGGAAAGUUAACGAGAAAAUGAAGAAGAAGAGAUAAGAAGAAUCUAGAGUUUAUUGGAUCUAAUUACACUUUUCAAUAAUGAUCUAAGCUCUGUUUUUAUACAAAGAUCAAUUCACAUACUCAAGUCUGUUAUAACAAAUACACGUGCUUAACAAACUUGUUAACAGUAAUCUGAGUCAGCUAACUAACUUGAACACGUCAGCAGUGGAAUUAUCUAAUGCCCGCAACUCCAUACUCUAAUCAUGCUCUGUAACACCUGUAAACUGGGGUUUCCCCCAAACCGUUUUUAGCUUCAAGUUGAUUUUUGUACGCAUCACCAGACUUUCUGGAAAAGUCAACCAAAACCCUGGCCACGUCGAAGUUUUUGACGAUGGCCGCUUCGUGAAGACCGGUGUUUCCAAACGCAUCUUUUUGCUUCAAAACUUCGAGUCUGUUCUCCGGUUCUAGCCUUUCGAGCAAUUCCUGGAUCAGCUGAGGGUCUUCCAUGGCCGCUGCAACGUGAAUUGCUGAGUCUCUAUUGACCGUCCUGUAAUCCAACAACUCUGCAGGUGGUUGACGAAAGUAAACCAAGAAACCUUGACGGUCUCCAUUUAAGGCCAUUCCAUAAGGAUCCAUCUUUCUCUCUCUCACUCACACUCUUGAAUAUAUAAGCUUUAAUGCAUCAUUGUUGAAGUUCUAAACGAAGUUAUCAAAUUGGCACAAUCACUUUGCAUUUUAUAUUCAUAGAGCUCAAGCAUAUUAAUUAUAAGAAUAAAAUAUAGGUGAAGUUUAUCUCUUGGGUCAGGCAGAAGAAUAGAAUAUAUUAUUUCCAACAGCUUUGGCGGGUUCUUAUUGCUUUUGCUGCGAAUUUAAUAAUCACAUUUAUUUUACAGCUUCUGCCUCCAUUGCUUUUGAUUUCCGCGAAUAUAAUAAUCACAUUUAUUCUAAAGUGUUAAAAUACCUGAAAAUUUUGACACUUACGAUUUCUCCACCCGAGUUUGUUUUUUAUAAAAAAAAAUCAUCUUUUUUUCGCCUUGACGUUAACGAAGUUGGAAUUUGUUAGGAAAUGCUUGCAAAAUGAAAGUUCUGCUCUUGUAAUAUAAACAAUGUCGGAUUUGAACGUUUAAUAUCAGAAUAUUUUGAUUUGCCCCAAAACAAUUUAUAAUUUCCUUCUUGCAUGUUUUUCGACAUCGUGAAAUACAUUAACCUUAAUCUUCAAUUUUUAUUUCAUAAUGACAUAAUCCAAAAGCUUGAGGAUUCAUUUGAUUUAUGAUUCAAAAAUAUUUUUCAAAACUCAAAACUCAAAACAGAAUCUAAAAAAUUGAGUUGAAGUUUUAAUAUUAUCUGUUUAGUUUUAACAUUUAUCCAAUUCUCUUCCCUAUUAGCGGGGUUGAAAAUUAACCAACUUAAAAAGCCAAACUGACAAGAUGUGUACAGCUGAGCUUUCAAAACGCUAGCCAAAACAAAUACAGCCCAAGUACAAUCGAGAGUGUUGAGAAGUGAAUACAAAUCUGGAAUUGUGGUUGAAUAUGACAUGUCAGUUUGAUGUUUCGAAACCGGAUGAUAUGUCGGUUAGGUGGCAUAAGAGAGCCGUAUGACAAGGCUGGUUGAUCAGCCGAGUGAUUAAGUUAAGCACGUGCUGAGGCUGAAAAGAGUUGAAUGAAUUCUUUGUAUAUUAUUCAACCACCAUAUCAUGAGUUUAUAUACAAGAUACAAAAGCAGAGGAAUGCCGAAAUCUAAGGCAAACCCAUUAAUGUGAUUCCUUUCCAUAGCUGUACAAAAGUAAGAAAGGAACCAAAUAAAAUCAUAUAAUUAUACAAUCAAUUCAAAUCUUCGUGAUUGACUUCUCAAUCUUUAACAUUCCCCCUCAAGUUGGAGUGUAUAUUCAUAACACCCAACUUGCGAAGUAGAUGAUGAAACUGAGCUGAACCAAGAGCUUUAGUAAAAAUAUCAGCUGGUUGUUGGCUGGUGUGUACAUGGGCUGUUUGAAUCAUGCCGGUUUGAAGUUUCUCACGUAUAAGAUGACAAUCAAUCUCGAUAUGCUUUGUACGCUCGUGGAAAACAGAAUUUGAAGCAAUGUGAAUGGCUGCCUUGUUAUCACAAUAUAACAUAACUGCUUGCGAAUGUUUCACCUUCAAGUCUUCAAGUAAAUAUUUUAACCAAGUAAUUUCGCAACAAGUGGUUGCCCUAGAUCUGUAUUCAGCCUCAGCUGAAGAUCGAGAGACAGUUGUUUGCUUAUUUGUUUUCCAAGAGAUCAGUGAUUCUCCAAGCAUGAUGCAAUAUCCAGUAAUCGACCUUCGAGUAUCUCUACAUCGUGCCCAAUCCGCAUCACAAUAAGCCUUCAACUGAAUUGAGCUAUGUGCUGACAGGAAUAUCCCUUGGCCUGGUGCUUGCUUAAUGUAUCGUAAAACUCGAUGUGCUGCAUCUAAGUGUGAUGUACGUGGCUUGUCCAUGAAUUGACUUAGCACAUGUACUGCAUACACCAAAUCUGGUCGUGUUAUAGUUAAGUAAAUCAAUCUACCAACGAGCUUCCGAUAUGAUGAUGGUUCUGUCAAUAAAUCCCCAUCCGAUGCACUUAAAUUUAAGUUUUGCUCCAAAGGAAUUUUUGUUGGUUUUGCACCUAGAAAACCCGUGUCUUCAAGGAUUUCAAGAGCAUAUUUUCUUUGACAGAGAUGAAUCCCAUUUCUCGAGCGUGCAACCUCAAUGCCUAAGAAAUAUUUCAAGCUUCCAAGAUCCUUGAGUUUGAAACGACCAUUCAAAAAUUCUUUAAGUUCUUGAAUUUUCUUCAAAUUAUUUCCAGCUAAGAUCACAUCAUCAACAUACACCAAAACAACAGUGAAAUUUCCUUCCUCUGAUUGGACGAACAUUGAAUAAUCUGCCUUUGAUUGCUUGUAGCCAGCAUCUCUAAGAGCGGAAGAAAGUUUAGCAAACCAUUGUCUAGAUGCUUGCUUUAGACCAUACAAUGACUUGUUGAGUUUGCAAAACCUUGUGUCCCCCUUUCGUCCAAAUCCAGGAGGGAGAUCCAUGUAGACAUCUUCAUGAAGAUCUCCAUGCAAGAACGCAUUGUUAACAUCAAGUUGAUGGAGAUGCCAUUUUUGUGUAGCUGCAAUUGCAAGUAAUACACGAACUGUCACUAACUUGGCAACUGGAGCAAAUGUUUCUGUAUAAUCAAGCCCUUCUAUUUGGCUGAAACCUUUCGCAACCAAACGUGCUUUAUAUCGUUCAACAGAACCAUCGGGUUUAUACUUGACUUUGAAAACCCAUUUACACCCUACUGAUUUUUUGCCAGGAGGAAGAGAAGUCAAGGUCCAUGUCUGGUUGUUUUCAAGAGCAUCUAUUUCUACUCUCAUAGCAUCUCGCCAAUUUUUGUCUCGAAAUGCCUGCAAGAAGGACUUAGGUUCUGUUUGAAGAGAAAUGGAAGAGGUGAAAGCUCGAUGAGGAGAAGACAAACAAUCAUAAGAUAAAAAAUUACAUAAAGGAUAAGGAUUACCAAGAGAAGAGACCGUAGCUGAUUCCGACGAUUGAGACAUCUGAGAUGGGAGUCUAUGUUGGAUAUGGAAGUCAUGCAAAUACCCAGGAGGUUUAGUUGGGCGAGAAGAUCUACGGGGCACAAUAGAAGCAUUGAAAUCCAUAUUUGAAAUAUCAGUGGCUUGCUCUAGAGCUGGUGUGGGAUUAUCAUUGCAAUUUUGGGGCACAUUCUCGUCAUUUGGAAUAGGAAAUGGCAUGGGCAAAACUGGAGAAUGUGAUGGACUUGAAUAAUUAGAGAAAGGAAAUUGAUCUUCAUAGAAAAUGACAUCACGAGAUGUGAAAACUCUAUGAUUUUCUAUUUCAUAGACUCGAUAUCCUUUUUGUCCAUAAGGGUAACCAAUGAAUAUGCAACGAGUAGCACGUGCAUCAAACUUGGAUGGUUUUUUAGCGUGUGUGGAAGCAAAGCAUAAACAACCAAAAACACGCAGAUGGUUAUAAGAUGGUCUAAUUUUAUACAACAUUUCAUAUGGAGAUUUUCCAGAUAAAAUAGGUGUAGGUAUCCUAUUAAUCAAAUAUGUGGCUGUAAGAAUGGCUUCACCCCAAAAAUAUUUUGGUAAAUUAGCUUGAAAAAGUAAUGCACGUGCUACAUUAAGGAGAUGUCGGUGUUUCCGUUCUACCACUCCAUUUUGUUGUGGGGUGGAGACACAACUAGUCUGAUGAAUAAUUCCUUUGUUAGAAUAAUAAAGUGGCAUGAUGAAUUCUUGGCCAUUGUCACUACGGAUGGUUUUAACCUUUGAAGAAAAUUGUGUCUCAACAAGUUGUACAAAUGAUUGUAAAUGGUGACGGGUUUCAGACUUAUGACGCAUUAGAUAAACCCAUGUGCAUCGAGUGUGAUCAUCCACAAUGGUCAAAAAAUAAUGGGCUCCUGAAAUAGAAGAUGUUUGAUAGCCUCCCCAAAUAUCAACAUGCAAUAACUCAAAAGGUGCAGUAGAAGAUAUUGAACUUAAAGAAAAUUCUACUCUUGUUUGCUUUGCUAAAGGACACACUGGACAAUUACCAAUGUCGCAAGCUUUAAUGUCAAGUACAUUGGUAGAAAGUAGAUGAAGAGAUUUAUUUGAUAAAUGUCCUAAACGACGAUGCCAUAAUUGAGAAGGAAAAGAGUUCACUGAUUGACAGGUGACUUCCUUGAGCACAUUCAAGUAGUAUAGACCAUCCCGUUCAGUUCCCGUCCCAAUCGUCUUUCUCGAGCGUAGGUCCUGAAUUACACAAGAUUGGGAGGAGAAGAUAAAUGAAUAUUGUGAAUUUUGGGAAAGCUUGCUUACAGAAAUUAAGUUGAAAUGAAAGGUAGGUACACACAUAACAUUGGUCAAAGUAAAUUGUGAAGAAAAAUGAAUGGAUCCAAUGUGUGUGACAGGAGCUAAUGAACCAUUUGGUAGUUUGACAGUUUGAUUUUUCACUGGCGUAGAAUAUGUUAAAUAAGAUGGGGAACAAACCAUGUGAUCUGUAGCACCACUAUCUAUGAUCCAUGGAGUACAUUCUAAGGAUGAGGAGAGGCAUAUGAAUUUACCUGACAAGUGAGUCAUGGCAGAAGUACCUACAUGAUGUGCCAUAGGACCUGCUUUAUUAACAUUGUUCAAGAGCUCAAGAAUUUGCUUGCAUUGUUCCUGAGUAAAUGAAUAACCACUUGAUUCUUUACAAUCUGCAGCAAGUGAGGAUGUUUGAUUGGCACUUGGUUUAGAAUUUCCUUUCCGAUUUCGGUGAUCUGGAGGAAAUCCAUGAAUAUGAUAACACUUGUCAACUGUAUGGCCAACCCAUCCGCAAUGAUCACAUUUUGGGCGUUCACGUUUUCCGUCUUUUCUCUUCUCCACAUCCUUGUAUUCUUUCCUUUCUCGUGAGUUCAUUUUUGCAGCAAGUGCAGCAGCUUCUGGUGCAAUGGUUUGAUUUGAAGAUACCGCACGCUGACGCUCAUCUUGAAGCACCAAUGAAUAUGACUUGUUCAUAUUCGGAAGUGGAUCCAUCAAUAAAAUCUGUCCGCGAGUUGCAGAAUAUGAUUCAUUUAGUCCCAUAAGGAACUUCAUGGUUUUGUGACUUUGCUGAUAUUGGAUAACUGCUUUCAUUGAGCCACAAGAACACGUUGGAAUUGAACAAAGUGCAUCCAGUUCAUCCCACAAUGCUUUCAGCUUAGUAUAGUAUGUUGCUAUCGACAUGGUAUCCUGCACCAAGUUAUGGAUUUCUUUUUCAACUUGAAAAAUAUAUGGACCAUUUACCUGUGAAAGUCGUUCUUUUAAAUCCGCCCAAAUCUCACUUGCAAGUUUGCAAUAGAUCACACUAAGGGAGAUUUCUUUUGAUAUAGAGUUGAGCAGCCAUGAUUUGACCAUAUCGUUGCAGCGAUUCCAGUGCUGUGACUCAGCGGCUGAAGCGUCUCCAGGAUGCUGGAUAGAUCCAUCAAUAAACCCGAUUUUGUUCUUCGCACUUAAUGCCAUAAUCAUUGCACGGCUCCAGGUAUUAUAGUUGUCUUCAGUUAAGGGCUGUGACACUAAUAUUACUCCUGGAUGAUCAGAGUGAUGAAGGAAUAAUGGGUUACUUGGAUCUUCAUGGCUGGAGAUUGGUGAUGAAGUUUUUUCUUUGUUUGCCAUGGAUUGAUGGCUUUAAAAAAAUCAGAUUGCUGGGAUGAGCAGAAGAAUCUGGUUACCAGAAUCUUGCUCUGAUACCAUGAAAAGAGUUGAAUGAAUUCUGUGUAUAUUAUUCAGCCACCAUAUCAUGAGUUUAUAUACAAGAUACAAAAGCAGAGGAAUGCCGAAAUCUAAGGCAAACCCAUUAAUGUGAUUCCUUUCCAUAGCUGUACAAAAGUAAGAAAGGAAACAAAUAAAAUCAUAUAAUUAUACAAUCAAUUCAAAUCUUCGUGAUUGACUUCUCAAUCUUUAACAGAGGCACACGACUUCACUUAUUCUAAACGGCAGAAGAAGGCAGCGUUUUGGAUGCAGUUACUACACGUGUCUUGAGGCUGGUUUAAACGGCUGGUAAAGCUGUUAAAGAAAGCGGGAAAAUCAACAAACCCAGGGCUGUUACGCUGGCUUCUGGGGGUUGUUUCUAGAGCAAUCUAGGCGUGUAUAUAACGCUUCAUGGUCUCGUAUUUGGCUUGCUCAAGUGUGUAACAUUUUCUCAGAUUACUUGUAUCUUGUAAACACCAAAUCAGUCAAAGCUCUUUCUCUUUUUCACAGUGGAUGUAGGUCAAUUGGUGGCUGAGCCACUUAACUCUUUUAUGUUCGUGUGUGAUUGUUUCUGCUUUCUUUAAGCUUGUUAUCUAUUGAUUCGAAUUGAUGAUUUCACAAAGCUUUAGUUGGUCAUAAUUAGUUCUUGGAUUAAAGCUAAGUCGAGUGAAUCUUGGGGGAUUAAGAUCGGUUCUUGACUGGUUUUGGUCCUACAGAGAGUCGUAUGUGUAAGCUGGUUAUGACUUGUAACCGUAGCUAAAGUCGUUUGUUCGGGUUUUGAUUUUCGAAUUUAGCGUUAUAAAGAAGCCACUAUUUCAUUAUUAUAAACAAAUUAAAGCUGCUCUUUCGCCAUUACUCUUCUCUGCCUGGCUGAUGCGAUUCUGCAAUCCUACCUGUCUUCAAAUCUCUUUUAUAAUUGUAGUCAACGAUAUCCUCAUCCAGAUACGUUUGGAAGACCUACAAUUAAAAAUGCGAUUGAAUUAGAUUAGUUCUAAUGAUGUAGACCUGCAAGUAUUUAUUUUUUAUUUUUUAAUUUCACUUCAUCGCGUAUAUGUAUAAAUGCAAAUUAAAUCAUAAUUAUUUCUCCUAAUUAAUUUGGUUAUUGUUUCCACUGCAAAGGCAUGCACCUAAGUCAACUGGACCAUAUAUCUCAUAAGAGAUGAAACUAUACGUACAUAAUUAAUGUAUAAAAAAUGCUAAAGAAAAUAAAGGUGAAUAGAGCGUUGACAGAAAUAAUAGUAUAGUAAAUCGGGGUUUAUUAUGUUAAUUAAUUGAUUUUUAAUUAAGUAUAAGUCGCUAAUCUCAGCCGGGUGUACCACUGUUUCUGUCAAAUUUUUCAAUCUUACUCAUGAUAAAUAAAUAUCAUGCAUAUGUUUUUCAUAAGAGAACUGAUAUUCAGUCAAAAUACUAACAAAAAUAAAGUAAAUCCGGCCAGGUUUACAUAAUUAAAUGCCAACAUAGUAACCCUGGCUAGGUGUAUAUAUACUGUAUUUGUCAGCGUUUAAGUCUAUUUUAUCAUUUUUUUUUCUCCAUGAAAGGUAGUAAUUAGUUUAUAUAUCUACGUAUUAAGAAUGUAUGGACAAGACUCGUCCAUAUCUUCAUGCGCUUCGUAAUCUUGAAGAUAAUAAUAAAUUUUUAUACUCUUGAUCUAUAAAGAAAUAAAUUCAUUAAUUUAUGUAUAUAAAUUCACCAUUAAUUACUCAUUUCUAAAAUGCAGAUUGAACCAGAGAUUUAAUUAUUAUUACCGAAGUGCUUGGCAAGGACAGCAAUAUGAAGAAUGAAGAUAUUAUCCCAACAAAUCUUCAGCUGUUAGUUGAGCAAAGUAAUCCAAGAAGCCAUCAUCACAUUCUCUCAUUAAGGCCAUUCCAUAAGCAUCUUCCUUCGUUAUCCUCAUCUCAUCCAUAAACAUAAGCGCCAUCUCGCUUCUCUCUCUCACUUGUAUAAUUGAUACACUGAACAAGCUGUGUUCUUCGAUUUCCUUAAGUUUAAUUGUCUCAAUAUAAGUUGGCAUAAUCACUUUGCUUAAUUUCUUAAUGAAGCUCAAGCAUUAUAAGAAUAAAAUAAAGAUAAAGUAUUUAACCUAUCGGGUUCAGAAAAGGAAUAGAACAAAUUAUUUCAACGACUUUUGUCUGCAUUGCUUUUUCAUCGAAUAUACAUAAUAACCACCAAUUCACCAUAUUCUCAUAACGUAAAGGCGCUUGUGCUUUGCCUAAGCCUUAAGGUUUUUGCUAUUUUAUAAAGAAAUUAUGACCAUUAUGGAUUACAUUGAAAUGACCUGCCCCGAAUUAUAGGGAUGAGUCUAUUUAGUCUCAUCAAACUGAAUAGAUAAUAAUUUAAUUAGCAGAGAUUCUGCCCAAAAUUUGAUAAAGUUUUUUUUUUUAUAAAUAUAACACUUGGAGCUUGUAAAUAUGUAAUACAAGUACUCUCAAAAUAAAUUAAUAUACAAGCAACUCCAAGGAUCAACAUUCUCAGUGAAAAUACUGAAUUAUUACCUAAGAUAUCUCUAGAGUAUCGAAAGAUUAUAUUAGAACUAAUAUUAAUAUACAUUAGUUUAUUCUUAAUCCCAAAAGAAUAAUACAACAAAAUUUAUACAAUCUAAAAAGAAAAAGAUGAUUUGGAUGUCCUAACAAAAAAAAUCAUCUAUAUUUUCUAAUACCAUCACGUGACUAAAACUUAAAAUAUAUCUACAGUCGUUGGGUCGAUUUGGUGUACCUGCAACCUCUUAUUGUGGGGGGGAAGGGGGGAAUAUAAUAAAACGAAAUGAGUAUAAAAUUCAUUGAGCUCAGUGAGUAGAUAUUAGUUUUUUUUUUGAAAAAUAAAUUUACUAAAAAAAAUAAAUUUAAUCUUUCUUUGAACGAUCCCAUCAAAAUAUUAUAAGAACUUAAAUAAAUUUAUUUAAUUUAAAUCAUGCACUGAUAUAACAAUAAUACAUAAUACUGCAUAAAAUCAAGGAAAUCAUAACACUUAUAAUAACAGAGAGUGAAUGCCGAAAUUAUGACUAAACAAGUACCCAUGAGAAAUAAUCUUGUCAUAUCCUAACCUCAACGGACGGGUAAUGAUUUACUAUCUAGAUACUAUCAUGCCCUCGGGCUACACGAAUAGACAGGGAGUUGCCAUCUCAUAUCUCAUCAUAUCUAUACAUGCAUAAUCUAAUCCCCAAAGGAUAAAAACACCCAAGCACACAGCUCAAAACUUUUAUGUGUAUUUAGACGAGCCCCAAAGGUCUGUAUCUCAUCUGUAUCAUCUGUAUCUGUAUUAUUGUUAUCAUCAUAUCACAUGCACAUGCCCCCAAAAGGCAGAAGUGCCUCGAAAUAAAUUUUGUUCACGCAUUGAUAUUUUAUUAAAAUGUUUGGUUAAUGAUUUUUCCUAUUGAUUUUGAAUAAAUUAUGAUAGUAUUUUAAAGGCGAGAAAUGUAUUUUUAGAUGUGAUAAUGAAAAGAAAAUGGAUUUUAAGUAUGUUAAAUAGAAAAGAAACAAGAUUUAUAUUAUGAUUAUAUGUUUAUGUAUAUGUGUAUAAAAUGUUGUUUGUAAAAUCAUUGGACAAUAUCCUUCCUCGGUUACAGUGAUACAGAUAUAAUGAGGCUUUUAGAGCUCGUCUGAUCACAUAUAAAGGCUUUGGGCCGUGUGUUCAGAACAUUUAAAAUAUUUUAUUUCGCAAACAUGUUUUACUAUCAUAAUUAACUAUGAAAAUAAGUUUUGUAUAUUUUUCUCACAGUGACGAUUUUUAGAUUCGGUUAUCGCCCAUGUUCAAGGACUGGUUCUCACUCGCAGGUCUUUCUAAAUUAAGGAAAUGACAUAAUUAUUUUCCGUAAAUCGAAAUUAGGACUAAAUUUAUGCAAUAAACUCGAAACGAACAUUUAUUUAUAAUUUACAACUUUUAUGUUGAUAAAAUUAUUAAAAUACCAUCGAAUCCGUAAAUCAUUAGAAUACUCUGAAAUUGUAAAUCACUAUAAUACCCUUGAAAUCGUAAUUACAUCAAAUCCUCAAUUUCAGAAAUUAUUAAAAUCUAUAUUGGGUCAAAAAUUACAAAAUCACCCUCAAAAUGUGAAAUUACCGAAUUGCCCUAGCUAACAGUAACUCGGAAGGUCAAGUGUGAAAUUUUCAGCCACGAUGAGUCUAAUGGUGCCUGCAGUGACCUCCCACGUGUGGAGACGGUGGCAGAUCGAAGUCCCAAAGCCGUGAGCUUUCCGGCGGCCGAUCGACAGAAAUCCGGCCGUUUCGGGUGGCGGGACUGGUCGGAAAAUGAUGAGGGUGAGCUAAGGAUCAAGAUCCAGGCAGUGGCGUCAUCCAAAACUGGCGGAAUCGACAACGAGAAGAGGUGGGUUUUGCCGCAGCUUUUCGAGCUUCAAAAGGCGGCGUUCCGGUCAGUUUUCGGCGGCGAGGAUGGUCCAGAAACGAUGGCCGUCUUCCAAGCUUCAAAUCGGUAUCUUGAUCGGCCGGAGGGGGUCGGAAUUGCGAGAUAUGCCCGGGUCGAUUUUGUGUCAAACGGGUCAGGUUUUCCGGGUCGGUUUGACAUCUUCCUCCCUCCCUCUCUCACACGCGUGGUCUCUUCCUGUCCUUCAAGCCUUUUAUUUAUUUAUUUAUUAUUAUUAUUUUCUUAACCGCUUUUUUUUUUUUCUUCACAUAUGUUACGUACAUAAUUUGGAAGGUGAGGAGUUCGUGAUUUAUAAUGAUUUCUUCGGAAAAAGAUGGAUACGUAACUUAUGAUGACACUACUAGAAAAAUGAGUUUUACUGACACUAAUUUAGCGUCAGUAAUUACUUUUAUUGACACUUGUUAAUUGUGUCAGUGUUGCUCAAGCCAGAACACACUGACACUAAUUUUUAGUGUCAGUAAUUUUUGUGUCAGUAAUUUGUUUCACUAUAGUAUCACUAAAAUAAUGACACGAUGAUGUUGGUAUUUAAUGAUACUAUUUACACGUCAGUGAUUUAUGUGACUAUAGUAUCAAUAAUAAGCUAGCUCGAUAAUAUAAAAAAUUAUUAAUGUCAAUUUAAAUAUUUAGUGUCAGUAUUUAAUAAUGUUAUGCAGGAUUGGUUAAUAAAUUUUUUUUAUUCUAAUUAUAUUUUUCCUGAAUGUUUUACAACCAAAAGAAAGCUCAAAAUAUAUUAAAUAUAUAAAAUGUCACAAUAUAAUUCACAUAAUAAACAUCCCAAAUACAUCACUCAAAUUCACAUGAUUCAACUACACCACUAUCUGGAAAAGAAAAAUAUAAGUACUAAAUUAAGUUUUCAACAACCACAAAGUACUAAUUUAGUUUCCACCAAAAAGAAGCACAAGAACAUCACUCAACAUCCAUCUGCAGCUUCAUUUUUUUCCCACCUACAACAACAUAAAAUCAAUUAGUAUGGAAAUAGAUUAUCGAAAACAAAUUGAUUGUGAGUAGUUAAACAGAGCAAUUGAAGGAUGUUUCAACAACUAAUAAAACAAUAAGAAAUAAGAUUACAAUAAUACUGAAAGUUAUAGAAAUAAAGAACCUUAGCUUAAGUUGUCUGAAGAAACCAUGUUGGAUAACCUGCUACAAGUCACAGAAAACAAAACAUCUAAGUCAAUCUAAUUAAAAACUUCCUAUUUUUUAUAAUCAAACAACAGAAAUCUGCAAUCAAAACAUCCAUUUGCCCACUCAAACUUUCAGCCUUAGCAUAAACUUCUUUCACUUUAAUCUCAUAAAACUUGUCAAAUUUAUGAAACUCUCAUCAAGCCUUCUAAAAAACUACCGCUCUCAUUCCCCUCCUUCCUCAACAAUCCUCAAAAGUAUUUUCAUUGCAAAAUAGCCCAAAAAAAUUAUAGGAGUUGUUUUGACUUUAGAAUAGCAACAAAACAGCCCCGGGAAAUCUGUAGGGGCUGUUGUGCAGUGAAAACAGCCACUAGAAAUUUACAGGGGCUGUCUUGUUGCUGUUCUAUAGUAGAAACAGCCCCUGCAAAUUAACACUUUCAAAUGAAUUAGAAAAGAAAAUAAUGUUACCUAUGAUAGUCAUCAUUGUUGAAGUCAUAGCAGAUAGCCUGCAAAUUAACAAUAAUAACAGCAUUUACAUCAGUUUAUGAAACUGCUUUUAUUGGUUUUUUUUUUUGCAAGGAUAUGUAUAUAAAUAAUAGUGCAUUUAAACUUACAUAUAUAAUGCAUCUUAGAUCAGCCAUUAAUGUGGUAUAGUUUUUGUAAAGUACCCUAUUUACCUCAGAAACUUCAUUUUCCUCUAUGCCAAGAUUUUGAAUUAUCUAUUAUACACAAAGUAAAUUUGUAGAAACUAGUUAUACAUUUGUUAAACAAAUAAACAACUUAAAUGACAAAAGUUUACUAACUGAAUAGAAAUGCACCAAGGUCAUUAUAAAUUGGCACUACUUACUGAAAUGAUCAACAACAUUGACACUAACACCUCAUACAUAAAUUCAGAUUUUAAGCGUAUAAAGAGAGUUCAAAUGAAUGAUUGCUUAUACAUUUUAUAACAGAUUUUACAACAAUAAAGUAGAUAAAUGGCAACUCUACUAGAGGUAUGUUUCUAGUAUAAGGAAUCAAGCAUAAGUAAAGGAGCAAGGUAGUAUCUUAUCAUCCGCAUAAUCAACACACCAUGACAGAAAUCGAAUCAAAUAAAUACUACGAGUGCCGAAUGGAAGAAAGAAAUUAAAACAUUUUCUGUAAAAUAUUAUUAUUAAUCAAUAACAUGUCUUAAUAUAAAGCGAAAAGUUUCCGAUGAUAAUAUAAAUAUCCAAAACUAUAUAGUCAAAUACUCAAAAGCUGAAACCAAAAUAUCAGAAAAAAAUUUAUAAAAGCAAUAACAUGUGAUGUCUUAUCAUUUACAUUUUUCGAUAAACAUACUUGCCGCAUGCGAAGCACGGGACAUCCUCAAGCCUGGCAAGUCAUUGACGACAUGGUUUCCCUUAUUUGCCGCUUAUGCAAAGGUGAAACGCUACCUCAUUCUUUAAAACACAUCAAAGUUUGCUGUCUUCUCCAGCCAUAUUUCAAUCUGAAAAGGAGCAUUACAAGAGCAACAAUCAGCUCCUGAAUGUGAUAUUAUAAAAAGAAUUCUGUAUCACAUAUAUCCAAAUGACCUGAACAUCAACACAAAAUAUUAAUCAUCCUAGAGGGAAAUCAACAUUGCUGACAAAACCACGUCUACCAAAUAUAAUGUACACAGAAUUAUCCAAAAAUAUGAUGACCUAAGAUCCUCCAAAUCACCAGCUUUAAAUAAAAAAGUCCCCCCAAAUCACCAUCAAAAUUUGACUACACUGGGAGAAUGACGAAGAAGCAGAAAAUCAAAAAGAAAAAGCUAUAUCGUCCAUUCUUGCAAUUUCUGAAAAUGAAGGAAUAUGAAGAGGACCAUCCACAGCAGGUUUUUAUGUUGCACGUAUGAUACAUUAGUAAACCAUGCAGAAAUUGAAAGAAAGCACAAAAAGAUAAAGCAUCCAUUUACCUUGGCUUUCUGGACGGGUCGUCCUCGAGAUUCAUCCCUCAUAUCAACUGUCGAGGUCAUGAUCUCUGCAAGAGUACAUGUUAAUUACUGAACAAAUUGAAACUUCAUGGGUGGGGUAAAAGAUGUCUUAACUGGAAAUUAGAAAAUCUUACUCUUCUCAACAGCCAAACCAUUGUUUUUCAGAAUUUCAGCAACUGUGACAACUGUGGCAAUAGCUGCAGAAAUAACGAGAAAAAAGAAGCUUUAAGCGCAGAAUAAGCCAUCAUAAACAUUAUGUCAGAACAAAGUAAGAAAGACUUGUUUGAGCCCAGUAAUGGCAUUGGCAUGGACUAGAUGGAAUAAAAUGCAUUCAAAUGAAAGCUAAUUCGAGCACAAGUAUGUUUAUCGAAAAAUGUAAAUGAUAAGACAUCACAUGAUAUUGAAGAAAUCAGGAGCAAUAAAAACUGUUCACAGGAUAAAUUAAAAAGUGGAAUCUCAACUCACUGUCUCAGGCGGCCGGCGCGAUGGCGACGGCUGAACGCGGCUGCAAAAGCAAUAAUUUAGACUGGAGGGUGAGAUGGUGACCAGAGACGGAGAAAGUGAGAGCGACUAAACGAGCGUGAAAGAGAGGGGUUGUUGCUGCUGUGUGUGCCUUCAGAGAGAGAGUGAAAGCGAGCGAGCUACUGCAGUGUGUGGUGCGACCCGCUGGGCUGCCGCCGCCGCCGCCGCCGCGUGGGCUGCGUGUGCCGUUGUCAUCGUGCGUGCUACUAAGGCCUUAGAGAGGGGCUGCCGCUGGUUAGCGCUUAGGGAGAGUUAGGGAUUUAGGCACUUGGAAUUUUAGGGAUUUGGAUUUUAGUUUGUUUGAGAGGGAACAAAUUUUGGUGGAGGGAGAUCGAAAAUUUUGUGUUAAAUUAUAGCAAAGGGUUUGUAGUUAAUUAUAUACGGUUUAACCAAACAAAGAAAAUAUGCACACAAGUGGUUUGUAGUUUGAAAUUAAAAUUUUAACUUCGGACAUAUUGAGUUCGAGUCCAAGUAAAAACAUAAUUAGAAUUAUAUUUGUUUUUAUCACUGAUACUAAAGUAUCAGUAAUUACUGAGUUUUAUGCUACUGACACUUUAGUACCAGUGAUUUAUGAUACAUAUUUGUUAAAUGGAAAAAAUGAUCCAAAUGUAUAACAUUACUGACACUUUUUACGAAGUGUCAGAAACGAAGUGUCAGUAAAGGUCAUUUUUGUAGUAGUGUGAUUUUUUUAUCAUAGUUCGGAAGAUGAUGAAUCCAUAAUUUAUGAUGAUUUUUUAAUAUAUAUAUAGUGGUUUUUCAAUCAGGGAUUCCUGACUUUAAUAAAGUCAGGGAUCAGCUAAAAGACAAAUAUACAGUGUAUUUGAGUAUGUAUUUAUUUUAUCUUUUAGUUAAUUCCUGACUUUAUUAAAGUCAGGGAUCCCUGAUUGGAAAACUACUAUAUAUAUAUAUAUAUAUAUAAUUUUUGUUUUAAGAUAGAGAGGUUGCGAAGCCCAAAUCAAUUUUUAAUUAUAAUCUUAUCAAAAACUAUUAAAUUAAUGGUAAUGGGACCAAUUUACUGUACAAAUUGCCAACAACAUAAAUUGUGAUUGAUUUGUUACUUUUAUGCAAUUUUGUAUAAACUGAGCCUUGGAGCCAUAUGAUACAAGAAGAGUCUGAAUUAUUAUUAUUAUUAUUAUUAUUUCAAUUGUUUUUUAAAUUCGUGGAUGAAGCUGAAUGUUUUUUUUUUUCCUUUCUUGAUGAAAAAUAUAUUCUUUGGAUAAUGACUUUCAUUCUGAUCUAAAUUUUCAUUUGAGCACAUACAUGUGGGUGUAAGUUGUCAAUAUAAUGCAAUAAUGAUUCUAUAAAAAAAAAAAAAAAAUUUCAUGUUGAUGAUAAUGAGUAAACAGAUAGAUCAUACAUUCAUUAUUUAAUUUGAAAUACACACAGUACAUUAUUAUUAUUUGCCACACCAAACCCAUUUUUUACAUGAAGUAAUACGACACACCCAAAGGAAUAAUGAGCAGAAGUGAAGCCGAGAAAGUAAUCAUGCUUGCUAAUACAGAGAAGAAGAGUAAAAUGAAGCCAGUCGUCAGCUUGAACGGAAGGUUGCUAAGGAAAUCAGAUGACUCACGUGGCGAGGUGAGGAUAGAUAGAAACAUCACAACGGAUGACAAAGAUAAGGACAGCGAGGCAACGUCCGUUACGGUAAAAACGUAGAAGAGUGGUGACGUAAGGAAAUUGGGAAACCCCCUAUCAUUGUUACCUCCAGGUACCGUGAAGGCAGCUGUAAAGACGACGGUUGCGAUUAGGAUUGCCAGUACGGAGCAUGCCUGAGCGGUUUCUUUGAUCCAUUCUUGUGCUUUCCUAAGUUGAUCUUCAUGUGUUAGAUCGAAGAGGUCACUUGCAGUGAUGUUCUUUUUUUUGUCGCGGUGCAUGUAUAAUGGCGAGGCAUUAUCUCUUUUACGCGCUGCAUAUGCACACACACACAUCUAUAAUGCAUGGAGUCCAUCAGAAAAUAUAAAUAUAUAAUAUUAGAGUAUGCUUUUAUUUAUAUAAACACAACGAAUAAAUUAAAUGUACUUGGGGGACAAAAUUAAAUAUUAUCAAAGGGCUUACCUCGAACCACUGUAACUCCUCCUGAAAUUGGAGAACAGGACCAGGGCGGAUUCCUUGCUUAUAAUGUUUCAUGUCUGCAACGUGGUGAAAUAAUGUAUAGCCUUUUUUGUCAAUUCUGGCAGCCCAUUUGGGCACGUACAGUUGCAUUUCCUUCAUGAUGAGUUCAAAGACCUUAUGUUGACGACGCUUUACGGCCACAUGUAAUAUAUUCUGCUCUUUCCGCUCAUUCACGUCAGAUAAUAUUGCUUGAGGAUCUCGUUGGAGUAUCACCUCCAAAAUUUCUGUUAUUCCGUUGCUAGCUGCAAACCGUAAUGUCCUAUCCUCUGUUGUGUCGUUUUUACGAUCAUCAACUUCUUCCUUAUUUCUUUUUCCCUCAGCACCUCGAUCAAUUCUUCAGCUGAAAGAUCAACAAGUUUUUUUCCCAAGAUGUCCCUUCCUUUGCCGAAUCCCAAGGAAAUUGCGGAAAUUUCUUGUUUCUCUUUCGUUGUUUCAGCCUUUUGGGGAUUAGAGGAAGGGUUCAACCUUUCUAUUUCAACCAGCCUUUUGACAAGUACAACAGCAUCUUCAUGCAUUUUCUUUUCCUUCCAGAUUUCCUCAAUCCAUGAACAUCCUGGUCAUGCAUGCAUCAACAUCUUAUUAAUUUAUGAAAAAAAAUUUGCACGCAAACGGCAAAACCGUUCAUCAAAUGAAUUGAAGUUAUUAGACAUUUCCCCUGUACUUCUAAUGUGUCUCAUUUUUGUAGAAGUAAUUAAUGAGAUUAUUAUUGGUCGAACCUUUAAUCACUUGCCUCCAAAAACCAAUGCACAUCUUCCGAAUUAAAAUUCUUGCAUUUUGAUUAACCUGAUCAGGAAAAAUUUUACAACUACAUGUACAUAUUUAUGAUAUGAAAAAUUAAUGCUAACACAGCGAAAAGGAAACCGCUCGGACUCAAGUUAGAAGUGAGGCGGUUUAAAUAUGAAGAGACAUGUGGAUGCCAUUUAGUUGAGAUGGUACAUAUUUUUGUCUGUAAUUUGUAGAUAAGGUCCUUAUCAUAAGAACAUGUAUGAGUCCAUAGAAACUAAAGAAAAAGGGAACUUCACCUUUGCCCCAACUAUUUGAGGCGUUAUAUACUUUUCCUCAUGAUAUUUUCAAAAUGGUCAUGUACCCUCGUUGUAAAGAAGAAAAUACAUUAAAACAAUCGUUUCACUAUUUUGUCCUUGAAACAACAUACUUUUAUCCUAGAAAUUAAUGAAUAAAAUAAAAUCUAAAUAAUUAUUUUAAUAUUAAAUUUGUUAAAAUAUAGAUUGCAACAAAUCUCUGAUCAAUCUCUUUGUCAUUUUUUUCCCCCUAACGUGCCAAUGAAAAUAUGAAAAGCAGACUUUCUAUUUGAUACAGAGAUAUUUUUCAAAGAUCAGGGGGAGAGUGGAUAGUAGCUCAAAUGUUUCGGGGGAACAAAUAGGUUUCUAAAGAAAAAUACAAAACAGGAGUAUACAAUGAUAUAUUUUGCAUGCUGUUGUUAAUUUCGUUUGAAAGAACUAACCUUAGUAUUAUUUUAUUUAUUGAUCUUUUAGUCUCAAAAUUAAGACUUCCUUUGGCUUCUAACAAAUAUAGAUCAAACUUUAGUUAUUAAUAGAAAAUUUAUGGGUAUUUUAUAAAAUUGAGCACCACUAGAUGUCAACUAAAAAUUUGAGUAGAUUUAUCAAUAAGUAACUGUGAAGAAAAAAAAAAACCAACUUAAAAGCCAAACUGACAAAGUGUUUACAAGUGAUUAGUUGUGCAAAAAGCUAGCCAAAACAAAUACAGCCCAAGUACGAUCGACAGUCGUACGCCGUAGCUAACGCCUAAAUCUGUUUGUUCGGAUUUUCAUUUUUCAAUUUAUGGAGUUAUAAUGAUUAAUGAAACCACUAUAUUAUGAUUAUGAACAAAUUAAAGCUGCUCUUUCACCAUUACCUUGCCUCUUCUUCGUGUGGCCCAUGCGAUUGUCAAUCUUAUGAGUCUCCAAAUCUUCUUUGUAAUUGCAGUCGUCAUCCAGAUACGUUUGAAGAAAUGGAAAUAGAACUACGAUUGAAAGUCAAUAUUGUAAGUUCUAAUUAUGUAGCAAAGCAUUUAAAAAUAAAAAAAUUCACUAAUCCCUCUCUAUGUGUAAAUACAAAUUAACUAAAAUGUUUCUUCUAAUUAAUUUGCUUAUUGUUUCCAUUGUAACCGCAUGCACCCAUAUCAACAAGACUGUAUAUCUCCCUAGAGAUUAAAUUAUAUGUGCAUAUAAUCAAUAUAUUAAAAAUGUUAAAAAAACUGAAGGCGGAUAGAGUAUUGACAGAUACAACAGUAUCUCAGUCGGGGCGGGUGUACCCUUGUUUGCGUAUACCUUCCAUGAGAACGCUGAUAUUAUGAAAAAAAUACUGAGAAAAAACAACAUUAAAUGCUAUCAAAUUUACAUAGUUAAUUGCUAAUACUGUAACCCCGACCGAGUGUGUAUCCACUUCAUAUGUCGGUGUUUAGUCUCUUUUUCCGUUUUUUUUCCAAGUAAUUAGUUUAUGUAUAAUAGACUCAAGUCAAUAUUGAUACUUAUUCAUUUUUAUAUUUUUCUGCUGUAAAUAUCUUUUAUGUAUAUUUUAGUUACAACUGUACACAUGAUACUAGGAAUUGUUGUCACUUGUCAAGGAAUCGGUUGAAAAAAUUCUUCUCUUGUAUUAUAAAUAUUCAGUGAACUCAAAUGAGAAAUAGUGGAGUCACAUUUUCCAAACCUGACAUCAAACAAUAUAUCCACGUACGAUAAUGGAAAGGACUCCUCAUUUUCUUCGUGGCAUCCCCACUCUUGAAAGCAGUUGGCAUUAGAGCUAGUAGUUCAAGACAUGUCAAGCGAUUAAGCCUGUUGGGCUUGGACGAGGGCCCGUCGCACGUGGACAAGAGCUCGUCGGACGGCGGUGUUGCACGUUUGUCUGCAAGUCUUGAGUCGUGGUUAAGUAACCAAAUAGCAGUCUCUGUACGUAUUUAAGAAAAUUAAUUAAUUAGUUAAGAAAAUAAAUAAUAAAAUUUUUUUUAACUUUUGAUCUAUAAAUGAAUGAAUGAAUUGGAGAUUUAACUAUUAUUUAUUACCGAAGUGUUGGCCAAUGACAGCCAUAUGAAGAAUUGUCAUAUCAUCUUCCUUUCUACGGAAAUGACAACGUAAGUCACCAACUUGCUCAGUCAAGAUUUGCAACAGUUUAGUUUUCCCGAGAGCAGCAGCCCUGUAAACUGGGGUUUCCCCCAAACCGUUGCAAGCCUCAACUAGACCCUUGUACGCAUCACCGGACUUUCUGGAAAAGUCAACCAAAAUACUGGCCACGUCAUAAUUUUCGACGACGGCCGCUUCGUGAAGACCGGUGUUUGUAAACGCAUCUGUUUGCUUCAAGACUCCAAGUCUGGUCUCCGGUGUUAGCCUUUCGAGAAAUUCCUGGAUCAGCCGAGGGUCUUCCAUGGCCGCUGCAAUGUGAAUUGCGGAGUCUCCAUUGGCUGUCCUGUUAUCCAACAACUCUUUAGCAGGCCAAUCAGCAAAGCACUCCAAGAAGCCUCGACAGUCUCCGUUCAAGGCCAUUCCAACAGGAUCUCCCAUCGCCCUCUCUCUCUCUCUCUCUCUCUCUCUCUCUCACUUGUAUAAUUGAUGCACAGAACAAGCUAUACGAUGUUCUUCGAUAUCCAUAUAAUUAAUUACUUCCAUCGCCGUCCCUUAUAUAGAAGUUCUAAACGAAGUUGGCAUAAUCACUUUGCCUAUUUUACUAAUAAAGCUCGAGCAUUAUAAGGGAAAAAAAAAAAGUUCGAAAGUGACAAAACGGAAAAGAUGGUAAAAGAACAAAGUUCUGAAAAGAGAAGUGAUUAUUGAUGAAAAUUUGUUUACAUUGUACGGUAUUGUUCCUUAAAUUCAUAGAAUGUGAAGUUACCAAAAGAGCAAAGUUAAAAGUAAAAUAAAAUUAUUAUGUUUGAGAUAAAAGAGAAAAAGAAUAAGAAAAAGAAAACGCAUGCAAUUAAAAAUGAUAUUUUUUGUUGAUUCAAGAGGCCAAUCACCUCUGAAAUGAAAUUAACUUUUGUCUUUCUAUGUGUUUGGGAACGAUAUAUUAUAUAUGCAAAAACGAACAGUUGUAUCUAAAAUUACAUUUGGGAAAGUAUAAAGAUCACGUUCCACGUCAUAACGUUUGUUAACAAAUGAUGUCAAUAAAAAGAAUAGAAUAUAUAAAUUAUUUCCAGGCUCAAGUUACAGCUCCGAGAAGGUGUAGGGUCCAUGUUGUACAUCAUAAGGUUUGUUAAUCAAUGGUGUCAGAAAAAUAGAGUAGAAUAUAUAUAAUUUAUUUCCACAACUUAAUUUUGUCUCCAUUGCUUUUUCCGCGAAUAUAUAUAAAAAGAGUGGGAGAGAUCCUAACCCUUACUUUAAUAACAUGGUGAUUAUUGUAAACGCGAUUGUGCUUUGACUAGACUAAAGCCUUUUGCUAUUCUACAUGUUAUCAUUAUUUCUCGUCAUGGAGUGGCAGCCAAUCAUUAAAAAAUAAAUAAAAAUGUAAAAAUAUUUGGAAAGUUUAAAACUUAUGAUAGAAUUCGGCCUUAUUUUGUAUAGAUGUGUUGUGAAAAUCAACUGUAUACUAUACUGUAAAUAUAGCUUUGGAAAAAUAUCUUUACAGACUUUUAUUGUAAAAUCAACUUAACUUCCAAACCAUAACAGUAACUAUUUAUUAAAUACUUUAUUGAUCUAUUUUAAAAGCUUUCACUGCUCAAUUACAAUACCAAACAAGAUGUUGACCUAAGUUGGUUCCAACCACAAUACCAAAUAGGGACUUACAUUCUAUCAGUUAAGUCAUUAAGUUUAUUUCUUUUUUUAACUUAUUACAAAUUUUCAACCAUUAAGCUAUUAAGCUAUUAAGCCAAUUUUCUUACCUUCUUAUUUAAUCUAAAAAGUCUGAAUAAUGUUAUUAAAGAUAUUAUUUAAAAUAUUCCUAUCCAACUAAUUUAUUUUCAUCUUUACCUAAAUAUAUAAAACUUACUAAUUAGCAUACUAUUCAUCUUUAUAACUUGUGAGAAUAUAGUAUAUUUUUUAUUUUAAUCUUUUUUAUUUUCUUCAAAUUAGCAUUAUCUAUUUUUGUAAUUUUUUAUGAGUAUUUUUUUAUAUGAAACACCAUAAAGUGCAAUAGAAUUGAUUCACACGUUCUAAUUUAGAAUAUUAAAGGGUUGUAUUCACCUUAACAUGAUUCAUGUUAUGAUAGAAUAAUAUCAUAUUUUUGUUCAAUGAGAUUUUAUUAUUUAUUUGACAUUUGAAAUUUAUGAGCGUACAAAUGUAAAAGUAUUGGUUUUUAGAUUUUUAAGUUGAAAAAAAUAAUUAUCGUUCAAAAAUUCAUAUUAAAAAAAUAUGUUAUUUGGAUUUAAACGUUUAGCUCUAUUCAAAAUUCAGAUUAACUUGGGUCUACUCAAAUUUUAGAUAAAAAAAACAAAUGUCACCUAAGUAAAUCUAUGAUGAUACAAGCAUAUUAGUAUUUAAAAAAAAAAAUCAGCAUCUUCUUUUUUUAAAUAUUACACAAUAUAAAUUAAGCUUCAUAGAAUGCGAGUGUGAAUGGAAUUUAAAGCAUAUGGCCAUUCUUCCGUAGCUGUCCUUAUCUCAUCCAUAAGUGCCAUCUCUGUCUCUCACGUAGUCACUGUAUAAUUGAGACACAAAACAAGCUAUACGUGUUCUUCGAUAUCCUUAAUUUUACUUGUCUUAAUAUAUAUGAGUAGGUUUGAUGCAUCCUUCUACAAAUUCUCUAAACUAAGUUGGCAUAAUUAUAAGAAUAAAAUAAAGUUAGUCCGUCGGGUCAAGAAAAAGAAUAGAAUAAAUUAUUUAAUUUCAAAACAACUUUAAUCCUUCCGCGAACAUAAUAAUCACAUUUAUUCUACCGUGUUCUUCGAUAUCCUUAAUUUUACUUGUCUUAAUAUAUAUGAGGUAGGUUUGAUGCACCCUUCUACAAAUUCUCUAAACGAAGUUUGUAAUAAUUAUAAGAAUAAAAUAAAUUUAGUCUGUUGGGUCAGGAAAAAGAACAGAAUAAAUUAUUUAAUUUCCAAACAACUUUUGUCUUUCCGCGAAUAUAAUAAUCAAAUUUAUUCUACCGCUUUUGUCUCCAUUGCUGAAUUUGUCCGCGAAUAUAAUAAUCUCCAUUUUAUUUAAGUAAAGGCGAUUGUACUGUGCCUAAGCGUAAAGCCAUUUGCUAUUUUGGCGGCUACAUGUGUUACAGGCCAAUCCACGUGCCAAGAAUAGACAGGACUUGUCCAUGCAUAUCAUAAAGUGCAAUAAAAUUGAUUCACAUGUUGUAAUUUAGAAUAUUAAAGGGUUGUAUUUGAUAAGGAAAAAGAUGAUAAGGAAAGAACUCAAUCAUUGGAAAAUCAUGAAGAUCAAUUUACGGAAAGAACUCAAUCAUUGGAAAAUCAUGGAGAUUAAUUUGCAGAAUGCAUAGCACUAUCAAAGGGAUUUCCAACGUCUAGAUUAUCUCUAUAGAAUAUCUUCAAUGAUUUAAUUCUUUUAUAAAUAUUCCUUUUAUGCUAGCAGUACAUAAAUUUCAUGCAUUAGUGGGUAUGAUUUGGCCAUUAGUUAGGACAGCAAUAAGUAACUGGACUCGCGAUUAAGUAACCAAAUAGCAGUGUCUCUGUGCGUGAUAAGUCAAACGAAUCAUCAGUUUGAAGCAACUGUGGCAACAUGCGCUGCAUUAGCUAGCAAGGGGUCGACACUCAACACGAAGACCCCUUUAAGGCAAAUUCUGGAUGUUAGAGAUUAUACUAAUGAAGAAUUUGAUCACCGUGAACAUAACUCAAUAGCAACAGACCUGAUGCAUCCCAACGGCUCCUAGAAUAUCAUGCAUAAGAUUAAGUCAUGAGAUUGCAUCAACGAUCAAGCCUUUAUUUUAUGUAAAAAAACAAUCUCAAUUACUUUCUCAUAUUUACAUUUUCCACAGUACGUAUGUAUUCAAGCAGGACAGAAAUGUAAUUAAUUAAUUAAAAAGAUAGCAAUAAAUGUUUAAACUCUUGAUAUAUAAAUAAAUAUAUUCAUUAAUAUAAAUAUAUUCACUACUACUCAUAUAUAAAUAAAUAAAUUCAUUAAUAUACAUAUUUUAGUUUUCUGAAAUACAGAAUGAAUGGAAAGAUUUAAUCAUUAUUACCCAAGUGUUUGGCAAGGACAGCAAUAUGAAGAAUGGAAAUUUUGUCCCAACAAAUCUUCGGCAGUUAGUUGAGCAAAGUAAUCCAAGAAGGCUUCACAGUCUCUCUUCAAGGCCAUUUGUUAUCAUCUCCACUGCUAUCUAUCUCUUUCUCACUUGUACAAUUGACACACAGAACAAGUUGUACGUACCCGUUCUUCGAUAUCCGUAAUUUUAAAAUUGACCAUUUUCUCACUCUAAGAAAUUUGGGAUAUGACAUAGAACUAGAUCUCGAUUGUAUUGCGGUGUUGUGGAAAAAAAAAGGAUAUAACUAAAAUAAAAGUCAAUAUUUUAUGAUCAAUAUAGUUUUUAAAUAAUUUCGAUAAAAAUAAUAAAGAAUAUUAUAGAUUUUCAUUCUACAAGUGUGGAAUAAAAUUAACUUAAUUUUCAAAUCAUAAGUCAAUAAUAAUAAAUAUUUGCCAAAUAUUUUAAUGUUGUAGUUUAAAAAGCUACUCUAUACACAUCCUUGAUUGUACAAGCAUAUUAUUAUUAAAAAAAUUAUCUAUUUUUUUGUUAAUUACUUCUUUUUCCAAUUAUUGCAAAAUAUAGACAAAACUCAUGCUUGGUCGAACGUUUUUAUUGUUAAUAGAUUAUUGUAAGUUGACUAUAAACUUGGUUGAUAUUCAGUAUUCGACGUAAUGUCUUGGCCGGAUGUGGUUUGUUUGAGGGAAAUACUCCGACGAGACCAGACGUGAUGAGCAGAUGUUUGGUGGCAGAAGUCUGCGAGCAGGUGUGUCCUGUAAGAGCCAGGUAGCAGGGGAACAGGGGCAGGAAUAUCCUGCUCAUCCACGACCACGUCAUCCGCGAGGCCAAUUUCCUGUAAGAAGCAUAAAGCCAUUCCUGCUGUAUUCUUGCUAAGGGUUGAUUCGAGGAGACCCGGUCAACGACAGUUGGCGAGACAUGCUCUCCAGCCCGAGAAUCUAGGCACGAAGGCCACGCAACCACCCACGACUACGGAAAUGGGGAAUCCACGUUCGAGAGGUGGGAGGAUAACGGGCGUAGACUGCGGAAAACUGGGAUUCAGAGGAAGCCUAUAAAAAAGUUGCCAACGAAGGUAAAAGGGUUAGCAAUUUUGAGAUUAGAACAGAGAUUAAAGAAAUUUUAAAGAAGAGAAAACUACCCAAAAGCCAUAAGAUCUGUGGCAAGCGUACCCCGAACCUUCAUAUCUGACUUGAGCGUCGGAGGGUUUACGCCGGGAAAACAACUGGCGUGCUCUGACUUGUUUCUGUGGACGCAGGAAUACUUGGAGACAAAAGCAUACUAGGAGAGAUCCUGGUCGAGGUGAGGUUGAUCGAGCAGAUAUCCUGGUAGUAGAAAGAGCGUAACCAGAAUCUCGCAUCAACAUAGUUAUUCCAUUGCAUCAAUUAAUUGCACGGUUGAAUACCAUAAUUGUUUUGCCUUAAAACAUUUUCUAAUUUCUUUCUUGGACGUUCUUCAAUAUUGAGAAAUAUAUUUAAUUUUCUCCGAAUUUUUUUUCUUUCAUAGUGACAUAAUCCAAAAAUUUAAGGGUCCAUUUGAUUACAAUUCAAAAAUAAUUUAAACAAAUAUAAUCUCAAAAUUUGUGUUGAAGUUUUAAUGUGUUUACUUUUUAUUAUUUAGCCUGACAGCACUCAAUUCCCUCUCCACCUGUGUGAACGGAAUUUAACUCCUAAAUCUCUUGUUUCAAGAAACUAAAAGAGAUUUUAUUAUCUUAACUAAAUGGUAACUACAAGCUUUAAUGUCUUUAUAUAAUAUUUAAAACAAACAAUUUCAACAACUGAAACAUGUUUAACAAAAUUUCUAAUUAAUAAAAAAUAAAAAUACUUGUUUAGGUGGUGUGAUUUCAAAGGUAAUAUUUACUUAAGCAUUUACAAUUUUAUUUUCCUUUCAGCUAAUUACAUUAUAUCAAGCAGUAACUUGACCAAAAUAAGCAUAAAACAAGCUUCAUCAAGAUUCAAUAUUGAUUAUAUUCUGUUAGCUUCUAUUCUGUUACAUUAUACCUGUUAGGCUUGCCACCAAAUAAAAGCUGGCGCAGUUGUGUGUCACUUUGCACGUUCAUCUACUUAGCAUCAGGACAAUGCUUAGAUGCCCAUUUUCGGAACCUGUUAACGGCAGCUUCUUGCUCUGCUCUGGCCACCUUCUCAAUCUCAGAAAGAUAUUCCCGAUCAACCAACAUCCCCUCAGUUUCCAUUUUAACUAGAAUCUCACCGAAUGGUUGCCAGUAUUCCGGAUAAAAGUAUUUUUUUUCAAGCUCUUACAAAGCUUCAGUGUGUUUAUUGAAUCAAAGGCAGAAUAAGAGAUCCACAAUUCUCGCUCCUCUCUUUGAAGCUCUUCAACAGGAGCAAUGGUGCUUAUUUUGCCAGCAGAUCCAUCCUUUUUCAACUUUCUCCUGCCAAAGAUAUCUUUCAUUGAUAUUUUGCCCAUGAAACGCUCAUCUGUGUUGUCCUUAGACAUGUCUUUCUGAUAAGCUUUCUUAUCCUCAGACAUGACUUUCCGAUCACCUGUAAGUGAUUCAGACUGUAACCACCCUCUGUGUGUCUCGAUGAAUCCCAAAGCUGUGCCAUAUGCAUUGUGUCAGCAUGAAAACCAGAAACCUUCAGCCCAUAGUUCUCAAGGACAUGGUUAUCAAAGCUAUAGUUAUGCCAAACCUACACAAAUGAUAGCUGUUAAUAUAAGAUCAUAUGAAAAAGCAGACGACAUAAUUUUUUUUUCUUUUUUUGUGAUCCAAGUAAACUAAUACAGAGUAAAGCAGUUUGUUUAGCUAAGUAAAGGAAAUUGGAUCAGUUACGUCUAUAGAAGGUGGAAACAGCUAGAAAUCCACCAUAAAAAGAGAGAGAGAGAGAGAGAGAGAGCACAGAGAGAGGAAACAGCUCUGCAACUGAGCAGAGUAUUUCCUUUCUUUGAUCGGCGUACAACAUAUUUUCCUCAACUAACAUAAAUAGCUAUCUAAGGGGGAAAUUGGAGUUUUAGGUUUCAUCAAAUCUAUGAACUGUACCACACGGGUAGGAGAACAUAGCAUAGAUGUAGAGGUAAACUUGUAACCCAGUAGACAGCAAUGGGAACCCUAGCUUAAAUUGGAAAAGAGCAACAAAACUUGAGGAGAAAAUGCACAGCGUAGGCAGUCACCGUAAAUCUUAAACCUGUCACUGCAAAGCAAUGACAAUAAAACUCCAUCUAAUUAAACCAUAAUAUGUGAAAAAUCAGUUAUCCAGAAAUUUACUAAAGCGCAUAACCAGCUGCAAGUCCAAUGCUUGAACCGUGCACCAAUCACAUAAUGACUGGUGCAGAUUAUCAAAGAAAUAUCCGCCAAUCCAUUUCUCCAUACUGCUAACCAGAUGAUAAUUAUUCUAAUUAAAAAAAAGCGUGCAUAUGAAAGGGACUAUAAACAAGAAAAAGAUGGGGUGAAGGGGGAGGAAGGGCUCACUUUUUUGAUGGAUGGAUCCUCAAAAGAUGGAGCAAAUUCAUUAAAAAGGUCCCUGCCACCACCGUCAAGAAGAUCAACCCAGAUGCAGGACUUCCCAUUUCCAAAAUCUGCUUCUGGUCCAGAAUAAAUACUGAAGCAUAUCACUUCUCCAUGAUCAACAGGUGUCUCUUGCUUCACAUCAAUUUUGGCCACCAAUAAACAUGCUAUAAUUAGAUUCCUGUAUGCACAAAACUAGGAUAUCUAGUAUCUACAUUGAGUAAAAUGUGUGCUUCUAUACAGGAAGACAUGCAAGGAAGAAGUAAAAAAGAAGGCAACUAAGUACAUCACUCAUUACCUGCCGACAAAAAAUAAAAUAAAAGUACCAAUUUCAACUAGAAGAAGAAAAGAACAAAGUACCUCAGUAUCACAUGCAUGGACAAGAUGCUUAUAUUUGUUUGUAAGCAUCCAUACAACCUUCUUUGCGGCAGAAACAUUAUCGACAACCAUAACAUUGCUGUAGAAGCUAGCAAGUUUACUGCGAAGAAUCUCAAGUUUUUCACUAUUUUCAUUUUCUGAAGCCUUUAUGUUCUGGCCAGUACCUUCUGCAGCAUCAUUCUUAGGAUUCUUUUGAUUACUUCGCUUAGAACUAACUAGUUUUGGAGGAGGUGAAUAGGAACUACCAUCUUCAAAGCACUCAAUCUCUGAGUUCCUGAAAUCUGACAAGUUGGGAGCUGUCAAAACAGUGGCUCCUUUUCUCUCUUGAUAUUCUGCAACUUCCUUUUCAUAUCGCAAGCACUCCAUAUUAGUCUUCUUGUCUAAGGGUAUUUGAUCAUUCACAAAGUCUUUGCUUUUUUCUUCACUGCCAGUAACUUGUUUAGUAACAGCCAUCACAGAUCCAGGAUGAUUCUUAGGAUGGCCACCUACUGCACCAUUUCUGAGAUCUGCUAGUCCCUUAAAAAUGGGCUUCUUCUGCUGCUCAAAUUUCUGAAAAUAAUGUGGCUUAGAACUCGUGAUUGGAGAAAAGAAACUACUGUCUUGCAAGCACUCAGUCUUUGAUGAAGUAAGUGAUCUGUUGUGCUUGGACUCCAGUAUGUUGAUAACAGUAGAAAUGGCAGCUCUUUUUCUAUCUUGAGCUUUUGCAUCUUCCUUCUCAUCUCUCGAGCUCUCUGUAUUUGUCUGACAAGAUUCUACUUCUUUCAUUACAUGCAGUCUGGUCGUUUCUGUCAUCCACCCUCUCGAACUGUGGAUAGUAUUUUUUGCAGAAAAUGUUUCAUUGCUGAAAUUAGAAGGAUUAGGACGAUAGAAGGAUGCAACCUCCAGAAAUUGUUUUCCAUGAAGUUUUUCUCUUUUUUCAUCUAUUUUUGGCAGAUCAAAAGUUCCUUUCGAGGAGUAGUUUCCUUCAAAACUGUUGAGAUCUUGGCAGAAAGGGACCAUCUUAGCUGAUGAAGCACCCACCGAAAGUCUAUAAGCAUAUUUUUUAAUGGGAAAUCUCCUAGCAUUGUUAAAAGAACUAUAAAAUCGGGGAAAACUACUCGACAUCAUAAUGUUGGGAAAGGUAGUGUUCGUUACGCAGCCUUCUCUCCUGAAAUUUUUUUCAAUGGAAACAAUAUCAAAGGCAGCAGAAGGUCAAGCAACCAUGAUAAUAUACAAAUUGCUUCAUGCCAAGUAAGAAAGGGAAACAUCUCAAACAGCGCCAAUAAGAAUUUAGAACCGUAUGCACAGCUCAAAUCCACUGAAAGCUGAACAUCAGUACAGGAUGACAUUUGCAACAUAACAUAUCAUAUCAUAAUCACACAUAGCAACAAUAUGGCAAACCAAAACCCAGUUAACAGAAUUAAAAUGUGGGUGUUACAUAAUCUUCAAAAGUCAAAACCCAGAUAGCAAAAGCUAUGCACGCAAAAAUACAAUCUCUUUAACUUCUCCAAUUGAACAAAGCAAAACUGUAAGUGGGUAUCAAAUAACCCUAAAAACUCAGAAAGCAAAAGCAAUAAACAGCACGAAAACACAACAAAUAAGAGCCGUUUAAAAGAAGUGAGAGGGACAUUAGGAGAGGAGCAAGGAGACCACUUUCUGGUGGUGAGAUUCGUGGAGACUCCCAUGACCGUUAUCAAGUUCCCAACUUUUGUUCUGCUAAACAGCAGCUUGUUGCCAGCGGUGCUUGUGCUUGUAAGAGCCGUUUUGAAGGGUUUAAGAGGGGGCAGAACGGUAAUAAAGGUGGGAUUUUGAGGGUGGGGUUUAAGAGUGUGGCGGGUCUGUGUCUGUUUCUGUAGCUGAAAUACCGAGUGUGGCCAUCAACGGUCAGAACUCAGCAGUCGGCACUACUUGACGAGCCAGCGACAAUGGUUAUAGCUAAAACCCUUCGUUGCACUGGCGCCUUCAUUAUUACUUUUUUUAAUUUAAUUUUUCAAUUUUUGGCUUUUGGGUAAUUUGUCAAAAUCGCCCUUCAGGUAUGGCGUAUUUGCAAAAUUGAUGUCAAGCAUUGUUUAUUUUUGAAAACCCUCUGCAAAAUUUUGAAGUUUGACAUUUGUUAACUGGUUAAGAGUAAAAUCAUAGAAAUACUUGACAAAGUGAAAUACUCAAGUUUUGCGUAUGUAAUCAUUCAUAAUUAUAAUAAGUUAUUAAUUGUUUGAGACUAAGUUUAAUUUAAAUUCUUGGAUCCUUAGUAUAGUAAUAUUAUAUAAUCAUAAUAAAUAUCAAGCUAAAUUCGGUACGUUAACACUUUCUCUCUUAAUUCAUUUAUAAAAACUGUUAAAUAAAUAGACUAAUUACAUCUCUUUGCUCUUUCUUGAUAAAACUGUCACUUUUGAGAUAAAAUUAAAACAAAAAAAUGAAAAAUAAAGAAAUAUCAUGUUUCUAAUUUUCACAUCAAAUUAAACGCAACGGUAAGUCAACAAAUAAAGAAUGGCUCGUUAAAAGACUAUCAAUUUUGUUAAACACAUUUUGAUUGCAAAAGUCACUGUCUAUAUACAUAAAGUAUUUUUGGAUUUGGUUUUUCUAGUGGAUCUAAAGAAACUAAAUGUGUUUUUGAUAUGACUUAUUUAAUAGUCAUAAGUAAUUAUUUAAUUUCAUAAGCUCUUUUCAAAUUUAUUUUUGGUAUUUAAAUUUUUCAAAUAGAAUUUUUGAAAAUUAAAUAAGUUAUUUUACUUCUAUUUGCAAAAGCUCAAAUUUUAGGCUUUUAGAGUAGAAGUUUAUUUAAAUAUUAAAAUGUUUAAAAGAUCCUCUAUUUAUUUGAUAAUCUUAUUUCAUUUAUUUCGUAAAAUAAUUUUAAAAACAUUAUUUAUUAAAAUAAUUUUAUAACUUUUAUUAAAUGCUCUUAUUGACAACUAAAUAAUUAAAAAAAAUUAAAAAAAAAAACUCUACUUGUAAAAGUUUUACUAACAAUAGUUCUACUUAAAUAAGUUUCAUUUAAAAAUCUAUAUUUAAUGGAGCUUAAAAGUAUCAUGAUCAUUUAUUAUUAUGUAUUGGUAUGAAUUUUGCUUUUUUUUUUUUCCUAAAUUGUUUCAUAUGUACUUUUACAAAGAUUUCUCUCUCAAGUCAGGCCUUCAUUGUAUCUAAGGCGUUAUGAUACUUUCUCAGUUAAGUGAUGGUCAACAAAAAAUUUAACAGACGACAAGAGGAUUUUAAUGCAUAAAAUGACUUUUUCCAUCUAAUUGCAAAUAGAUCAUACCUCAGGGGAGGUUAUUAAAAAGUACGCACAAGAGAACAAACAUUUUAUACAAUGACUGAUGUCGACUUUGCCACGUGGGUAAUUGUCAUGUGUGGCUGUGUAGUUUUUCAGAUUCUCUAUUGAUUUUUUUAAAAUUUUAUAAUAAAUCCCACUUUUUAACCAAAAAAAGUAAUUAAACGGAAAUCAAAUCCCUUCGUGAUUUAUUAAAGUUUUGUCUGCGGUGAUGUGUUUGUCUAAUAGUAAUUUGUUUAAAAUUUAAAAUAAAUUAAAGUUAAGUUAUUUAAUUUUUACUAUUAAGUGGUAUGUAUGUGAAAUUCAUAUAUAAAAUAAGAAAAACAAACAAGUAAGACUUAAAAAAAAUUUAAAAAUCAUAAAUUUUCAAACUUUAGAUAUUUAACACACAAGUUCUAAUUGUGAUUUCAUCACAGAAUCAAUAGGUCUUUUAUUUUGACACUUCAUUAUUAGUUGGCCGCACCACCUCAGCAUAUUAAAAUGGUAUGCUUGUAUUGCAAAAAAAAAUUCUUCUAAAAUGUUUAUGUGAAUAAAAUUCAAACAUAACAAAAUUUCUCAAACAUUUUCAUUACCUCGAGAAGUUUUUAAUGAUUGCACAACCUAAUUAGCAUAUAUUAUUGUUACUAAUUACAUUUUUUUCCCAAAUACUGCAUAAUUUAAAGUAAACACCUGCUUGAUUGGUGAAUAAUGUGAAUAAAAUUUAAAGAAUAAAUUUUACCAAUUAAUAUAUAUUUGAAUAAUUACAUUAAAUAAUACACAUUAUUAAUUUGAAGUUUUCUUAAUACUAGAUUAGUGUACAUUGAGUAAAACCUUGGUUGUUCUUCAAUAUUCGAUAUCAUGCCUUGCCUUAAGGAUUUGACAUAUGAUUCCAACAUCAACUUGGUGGAACAAUAGAAUCAUAAUAUUGUAGAAACUAUUUGAAAAUACUUGUUGAAGUUAUUGGGACAAAAAAAAAAAAGGGUCCAUCUGAUGUAGGAAAUAAAAAUAAUUUUAAAAAAUUUAAAUGGAAAAAUUGGAAAAAAUAAAUUGAACAAAAUAAACAUAAAAAAAGCUUAAUCAAGAUUUCAUUGUUGAUUAUGAUCUUUAGCUCAACUUGUGGCUCUGUCAUUGCUCUUCUGCUACAUUAUACAAACAGAACCACAAGAAAAUUCCCAGCAAACUAAAACCAUAAAUAAACUAAAGAUUAUUAAAUUAAUAGUAAUGGGGACUGAUUUAUACAAUAAAAAUCCCCAAAAAUGUGGAAAACAUAUACCUUGAAACAAUAUCAUUGCAGUGGACAACGAUUUGUUUUUUAAGUGUUUUUUUUUUAAUCUUUCUUAUUAGUGAAAAAAAUAGGUAAAAUUGAAUUUUAAAUUUUGAUACUAACAAUUGAACAAACUUUUUUCAUUGUAUUUAUAAUUAAACCAAUUUUUUCAUUAGAUUUAAAAAAAAAUAGGAGAGACUACGAGAGGAUUGUAAGCCAAUUACAGUAUCCAUUUGCAUUCUUCUUCUUAUUUGAAAACUUUUGCCAUCCCUCGCACCAUCAUGCUUUGUUGUAGUUGUAAUUUCUUUAUUGUUUCUUUUUUUGUGAGCUAAAUACUCUAUUGCGGUUACGACAUCGCUCAUCUUGGCCUUGUUCCAGCUUCUUCUUGCAGACUCAUAUUGCUGCCACUGCAAGUUCUUUGGUGGUGUUUAGUUGGGAGGAGAGAAUAGAGGAAAAGAAAAUAAUUUAAUUUCUAUUUUUAUUUUCAUUGUUUGAUUGGGUAAAAUAUAUAAGAAUUUAAUUUUCAUUAUCAUUUAAUUUUUUAACUUGUUUAUUUAAUUAAAUUUAAUGAAUGAUUUAAGAAACUUAGCAAAAUAAAUAAACUUGUUUAUUUAUUUAAUAUGAAAAUAUAAAAAUAUAAAUUAACCAUUGUCGGAACUCUGACGGACCGUCGCCAUAUAGUCGCCCGAUAUCUGCGGGACCAUAGCCAGAACUCUAUUAGACCGUCGGAACUCUGUCGGACCGACGUUUUAUAUAUAUAUAUAUAUAUAUAUAGUAAUUUUCCAAUUAGGGAUUCCUGACUUUAAUAAAGUCAAAGAUUAGUUAAAAGACGAAAUAAACACAGACUCCAAUGCACUGUAUUUUGUCAUAUAAUAUAUUAAAAUUUAUUUUUUUUGUCUUUUAGCUAAUCUUUGACUUUAAUCAAGUCAGGGAUUGAUAUCAUACAUACAUACAUACAUACAUACAUACAUACAUACAUACAUACAUAUAUAUAUAAGGACUUUUUAACAUUAAAAAAAUUUGGCAUUGAUAUUAAAUUGUAUUUCAUUAUUAAUAUAGGGGUCCGCCUACGUUACAUGUAGUGUAACGUACACUCAGCCUGUGAAAUUUCAUCUAGCCCCUUAUACUUUCUGUUAUUUAUAUUUUAUUCAUAAAUAUUAUAAAUUUUUUUAAAUGUACAAUUUCAUUUAACCCCUUAUACACUCAAUUUUAUUUUAUUAAAACCCUAGAGUAUGAAUUCGCCCCUAUAAUAUUAAAUUCUCAAAAUAACCUCUAUUUAAUUAAAAAAUAUAAUUAUUGUUAAAUGAAUUAUAAUUAUAAUUAUUAUUUUAUUAUAAUCAUAAAUAUUUUUUUAAUAGAUUAUUGUUAUUAUUAAUAACAAGAAUAAAAAGCAUUAUAAUUAAUUAAUCUAUUAACAAUAAUUAAUAAUAUUUUUUAUUAAAUUGUUAAUAAUAAUAAUAAUUAAUGAUUAUCUAGAUUUUUUUUAAUAUUUGGUAUAAAACUUAUUUUUAUAAUAAAAAUUGUUAUUACUCACACCCAAGUCACUAUCUAAACGCAAGGUAUUUUUCCAGCCUCCGCUCUCCUGGCAGCCUAAAAGUCCACACACGCAUGAGACCCCCUUGCCCAAACAACUCAAAAAAUAUUUAUUAUAAUCAUAAAUAUGUUAAUCGGAACUAGUUUAUUCAAAAUAAAAGUCUCCGCUCUCCUUUCAUAUUUUAUUAUAAUCAUAAAUAUAUUAAUUAUCAUUGAUUAUUAUUAUUAACAAUUUAAUAAAAAAAUAUUAUUAAUUAUUGUUAAUAGAUUAAUUAUAAUACUUUUUAUUCUUGUUAUUAAUAAUAACAAUAAUCUAUUAAAAAAUAUUUAUGAUUAUAAUAAAAUAAUAAUUAUAAUUAUAAUUCAUUUAACAAUAAUUAUAUUUUUAAUUAAAUAGAGGUUAUUUUGAGAAUUUAAUAUUAUAGGGGCGAAUUCAUACUCUAGGGUUUUAAUAAAAUAAAAUUGAGUGUAUAAGGGGUUAAACGAAAUUGUACAUUUCAAAAAAUUUAUAAUAUUUAUGAAUAAAAUAUAAAUAACAGAAAGUAUAAGGGGCUAGAUGAAAUUUCACAGGCUGAGUGUACGUUACACUACAUGUAACGUAGGCGGACCCUUAAUAUAGAUAAUUUAGUAUUUAUAGAGAGUUUAGUAUUUAAGGUAAAGGAUAAAUUUGUCCAAAGAAAAAAAUUGUAAUUCUUUUUCCUAUUAAAUUUUAUGUCAAAUUAAAUAAUGAAAUUUAAUUUCAUUAUCCUCCUCUACUCCUUUAUUCCACUCUUUUCCUUCUCUUCCCCCCCUUUUUUUUUAAUUAAUAACCACCAAAGAGGUGGGGGGUUAGGCAGGACUCCUACCUAUCAGAUAAAUCAAUAAAAAAGUAAUUACAUUAAGAGGGUAACAGAACCGAAAACCUCACAAAGCAGAUGUAAAUACAUAAAAAUAAAACAGAAAAUACACCAUCUAUUGAAACAAUAAAUCAACAAUCCUAUCGUCUGACAUGAGGGAAAGUUUGCGCAUCUAAAUGAAGAAUGCCAGAUAAGCCCGCAUGUAGAUCCUGAGCACAUAAGAAAUGUCGGCUAACCCGGUGAGAGUAAGCCCAAUUGGCCAAAAAAUCAGCAGCAGAUGUAGCCUCCCGAAGCACAUGUCUAAUCACAAUGUGAAAGGAAGAUAUCAAAGGGCACACCCAACGUAAGAAGUAAAUAUAAUCCUAACGAACAAGACCCUGGGAGUGAAUUCAAGAAACCACCGUGGUUGGGUUUGAUUCUACCUCAAGUGCAGAGUACCCACGUUGAGUAGCGAGCUCCAACCCCUCGCAAACAACCAUAAGCUCACCUUCUCCUCCCCUUUCUUUAAAUCAGACAUAGCCUUAGUACAAACCUUUUAUAAGGUAGUUCCCUUCUAAUAAAAAUUGCCAAUAACAUAAAUGAUGAUUGAUUUCAUACUUUUACGUUAUUGAAUCUUUUGUAUAGUAAAAUUAUGCUUUGGAGUCAUUUGAAACAAUAAGAGAGUGAAUUAUAAUUCUUCUUUUAACUGUUUUUAAAUUCUUUAGAUGAAGCUGAAUUUUUUACUUUCUUGGUGACUAAUACUUUGGACAAUGAAUUUUUAACUCAUUUGACAAUAUUAUAAAAAUUCACCCUGCCCCUGCCCCUCCCCCUCCCCCGGUGUUGAUGUUUACUUGCGUAGUGACAGUACGGGGACUGCGUUCCUUCGUAUUACUAAGCUUUAGCUUCUGCUAGGCUCGCCUUCUUUAUAAAAAAAAUAUUAUAAAAAUUCAUUUCGCACUUUAACAAAAUGUAGGACCUCUUAUUAAAAAAUGCACUACAUAUAUAGCGUACUUGUAUGGUUUAGAAUCUUAAAUUUUAUUAAAAUCUAAAAAAAACUAUUAUGACAGUCUUGAUGGAACGACGGUUUCCCUUUAAGGCCAUUCCAUAAGGAUUGCCGCCCUUCGUUUUCAACAUGUUAUCCAUAUGAUCCGUCUCUAUAGCGUUAUCCUCAUCACAUCUGUACGAUCCAUUUCGCUAUCUCUCUCGCUCUCUCACUUGUAUAUAUAAUUGAUACAAAGAACAAGCUGUACGUAGAUGUCCUUCAAUAUCCUUGGUUUAAAUUGUCUUAGUAUUAUAAGGUCUGUUCCUUGCAUCCUUCUACGAGUUCUAAACGAAGUUGGCAUAAUUAUAAGAAUCUUAAUAAUGGUAAAGUUAAUCGAUCGACGGGGUCAGGAAAAAGAAUAGAAUAGAUUAUUUAAUUUCCAAAAGUUUAAUUUUGUCUCUCCGCGAAUGUAAUAAUCACAUUUAUUUUACUACUUUUGUCCCCAUUGCUUAUUUUAUCCGCGAAUAUAAUAAUCACACGUUUUUAAAGUAAAGGCCAUUUUGGAAGAAGCCUGUACGGUUUGGAAAGAGGUUUUGAUUGAUAUAUAUAUAAAUAAAUAAAUAAAAAAGUGAAUUUACUCCAAGACCUUUGGCGCAACUAUACAUAACAUAGAAAUUACACUUGAAAAGGGUGAAUAAUCAAAUAAAGCAGCGGGUGCUACAACCGACCGUAAAAGAGAGGAAAUCCGCCACAUUUCCUUCUGAAAAGGUCCUUGAUUUUAUCCAAAAGCGUGCAGUGCCUAAGCCCAAAGUCUUUUGCUAUUUUGUUGAUUACUACUGCCCGUUACAGGCCAAUCCUUGGUCACUCUCAUGACUAAGGUUUUGUCUGGCCGCCACAAUCAUUAAAACCUGAGGGAAAAUAAAUGGGAAAUUAUCAAAUUUUCAUCUGAUUGGUAAAAAUGCAAAAAUAAUUGAAAGUUUUAGAACUUAUCAAUUUUUUUUUUCGCUAGAAAAAAAAUGGGAUUUGACCGAGAAUUAGGUCUUGAUUAUUACUGGUGUAUUGUUGGAAAAAAAGUUGUAAUUAUAAUAUAAAAUUAUGCGACAAAUAUAGUUUUUAAAUAGUAAUUUUAAUAAAAAUAAUAAAAAAUUAUAGGUUUUCAUCAUACAAAUGUAAAAUUAAAUCAAACUUAAUUUCAAAUCACAACAAUAAGUGUUUACCAAAUACUUUUAAUUAUGUUGUUUAAAAAUUACCACUACCCAACCACAAUAACACAAGGCCUUGAUAUAAGUUAAUCCCGACAAAUUUCUGAUUGUAACUCAAAAAAAUCAUAUUAGUAUUAAAACAAUCAACACCUUUUUUUAUUAAAUUUUUUUAAAUAUCAUAUUAUAUGAACAAAACACAUGCUCGAUUUUUUUUUCAAUUAAACCUUGACCAGUAAGGCAAUUUAUUAAAUUAAAAAGAAGGGAACACUUAUUUAGGGGACAUAAUAAACUAUAUCCCGCAAAAUAAUUUUAGAAGAACCAAUACAGAUGGGUGGCCUACAAAACAAGAUGGUUUAGCUGAAAGCGAAAAAAUAAAAAAAACCAUCACUCCGUAUUAGCAUUAUUAUGAGAGAGGAACUUAGGAGUUUCUGGAAGUUCAGAGUCCCAGCAAGUGAAAGGAGCAGCUCAGGCCCGAAUGAGCUAGGCAGCCGCCGCACAGCCCCUCGAAAGUGUGGGUAAUUGUCUACGAAAAUUCAUUUGACUCAUUAGAUGACAACAAUUAAACACAUGCUCGAUCGAAAUGCCAGUGUGAAUGGAAUUUUAAAUCAUCAAAAUCUUUAACCAAUGAUUAACACACUUGUUGUUAUUCAAUGGAGUUGUGAUUUUUACACCCCUCCAAAGUCCUUAUAAUUAAUCCCCCUUUUACAUACACGUGACUACUAGAAGUUUUGAAAAUUAUGAUACUUUAAUUUAAUUCCCAAUCAACCCUUCAUAAAUAUUUCUACAUCUCUAAAGUGAUUGUUUACUUUCUAAUGUCCCUUGUAAGUAAAUGAUGAAGGCUGAUUUUGCUUUAUUUCUAUUUUCAGUAUCGCUCAAAGAACAUCAACGGCCCCAUUUGAUUUUCGCCUUGGGUGUGAAGCUAAAAGAUCUAUGUUAUCUUCAAUUAAGUAUUCCUUUUUCUUAAAUGUUCUUUUAUCUCUCUUUUUCUAAAACCUAAAUCAUUCAAAAAAAAAAAUUGUAAAAUUUCACCCAAUUUAGCCGAAAAAUUGCCAUUCCCACGGUAUUGAUAAUUGAGGAGUGAACAACUUGCAUCAAUCAGCGGGAUUGCGGGAAAAGGAAAACCUAGAAAGAGAGUUUGCUCUUGAAGGGUUGUAAGUUUGUUCAGGGGUUAUUCGUAGAAUAAAUUUUAGAUAAUUGUAAGCACCGAAAUUUAAAAACUCUUUUAAAUGGAUUUGUUUAGAAAAAAAAAAGGUUCAUAAGAGUUCCGGAAGGGGUGCUAAUAGCUCAACUCCAUUCAAUAUUCGACGUUAUGUCUUGGCUGGAUGUGAUGAUUCAUUGAUUCCAUUGCAUCAAUCAAUCGUACUGUGGAAUAUCAUCAUUAUUUUGCCUUAAAACAAUUUCUAAUUUCUUUCUUGAAUGUUCUACAAGAUUCUGAAAUACAUCAAUUUAUGCUUAAUUUUUUAUUUCAUAAUCCAAAAUUCAAGGGUUCAUUUGAUUUACGAUUAAGAAAUAAUUUUCAAAAAUAAAAAAUGAAUUUAAAAAUGUGAUGAAGGUUUUAAUGUCUUUAUUUUCUUUAUUAUUCAUAUUAAUGGCAACCUAGUCCUCUCCCCAUCUAUGUGAAAGAGAUUUGAAUCCUAAACUUCUUUUUUCAAGAAAAGAGAUUUUACCAACUUAAAUGAUGCAAGUUUUAAUAUGUUUAUAUAAUAUCCAAAAACAAUAAUGUCAACAACUGAAACAUGUUUAAAAUAAUUUCUAAUUAAGUUAAAAAAAAAAAAACAUGUUUACGAUAUCCCCUGUUCUUUGUGUCUACAUAGUGUAUGGUCCAUCAUGUGCAAAUUUUAUGGACUUGAAUCCAGUGGCUCCUGAUAAGAGACACAUCAUUCCAAUAAAAUAGGAUAUUCUUUAUUAGAAGCUCACUCCAUAUACAUGUGUGUAUGUGUUUGUGUCAAGAAUCAUUGCUAUUAUAACAUGUGCAUAGAAGAAAUCAUGAUCAUUAUGGAUUACAUAAUUUGAAUUUGUGAUUUAUGAUAAUUUUCUUAUUAUCAUAAUUUUAAAGGUGAUGAAUCCGUGAUUUAUUAUUAUUUUUAAUAUAUUUAAUGAAUUUUCAUUUUAAGAUAGCGGGGUGUGUAAAGGCCAAAUCAAUUUGUAUGAUAUGUCUUAUAAAAUAUUAUUAAAAUAAUGAUAAUGGAGACUGAUUUAGAAUAGAAAUUGCCAAAACAACAGAAAUGAUGAUUGGUUUCUUACUUUUUGUCUUUUGUAUAAGUUAGACCUUGAAGCCAUUUAAUUGAAGCAAGAAGACAGUGAAUUCAAUUGUUUUUUAAAUACGCCGGAUGCAGCUGAAUUUUGUUUUUCUUUCUUGAUGAAUAAUACUUUGGACAUUGACUUUUGUUUUGAUCUAAAUUUUUAUCAGCGCAUAUACACGUUCGCGUUGGUUGUCAAUAUAAUGCAAUUAACUUCACUGACGAUAAUGAGUAACAAUUACAUGUGUUAACACAUUCAAUAUUUAAUUCGAAAUACACCCAGUACAUUAAUAUUUUACAUGACAUGAUACAACACACCCAAAGGAAAAACCACUGUAAGAACCAAGUAAAAUAAUUAGAGGUACAAUACAUAUAAAGAUUGCCAUCCUAUCAUGCAUACAACUUAGAAAUAACGCGUCUACUUCUUCUUCUUCUUCUUCUUCCAAGGAAAAUUAUUCAUAAAUUCCAAGUAAUAGACCUUCCCAUUAGCCAAAAAAAUCAGCACAGUAAGGAAACUCCAUGAGUGCUAAAACAAUCACUGGAAAGAUAGCAGCGGCAUAGAGAGCAGCGGUCCAUUUCUUCUCCAUACGAAUGAUGAGUAGAAGUGAAGCCGAGAAAGUAAUCAUGCUUGUUAGUACAGAAAAGAAGAGCAAAGUGAAGCCAACCAUCAACUUGCGCGGAAGUUCUCUAAGGAAAUCAGAUGACUCACGUGGCGACGUGAGGAUGGAUAGGAACAUAACAACGGAUGACAAAGAUAAGGCCAAGGAGGCAACGUCCAUUACAGUAAAAACAUAGAAAAGUGGUGACUUAAGGAAAUGGGGAAACCCCUUAUCAUUGUUACCUCCAGGUAUCGUGAAGGCAGCUGUAAAGACGACGGUUGCGAUUAGGAUUGCCAGCACGGAGCAUGCCUGAGAGGUUUCUUUGAUCCAUUCUUGUGCUUUCCUAAGUUGAUCUUCAUGUGUUAGAUUAAAGAGGUCACUUGCAGUCAUCUUAUUUUUUUCGUCGCGGUGCAUAGCAUAAUGGCGAGGCAUUAUCUCUUUUACAUGCUGCAUACACACACACACACGCGUUAAAUAGGGACGGAGGCCUAUACACAUAGCCACAUGUGUAGUCAUUAUCUCUGUAGAAUUUUAAAAUAUAGAUUCAAGGUUUUACUCAAUUGCAAAACGCUUCUAAGAGGGUUGUAAAAGGUUUUACACAAUUAAAGAAAAAAAAAGUGUUUUAUAAAAUAAUGAAAUAGUGAAUCACCUAAGAAUGAAUAUACAUAUACAUAUAUAUCACUACUAGAAAAAUGGGCUACCAUGACAGAGAAUAUCUGUCAUCCGACCCUGUUUAUGACAGAGUUUCUAUCUGUCAUUGUAGCGCCUCUCACAAAUCUGUGACAGUAAUUUAUCUAUCAUAGGUGUAUGUGACAGCUUAUAGCUAUUACAAAUGUGUCACAACAAAAGCAACGUCGUUUUAAUAUUUUAGUGGUAAAUAUGUUUUAUUGUGAAAAAACUUUUGGCGGGUAUUAUUAAUUCAAUUUUAAAUUAUGGCGCGUAAUUAUGUGUCACAACUUUAUGAUGCUAAUAUGGUGUCACGAUGUGAUUUUUUUUAAAUAAUAAUAUUAUUAAAAGAAUUUUUAAUUUUUUUAAAUCAUAAAUUUUGAAUAUUUUAAGUAAUAUUAAUAUUGUAAAUCAUUUUUAAUAUUUUUAAAUUAGAAAAUAAUUUUUAAUAUUUUUAAUAAUAUUAUUAUUUAAUAAUAUUAUUAAUAUUAUUAUUUUAUAAUUUUAUAAAUUCCAUUGAAAUUUAAAAAUCACAAUAUGUAUAAAAUCAAUACAUCCAAAUUAUCUCAACAAUAUUAUCAAAACAUCACUAAAUCAUCACUUGAAAUAACCAUAACAUUGUCAAAACAUCAUCUAUUCAAUUAUCACAAAUCUACAUCCCAACACUACCAUCUGGAUCAUUACCAGCAUACAAAAACAUCACAACACUAUAUAUCAUCUGAAACACUACCAGGCUGAUCAAGAUUCACUACUACUUAAGACUUUAUCAAACAAUAUCAGCAUACAAAUUUCACUACCACUUAGACUUUAUCAAGAUUCACUAUCAUCUGGAACAAUACCAGCAUACAAAAUUCACUGCCACUUAGACUUUAUCAAACAAUAUCAUCAUCAACUCCACUGCUCAUACUAUUAGCUCAGACACAAAGGAAGCAUACUCGAGACGCACUUCAUCAAGCUCACUUUGAGUGUAUUCACAUUUCCCUUUAAACUGUGAAAUGAUAAUCACAUGUCAGACUAAAGUGAACUAUAUAUAGUUAAAAGUAUUAAGUGAAGUAUUCUGACAAUGCAUCUGAAAGAAUGUGUACUUACAUCAUGGAGAAGUAAACUCGGGUCUACAAUUAUGUCUUUUAUAAACCUCAGCACAUAGUAUCCACACUCAGUACUCCCUGGUUGAUUUGGGGACUAUAUCAUCAACAGAAUAAUCAUUAAUACAUAUGCAUAUGAAUUCUUUCAAGUGAUUAAAUAUUAACAAGUCAUGCGCUGCCAAAAAAAAAAGAAGAAAAAAGAAAGUCAUGAUUGCUUACCAAAACUUUUGUGAUCUGUGGUUUCACCCUUUUUUUACCAGUCACCGCAACAUGCAUUGAUAUCCCACUACAUUAUAAUACAUGCAGUAAGUAAAUAAACAUGAUACAUAAAAUUAUAUUAGAAAUACAAUAUCACCAUACUUGGUAACUAUGUCCUUCAGGUCACUGUCGUCACCCAAAUCGUUGUUCGUAGAAUCCAAAUAAAACGCUUGCUUUGUCGUCAUAUCAAUUACAAUCAACACCCAAUGGAAACUAUUACACAAAGAAAUUGAAAUUAUGAAUCAAUUUUAGUAAAUGAUCAUCAAUAUAAAGUAAAUAGAACUGUACCCAGGGUUAUAUGGCAUGAAAAUCAUUUGCCCUUUGUUUGCUUUGUUCAACCGUUCGACAAUAAAUGUGCCCUUUUUACCCUUGUAGCAAAGGCAUCCUUAUCAUGGGCUGAUGAUCCGAGUUCUGUGUGUAUGAACCCAAAUGGUCUGCCCACUAUAUCAUUCGCCAUGUGUGCAUGCAACAUCCUGAUGCAAUUAAGAUGAUGAAAUAGUGAGAAUGUUGCCAAUAAAAAAUAUCACUAAAAAAAAAGAAAACAGAGAAAGGAAGCAAUAAACUAAAAAUUGAAAAUAAACUAGUAAUUAUGAUUUUGUAAACUUACGCGAUGUAUAGAUGCAUAUGAUUUGCUCCUAGCUCUUUCAUCGAAAUCAAUGAUUGACAUUCAUCGAGCCAAUAUGUGCUUUAGUUGGAUGCUUGUAUACCUCUUCAUCCAACUGAUAAGGUACGUAAUAACCCAUUUGAGCCAACUUCUUUUCACAAAGAUUUGCAAAUAUUACAAGCCCAGGCACCCGGUUCAUAUGCACAAUAUGAUAAUUCCUUGUUCUUCUUCUUGACAGUGGCUUCUCUUGGGGCUUUUUUGGUGAUGUCUUCUUCUUUGGACUGCAUGGUUUGUCUCUUGGACAAUCAAGAGUCAUUCUUGGUUUCUUGUGAGGCUUCAUUGGUGAUUCAUUCUUCUUUCUUGGUUAUUGCCUUUUCUUAAGAGUUUCUGGUUUGUCUCUAAGACAAUCAACAAUCACUUGCUGCUUUGGUGAUUGCCUUUUCGUUGGAGUUUCUGGUUUGUCUCCAGGACAAUCAGCAGUCACUUGCUUCUUUGGUGACUCAUUCCUCUUCCUUGGUGAUUGCCUUUUCUUUGUCAACGUUUCAUGCUUCUUCUUUGCAGGUGAUCCAUUCCUUGUCAUGCCGAUUGACUGACAAGCCAAAAAAAAAAAAAAAGGUUUGUUAUUGCGGUUUUGACUACGGCUAAAAUUGUCUAAAAUCCAAUGUUGAAGUCAUUUUUUAACUUGACUGUGCACAACAAUCUGUAUCAUACCUUGUCCUCAUUACGAGCAGUCAUUUCUUCAGCUUCAUCUUUAAUUGUUUGCUCAUCUAAUGGAACGUUUGAGCUUCCAACAUCUGAAUGUCGAGGUUGCUUUUUAAUCUUCUUCUUCAGAUCACUCAACUCUGCUUCUUGCUUAUCUAACCUCUCUAGUAUGUUUAGUCGCUCUUGUCGUAACUGAAAUGAAUUGUUUGGGGUGUCAAAGUACAUCUUAGGCGAUAUAAAUUUCCCAACACCCUGCAUAUGUCCAGAAGUGGCAGGCUUUCCAAUUGAACGUGCAAGAAUAUCAUUUCUUGCAUCAGCUUUAAAUUCUCAUUUUUUAGCUUUCUCUUCCAGUGCAUCCUAAUUGCAUAAUAAUCAUAUUGAUGAAUAUCAAUUUUUUUCCAACAGAACCUAAUUAAAAAAAAAAACUUGCUAUUACUUACAAUCUUCUUCACAACUGAAUCAACAUCAGGAUCAUAUUCACCGUUUUUCAUCUUCCUAGCACGCUUCCAUGCUACACUCCUGUCAACUUCAGUUUCGACAAGUCCAGUUUCCGAGCACUGUAGUUUAAAAAAAUAAUAAUAUCAUAGCUGGUAUGCAUCCUUAACUAACCAUGAAUUGCAAGCAGUAAAUUAAAACAAAAGGUUUGCCAAUUUAUCAUCAUCAAACCAACCAUCUUUAUACCAAUAGCUAUACAAGAAUGGUCAAGUUAGUAUCAUAGUACUUACAAUUUCAUCAUGCAAUCCAGCAUAUCAUUUUCUACUUAAACGAUGGUUCCACUUGUUGUAAGCCCUCUUAUUUUGCUGUUGACGCCUAAUUCUCUACAUAAAACAAUCCUUAAUUAGAUUUAAAGAUGGUUUUAUGAAAUGUCUAAAUAUUUAACAUUUAAAAGUAUUCACCUCAAACUCAGUGGACAAUCUAGAAUUCACAAAUUUAUCCCAAACAUUUUGAGGAAUAUGACUGUACUGAAAAGGUGGCCGCUUCAACCUUUUACGAUUGUGCUUGUGUGGCAAGAUAUACUUUGUGGUGAGCAAGUACUUGAAGUUUCUGAAUGCACUACCAAGUGCUUGCAAAACUUGCUUCUUACUAUUUGGAUGAACAAUAAAACGUUCCUGAGAAAAAUACAUAGCAUAAUGAUCAAAUAGUUUAACAAAUACAUUAUUCAAUUCUGAGAAAUAAAUAUAAAUAAUCAUUUUACCUUAAUAAACUCCCACAAACGGCUUUUUAAAUAUGGAGUAACCUUUCUCCAUUCUUGGUUAAUAUCCGGAAUAGAAGUACGGCCCAACAGCCCAAUAAAGCUUGCUAAUUCAGUAGCUUCAGGGCCAACAGGUACACUGAACCCAUUGUACCUGACUACAAGCUUCCCGCUGUUGAGUGUUAGAAAAUGCAUAUUUAUAAAGGAGAAAACCAUCAUUUUACAUUUCAAGUCUUACUAACAACUCUUACUUUUAUGUAUUUAAUCUUCUUGUGAUGUAAUUACGUGUGUGUUAUUUUAAUUAAGUAUUUUAUGUAUUUUAGGGGCAUUAUAGUCAUUUCACAAUAAAGGAGAGAUCAGACGGCAAAACGGACAUCACUUUUGAACUCAGGACGAUCGAAAACCUUAGGAGGAGUAUAAAAGGAAAAAUGGCAUUAUUCACAUGUACGGUACUAUUCACGUAUACGGUAUUGUAUAUGUUACUGUUCACGGCACUGUUCACAUAGACGGAUCGAUGAUGUGGCAUUGACUGAUGAGGUGUCACGAUCCUGUUGGACUAAAAUUCUUAUGUACUGUUGAUGGUGACGUGACAGCAUAUCAGUGGACGAAAAAUCUCGCGUACGGUGCAUGCAUCACACAGGAUUAUUUUCAACCAAACCGCAUUACUGUUCAUCCGGGUCAAACCGUGUUACUGUUCAUCCGCGUGGUCAAACCGUGGGCUAUUGACUGAUGAUGUGGCGCAAUCGUGAGCGUCCAAACUGUUUUUAAUCCGAUGGCCAUGAUUUACUCCAUGUAUCUAUAAAAAGGGGGCCUUCCCCCCUAAUUUGAUAUCUCUGAAUCCAUUUUUGGGAUCCAUUUUCUGUAAUUCCUUCUCCAUCUUGUAUUUUCUUUGUAUUUUAAUAAAUUUCCAUUUUGCCCCUAGUUCAAUUAUGAGUAGCUAAUUUCCUUUCAAGCUUGGGUUGAAGGUGAAGUCUCAACAUGUGUCAUGGGCUUUAUUUGGUAAAUUUAUUUUCUUUUCCCCUCUAGUUUUUGUGGAUGAUUUGACUUAUCGUCGACAAAUAAUACUGAUAUUGUCUAGAUACCGCCUUGGUUACACCGGCUCUCUAGUAUAAGGUUAUUAUUAUUUGGCACGAUAAGCCCUUAGCACCAUAUUGAUUAGAGCGUGGUUCGUGAGGUGUGGAUUCCCCCCUCAUGAUUUAAUUGGUAUUAAUAAGGAAUAUUUAGCCCAUGAUGCAUGUUGAUACGGAUCCAGAUACCCAAGUACGUCAUUUCAAUAGAAUUCUCUUCAAUUUAUUCUCGCCAUUUCAAUUCCAAUUUUAGAAUUUAUUCUCGCCAUUUUAAUUUAAGUUUUAGCAUAUUCCAAUUCAUUUCCACCACAAAUCCAAUCACCCAUUUACAAAAUUAAUUCUACACAAUUAAAAUCCACCUCCUCGUGGGAUCGACACUCGUCACCAUUGAUCUAUACUACAAUAGAUUCGUGCGCUUGCGAGUACAUUAAAAUUUGCACAACAAGUUUUUGGCGCCGUUGCCGGGGAGGUAAGUAAUUUUAAUUCAUAGAAUUAAUUUUUGUGAAUAAUUUCUUUUAAAUUGUUUUCUUGUAUUUUUUUAUUAAAAAAAAAAGUGAAUCUGCAUUUAAAGGUUAAUAUUUCUUUUCUUUUUCUCUUCUUUAAAAUUCUAUAAUUUAAUUUUCAAGUUAUUUUUUUUUCUUUGUAAUUUUUGUUUAUCUUACUAAUUUUUUUUUAGUUAAUUUAUUUCACGUAUUUUUUGUUUUUGUGUGUAUUUUUAUAGUAAGGUUGUAAUAGCGCAAUAAGGUUAGUAUUGUAAUUUCUCUCUCUUCUUUAUUUUUAUUUGUUUUGUUCCAUCUUUAUUUUUAUUUUAUUUAUUUUGCAUGCAUGGUCGUAGGUCAUUAUUACAUAAUCUUGAACCUAUAGACCUUGAACUUGAGAAAACACUUCGCACACACAAGAACGUUAAAAAUAAAUUUGAAAUGGAUUUACAAGCACCACAGGAGAGGCCAUUUAAGGAUUAUUUUAGUCCUUUAGCUAAUUUGAGCACAUCAUGCAUAAGAUACCCAAAUGUAGCUGCUAGGAGUUUUGAACUAAAACCUAGUGUGCUAAAUUGUCUCCCCACAUUUUAUGGCCUAGAAAAUGAGGAUCCAUAUAAUCAUCUGAAUGAUUUUCAUGCCAUUUGUCAAACUUUUAAAUAUGAAAAUUUUUCAGACGAUGAUGUUAAACUCAGAUUAUUCCCAUUUUCUUUAAAGGAUAGAGCUCGUUCAUGGUUAAAUACUUUGCCUGCUAAUAGCAUUUCAUCAUGGGAACAAAUGGUUACAAAAUUUCUAAAUAAAUAUUUCCCAAUGCAUAAAACCAAUGCCAUUCGCAGGGAAAUUUCAGAGUUUACCCAAAGAGAUGACGAGCAAUUUUUCGAAACAUGGGAGCGAUUCAAUGGGCUACUCUUGAAGUGUCCACAUCAUGGGUACGAAAAAUGGCACCAAUGCCAAUACUUUUUGGAGGGAUUAUUGCCGAAUGUGCAAGAAUGGCUAAUGGCAACAAGUGGAGGAGAGAUAAUGUCAAAAAAUGCAUCAGAGAUUUGGGAAUUCUUCCAGCGACAAGCGGAUAAUUCCCAACAACGGAGUCGAUCACUCAGGAAUACUAGAAGAAUUAAGGGAGUAAAUGAGGUUCACAUUGGCGAGUCAAGUUCAGAAAUCAAAGAAGUCAAGGAGAUGGUUGAAGGUCUUGCUCGACAAAUAGCAUCGUUAUCAACUGCUAAAUCAACAGAACCACAUGACCAUGACUCAUACUCAGAUCAAGCCAAUGCCAUAGGUGUAAUGAGAAAGCCAUCUAAUUACAACCCAUACUCCAACACAUAUAACCCUGGAUGGAGAGACCACCCCAAGUUUUCAUGGUCUCAAGGAUUCCAACAGAAUGGACCAGCAGCUCCAGCUCCACCAAUUCCUCAAAAUCAUCAAGCCUCUCAGCCACCAUUUAGACCAUACAAUCAGAACCAGAACUACUCUCAACCCAGACCAUGGGAGGAUUCAUUCCAGAAUCUCAAGAAUGUUACUCACUCCACGAUUGAGCAACAGAACCGCACCAUUGAUGGACUACGAAAUGAGUUGAGAGCAGGCUUCAACUCACAAGCCCAAUCAGUUUCAAGCCUCGAGAAAAUGGUAGGACAACUUGUUUCUUCAGUUCAGACUUUGGCAAUGACCGUUGAGAAAGGUAAAUUUCCAAGUCAACCAGUGCCUAAUCCUCAAGGAGUACAUGAAGCAAGUACCAGUUUACCACAACAGCAUGGAGAGGUCAAAGCAGUCAUGACCUUGCGAAAAGGAAAAGAAGUCGACAACAAAGUGGAGAUGCCGGUGACAAAAGAAAAUCGAAUUGUACCUGUGGAUGUUGAAGACUCACCACCGGAGGAAAAAGAAGAAACCAACCCACGAGAAUAUGUUCCUAAAGCUCCAUUUCCUCAGAGAUUAGCUAAAGGAAAGACGGGAAAAUCCACAGGUGAGAUUCUCGAAAUCUUCAAACAGGUAAUUGUUAACAUCCCUUUACUUGAUGCUAUUAAACAAGUUCCAUCUUAUGCCAAGUUUCUUAAAGACCUUUGUACUAAAAAGAGAAAUAUGCAUGUUCAAAAGAAGGCAUUUUUAACAAAAAACGUUAGUUCUAUACUCCAACAUAAAAUUCCUUUAAAAUGCAAAGACCCAGGCUCCCUUACUAUCUCAUGUAGUAUAGGGAACCACACAAUUGAGAAUGCUUUAUUGGAUUUAGGAGCUAGUGUAAAUUUGUUGCCUUACUCUGUAUUCGUGAAACUUGGACUGGGAGAAUUACACCCAACUCCAGUGGUGUUACAGCUUGCAGAUCGGUCUACGAAAAUACCUCGUAGUAUUGUGGAGGACGUGCUUAUCCAGGUAGACAAGUUUUAUUUUCCUGUUGAUUUUAUUGUAAUUGACACUCAACCAAUACAGGAUUCAAGGAAGCACAUCCCCAUUAUCCUAGGCCGACCUUUCUUGGCAACUGCGGAUGCUCACAUUCAAUGCAUGACUGGAAAUAUGCAGUUGUCCUUUGGCAACAUGACUAUGGAGCUGAACAUCUUCAACAUUGCCAAACAACCUCAUAAUGCAGAUGAUGGAAUUGUUGAUGUGGAUUUAAUAGAAACAAUAGUUGAUGGCACUUUUGUUUCAAACCUUAGUGAUGAUCCUUUACAAACAUGUUUAACUCACUUUGGUUUGGAUUUUGAUAUUGACAGAUUGGUCGAUGAGGUCAACGCCCUGCUUGACUCAGCACCAUACAUGGACACUAAUAAAUGGAAGUCAAGAGUUGAACAACUAGCACCAUCAGAGAAGAAAUUCAUCCCAUCAUCAGAAUCACCACCGAAACUCGAGCUCAAACCAUUGCCCAACACAUUGGAAUAUGCAUUUUUAGGAGAAGAAAGUACUUUGCCGGUAAUCAUCUCAUCAUCCCUCAAUGACGAACAAAAAGGUAAGUUGUUGGAUGUUUUAAAAGAGCACAAAUGAGCAUUAGGAUGGACCAUAUCAGACAUAAAAGGUAUAAACCCAGUAGACUGCAUGCAUUACAUUCACCUUGAUGAAAAUGCUAAAUCUACUAGGGAAAUGCAACGUCGGUUAAAUCCUAAUAUGAAAGAAGUUGUUAGAACUGAAGUCCUUAAGCUAUUAGACGCAGGUAUCAUUUACCCAAUUUCUGAUAGUUCAUGGGUCAGUCCUGUUCAAGUUGUCCCCAAAAAGUCAGGAGUCAUAGUAGUUAUGAAUGCCGAUAAUGAAUUGAUACCAACUAGAGUAACUACAGGAUGGCGUGUAUGCAUUGAUUAUAGAAAGUUGAAUUCUGUCACACGUAAAGACCAUUUUCCUUUACCAUUUAUCGAUCAAAUGCUUGAUAGAUUAGCAGGUCAUGAAUUUUAUUGCUUUCUAGAUGGCUACUCAGGAUAUAAUCAGAUUCUCAUAGCACCAAAAGAUCAAGAGAAAACUACUUUCACUUGCCCUUUUGGCACUUUUGCAUAUAGGAGAAUGCCAUUUGGAUUAUGUAAUGCACCUGCUAUGUUUCAACGAUGCAUGUUAAGCAGUUUUUCUGAUAUGGUUGAACGAUUCCUUGAAGUCUUUAUGGAUGACUUUUCUGUCUUUGGUGAUUCGUUUGAUCAAUGUUUACAUCAUCUAACGCUAGUUCUGCAGAGAUGUACCGAGAAGAACUUAGUCUUGAAUUGGGAGAAGUGCCAUUUUAUGGUAAAACAAGGUAUUGUUCUCGGUCACAUCAUUUCGAGCAAAGGUAUUGAGGUUGACAAAGCCAAGGUGGAUCUCAUUUCUAAUCUUCCUCCACCUAAAACAGUCAGAGAAGUAAGAUCUUUCCUUGGGCAUGCUGGUUUCUAUAGACGUUUCAUUAAAGAUUUUAGCAAAGUUUCUAGACCCUUAUGCAAUUUACUUGCUAAGGAUGUACCUUUUAUCUUUAAUGAUUCAUGUCUUAUGGCUUUUGAAAAAUUAAAGCAAUUGUUGACAUCAUCACCCAUCAUUCAGGCCCCAAACUGGAGCUUACCAUUUGAGCUCAUGUGUGAUGCAUCUGAUUAUGCAGUAGGAGCAGUAUUAGGACAAAGAGUUGAUCGAAUUCCCCACGUUAUUUACUAUGCUAGUAUGACAUUGAAUGAUGUACAGUUGAAUUAUUCAACUACUGAAAAAGAAAUGCUAGCAGUAGUGUUUGCAUUAGAGAAAUUUCGAUCUUAUCUCAUUGGUUGUAAAAUAAUUAUAUUCACAGAUCAUGCUGCUCUUAAAUAUCUUCUCACAAAAAAAGAUGCAAAAGCUAGACUAAUUCGUUGGGUGUUACUUUUGCAGGAAUUCAACUUGGAAUUUAAAGAUAAGAAAGGCACAGAGAAUGUUGUGGCUGACCAUCUCUCUCGUCUCCAUUUUGACACAAUUACAGAGCCAUUAAUAUUGAAUGAGUCAUUUCCAGAUGAACAAUUAAUGAGUGUGGAAGUAUUACCUUGGUAUGCUGAUAUAGUUAAUUAUCUUGUUACAGGUAAACUUCCAGAGCAUUGGACCAAGCAAGACAAGGCUAAAUUCUUUGCGGAAAUAAAGAAUUUCUUUUGGGAUGACCCAUAUUUGUUCAAGUAUUGUGCAGACCAAAUUGUUAGACGAUGUGUCCCUGAAAAUGAAAUUCAUAAUAUUCUUUCAUUCUGCCAUGAACAAGCUUGUGGAGGCCAUUUCAGUGCUAAGAAAACAGCGACUAAAGUUUUACAAUGUGGUUUCUAUUGGCCAACUAUAUUUCGAGACGCUUACACUUUCUGUUCUUCAUGUGAUAGGUGUCAACGAAUGGGGAGCAUUACACGAAGGAACAUGAUGCCACUAAAUCCAAUUUUAGUGGUUGAGAUUUUUGACGUAUGGGGUAUCGACUUCAUGGGACCCUUUCCCCCUUCUUUUGGCCAUCAAUACAUAUUGGUUGGUGUUGACUACGUAUCGAAAUGGGUGGAAGCAAUUCCAUGUAGAACCAAUGAUCACAAGGUGGUGAUAGGAUUUUUGAAAAGCAACAUUGUUUCGCGCUUUGGAUUCCCUCGAGCAAUAAUCAGUGAUGGUGGUGCCCACUUUUGUAACAAAGCAUUCAAAGCUCUUUUGACAAAGUAUUCAAUCACACACAAAAGUGGCGACUCCAUAUCAUCCGCAAACCAGUGGCCAAGUUGAGAUAUCCAAUCGAGAAAUAAAGCACAUAUUAGAAAAGACGGUGAGGCCAGACAGGAAAGAUUGGUCAUUAAGACUUGAUGAUGCAUUAUGGGCAUAUAGAACGGCUUUCAAGACCCCGAUUGGGAUGUCACCCUACAGGCUAGUGUAUGGAAAAGCUUGCCACCUACCUGUGGAACUCGAGCAUCGUGCAUAUUGGGCUAUCAAGAAAUUCAAUUUUGACAUGCAGCAAGCCAGCUCAGAAAGAAGAUUACAGCUGGCAGAACUUGAAGAAAUUCGCAAUGAUGCAUAAGAAAAUGCCAAGAUUUACAAGCAACGGAUGAAAGUCUUCCACGACAAGCAAAUUAUGAGAAAAUCUUUCACUCCAGGUCAGAAAAUGUUUUUGUUCAAUUCUCGCUUGCACCUAUUCCCAGGUAAGUUACGCUCUCGUUGGUCUGGUCCAUUUAUUGUUCAUACUAUUUUUCCACAUGGGGCAAUUGAAAUUAAGGACCCAAAGAACGGUGUCACGUUUAAAGUUAAUGGUCAAAGAUUAAAGCCAUAUCUAGAAUACCAACCACAUGGAGAAGACACCGAAAUAAAUCUGAGUGACCCACCAGAUUUGAAUUGAUUUUUAUUCUUCUUUUCGUUGAUUUGAUUUUUCUUUCUUUCUUUUUAUUAUUCUUUUGCUAAUUGAAAUUAUUUUUGCAUAAGUGUGUUUGUUUAGCAAUUAAGUUUUCUCUUAUCAUUUUUAAUCAUGAGUACCUUACUUAGACCGUUCCUCCUAAACAUUCUUAAACCACUUCAACGUGUCAAAACUCAUCUCAAAAAGAAAAUUCAAUUUUGUAAAACACAUCGUAUUUGGGUUCUACAACCACCAGAGUUAGUAGCCUAUGUUGAGGGUUUAGAACGCCAACUCAGAGACAUUGAGAGAAGUGUUUACGACAUCCAAUUGGAGCUUGAGGUAAAUUCAAUAAGAGGACGCUUUUAAUUUUCUUUGUGUGUUUUGAUUUAUUUUUCUGUUUGUGUGUUUUAGUUUGUUACCCCGAUGAAGUGGUGGAUAACGGUACUCUGUGACAAUCAAGUCGGUUACUUCAGUUUCCCAUAAUAACUGGCAUUCUGAGGCGAAAGUAUGGACAGAAACGAGAUUCUAGCGAAGCUUCACAAGCGAUUCCCUUCACUUCCUUAGAAUGCCCUCCUUACGAUCUAUAAAGCUCGGUCCGAACGCAUGCGAUUGCUCAUGAGGAAUAACAUACCUGCAGACAUCCGUUGGUUAAUUGAGGCUAAAGUACGAUUGGCAGGUGAGUCACCUCCUAAAUUUAUUGCAUACAUGCCUGGUUGUGGUAAAGGAAAUUAUGCAAGAAAACGACGAGCUCGAAGAAUUUCUGUUGCUUGUCAUAAGUGUGCCAGAAUGAGUUGCGAUAAAAACCCAUGUUCUUUAAGAAUGGUGUCUGAUAACAGGGAAGAUAAGAUUCAAUUCAUUAGGGAUGGCUUGAAUAAGGAGUCAUUGGAUGAUAUCCUUCUGUCUCUUGAAACGCAUCCCAGUGGAUAUGUGCAAGGAGCGAUUCUCCGGUUAUGGCCAUUAUUCCAGAAAGAGCAUACACGAUAUAGUCUCGGGAAUCUGACUAUAAACGACCCUGUUUGCCAGUUUAUAAGAAAACUGGAUGGGAAGCCCAUCCUCGACCCAUAGAGGGCGUUCAAGCCGUUUCUGGACGUAAAACCAGAGGAAGAUGUGAGCCACAGUCGCAACUACCUGUAAAUAUCCUUUUAUUUUACUGUUGUUUUAUUUUACUGUUGUUUUAUCGUUUGUAUUAUUGUCUUUAAUAAUUUUAUUACUGUUUACUUUUUCCUUUUUACUGUUUCCUUUUUGACUCGCGAGCCACGUGCUUUACGCGUUAUUUGACACUGACAUGUUACCUCAUUCACAGCUGUGAUCCACUGUCACCAAGAUUCUUAAAUGUGAUUUAAUUUUUGUCAAGCACUCACAAAUUAUUUUUGCAAAGUAUCACAAUGGCAGCUACUCCUAAUAGACAAUUCAAGAACAUUUGUGUACUUUCUGGAUUUACCUAUGGCAAACAUAAAGAGUUCGUGGAGGCAGCCAUAGAUCUUGGUCGAAGCAUAGCAGCGAGAAAAUUACACUUGGUGUAUGGAGGAGGUAACCGAGGAUUAUCAAAAAUGGUCUCAGAAGCAGCUUUUAUCAGAGGAAGUCAAGUGUUAGGCAUCAUCCCAAGAGUUCUCAAACCAUUGGGCAGUUCGUCUGACUCAUCAACUGGAGAAGAGUUAGUCGUCUCAGGUAUGCAAGAAAGAAUAACUGAAAUGCUUAAUCAUGCUGAUGCUUUUAUUUUCUUUCCAAGAGAUCUUGCAACACUAGAGGCACUUAUUACACUAGCAUCUUGGGCCCAUCUGCACAUCCACCAGAAACCCAUCGGUUUGUUAAAUGUCAAUAACUUUUAUGAUGGCUUUAUCGCAGUUCUUAACCAUGCAAUAAAAAACUAUUUCAUUCCUUCUAAUGUGAAAAAACUCUUUAUUUGUGCUCACACUGCUAAUGAGCUACUUGAUAUGUUACAAGCUUAUAAACCGGAGCCAGACCCCUGGACCUUUGUGUUGGAGCGACCAAAUAAUGAUGGUAACAGUAGCCGCAGUAAGAAGUACAAAUUAGAUUUAACUCUCCGCCUGUAAAUAUUUUCUUCUGUGUUGCACCACCCAGGUGAUGUCUUCUAAACUCUACUUCUUUCCUUUAAAACAUUGAGGACAAUGUUUCGUUCUGGUUGGGGGGAGGGAAUAGUCGACAAUUGUAGAAUCUUGGUUAAGUUUUUACUGAUUUUUUGUUGUAGAAACUAACUGUUGCUAACGUUUUGUGUUGAAGAUGGCUGAAUAUGGAGUGUAGUUACUCUAGAAACGCAUCUUCAUCGUUUUAAAAAAAAAAAAAAACUGUUUUCUUCCUCUUUCUCCUUUAUAAAUAUAUAAUUUCAAAUUUUUGAGUCGAAGAUGGCUGAAUAUGGAGUGUAGUACCUCUAGAAACGCAUCUUCUUAGUUUAAAAAAAAAUUCUUUUUCUAAUUAAUUUUUCUACAUCAUUUUCACAUUUCUGCAUGCAUAUUUUCCUUUCAUGUUUAGAAUAGGUUGGGGGGUAGAAUGUUGUUUAAAAAAAAAAAUUGUGUUAUUUGUUUUAACAUUGGAUGACAUGAUUAAUUUCAAAUUUUAGUAUUUGUAUUAUCUUUGGUCUUAAGUGAUGUUACGCUAUGUUUGCUACUUUACAUGUUGAUGUCGGAGACAAAUAUGAGUUGCUUGAAGGAAUGAACAUGUCAUAAAUAAGUGCCAAGUGAGUUGUUGAGCCUAUCAUUUUCUUGGAGAGUAACCCUUUUGCCCAUUCUCUAUACAGCUUAGCAGUCUAUUAUUUUAUACACGAUCUCUAGAUUUCUUUUGAGUUAACCCUUUAAAAACAAAUGGUAAAAUUAAAAAAAAAAGAAAAAAGAAAAAAAAUGUGUGUUGCUAUAUUGGGAGGUCCAUCUAACUAGUAGAUAUGGAAAAUUAUUUAGAGCCCUAAAAGACGAUGGAAAGGCCAUCUUUGAUCUGUUUGAGCCUUUCUAGCCAUCCCUUUUAUUAAAUAUCCAUAGUUACCCCUUUUGGGCCUUAAAAAAAAUAAAUAAGUAAAAAAAUAAAAAAAAAUCUUUUCUUUGUCAACUUAUCAUCUUGACCCACUCCGAUUUGGAGUAUUACCCAAUAACUUAUAAGUUCCAUCACCUAUUUAUGUUUGAGAAAAUGUAAAUAAUUAUUUUGUUUAGUGAAGUUAUGCCAAAACAAAAAAAACAAAAAAAAAACAAAACAAAACAAAAAAAUUGUUGUAAAAUAAAAAAUAACAAUAAUAGGUGAAAUACACCUUGCAACUUCAAAAAAAAAAAAAAAAAUUCUCUGCAUUUUUCUCAAACAUACACUUUAUUUUCCUUAUUUCCUUUCUUUGUUAGCUAUAUCCCUAGCCUACGUUACGUCAUAAUAAAAGUCCUUCUUGAUUUUAGGGAACUAUAGCUUGAAGUAGAAGCUAGUUAUAUGGGCUAAAAAGAUGUAGUGAUGCAUAAUAAAAAAAAAAAAAGAUAGAUAAAGUGGGUUGACUAACAUUUUAUUUGACUUGAGAUCGUAUUAUUUCUAAGAUGAGGGCAUAUUUAUUUCAUCUUGGUGAGAGCAUGUGAUAUCAUUUCUUUAUUAUUUUCUCUCUCAAUUACCAUUCAUUGGAGUGACUAUGUUUAUUGGGUUUUAAUUUCUUUGUGAGAGUGUCACUACUUCCAGUGAGAUUUUGGGGUUUGACAUGUCAUUCUUGAAAGUAGCUAUAACAAAGUCUACUGGGCUAAUUCAUGUGGAUGGUUGAUGUGGGUGUGAUGUUGCUUUAGACUGGAGAUAAUGCUUAUACUUUUAUUUGAUUGCUAUCAUUAAUCUGAUUGAAUAAACACGAGUGUUUCUAAAAAUAAAAAAAUAAAAAAAAUCAUUUUGAAUUUGAAUUUUGUUUUCGCUUUAUUUGCUAGGGACUAGCAAUAAGCUGGUUGGGGGGUGUGUUGAGUGUUAGAAAAUGCAUAUUUAUAAAGGAGAAAACCAUCAUUUUACAUUUCAAGUCUUACUAACAACUCUUACUUUUAAGUAUUUAACCUUCUUAUGAUGUAAUUACGUGUGUGUUAUUUUAAUUAAGUAUUUUAUGUAUUUUAGGAGCAUUAUAGUCAUUUCACAAUAAAGGAGAGAUCAUACGGCAAAACGGACAUCACUUUUGAACUCAGGACGAUCGAAAACCUUAGGAGGAGUAUAAAAGAAAAAAUGGCAUUAUUCACAUGUACGGUACUAUUCAUGUAUACGGUACUGUAUAUGUUACUGUUCACGGCACUGUUCACAUAGACGGAUCGAUAAUGUGGCAUUGACUGAUGAGGUGUCACGAUCCUGUUGGACUAAAAUUCUUAUGUACUGUUGAUGGUGACGUGGCAGCAUAUCAGUGGACGAAAAAUCUCGCGUACGGUGCAUGCAUCACACAGGAUUAUUUUCAACCAAACCGCGUUACUGUUCAUCCGGGUCAAACUGUGUUACUGUUCAUCCGGGUCAAACCGUGUUACUGUUCAUCCGCGUGGUCAAACCGUGGACUGUUGACUGAUGACGUGGCGUAAUCCUGAGCGUCCAAACUAUUUUUAAUCCGAUGGCCAUGAUUUACUCCAUGUAUCUAUAAAAAGGGGGCCUUCCCCCCCUAAUUUGAUAUCUCUGAAUCUAUUUUUGGGAUCCAUUUUCUGUAAUUCCUUCUCCAUCUUGUAUUUUCUUUGUAUUUUAAUAAAUUUCCAUUUUACCCCUAGUUCAAUUAUGAGUAGCUAAUUUCCUUUCAAGCUUGGGUUGAAGGUGAAGUCUCAACAUGUGUCAUGGGCUUUAUUUGGUAAAUUUAUUUUCUUUUCCCCUCUAGUUUUUGUGGAUGAUUUGACUUAUCGUCGACAAAUAAUACUGAUCUUGUCUAGAUACCGCCUUGGUUACACCGGCUCUCUAGUAUAAGGUUAUUAUUAUUUGGCACGAUAAGCCCUUAGCACCAUAUUGAUUAGAGCGUGGUUCAUGAGGUGUGGAUUCCCCCCUCAUGAUUUAAUUGGUAUUAAUAAGGAAUAUUUAGCCCAUGAUGCAUGUUGAUAUGGAUCCAGAUACCCAAGUACGUCAUUUCAAUAGAAUUCUCUUCAAUUUAUUCUCGCCAUUUCAAUUCCAAUUUUAGAAUUUAUUCUCGCCAUUUUAAUUUAGGUUUUAGCAUAUUCCAAUUCAUUUGCACCACAAAUCCAAUCACCCAUUUACAAAAUUAAUUCUACACAAUUAAAAUCCACCUCCUCGUGGGAUCGACACUCGUCACCAUUGAUCUAUACUACAAUAGAUUCGUGCGCUUGCGAGUACAUUAAAAUUUGCACAACACCCGCCACUCAUCCUCAUCCUGCCAGAGUUUUUAGUUGGUCCUCUCACAGUGGAACUGCUCUUCAGAACAUCAUUUUCAUCCUCUGAAUUAGGAAACUCAUCAGGAACCUCCUCAUCCCUUGAAUUAUCUUCAUCAAGAACCUCUUCAUUACCCGAAUAAUCAAUACUUUCCUCGUUAGAGAGUUCAUCAGCAAGUCUUUUUCCUUUAUCCAUAAAGUUGCUCCUGUAAUAAAUAUAAUAAUUAUAUAACAUAUAAAUAAUUAUCAGAAAGUAUUAGAACAUUAUAUAACAUAUAAAUAAUGUCAAAAAAGGUAAUCUAAAGUCAAUACAAGGAAAAUAUAAUAAUAAAAGAUAACGUAACACAAAACUAUUAUAAGACAUACAAGCAGUAAAUGCCAUCAGCUUUUUCAAGCAUCAAUCCAGAUGCCAUGCUUGCCAUCUCUUGCAUAUUUGUCCGCAUCAUUUAAAUUUUCAAUAUUUGGUAACCCAUUGGUCAGAGGGUUGUGUUCCAUCAUGAUAUCUAUAUCCUCAGCACUUGUCUUCUUUGGAACACAUCUACGAUGCAUAUGACUUACAACUGACCAUCUUUUAUCAAGUUGAUCAGUGACAUAAAAGACUUGUGUUGCUUGUGAAGCCAAUAUAAAUGGGUCUGAUUUAUGACCCAAGCGAUUUAAGUCCACUAAAGUGAAGCCAAAUUCAUCGAUUUUAAUACCCCCAUUAUUUUAAACCCAAUCACACUUGAACAAAGGGAUUCUAAACAUAUGGUAGUCAAGGUCCCAUAUUUCGUUAAUAACUCCAUAGUAAGACAUGUCACCAAGAAUAGGGUUUUUGUCCUUGGCACUUGCUACUUGUAAAGUUGCUGCAAUAAGACUAACUCCACUAUUUUGAUGAACUCGUUGUUCGUCUCGUUCUCGAGUAUGGAAAUGAUACCCAUUGAUGUCAUAUCCUGGGUGCUUAACUACAAAAGGACGGGGUCCUUGAGAUAACCACCUCAAGAUGUUCGAGACAUCUUCAUCAUCGUCUAUCAUCUCAUAUACCUAUAUAAUAAUAAUCGUAAUGAAUGAAUUAUUGUAUAAACAUGACAAUAACUUUACUAAAAAGAAUAUAUAAUGGAACAUAUAUUAUUAACCUUCUUAUUAAGCCAAGUUGAAAAGGUGCGGUUGUGCUCAUUGCUCAACCAUCUCUCAUUCUUGGCUUUUUGUGAAUGAUGACCCUUUAGCCAUUGAAUGUGCUCACUACAUAUUUGACAUUUACAUAUUAAGCUACUGUUCAAAUUCUUUAAAAAUAAUUCAGUAAAAGAACAAAUUAAAGGUUAAACAUUAACAAACCUAAUAAAUGGCUGAACUUCUUAUGUGUUUUGCAAUACAUAUAAGUGCGCUUGAUGAAUUAAGGAAUGAUCAACUUGCUCAAAUUUUCCACCAGGCAAAGGCUUAUCAAUUGAAGAGGUUUCAACAUGUCCAGGAGGAAGCCCAAUUGUACGCAUGUUUGAAACAUAUUCUGCACAAAAUUCCAGAGCCUCUUCGGCAAUAUAACUCUCGGCUAUGCAUCCCUCAGGGUUAUUACGGUUUCGAACAUAAGCCUUUAGGCCUUUCAUGUUCCUCUCAAAUGGGUACAUCCAUCUUAAGUAUACCGGCCCACAUAGUCUAACUUCAUUAACUAAAUGGAUGGUUAAAUGGAUCAUUAUGUCAAAAAAGGAUGGUAGAAAGCAUUUUUCCAGCAAGCAUAAGGUCAGCGCAAUGUCUUCUUCCAUUUGGUCAAGUUUGGUCACAUUAACAACCGUUGUGCAUAAGGAAUUAAAGAAGAAGGACAAUAUAAUAAUGACAUAUUUAACAUGAUCUGGUAAGAUAGACCUUAAAGCAAUAGGUAAAAGUUGUUGCAUGAGAACAUGACAGUCAUGAGACUUUAAACCUUGCAGUUUUAAGUCUUUCAUUGACACUAGGUUCUGAAUGUUUGAAGAAUAACCUACAGGAACCUUUAUGCUUUUUAAUGCUUCACAAAACCUUUUCUUUUCUUCUUUGGUCAAGGUUUAACAAGCUGGAGGCAAAAAAGUACGAUUAUUUUCUUUAACAUCAGGUGCCAAUUUUUGCCUAAUCAUUAAAACUUUUAGAUCCCACCUCGACUUAAUGCCAUCUUUGGUCUUUCUCGGGAUAUUUAGUAAUGUUCUGUAGAUGCUUUCACAAAUAUUUUUUUCAAUGUGCAUAACAUCUAACUGGUGACGAAUAAGCAAGUACUUCCAAUACUCUAACUUAAAGAAUAUUGAUUUUUUCUUCCAUCAAACACGAUCGUCAUCAUCAACCUUUUUCUCGCUUCUUUUUUUGCGCUUUUUAUCUUUCACUUUACCCCAUUUGUUUUCAAUACUCUCCACCUUUCGAAAAAUGGCCUCACUAGUCAAUGGUUUCAGAGGAGGCUCUCUUUCAUGUUUAUUAUUAAAAGGUUGCUUUUGAGUUCGAAAGGGAUGAUCAUGAGGAAGCCAACGGCGAUGGCCAAUAUAAGCAUUUUUUUACUGUGUUUAAGUCUACAUUUUGGCAUAUCUUCACCGCAAUAAGGACAAGCAUAAUAACCCUUAACCGUACAACCCGCCAAAUUCCCAUAAGCGGGAAAGUCAUUUAUAGUCCACAAUAGUACAGCCCGUAAAUUGAAGAACUCUUUUUUGUAGGCAUCAUAAGCUUCCACACCAACAUCCCAUAGAGUUUGCAAGUCCUCUAUUAGUAGUGCCAAGUACACAUCAAUAUCAUUACCGGGUUGUUGUGGACCAGAAAUUAAUAAGAAUAACAUCAUAAAUUUUCGUUUCAUACACAACCAGGGUGGAUCGAAGAUUGUAUGUUACAAGAAGAAUGGCCAGCAACUAUACGUACUACUAAGAGAGCUAUGAGGAUUAAUGCCAUCAGCUGAUAGGGCAAGACGCAGAUUUCUAGGCUCUAAAGCAAAGGUAGGCCAUUUUUCAUCAACUAACUUCCAUGUCGGUGAGUCAGCUGGAUGUCGAAGCUUACCAUCUAUUUCCCUCUCAUUUAUAUGCCAAGUCAAGUCUUUGGCAGUUUGUGAGGACUGAAACAAACGCCUAAAUCUAGGUAUAUGAGGGAAAUACCAUAACACUUUUGUAGGAACCCCCUUCCUAUAAGCAGCAACACUACCAUCUCUUUUCUUCCACCUAGAUUCACCACAUGUAGGACAAUUAGAAAGGCUUUCGAGUAUUCAAUCAUUUGGACAAGCAUGAAUUUUGAUAUACUCUAAGCCUAAAGCACUCAUUGUCUUUUUGGCUUCAUACAUUGAUACAUGCAAGUCAUUUCCUUCCGGUAACAUGUCAGAAAGAGCACUCAACAAAUCUGAAAAGCUACUAUCAGACCACCCAUAUCUGCCCUUUAUAUUGUACAAUUUAACUAAAGCUGAUAACUUGGUAAAUUUGUUUGAUCCAGGGUACAAAGGCUUCUCAGAAUCUUCUAAUAGUUUUUUGAAUGCUUUAGGAUCACUAUCACAAUCCUUAAAAGCAUCUUCAACCAUUUCAACAGUAUUACCACCAUCAUAAUCCAUAUAUCCACUGUCAUUUUGGCAACCUAUAUUGUCAGGAGAUUUGUUGCGGAUAUCUUCCCCAUGCCAAACCCAUGUUUUGUAUGACAUAUCAAGACCCCAUAUAAUUAAAUGAUCUUUCACUUCUUUAGGCCUAUGAAAUGCUAAAUUCCGACAUUUAUCACAUGGACACCUAACAACACUAAUUUCUUGAUUACUUUCAACUGCAGUCUUAAUAAAAUUUUCCACACCAGCCUCAUACUCAUCGGACAAUCUAUCAUAUUUAAGCCAAGAUUUAUCCAUUUUUUGUCUAGUACCUGACAUAUAAUUGAGAUAAAUUUCAACAUAAUGUACUAAUGGGCAGCAAUGAUAAACGGUUUCCAUUAUCAAUAAAUUAAGCAACAAAACAUUAUUAAUAUUCAAUUUAUAAAUUCAAUGAAAUAAAUAAGUUUAAAAAAAAAAACUCGUCAUCAUGUGCAACAAAUAUAACUUUACCAACAUGCUAUCAUCAUUGACCAAAACCACCGACUAACCAUACCCAACUAAUAAUAUCCUAAAUAACUUGGCCCACAUACAUUUAACAUUUAUUUAAAAAAAAAAUUCUAGCAAUCCAGCAUUUCAUGGACCACAAGACUAUAUAUAUAUAAGCAACUAAACAUUACUUGGUCCACAUGACCAAACUUGCCCCCACAUGGUACCAUUUCCUUCAAACAUAAAAAAGACAAUUGAAAAGGGGGCCUCACUUUUUAACUCAAUAAAUUACACAAAAUCUAGCUCACACUCAUUAAAGAAAAUGUCAACACGAUUGGACCACAGUUUCGGAUUCAUCCCAACAAAAGACACUAGUAAAUGAAAAGUACUAUACCAUCAACCAAAAUCACUUCACACACAUGCAAGCUUUGACUGAAAAUUUACAGAAUAUAACAAUAUUCAUACAAACCAUUGGUAGCAAACAUUUUUCAAACAUUGAACGGAAAGGCAAGUAAAAAAUUGAACAAACCUGAUGUUAGAAAUCGAGUUUGAAAGGGAACAGGGCAGUGAAAUCCUGCGAUUCAGAAGAAUUUUUUUUUUUAAAAAAAAAGAUGAGGACAUGCUAAAUUAAAUGAUUGAGCAAUUUCUAGAUUUAACAGAAGGACAAAGUAUAAGCUUCUUGAAUUAAAAAAUAAACAAAAAAUAUAACAACAGAAACAAACGAGAAUUAAAAAGUAAUAGUAAAGAUAAACCUAGGGCAUAAAUUAUGAAUAAAUAAGGGAAAUAACAACAAAACUAACAAUUAAUUUUAUAAUGACCAAUUGAUUUAUUCUUAAUAAAAAUUAAAAAAGUUAAUUGACGACAAACCUAGGGAUUCAGCGAUUACAGGAUGGCUUCUCCAACGCCGAUUAAACAAUACAAAGAAGUAGUGACACCGACAGUUUCAAUAAUGGACGUGAAGGCGCAACAAUGAGCAUAUGUGGUGAUUUUGUUCCUAAAAACAAUGGGUUCGAAAUAAUGGGGGUUCAAAAUAAGGACGGGAAGGCUCCUUCAAUAGCAUAAACUAUGAUUUUGGUUUCCAUGCAACGGAUUUCAAAACCAAUUUGCAGAUUAAAAUAUGUUAAUAAACGGAUUUUGAGGGGUUUCAUUGCUUUGGUUUCUCAGCCCUUGCUGAUGGAGUGAUGGGUCAAAGGUGCCAACACUUAGAAUUUUUUUUGUGUUUAUGGUUUACAACAUACUUAAACGAUAGCGUUUAAAUGUUAAAUAAUUAUUUUUAUUUUAAAAAUAUUUUAAAUCUGUUAAACGGUGUUGUUUUAUCUCCAAAUUAAUUCCACUCGAAACCCACGGUUUGAUUAAAUACUAAUACGCUAUCAUGUUUAUCUGAUAUAUAAACAAUCUAUCAGAAAGCUGUCAUGAAUUUAUGAUGUACGAAAAUUCUAUCAUAUGUCUAUCAUAUUCUUAUGAUAAAUGACUAAUUUUCUAAUAUCUAUCACAAAAAUUCUGUCAUGGUAGCCCAUUUUUCUAGUAGUGUAUAGAGAGAGAGAGAGUGAGUGAGAGAGAGGGGGAAGGGGAUAGAGAGAAGGAGGGAGUACUAAUUUAGUCCAAGAUUGUGUACUUUAUUAAAGUUUAAGAAAACUAUUAAACCACAUAGUAUAUAUAGGGGGAGAGAGCGAACGAGCUAUUAUUUAAUAACAGAUCUAUUAAGUUAUUAAAGUAAAUAAUAAAUUAAAAGACAAGUAAAAGUGCAGUGUAUUUUAUCUAGUAAUAUAUAUUGAUGUAUGUGUUUUUCUUGUUUUUGAAACUUGUCCCUUAUUUUGGUAAGUUAAGGAUAUCCUUCAAUGAAAAAAAUUAUUUUACAUAUAUGAAGAUACUCAAAUAUGGUGUCUACAUAAAUUUUUUGUGUGGAUUUUAGGUUUUAUAACCGUUUGAAAGCCUUUCACAUUAUUUCAAAAAUAUUUUACACUGUUCUAAAAUCCUAUAUCUGUAUGAAAAUUCAUGUGCACAUAAGUUAUAUAUAUAUAUAUAACUGAAUAAAUUACAUUUUGUGGGACAAAAUUAAAUAUUAUCGAAGGGCUUACCUCGAACAAUUGUAACUCCUCCUGAAAUUGGAGAACAGGGCCAGGGUGUGUUCCUUCUUUAUAAUGUUUCAUGUCUGCGACAUGGUGCAAUAAUGUGUAGCCUUUCUUGUCAAUUCUUGAAGCCCAUUUGGGCACAGACAGUUGCAUUUCCUUCGUGAUGAGUUCAAAGACCUUAUAUUGACGACGCUUUAGGGCCACAUGUAAUAUAUUCUGCUCUUUCUCAUUCAAGUUAUCUAACAAUAUUGCUUGAGGAUGUUGAUGGAUUAUCUCCUUCCAAAUCUCUGUUAUUCCAUUGCUUGUUGCAAAGAGUAGCGUCAACCUGAUUGCCCAAUUCUUAUCCUUUUUAUGAUUAGGAACUCCUUUGAUAGUGCAAUCUUUCUUCACAAACAAUUCGACCAAUUCUGCAGCUGAAAAAUCAACAAAUUUUUUUGCCUUGAUCAUAUUUCCUUUGUUAGUGCAAUCUUUCUUCAGCAGCAAUUCGUCCAAUUCUCCAGCUGAAAAAUCAACAAGUUUUUUUGCCUUGAGCAUAUUUCCUUUGCCUAAUCCUAAGGAAAUUGUGGAAAUAUUAUCUGGCGAAGUUGUGGAACUUUCUGCAUCCGGCGAGAAAAUUUCUGGGUUCGGCAAGGAACUUGUGGAACUUUCGAGGUUCGACGAGGAAAUUUUUGGGUUCGGCAAGGAAGUUGAGGAACUUUCUGGGCUCGGCGAGGAAAUUUCUGGGUUCUGCUCUCCAUCCCCAAGACAAAGGGUUUAUUCUUUAACCAGCUUUUUGAGCAGUUUAUUCGCAUUUUUAUGCAUUUGCUUUUUCAUCCAGAUUUUCUUUAUCGCCGGACAUCCUGGUCAUGCAUGCAUCAACUGUUGGGAAAAUAUGCUCUUUAAAAGCAUGUGUUUAUUUAAUUGUAAUAAACAAUUUUUCUGAUUAAUAAAAUAGAUGAGGUAUUUUAUUCAAAUAUCUUAAUUGCAUUAAUAUUUGUAUUAAAGUCCAUUUAAUCAUAUUAUAUGUAUUUAUGUGAUCACCAUGUGGAUUCACAGAAGACAUAAAUACAAGUUAUCUUAUGAUUAAAUAAAUUUAGUUCGCAGUUGAUAAAUAAAGUUGGUCACUUUAUUUAGGUAUAGACUGUAAUAAAUUCAUUGAAUGAUUUGUCUUAAUCAUGUAUGAAUUUGUUGAUGUAGUACGACUAUAUUGAACAGGAUCACAUAUGAGAUUUAAUUAACUUUGUAAUAACUGUUAGACUUAUUAAAUCUCAUAGGCAUUGAUUUUACUGUAAUCUUAAUCUUGAGUUUAUUAUGAUUUCAUGAUUGUAAUUGUUAUUCCAUUUGAGUUACCAAUGGGCACGACACAUCCUUGUGGUCAAGAUUACUCGGUAUCUUGGUGGGAGCAAUUAUGAGUAUUGGAGUUAUGGAUUAACAAUAUAGAAUUUGUACAACACAUCUCUUGAUGGGUUUUCGGCACUUGAUCAUAGAAUUCUUUGGCCAGAGUGUGUCAACAUAUUUAGUAUGUUGAAAAUGAUCAUUAGAGAAAACCAGUAAGGAUCAAGGAAUAAGAUGUUAUUAAAUUGAUUGGACAGUUGAGAUAUCAAUUUAAUUAACGAUGUGGUACAAAAGAUUGUGCAGUAAAGAAAUCAAUGUGGCUUGGGACGAAUUAUUAUUUGAGCAUACAAUUAUGGAAGUCAGUUCCAAUCUUUUAGUGGAGUAGAUUUGGAAUUAAAUAAUUAGGCUAGUUUAAUUACAGGCCCAAUUGUUAUAGCCACUAUUGUAUGUUCCCAAAUGAUCCCCGGGUUAGCUCAUUUAAUUGACCGCACCACUACUGGACUAAUAAGCAAGAUAACUAGCUAUUUGGGUCAAAAGCCUAAAUAUAUCAUUUAGUGGGAGGCUCCAUUUAAUAAGCUUAUGUGGAAGGGGCCUUAUGUUAUUUUACAUGGUGGGUCCCCUAUUAAAUGAAAAGUAACGUGAGUUUUAUUUUGGGAAUUCUUGGAGCCUAGGGUUUUCACUAAAGGGAGAUAUAAAAGGCUUAUUUUCUCUAAAGAAAAAUGGGAAGCCACUUUAUACAAAUCGGAGAAUAAGAUUUUUCUCUCCAUUGUUGAGAGAAAAAUUUUCUCGUGCUAGUUGCUUUGGUAGUGAUAACGGCGCCCACACGUCAAGUGCAGAUCGAACCUGAGUCAUAACCUGGAAGAUCAUUGGUGACAGUUCGUGAUCUAACAAGCGUGGUGGUGACGGAUCGUGAUAUAACAGGAGUGGUGGUGGCGGAUCGUGAUCUAGGAGCCUAAAUCACUUUAGCGGAAAAAGCCAACUCCGAUUUUCAAGGUACGAUUUCUAGAAUACGAAUUCUUAUAUAUUAUAUGAGAGCGAUCUUCAAAAUGUUUAUAAAAAUUUAAAAACCUGAUUUUUCCCCAACAUCAAUAUCUUGUUAAUUUAUAAACAAUUUCGCACGCAAGUGCGGCAAAGCCAUUCAUCAACUGAAUGAAUUGCUCAAGUUAUGUUACAUUUCCCCUGUUCUGCUGCGUAAUUCAUAAAUGUAGAAGUAAUUAAUGAAAUUAUUAUUGGUCGCACCUUCAAUCACUUGCCUCCAAAUGCCAGUGUACAUCUUCCAAAUUGGAAUUCCUGCAUUUUGAUUAACUGCUCAGUAGGCUUGGCAAAACCCCAGGUCCGGUCCGGGUUUGAUGCAACCCGGGACCGGACCGGAUGCCAAAAAUUGAAACCCGGACCUGGACAAAACUCGGUUUUUGCAUGUCCGGUCCGGGCUUGAGCCCGGCGUGUCCCGGGUCUGGGUUUUGUCUUCUGGGCUUCUAAGCCCGCAAACAAUGAUUUCAAAAAAAAAAUUCUUUCAUUUUAAUGAUACCAUUUGCAAAUCUUGCCAUGAUGGCAUACACGUAUGUCCAAACAUAAAUUCCCGGAGUCUGUAACACCAAAACCAUGAAAUUCAAUUAACUAGAGUACCGCAAAUUGAUUGUAACACCAAAACCGUGAAAUCUCGACACAAACCCCCUAGUUUCAUCAUACAAUCAUAUGUUGUGUGCGUUUGCUGAUGCAUUUUAGGGCCAAAUUAUUCAGACUCUUGAAAUUGAAGAGUGAUGACUGCUUGACUGGUGAUGGCUCAAAUAAAUUUUACACUAUAUACAAACUAGUGAACCUUAUCUAGCUAGCUUUCAUCCCGUUCAGCUAAAAUGCAAAAUGAUAGAUGUGUAGAGAUAAUGAGAUGUUACUUGUCUAUAUUCACUGUAGAUUGGUUUUAGAUGAAAUGGAAUUGGCCGGGAUGGAGAAAAAAAGAAAUGGAGAAAUUAAAAAAAUGUUGGACGUAUACAAAUCAUAAAAAUUAAGUAUUACACGAGCAGGCAAUAAGGAUCCCUCACAAAAUUGGCCAUAUUUUCCUCAUAUUCUACGGUCAAAACCACUUAGCCUCACAACAACAGCAAGUCAGCAACCAUGCACAAAAUUGGCCGAAAAUAAACACGAAUAACAAUAGCCAACACCAACAGAGAAGCAAUCGGCAAAAAUACAACUGAGAAGACAAAAUAUGGAAGGAAAAAAAUCAAUACCUGCGGCUGGUAGUGGUGGCUGUGAUGGCAGAGUGAUGGACUGAUGGUAGAUGACAAAGUGGCAAUGGAGAGUUGGAGACGGUGGCGCUGAGGCUAACGGCGCCAAAGGGGGCUGCACUGCGCUGCUGCCGCUGCACGAACGACUUUCGUCACAGUCGCAACUGAGCAAAACCGAGUCAGCAAAUGCAAACGAGAAGAGAUGAUGCCGACUGCCGAGUACCUAGGGGCGACGGUGACGGACUGACGGUGGGUUCUAGCCGACGGUGACGGUGGGUUGCAGCGUCGCUGCUUAUGCCUUUGGGUUUGGGUGUUUUGCGAUUUGGGGAAUUAGGGAUUUUCGGAUUUGGGUUUGGGCAACUGGUUUUAGUUUUUUUUUUUUUUGUUUAUUAGGAAAACGGUUCCGGGUCCGAGUUCCAGGUUUUUGGUGCUGAACCCGGACCGUGCCCGGAUAUGUCCGGGUUUUAAAUUCUGAAACCCGGAUCCGUUUUUUCUGUAUAUGCGGUCCGGGUUUUGCCCGGACCGGAUUGGCCGGAUCCGGUUCGGGCGGGUUUUUUUGACACCCCUACUGCUCAGGCGCAAUUUUACAACUAUAUGUAUAUUUAUACGAUAUGACAAAAUUAAUGCCACCACAUCAAAAAGGAAACCGCUCCCUAUAAUAAGAUACUGUAUGUUUGGACAAAAAUGGCAUGCAAGCACCACCCUUCUAGAAGGUGGGCUUGCUCAUUUUGAAAAAGGAGGCGCUGCUUCCUUCUUUGACUUGAAUAAAUGAAAAAAAAAAGAAAAAAAAAAAAGAGUGAUGCGGCACCGCAUAGGUAAAAGAAAAAAUAAUAAAAUAAUAAAAUAAUUAUUUUAAUUGAAAACGAAGGGAAAUGAAGCCUAUAAAUAGAAGGGUUCAUUUCCCUUAUCAGCAUCCAAUUCUUCUCUUCUUCUUUAGAUCCAUUUUGAGAGGAGAAAAAGCCAAGUGAGAGUUGAGUGAUUAGUGAGUGAGAGAUUGAGUGUAUUGGGGUUCUAGGUAGUGAGCCAAAAUAUUACAGUACUUGUAAUAAUAAUUUCACUAGUAAAAUAUUUUCUUUCUGUCUUCGCCCAUGGACGUAGGCUAAAAGCCAAACCACAUAAAUUUGGUGUCCUUGUGUGAUUCUGUUGUCUCAUUAUUUCUCAAUUUUACUUUAGUUGCCUGUAUGCUUCACCAAUCAAUUUCCAACAUGUCUUUGUAUAAAUUGGUAGUUAAGGUCAUCAUCAUGAGAAUUUGUACAAGUCCAUAGAAAUUAAAGAAAAAAGGAACUUCAUCUUUUCCCCGUACUAUUUAAGGUAUUUCACACUUCCCCCCUUAGUAUUUUCAAAAUUGGCAUACUGUUAUUGCGUCUAGAGGAUUCCACUUCACUGUGAUGAUUCUUCAUCUAUAUCUAGUGUAUUUUUGAGUUACCAAAAAAAAAAAAGAAGGGAAAAUCGACGUCUAAAAGAAAAACUAGCUUUUAUAUUAUACUAUUUAUUGUUUAUUUAGGUCUCAAAACUAAUAUUCUGUUUGGUUUCUAAAAGACAAUUGCUCUAAAAUGAAAGUUUUAGUUAUUAAUGGAAAAUUCGUGGGUAUUUGGUAAAGCUAAACCACUAGAUGUCAUAAAAGUUCUUUUUUUAUUCUCAUUUUUGGAGUAAACUUAUCAAUAAAUAAUUGUGAAAAAUAAUCAAUUUAAAAGGCAAACUGAGAAAGUGUUUACAGCUGAGUCGUCAAAAAGAUAGCCAAAACAAAUAUUAUGACUUGUAACCGCAGCUAAAGCUGUUAGUUCGGAUUUUCAUUUUUCAAUUUAUAGAGUUAUAGUGAUUAAUGAAACCACUAUAUUAUGAUUAUGAACAAAUUAAAGCUGCCUCAACACUACCUCUCGUCCGCUUUCUGCAGGCGACGCGAUUGUCAAUUUUACCAGUCUCCAAAUAUUCUUUGUAAUUGUAGUCAACGCAAUCGUCAUCAUCAUACGUUGGAAGACCUGCAAUUAGAAAUUGCAAUUGUAACGGCAUGCACCGAAGUCAACUGGACUAUAUAUCCCCUUAGAGAUGGAACUAUAUAUGUGUAUAUAUAAUUAAUAUAUAAAAAAUGCUAAAGAAAUUGAAGGCUGAUAGAAUGUUAACAGGAAUAAUGGUAUAUCAAGUCGGGCUUACUACAUGGUAAUCUCGGCCAGAUGUACCCUUGUUUUUGUUGAAUUGUUCUUUGUUAAUAGUAAUGUUCCAAUGAAAGAUCUCUUAAGUUAUUAAGUUAAUUGCCAACAAAGUAACCCCGAACGGAUGUAUUUACACUUCAUUAAUCAGCUUUAAUCUCUUUCAUAUGGUUUUUGCAUCCACGAAAGCAAGAAAUAGAUGAAUAUAUUCACGUACAAGAAGAGACAAGACUCGUCCAUAUCUCCGCGGUCUUCGAAUAACUCUUGAAAGCAGAUGGCAUUAGAGCUAGUAAAUGAAGACAUGUCAAGCCAUCAGGCCCCUCGGACGUUAGUUUGUUCGCAAGGCUUGAGUGGUGUUUAAGUAACCAAAUAGCAGUGUCUGUACGUAUUGAAGCAGAUUAAUUAAUUAGUUAAUUAAGAAGACAACUAAUAAAUUUUUAAACGUUAAUUUAACUCUUUUUUUUAAUUAAUAACCACAAAAAAAAAAAUGGAGUUAGGCGGGAUCCCUGCUUAUCAUAUAAAUCAAUACAAAAAUAAUUACAUAAGAAUAAUAACAUAACCCAAAACCUUCUAAAACAGAUGAAAAUAAAAUUUAAUUUAACUAUUGAUCUAUUUAUGAAUGAAUGAAUGAGAGAUUUAAUUACUAUAUUUUACCGAAGUGUUGGCCAAGGACAGCCAUAUGAAGAACGGUCUUGCCAUCAUUUCUACGGAAAUGAUAACGUAAGUCACCAACUUGCUCAGUCCAGAUUUGCAGCAGUUUAGUUUUCCCAAGAGCAGCAGCCCUGUAAACUGGGGUUUCCUCCAAACCGUUUUUAGCCUCAAGUAGAACUUUGUACGCAUGAUCGCCAGACUUUCUGGAAAAGUCGACCAAAACUCUGGCCACGUCAAAAUUUUCGACGACGGCCGCUUCGUGAAGACCAUUGUUUCUAAACGCAUCUGUUUGCUUCAAGACUUCAAGUCUGGUCUCCGGUGUUAGCGUUUCGAGAAAUUCCUGGAUCAGCUGAGGGUCUUCCAUGGCCGCUGCAAUGUGAAUUGCUCUGUCCCCGUUGACUGUCCUGUAUCCCAACAAAUCUUGAUCUCUUUGGCCAGCAAAGUAACGCAAGAAGCCUCGACAGUCUCCCUUCAAGGCCAUUCCAUAAGGAUCCAUUUCUCUCUCUCUCUCUCUCUCUCUCACUCACUCACACCAUUAUAUAUAUAAUUGAUACACAAAAAGCUGUGCGUGUUCUUCGACGACUUUAAUUUUAAUUGUCUUAAUACAUAUAGGUUUAAUCAUUCUAGAAGUUCUAAACGAUGUUAUCAAAUUGGCACAAUCACUUGCAUAUUUAUCUAUAUCUAUAUCUAUAUAUAUAUAUAAAGCUAGGACUUGAGGAGGUGAUGUGGCAUCACUAUUUUGCUUCUUUUUAUAUUCUCUAUUAUCUAAUAAAUAGAGAAUUGUUUUUUAGAUUUGGUUUUUCAUCUUCUCAUAAUUAAUUUGAUUGUAUUUAACUCAUUUAAUAAAUAGUAACUUUAUUAAUAUAUAUCAUUCCUCAUCUUUUUAUAUUUUCUAUUAUCUAAAAUAUUGGUGGAUAUUCUUUGUACUUUUUUCUUUUUAUAUUUAAAUUCAACAAUAUGUAAUAAUUAAUAAUAAUUAAUUAUAAGUCUUUUGAAACAUUUAUUUAUUUUAUUAUGCUAGCAAUUAAACUUUAGUGGCAUAAAAUACAUGAAUUAAUUAACAUAGGAAGAGAGGUUCUUUCAUUUUCUCUCAACAAUGCCACUAAGGCCUAAUUUUAAUGCCAUAAUCCCAUAUUUAAUUAUGCAACCUUUUGUUGAGUGUCUUUUGGCUUCUUCAAAAUUUAUUAUGCUAUCAAUUAAACUUUAGUGCCUUAAAAUACAUCACCUAAUUAACAUAGGAAGAAAGGUUCUUUCAUCUUCCCUCAACCUCAUCUUUUUAUAUUCUCUAUUAUCUAAAAUAUCUAAAAUAUUCUUUGUACAUAUUUCUUCCUCUUUCUAUUUAAAUCCAACAAUAUGUAACCAUUAAUAAUAAUUAAUUAUAAGUCUUUUGAAACAUUCAUUUAUUUUAUUAUGCUAGCAAUUAAACUUUAGUGGCUUAAAAUACAUGAAUUAAUUAUCAUAGGAAUAGAGGUUCUUUCAUCUUCCCUCAACAAUGCCACUAGGGCCUAAUUUUAAUGUCAUAAUCUCAUAUUUAAUUAUGCAACCUUUUGUUGAGUGUCUUUUGGCUUCUUCAAAUUUUAUUAUGCUAGCAAUUAAACUUUAGUGCCUUAAAAUACAUCAACUAAUUAACAUAGGAAGAGAGGUUCUUUCAUCUUCUCUCAACCUCAUCUUUUUAUAUUUUCUAUUAUCUAAAAUAUCUAAAAUAUUAGUGGAUAUUCUUUGUACAUGUUUCUUCCUCUUUCUAUUUAAAUCCAACAAUAUGUAACCAUUAAUAAUAAUUAAUUAUAAGUAUUUUGAAGCAUUCAUUUAUUUUAUUAUGCUAGCAAUUAAACUUUAGUGGCUUAAAAUACAUGAAUUAAUUAAUAUAGGAAGAGAAGUUCUUUCAUCUUCCCUCAACAAUGCCACUAGGGCCUAAUUUCAAUGUCAUAAUCAUAUAUUUAAUUAUGCAACCUUUUGUUGAGUGUCUUUUGGCUCCUUCAAAUUUUAUUAUGCUAGCAAUUAAACUUUAGUGGCUUAAAAUACAUCAAUAAAUUAACAUAGGAAGAGAGGUUCUUUCAUCUUCCCUCAACAAUGCCACUAGAGCCUAAUUUUAAUGACUUAAUCUCAUAUUUAAUUAUGCAACAUUUUGUUUAGUGCCUUUUGGCUUCUUCAAGCUCUCUAAACACUAAAUAUUUAAGAUUUGUUAUGUUUAGGGUUUUUUUUAUUUAUUUAAUCAACACCCUCUUUAGAAAAAUACUUGUAUUUUUAUUGUUUGAUUUAUUUGAAUUUUUGGUAUUGUGUGCUUCAUGGAGUACUCUUUUCUUCAUAAGUUGAACAAUGAUAAAGAUAGUUGGAUGAUAAGGGUUAGGCUUUGUAGGAUGUGGGAGUCUACUAAUACUAAAAAAAAUGGAGAAUUGAUUAGUGUUGAUAUAAUUUUUAUUGAUGAAAAGGUUGUAUAAAAAAUUUAUUCUCCCAUUGUUUUCUCUAAUUUUUUUCCCAAUUGUUUCACACUUAAUGUAGUAUGUGUUUUUUUUUUCGUAGGAAAAUCUAAUGCAUGCAACAAUCAGGAAAACUUUAGUGACAAUGUUUAAGCACAUGUUGAGUGAGGGUUCUUUGUACAAUGUCAAGAAUUUGAAAGUUGUUUCAACUACAGGCGAGUACAGACCACUUUCAAAUCAGUAUAAGAUUAUUUUCUUGGUUAUAACUUCUCUUAAGAGGUUAGAAGAAGGAACUGUCAAGAUUCCGAUUAAUGGAUUUCAAUUCGUAUCUCCGAAUUUGAUUGAUUUACGUGUGAAUGAUAACACAAUCCUCUCAAGUAUUUUUUUUAAUUAUUAAUGUUUGUUAAUCUUUAAGUGUAUAUUAGAAAUUAUUAAUCCUUAUGUUUUAACAUGUUUAUGUUAUUUUUCCAUAAUAUUACAGAUGUUAUCAGAAGUUUAUGUGGUCUGGGUGAUAUUGAGAUCGUUGGAGCUGGUUGGAAAAAAAGAGAUAUAAAAAUUCUAACGGAUUAGUAAGUUGAAUAUAAUCAAGAAAACUAUGACUUUAUAUUUUUUAGUUAUUUAUGUUAUUUUUUAGUUAUUGGUUCUCUUUACAUUAUUAACUUUUGUUAAUUUUUAUGGAUAGCUCGGUAACAACGAAGAUUACUUUAUGGGGAAAGUUAGGGGAGAUGUUUGAUCCAAACUUGUACAAGAAAGACGAGGGUCCUUGUAUUGUGAUAGUAACUUCUACAACCAUUAAAAAAUUCCAAGGUGAUUAUUUUAUUUAGAUCCCACUAGUUAACAUUUUCAAAUGCAAUGUGGCUAUUUUAAUAUUAUACACAAAUUUAGAUUUUGUUCAAGUUUCGUUUUACGUUACAUUUUCUCUAAACAGGUGAGGUUAAUUUCUCUACGACAAGUGCAAGCAAAAUCUACAUAAAUCUUCAAAUAUAUUAUGUAGCAUCAUUAAUUGAAAGAUUUUCCACCGUCUCCAACGUUGUGCAAGUUAUUGAAAGUUCGAAUGUGAAUAAGAUUACUUUUGAGAAAGAGAUGUUCCUUAACAGGAUGAGCAUUAAAGAACUGUUGGAGGCUGAUUGGAGUUCUCAAAUGAAGGUGAUUUUUCUUUUUUUUUUUCCUUCUCAUCCAUUUGUGUUAUUUGUUCCUAAAUAUUGGAAUGUCCUUAUUAUUUUUGUAAAUGUUUAUUGUUUAAUUGUAGGAAUAUAUUGUUACUGUGCGGGGCAAGAUUAGUGAAAUAGACAACUCCUUUGGAUGGUACUAUGUUUCGUGCAAAACAUGCAUAAAAAGGUCAUACCUACAAAUGGUAUUUAUAUGUGUGGCACUUGCAAAAAGGAAUGUGACUAUCCUCUUGUGAUGUAAGAAAAAUAAUAUUAUUUUUUAAAAAAUUGCUUAUUAUGUUGUUAGUUUUUCAUUCUAAUUCAUUAUUCUAAUGUAGGUACAAAAUACAUAUAAAAGUCAUGGAUAAAACGGCAGAGACAACUUUUGUCUUAUUCAAUCAUGUAGCUGAGAAGUUACUUGAUACAUCAGCCCACAAGUUGUUUAAUAGACUACCUUUACAUAGUAAGGAUGUCCCUGCAGAAAUUCAAAGCCUUUGUGGAAAAGAUUUUGUUUACAAACUGAAAUUGAAUGAUUACAAUUUGAAAGAGGGACUUGAGAAUUUUACUGUGUCAAAGCUUUUCACCCCUGAUGAGAAAUUGGAGCUAGAACAAGAAUUGAAGAAGGACAAAAAGGUAUUAUCUACCUAUGCUAGGUUCAAUUUGUAGGCAAUAUAUGUAAUGUUAAAAAAAAAUUAAUUGUUGUUUUUUGUAGGAAAAAAACAAUACAGAUCAUGAAAAUGUGGAAAUAUAUGAAAGAAAGGAAGGACAUUCCCAAGAAAUGGUAAUUUUAUUUACUCUUAUUUCCCAGUUGUUUUCCUUUAUGAUUAAAAUUAGCAUGUUCAGUUUACUCAUAAUUAUAAUUUCCUUGAUUAAAAAAUUACAGGAUCCUCAUGAUAUCUUAUCAAAUAAUUUGGAAGAUUCUGUGGGAGAUUUUCAUGUUACUAAUGCUGGUAAGAAUAGAAAGAGAAAAAACCAAAUUAUUGAUGAUGAUAAAGUUAGUGAUGGUGGAAGUAAUCAAUACACAAAACAUGUUUAGUGUUGUUGUUGGUCGUCUUUUUACAUGUGUGUUAGUCUUUUGACCUUUUUUUUCUUUUUAGAGUGGUAAUAUUUAAGUGUGAUAUGAUAUGUCUUAUUUUUCUGUCUAUGUAUGUAUUUGUUUUGAACGAUUGAGAGAACUUAUUUUUCUUGUGUUAUAUUUCUUUCUUGGCAUCUUGCUCCGUUCUAUAGAUGAAUGUAGAUAAUAAAUUGGUAGUGACAAUGCAAAAAAAGGCUUAUCAUCAUCAACAAGAGUGAUAGCAACAAAAACAAACGCUAGACGCAAAUAAUUGGAUUAAUCUCUACACUUCACUUGCGAUAAAAUAUAAAUUUAAUUUUUGUUACUUUGAGUUUCAGACUUUCAAUCACCGAAAUCUGAAAAAUGAAACCCAAAAGAUCUAAUCCGAACGCUCAAGAUUGAGAUCAAUAAGUUAAAAAUAAUAGUUAUAUGUAUGCUUAUACCACUUAACACAUAAUGUUUCUAAUUCAUUGAUUGCUAUUGUGAAUAAUCUCUUGGGUAAAUUUUGAAUUAUUCCAAAUUGAUUAUUUUUAAAUUACUUCAUUAUUUUUAAAAUCUUCAAGUUAUUUUUAUUUUUGCUUAAAAAAUGAGGGGAGAGAGGUAAUUUACAUUUUUUUAAAUUAUUUUAAUUACGAAUAUUUUUUAAAUUAUUUUCCUUACUAACAUUAUUUUAAUAUGAUUAGUCUACUGAACAAAUGAAACUAUUCAUAUUAUAUUUGUAUUUAUUGAAAAUUUUUAAAUUUCAAUUUUUUUUAACUCUUCGAGAAGAAACCCUCCCUAAAUUCUCUAUCUUCCAUCACAAAUCAAUCUCCCGAAGUCUGUUGUUGAUUGGCUUUAUAAACUUAAAGUUUGUAAUGCAAAACCGAAAAUCUUUUUUUCGUUCAUUUGUUGCCCUCUCUUGCUCUUUCUAACCAUUUUAACCAGCCAUCAACUUGGUCAAAUUAAGUGACUCAAGUCCCCGCACGAGGACUUAAAUGAUGAAACUAAUGAAUUGGGCACCUGAAAACUCUGCGUUUUGCUCUGUUUUUGAUAUAUUAACGUCCAACAUGUUCCUAGCCUUAAAUUCCAAAGUUACCCAAAACUAAUUUGGGAGGAAUGUUUUACUUAAUUUACAUUUUAGUUGCCUAAGAAAACAUUAUUGUCCUCCAAUAAUAAAUAAAAUAAGUGGGAACUUUGAAAAUUCAAACACAAAAAAAACUCAUUUGAACCGUUGGUUUUUUACAACUGCUGUAUUCAAGAAUAAAAAAGUUAAGAAAAGAUGAUAACGUAUAAAAUCUAAAAAUAGCAUUGAAAAAGAGCCAAAAGGAAAUCUGGAUAAUAAUAAUAUCAAUGUCCUUAUAUUUUAUCAAAUAAGGAUAUUGUUUAUCAAUUUGUAUCAAAUGGGCUCCUAACCAAGAUUGAAUAAAGAUUCAAUGUUGAUCUAAUUUUUGUGAUGAAUUUUAUAAAGGUUUGUCGUUUGAUUAAUAGUUUUUAAAUAACAAUAUAGAUACAACUAAAUUUUAAUCAUAUAUUAUUAUAAAUAUACACAUAUAAAAAAAUAAAUAAAAAAAGAUUAACACUUAAUCUAGAUUCAACAAAAUUGGAUUUUGAAUGACACAUAUUUAUAGCUUAAUAAUUGAAAGGUGUUUUAUUAGUGAUUGUAAAAGAGAUUGGGACUUAUUUGAUGCAAAUAGACAAUAUAUGUUUAUAAAACAUUAAAAGGAAAAAGCAAUGGAUCCAAUUAUUAUCACUCCGAAAAGAAAUCACAUUGUUUCAAAUCUUCACAAAAUACAAAAUACAAAAAUGGACUGUUUAUUUUUUCACGUCAUAACAUAUAAUUUAAUUAAUAUAGGAAUGAAUGUUCUUUUAUCUUCCCUCAACAAUGCCACUACCAAGGCCUAAUUUUAACGUCAUAAUCUCAUAUUUAAUUAUACAACAUUUUGUAUCUACUUUUUUAUUUAUAGAUAAGUCUUAAUGAAUAAUUAAUUUUCGUCUUAAAUCUAAUUAACAUUAAUUUAAAGAAUUGAAACUUAAGACGGUUCCUUUAGCAAAUGUUAAUUGCUAACAACAAGUUUAAGAUUUGUUAAGUGUUUAAUUGCAACCCAUUAACGGUUUUGACAAUGAUUGAGGUUUAAAAGAAAUAAAGAAAGAAAUGGGGAGACGUCGUAUUAAAUUGGUUUUAUUAUCAACAAUUAAUUAAUCAUUAUAUCAUUUUCAAUUAAUUAGAAAACGUUUAGACUCACAAGAGCUUGAGGUAAUAGCAACAUUAUCGACUAAUGAUAGUCUUGAAGAUGAGAAAGACGGAAAUUGCCAUAAAACACAUCAUUUGCGUACCAAUUUCACCCAAUAAUUGAAAAUUGACAAAUUUCUCAUAAAAUUUAAACCUAGAUAAAAGAAAUAAUAAGAAAACAAUAGUUAGCUACCGUCAAUAGAAAAAUGAAAGUCGGGUAAAAGACAGAAGAUUUGGUUGAGAAAUCAAUACUAUUACAGCACUCACGUUGUUAUCCAUGUCUCUUAAUUAAUUAUAAGCCUUGACUACAAGAGGUGAUGUGACAUCACUAUUUUACAUCUUCUUAUAUUCUCUAUUAUCUAAUAUAUUGGUUGCGAUUACAAAAUAAUUACAUUAUAAAAUAUUAAAAAUAGAAUAUAAUUAUUAGGUUACAAAAGAUUACAUGUCUUUUCCUCUUUCUAUUUAAAUUCAACAAUAUGUAACCAUUAAUAAUAAUUAAUUAUAAGUCUUGAAACAUUCAUUUAUUUUAUUAUGCCAACAAUUAAAUUUUAAUGGCUUUAAAAAGCAUCAAUUAAUAAAUAUAGAAAGGAAGGUUCCUUCAUCUUCCCUCAACAAUGCCAUGGGCCUAAUUUUAAUGUCAUAAUUUCAUAUUUAAUUAUGCAACCUUUUGUUUAGUGCUUUUUGGCUUCUUCAAAUUCUAUAAAUAUUAAGUAUUUAAGAUUUGUGGCAUCAUUAUUUCUCAUCUCUUUAUAUUCUCUAAUAUCUAAUAUAUUAGCUUAAAUUAAAAAAUAAUUACAUUACAAAAUAUUAAAAAUAGAAAAUGAAUAGAAAAUGAUUAUUAGAUUACAAAAGGUUACAUGUCUUUUCCUAUUUCUAUUUAAAUUCAACAAUAUAUAACCAUUAAUAAUAAUUAAUUAUAAGUCUCGAAACAUUCAUUUAUUUUAUUAAGCCAACAAUUAAACUUUAGUGGCUUAAAAUACAUCAACUAAUUAAUAUAGGAAGGAAUUCUUUCAUCUUCCCUCACCAAUGCCAUUACUAGGGUCUAAUUUUAAUGUCAUAAUCCCAUAUUUAAUUAUGCAACCUUUUAUAUUUGUUUUUUUAAAAUAUGAUAAGCCUUAGUGAAUAAUUAAUCUUCAAUGUCAAAUCUAAUUAACAUUAAUUUAAAGAAUUGAAACUUAAGACGGUUUCUUUAGCAAAUGUUAAGUGCUAACAUAUUUUAGAUUUAUUAACAUCCAUGGAACUAGCUGAGAAGGUCCACUAUUCUACUAUUUCAAUUGAUCAAUAAUGAAAAUCAAAACCCUUUGAUUUUUGCCCAAACUACUUCUUCUUCUUCAUAUUUUCUCCGCUAAACCCAGGUAAUGUUAAUAAACUCAACUAUAUAUAUAUAUAUUGAUUUACGUUUUUUUUUUCAAUCCAUGCUUUGAAAGCUUAGACCCGUUUAAGAAUUAUUAGUAGACACAUGUUUUAUCAGUGUCAUCUUAGGAUGACAAGAGGAUCAUAUGUCUAUUAAUAAUUCUUGAAUUUUUCUCGACUUGGACAAUUUGGGAAUGCAUAAUUUUUUUUAGUUCCAAGUAGGUGAAGUUUUGUUUCACGUAAAAGGAAAUUUCGAUAGCUGCUCAUCAUGUUCUCUGGGUACAUACUAGAUGAAUGCAUAAAUCUAGGUCGUGUACUUGGAGAACUAUGGGGAGAUGCUGUCGAAAUUUCUGUAAAUGUGGAAGAAACUUCACCUACUAGGAACUGAAAAAAAUUGUUCAUUCUUGAAUGGGAUUUAUAGGACCACCUACCAUUUGUAAAUGUGAAGAGAAUGUUGGAAAUUGGGGAAGCGAGGUGUUGAGUUGGUAAAUGUAAUUGGUUGUGGUUUUGCUGAGUUGAGUUGAGUUGCUAAAGAAACCAUUAUUGGCUGUUAACAAUCACAUAUUCUCAUCAAACAUUUAGUUGAAUAUGUCAAACACACAGACUAUCAUGCUUUAAUUUCUUUAGAGUAUGACAUGUUUGAAGUUUGAUUAUUGAUUCCAAUUAGGCUAUAUAUAUUUAUAUUUUGGUAUUUUAGUACAUAUAUUUCAUAAUUUUGUAGAAACUAUUAUAUAUUAGUGUUUAGAAAGUGUUAGAUAUAUUCUCUGUCUAAUAUAAUUUUAAUAUAUUUUGUGAUGAAAAUAAAAUACUCCAAGAGCAUCCUAUUGCACAGAUUAUUUUAUAAUGUUAAUGUUGAUGAUGCAAAUAUAUAAUUCACAUAUAUAGAGUAUGGAGCGUAACUUUAGAUUGUAAAUUAAACAAAUAUUUUUAUGAUCAAUACUAGCUACUGAUGAUCAAGCUUAAGUAAUUGUGAGCUACUGCAAAUCAAUUAAAAAGCUUAUCACCAAGUUCAAGUUACUAUGGCAGUAAUAUAUAAGAGUGAAAGUGUUGGCUCUUGUGUUUAAUUAUUUGAAAAUCAAUGUGUACGUAAUCAAAUUUUAGCAUCUCAAUUUCUUUGGAUCAAUUUAAUUUGAUGCCAAUUUGUCAAUGCGUUCUAUUUGUUUAUCCUUAUCGAAUACGUUUACUCGAUUUCAUUAUUAUGAAAACUUAGUUUUAAACAUAAUAUGUUGUUCUUAUUUUUAUUAACACCGGAUUACUUUAUUUUAACAGAUUACUGCUCACUUGUCUUUGCAAUUGUUGCUAUCUACUUGUUUGCGAAAAAGCAUAAGGUAAGAAAGAAAAAUCUUUGAAUAAUCUUUGGUUGUCUAAUUUAUGCGAUUUACACGUGAAGGUAUUGAAGAUUUUCACUUUAAUUUUUCAAUGCAAACUUUGAAAGCUUAGACCUGUUUAAGAAUUAUUAGUAGACACAUGUUUUAGCUCGUGUUUAUAUUUAUUGACUAAUUAAUCUCUGGUGGAGUUUUAUUUAAUUGUUAUAUAAUUCGCAUGCAUGAGGUACAAUUAAAAGAGGCGGGUCUUUUCUGAACGUGAACUAGCUAUAUUUGACUCGGAGGAUCCAGUGUCAAUCUGGAUAUUUGGUGUUUUGUGGAAAUAAACAGAUAGAAAAGGUUUAACUAAAUGCUUAAGUUGUUCUCGACUACAUUGUACAAUGUACUUGACUAUUAGAGUGAUAGAUUUUGCCUGUGUGAUUGGAACAAUGCUAAUGAUUCUAAUAUUUAGUCUUAAUUGAUGUGGUACAUAUCUUUUAAAUGAUAAAAUAAUAAUUUUAUGAAACUAUCCAAUUGCUUUUCUAACCUUCAAUUUUUGGUUUGAAUUGAAUUUUAUGAAAUUCGAUAAAGUAAACAAAAAAAUUAAUGCCUCCCAUUUGCAAGCAUUUCUAGGAAAUCUUAGAAGUACAAAAUAGCAAACUUCAAAAUGUCUUAAUUCAAUAUCAUUAAUUUGACUAUUGACUUCUAAAAAAAUGCAAAAAAUAAUUAUGAACAAACAAUUAUUUCACAAUACAUGUAUGCAAUAUUAUUAAUUCUUAUGCAAACAAAAAAAAUUAAUUGAUUAAUAACUAUUAACUCUUUGUGAGUGAAAAAAGAUAGAGACAAAGGGUGGAAAAAACAUAUCAUUUUUACAGUUCACCAAAUGGGGAAGUUGGAAAAAAAGAUAUAAAAAGUUUUAACAGAUUAAUAAGUCAAAUAUAAUCAAGAAAACUAUGACUAUAUAUUUAUUAAUUAUUGUUUUAUCAUAAGAAUUGAUCGACAAUUUGACUUCACUAAUUUUAUUAGUUCUUUCCUAAUUUUUAAUUUUCUUUUUCACUAAAUACAUCCAAUAUUUGUUGAAGAAAAACCAUUAAAGUAAAAUGAAAAAGGAUAUAGCCCUUAGAGAUUAUUCAAUGUAUUCACAAGAAAAAUUAAUUAGAAAAUAUGUUCUAGGCAGCCCAAGCAUCUUCUCCCAAACGCAGUAGAAUAAACAACAGUACUUGGCAGUUAGCAUAAUUAUUAAAAGAAAAAAUCUAUGAAAAUCACUCUAAAUCCAAAUGGAAUGUAGAAUGAACAACCUCAAUUCCUUGAAUUAUUGCCUAAUUAUUUGUUCUAAUUCUUAAGAAAAACAAUUUUUUUCUUUUCCUCACACCCCACCUCUUCAUAAACACAAAUAAAAAAGUCAAGUGGUAAUAUUCAUAUUGAAAUAGGGAAUAAUAAUAUUGGUGAUUUGGAAUUAAAAAAAGUAACCAAUUGUAUAAUAACGUAAUUCAAAACUUUCGAAUUUAAUGAUAAUACGAUAUCCUUAUAAUGAGUUUUUCUCUUUACAUUAUUCACUUGUGGCAAUUUUUAUGGAUAGCUCGGUGAUAUCAAAGAUUACUUUAUGGAAAAAGUUGAGGGAGAUGUUUGAUCAAAAUUUGUACAACAAAGAUGACAGUCCGUGUAUUGUAAUAUUAACUCCUACAACCAUUAAAAAAUUCCAAGGUGAUUAUUUAUUUAGAUCCCACUAAUUGACAUUUUCAAAUGCAAUGUGGCUACCUUAAUAUUAUACAUAAAUUCGGAUUUUGUUCAAGUUUUGUUUUAGUUCAUAUUUACUCAAAAUUAAUUGCCUUUAAAUUUACAUUAGAACUGUUAAAGUGGAUUUUUGUUGACUUUCUAUAUUAAUUUAGGGUAUCGUAAUUAGACCUAAAAUCAAUCAAACUUAGAAGUUUGUUCUGAAAAAAUGUGUUAACGUUGUUUCUAAAUACACAAUUAUGGAAACAAUUCAUAAUUAUUUAUCGGUUUGAAAAUAACAAAAACAUUACAUUAAUGAUUAUUUUGCAUGGAUUGAUUUGAUAAUAUCACAACUGAAAAAGCUCACAAUGUACCCACCAAAUUCGAAGAAUAAUAACCUAAUAAAGAAGUAAUCUAAAAGCCUAUGUUCGUGGCUAUAAGCACAACAACAAUUAAUGCCAAUGUGACACUUGCAUGAGUUUAAAAUUAAAUUGAAUUGGUUAAAUUAAAUCCCAUUUUAUUUUGUUUUGUUUUUAGUUAUUUGUUUUUUGUUCUUUCUAACAUAUGGUAUGUAUUCGUUCGAAAAAUUCAUUGCAAUUCUUAUUUCAAUAAUUGAAAAAUAUAUUUUUUCAUCUCUUUUGAAAUUUUUUUUUAUAUUUUUGGUUUCUCUUGUUAUGAUUUGUAAUAAAACGUUUUGUUAAUUUUAGAAUAUUUUGUGAUAUUGAAUUCACUUUAUUGUUCACCAGAGUAAAUGGAAUUGAUUUCUGCAACUAUUAAUGAUUUUGGUGACUCAAGGAAUAUUCCGCCAGAAGUUUGUCUCUUGCGGCAUCAACUUUCAUCUUUAGCUCAGCACGAAAGGAUUAUGAAAUUAAAGCUUAGGAAAUAUGCAUCAAAUUUCCAGUGUGACAAUAAACAAUGCAUAUGUUGUCGUAGGGGUGGGCAUAUUUUAACCGAACCGAUCCAAACCGAUCCAAACCGACCAUUUGGAUCGGUUUCAUUAGUAAAAAAAUUGGUUUCGGUUUAUUGGAUUGCAAACCGACAUCACUCGGUUUGGAUUUCGGUUUGGAAGGAUUCCAAACCGAUUCAAACCGAUCCAAUCCAGAAAUAUUAUAUAAUUACAUUAUAUUCUAAGUUAAGCAAUCUAACUAAUUAUAUUUAUCAUUUUAUGCAGAUUUUGACAAAUCAAAAGUAAUUGGGCCAUAAGUUUUGAUGGACAAGAUGCACAAUAUUUUAAUUGUCAAAUGUCGUUCAAGUUUAUUUUAAUUUUGUGAGUUUGUUUUGAAUGAACAGGUUAAGAACUUCUUUAUUAAGAUGUAUUAUGCUGUAAACUUGUAUGGAUGUAUCUUUGAAUUGUUAUGUAGAUAUCAAAGUAGAUAUGAAUAAUAUAAAAGAGGUAUCAAUUUGGAUUACGGACACAAAAAAAUAACAAAUAAUUUAGGUAAAAUAAUAUAAAAGAAGUGGGCUUUUAGUUAAUAAGCUCAAACCGAGGAUCCAAACCGAUCCAGUCGGUUUGGAUCGAUUCGGUUUGAAAAAAUUUUAGGUUGAUAUCGGUUUGAAAAUAUUUCAAACCGAUAAGUUUGGAUCGGUUUGAGAAUAUGUCUCAAACCGAUCCAAACCGAAUUUGCCCACCCCUAGUAUAUAUAUAUAUAAAGCUGGGACUUGAGGAGGUGAUGUGGCAUCACCAUUUCUCAUCAUCUCAUAUUCUCUAUUAUCUAAUAAAUUGGUUGAAAUUAAAGAAUAAUUACAUUACAAAAUAUUAAAAUAGAAAAUAAUUAUUAGAUUAUAAAUGAUUACAUGUUUUUUCAUCUUUCUAUUUAAAUUCAACAAUAUGUAACCAUUAAUAAUAAUUAAUUAUAAGUCUUGAAACAUUCAUUUAUUUUAUUAUGCUAACAAUUAAAUUUUAGUGGCCUAAAAUACAUCAAUUAAUUAAUAUUAAUAUAUGAAGGAAGGUUCCUUCAUCUUCCCUUAACAAUGCCAUUAGAGCCUAAUUUUAAUGUCAUAAUCUCAUAUUUAAUUAUUCAAUCUUUUGUUUAGUGCAUUUUGGCUUCUUCAAACUCCAUAAACAUUAAAUAUUUAAGAUUUGUGGCAUCAUUAUUUCUCAUCUUUUUAUAUUCUCUAUUAUCUAAUAUAUUGGUUGAGAUUAAAAAAUAAUUACAUUACAAAAUAUUAAAAAUCUAUAUAUAUAUAUAUAUAUAUAUAAAGUUGGGACUAGAGGAGGUGAUGUGGCAUCACUAUUUCUCAUCGUCUUUUAUUCUCUAUUAUCUAAUAAAUUGGUUGAUAUUAAAAAAAUAAUUACAUUACAAAAAAUUAAAAAUUAAAAAUAAUUAUUAGAUUAUAAAAGAUUAUAUGUCUCUUCCUCUUUCUAUUUAAAUUCAAUAAUAUGUAACCAUUAAUAAUAAUUAAUUAUAAGUCUUCAAACAUUAAUUUAUUUUAUUAUGCCAACAAUUAAACUUUAGUGGCUUAAAUAUAUCAAUUAAUUAAUAUAGGAAUGAAUGUUCCUUCAUCUUCCCUCAAUAAUGCAAUUAGGCUCUAAUUUUAAUGCUAUAAUCUCAUAUUUAAUUAUACAACCUUUUGUUUAGUGCAUUUUGGCUUCUUCAAACUCUAUAAAUAUUAAGUAGUUAAGAUUUGUAGCAUUAUUAUUUCUUAUCUUUUUAUAUUCUCUAUAAUCUAAUAUAUUGGUUGAGAUUAAAAAAUAAUUACAUUACAAAAUAUUAAAAAUAGAAAAUAAUUAGUAGAUUAUAAAAGAUUACAUGUCUCUUCUUCUUUCUAUUUAAAUUCAACAAUAUGUAACCAUUAAUAAUAAAUUAAUUAUAGUUUUGAAACAUUCAUUUAUUUUAUUAAGCCAACAACUAAACUUUAGUAGUUUAAAAUACAUCAACUAAUUAAUAUAGGAAGAAAGGUUCUUUCAUCUUCCCUCACCAAUACCACUAGGACCUAAUUUUAAUGUCAUAAUUUCAUAUUUAAUUAUGCAACCUUUUAUUUAGUGUCUUUUGGCUUCUUCAAAUGAUAUAAAUAUUAAGUAUUUGAGAUUUGUUAUGUUUGGGUUUUUUUUUUAUUUAACCAACAUCUUCUUUAGAAAUGUUCUUGUGUUUUUAUUUUUUGACUUAUUUAAAUUUUUUGUAUUUUGUGCUUCAUGGAGUAUUCUUUUCUUCAUGAGUUAAACAAUGAUAAAGAUAGUUAGAUGAUAAGGGUUAAACUUUGUAAAAUGUGAGAGUCUGUUAAUACCAAGAAGAAUGGAGAGUUGAUUAGUGUGAACAUAAUUUUUAUUAAUAAAAAAGUUGUGUACACUUAACUAUACACAUUAAUAUAUAUUUUUAAAGUUAACAAAAAAUACUUAACUUUCAUAAGUAACAUUAGUUUUAUAAAGCUGCGUUAGUUUAAAAAAAACCAAUUCAUAUUUUUUUUUAUCAAUUUUAUCAGUGUAAAGUAAUAAAAAAAUAAUAUGAAAAUUUUUUUUUUAAAGCCGCACGAAGUGCGGUUCUAUUUCCUAGUUAUAUUAAUAGAGCUCGAGCAUAUUAGUUAUGAGAAUAAAAUAAAGGUGAAGUUAAUCUCUCGGGUGAGGCAGAAGAAUAGAAUAAAUUAUUUCCAACAGCUUUGCUGGUUCCUAUUCCUUUUUCUGCGAAUAUAAUAAUCACAUUUAUUCUACAACUUUUAUCUCCAUUGCUUUUUAAUUUCCGCGAAUGUAAUAAUCACAUUUAUUCUAAAGUGUUAAAAUACCUAAAAAUUUUGAAUUUAAAAAAAAAAAAUCAUCUUUUUUUCACCUUGGCGUUAAGAAAGUUGGAAUUUGUUAGGAAAUGUUUGCAAAAUGAUAAUUUUACUCUUGUAAUAUAAACAAUGUCGGAUUUGAACGUUUAAUUUCAGAAUAUUUUGCCCUUAAAUAAUUUCUAAUCUCCUUCUUGCAUGUUUUUCGACAUCGUAAAAUACAUUAAGCUUAUUCUUCAAUUUUUAUUUCAUAAUGACAUAAUCCAAAAGUUUGACGAUUCAUUUGAUUUAUGAUUAUUCAAAAAUAUUUUUCAAAACUCAAAACAGAAUCUAAAAAAUUGAGUUGAAGUUCUAAUAUUAUCUGUUUAUUUUUAACAUUUAUCCAAUUCUCUUCCCUAUUAGCGGGGUCGAAAAUUGACCAACUUAGAAAGCCAAACUGACAAGAUGUUUACAGCUGAGCUUUCAAAAAGCUAGCCAAAACAAAUACAGCCCAAGUACAAUCGGGAGUCGUAUGUGUAAGUGGGUUAUGACUUGUAACCAUAGCUAAAGUUGUUUGUUCGGGUUUUGAUUUUCGAAUUUAGCGUUAUAAAGAAGCCACUAUUUCAUGAUUAUGAACAAAUUAAAGCUGCUCUUUUGCCAUUACUCUUCUCUGCCUGGCUGAUGCGAUUCUGCAAUCCUACUUGUCUUCAAAUCUCUUUUAUAAUUGUAGUCAACGAUAUCCUCAUCCAGAUACGUUUGGAAGACAUGCGAGUAAAAAUGUGAUUGAAUUUAACUCUAUAUAUUUUAAGUUCUAAUGAUGUAGACCUGCAAGUAUUUAUUUAUUUAUUUUUAAAUUUCACUUCAUCGUAUAUAUGUAUAAAUGCAAAUUAAAUAAUAAUUAUUUCUCCUAAUUAAUUUGCUAAUUGUUUCCACUGCAAAGGCAUGCACCUAAGUCAACUGGACCAUAUAUCUCAUAAGAGAUGGAACUAUACGUACAUAAUUAAUGUAUAAAAAAUGCUAAAGAAAAUGAAGGUGAAUAGAGGUUUGACAGAAAUAAUAGUAUAGUAAAUUGGGGUUUAUUAUGUUAAUUAAUUGAUUUUUUAAUUAAGUCUAAGUCGAUGUUUCUGUCAAAUUUUUCAAUCUUACUCAUGAUAUAUAAAUAUCAUGCAUAUGUUUUUCAAAAGAGAACUGAUAUUCAGUCAAAAUACUAACAAAAAUAAAGUAAAUCCGGCCAGGUUUACAUAGUUAAAUGCCAACAUAGUAACCCUGGCUAGGUGUAUAUAUACUGUAUUUGUCAGCGUUUAAGUCUAUUUUAUCAUUUUUUUUCUCCAUGAAAGGUAGUAAUUAGUUUUAUAUAUCUACGUAUUAAGAAUGUAUGGACAAGACUCGUCCAUAUCUUCAUGCGCUUCGUAAUCUUGAAGAUAAUAAUAAAUUUUUAUACUCUUGAUCUAUAAAGAAAUAAAUUCAUUAAUUUAUGUAUAUAAAUUCUGUUGGGGAAAAGUCAGGUUUUUAAAUUUUUUAUAAAACUUUUUGAAGAUCGCUCCCAUAUAAUAUAUAAGAAUUUGUAUUCUAGAAAUCGUACCUUGAAAAUCCGAGUUGGCUUUUUCCGCUGAAGUGAUUUAGGCUCCUAGAUCACGAUCCGCCACCACCACUCCUAUUAGAUCACGAUCUGUCACCACCACGCUUGUUAGAUCACGAACUGUCACCAAUGAUCUUCCAGGUUAUGACUCAGGUUCGAUCUGCACUUGACGUGUGGGCGCCUUUAUCACUACCAAAGCAACUAGCACGAGAAAAUUUUUCUCUCAACAAUAGAGAGAAAAAUCUUAUUCUCUAAUCUGUAUAAAGUGGCUUCUCACUUUUCUUUUUAGAGAAAAUAAGCCUUUUAUAUCACCCUUUAGUGAAAACCCUAGGCUCCAAAUAAUCAAAAAAUAAAACCCACGUUAUUUGGUUUUUCAAUAGGGGACCCACCUUGUAAAAUAACAUAAGGCCCCUUACACAAAAGCUAAUUAAAUGGAGCCUCCCACUAAAUGAUAUAUUUAGGCUUUUGACCCAAUUAGCUAGUUAUCUUACUUAUUAGUCCAGUAGUGGUGCAGUCAAUUAAAUGAGCUAACCCGGGGAUCAUUUGGGAACAUACAAUAGUGGCUAUAACAAUUAGGCCUGUAAUUAAACUAGCCUAAUUAUUUAAUUCCAAAUCUACUCCACUAAAAGAUUGGAACUGACUUCCAUAAUUGUAUGCUCGAAUAAUAAUUCGUCCCAAGCCACAUUGAUUUCUUUACUGCACAAUCCUUUGUACCACAUCAUUAAUUAAAUUGAUAUCUCAACUGUCCAAUCAAUUUAAUAACAUCUUAUUCCUUGAUCCUUACUGGUUUUCUCUAAUGAUCAUUUUCAACAUACUAAAUAUGUUGACACACUCUGGCCAGAGAAUUCUAUGAUCAAGUGCCGAAAACCCAUCAAGAGAUGUGUUGUACAAAUUCUAUAUUGUUAAUCCAUAACUCCAAUACUCAUAAUUGCUCCCACCAAGAUACCAAGUAAUCUUGACCACAAGGAUGUGUCGUGCCCAUUGGUAACUCAAAUGGAGUAACAAUUACAAUCAUGAAAUCAUAAUUAACUCAAGAUUAAGAUUACAGUAAAAUCAAUGUCUAUGAGAUUUAAUAAGUCUGACAGUUAUUACAAAGUUAAUUAAAUCUCAUUUGUGAUCCUGUUCAAUGUAGUCGUACUAUAUCAACAAAUUCAUACAUGAUUAAGACAAAUCAUUCAAUGAAUUUAUUACAGUCUAUACCUAAAUAAAGUGCCCAACUUAAUUUAUCAACUGCGAACUAAAUUUAUUUAAUCAUAAGAUAACUUGUAUUUAUGUCUUCUGUGAAUCCACAUGGUGAUAACAUAAAUACAUAUAAUAUGAUUAAAUGGACUUUAAUACAAAUAUUAAUGCAAUUAAGAUAUUUGAAUAAAAUACCUCAUCUAUUUUAUUAAUCAGAAAAAUUGUAUAUUACAAUUAAAUAAACACAUAUGCUUUUAAAGAGCAUAUUUUCCCAACAAACUCACCAUUAAUUACUCAUGAUCACCAGUGCGUUUCUAAAAUGCAGAUUGAACGAGAGAUUUAAUUAUUAUUACCGAAGUGCUUGGCAAGGACAGCAAUAUGAAGAAUGGAGAUAUUAUCCCAACAAAUCUUCAGCUGUUAGUUGAGCAAAGUAAUCCAAGAAGCCAUCAUCACAUUCUCUCAUUAAGGCCAUUCCAUAAGCAUCUUCCUUCGUUAUCCUCAUCUCAUCCAUAAACAUAAGCGCCAUCUCGCUUCUCUCUCACACUUGUAUAAUUGAUACACUGAACAAGCUGUGUUCUUCGAUUUCCUUAAGUUUAAUUGUCUCAAUAUAAGUUGGCAUAAUCACUUUGCUUAUUUUCUUAAUGAAGCUCAAGCAUUAUAAGAAUAAAAUAAAGAUAAAGUAUUUAACCUAUCGGGUUCAGAAAAGGAAUAGAACAAAUUAUUUCAACGAUUUUUGUCUGCAUUGCUUUUUCAUCGAAUAUACAUAAUAACCACCAAUUCACCAUAUUCUCAUAACGUAAAGGCGCUUGUGCUUUGCCUAAGCCUUAAGGUUUUUGCUAUUUUAUAAAGAAAUCAUGACCAUUAUGGAUUACAUUGAAACGACCUGCCCCGAAUCAUAGGGAUGAGUCUAUUUAGUCUCAUCAAACUGAAUAGAUAAUAAUCUAAUUAGUAGGGAUUCUGCCGAAAAUUUGAUAAAAUUUUCUUUAUAAAUAUAACACUUCGAGCUUGUAAAUAUGUAAUACAAGUACUCCCAAAAUAAAUCAAUAUACAAGCAACUCCAAGGAUCAACAUUCUCAGUGAAAAUACUGAAUUAUUACCUAAGAUAUCUCCAGAGUAUCGAAAGAUUAUAUUAGAACUAAUAUUAAUAUACAUUAGUUUAUUCUUAAUCCCAAAAGAAUAAUACAACAAAAUUUAUACAAUCUAAAAAGAAAAAGAUGAUCUGGAUGUCCUAACAAAAAAAAUCAUCUAUAUUUUCUAAUACCAUCAUGUGACAAACUCAAAAUAUAUCUACAAUCGUUGGGUCGAUUUAGUGUACCUGCAACCUCUUAUUGUGUGGGGGGGGGGGGAAGAGGGAAUAUAAUAAAACGAAAUGAAUAUAAAACUCAUUGAGCUCAGUGAGUGGAUAUUAGUUUUUUUUUGGAAAAUAAAUUUACUAAAAAAAAUAAUUUAAUCUUUCUUUGAACGAUCCCAUCAAAAUAUCAUAAGAACUUAAAUAAAUUUAUUUAAUUUAAAUCAUGCACUGAUAUAACAAUAAUACAUAAUACUGCAUAAAAUCAAUGAAAUCAUAACACUUAUAAUAACAGAGGGUGAAUGCCGAAAUUAUGACUAAACAAGUACCCAUGAGAAAUAAUCUUGUCAUAUCCUAACCUCAACGGACAGGCAAUGAUGUACUAUCUAGAUACUAUCAUGCCCUCGGGCUACACGAAUAGACAGGGAGGUGCUAUCUCAUAUCUCAUCAUAUCUGUAUAUGCAUAAUCUAAUCCCCAAAUGAUGAAAACACCCAAGCACACAGCUCAAAACCUUUAUGUGUAUUUAGACGGGCCCCAAAGGCCUGUAUCUCAUCUGUAUCAUCUGUAUCUGUAUUAUUGUUAUCAUUAUAUCACAUGCAUAUGCCCCCAAAAGGCAGAAGUGCCUCGAAAUAAAUUUUGUUCACGCAUUGAUAUUUUAUUAAAAUGUUUGGUUAAUGGUUUUUUGUAUUGAUUUUGAAUAAAUUAUGAUAGUAUUUUAAAGGCGAGAAAGGUGGAUUUAGAUGUGAUAAUGAAAAGAAAAUGGAUUUUAAGUAUGUUAAAUAGAAAAGAAACAAGAUUUAUAUUAUGAUUAUAUGUUUAUGUAUAUGUGUAUAAAACGUUGUUUGUAAAAUUAUUGGACAAUAUCCUUCCUCGGUUACAGUGAUACAGAUAUGAUGAGGUUUUUAGGGCCCGUUUGAUCACAUAUAGAGACUUUGAGCCGUGUGUUUAGAACAUUUAAAAUAUUUAUUUCGCAAACAUGUUUUACUAUCAUAAUUAACUAUGAAAAUAAGUUUUGUAUAUUUUACUCACAGUGACGACUUUUAGAUUCUGUUAUCGCCCAUGUUCGAGGACUGGUUCUCGCUUGCAGAUCCUUUUAAAUUUAGGAAAUGAUAUAAUUAUUUUCCGUAAAUCGAAAUUAGGACUAAAUUUAUGCAAUAAACUCGAAACGAACAUCUAUUCAUAAUUUACAACUUUCGUGUCGAUAAAAUUACUAAAAUACUAUCGAAUCCGUAAAUUAUUAGAAUACUCUGAAAUUGUAAAUCACUACAAUACCUUUGAAAUCGUAAUUACAUCCAAUUCUCAAUUUCAGAAAUUAUUAAAAUCUAUAUCGGGUCAGAAAUUACAAAAUCACCCUCAAAAUGUGAAAUUACUGAAUUGCCCUCGCUAACGGUAACUGGGAAGGUAAGUGUGAAAUUUUCAGCCACGAUGAGUCUAAUGGUGCCUGCAGUGACCUCCCACGUGUGCAGACGGUGGCAGAUCGAAGUCCCAAAGCCGUGAGCUUUCCGGCAACGGAUCGACAGCAAUCCGGCCGUUUCGGGUGGCGGGAUUGGUCGGAAAAUGAUGAGGGUGAGCUAAGGAUCAAGAUCCAGGCGGUGGCAUCAUCCAAAACUGGCGGAAUCGACAACGAGAAGAGGUGGGUUUUGCCGCAGCUUUUCGAGCUUCAAAAGGCGGCGUUCCGGUCAGUUUUCGGCGGCGAGGAUGGUACAGAAACGAUGGCCGUCUUCCAAGCUUCAAAUCGGUACCUUGAUCGGCCGGAGGGGGUCGGAAUUGCGAGAUAUGGCCGGGUCGAUUUUGUGUCAAACGGGUCAGGUUUCCCGGGUCGGUUUGAUAGCUUCCUCCCUCCCUCUCUCACACGUGUGGUCUCUUCCUGUCCUUCAAGCCUUUUAUUUAUUAUUAUUAUUUUCUUAACCGCUUUUUUUUUUAUAAUUUUCUUCCUGUCCUUCAUUUUAUAAUUUUCCCUUUUGAGUUUUGGCAAAACCCACAUUUUGUUUUUCCCUUGAAAGAUCAAACCAACCUUAAUAUCAUAUAACUACUAGCUGCUGAUUGCACAGCAAAAUUUAUCACUCAAAAUAAUCAAAUAUGUAGCUAACACCACAGUGAUUUUUGAACAAACAUGCCAGUAUGUAACUCACUUCAUCAAUUUUCCAUUACUCAUAAGUCACAAGUUCGUUGAAAUAGCCAAUACGACUUGGUAUGCAGUGUGGUUGCAAUCAAGAAUGAUCCAAAACACUCUAAAUACCUAACCAUACUAACUGUUAUUUUUAUUUUUCAAAAAAUAAGUAAACACAAUUUUCAUUCUAUCUAUUGGCUAUAACAGUAGCAGAGAUCAAGGAAGCCAUCCUUAAAUUGGAAAAGACCUUGCUAUAAAGGAAAUGAAGGAUUUGAAUUACUUGGUAUAGAAGUAACAAGAAGCAGCAAUCAACUCACUGUGUCUCAAGUAAAGCACCAAAUGGGAACCUACAAGGGAAUGCCAACCCUUCCAAGUACAUAAUUUGGAAGGUGAGGAGUUCGUGAUUUAUGAUGAUUUCUUCGGAAGAAGAUGGAUACGUAACUUAUGAUGAUUUUUUUACCAUAGUUCGGAAGAUGAUGAAUCCAUAAUUUAUGAUGAUUUUUUAAUAUAUAUAUAUAUAUAUAUAAAAUUUUUGUUUUAAGAUAGAGAGGUUGCGAAGCCCAAAUCAAUUUUUAAUUAUAAUCUUAUAAAAAACUAUUAAAUUAAUGGUAAUGGGACCGAUUUAUCGUACAAAUUGCCAACAACAUAAAUGGUGAUUGAUUUGUUACUUUUAUGCAAUUUUGUAUAAACUGAGCCUUGGAGCCAUAUGAUACAAGAAGAGUCGGAAUUAUUAUUAUUAUUAUUUUUUCAAUUGUUUCUUAAAUUCGUGGAUGAAGCUGAAUGUUUUUUUUUUCCUUUCUUGAUGAAAAAUAUAUUCUUUGGAUAGUGACUUUCAUUCUGAUCUAAAUUUUCAUUUGAGCACAUACAUGUGGGUGUAAGUUGUCAAUAUAAUGCAAUGAUGAUUCUAUCAAUAUAUAUAUAUAUAUAUUCAUAUUGAUGAUAAUAAGUAAACAGAUAGAUCAUACAUUCAUUAUUUAAUUUGAAAUACACACAGUACAUUAUUAUUAUUUGCCACAGCAAACCCAUCUUUUACUUGAAGUAAUACGACACACCCAAAGGAAAAAUAUAUGUGAGAACAAAUGAGAUAAAUAGCGUUAAUUAGAGCUGCAUUACAUAUAAGGAUUGUCAUCAUAUCAUGCGUACGUAUUAAUUAUUAACGCCAAUGCGCCCUCUUCUUCUUCUUCGAAGGUCCCCAGUAAUCCUUAAAAUUAGCCGCAAAAUUAGCAUAGACAGGAAACUCCAUGAGUGCUAAAACAACCACUGGAAAGAUAGCAGCAGCGUAGAGAGUGGCGGUCCAUUUCUUCCUCAAACGAAUAAUGAGCAGAAGUGAAGCCGAGAAAGUAAUCAUGCUUGUUAAUACAGAGAAGAAGAGUAAAAUGAAGCCAGUCGUCAGCUUGAACGGAAGGUUGCUAAGGAAAUCAGAUGACUCACGUGGCGAGGUGAGGAUAGAUAGAAACAUCACAACGGAUGACAAAGAUAAGGACAGCGAGGCAACGUCCGUUACGGUAAAAACGUAGAAGAGUGGUGACGUAAGGAAAUUGGGAAACCCCCUAUCAUUGUUACCUCCAGGUACCGUGAAGGCAGCUGUAAAGACGACGGUCGCGAUUAGGAUUGCCAGUACGGAGCAUGCCUGAGCGGUUUCUUUGAUCCAUUCUUGUGCUUUCCUAAGUUGAUCUUCAUGUGUUAGAUCGAAGAGGUCACUUGCAGUGAUUUUCUUUUCUAUGUCGCGGUGCAUGGCAUAAUGGCGAGGCAUUAUCUCUUUUACACGCUGCAUACACACACACACACACACAUAUAUAAUGCAUGGAGUCCAUCAGAAAAUAUAAAUAUAUAAUAUUAGAGUAUGCUUUUAUUUAUAUAAACACAAUGAAUAAAUUAAAUGUGCUUGGGGGACAAAAUUAAAUAUUAUCAAAGGGCUUACCUUGAACCACUGUAACUCCUCCUGAAAUUGGAGAACAGGACCAGGGCGGAUUCCUUGCUUAUAAUGUUUCAUGUCUGCGACAUGGUGCAAUAACGUAUAGCCAUAUUUGUCAAUUCCUGCAGCCCAUUUGGGCACAUACAGUUCCAUUUCCUUCAUGAUGAAUUCAAAGACCUUAUGUUGACGACGCUCUACGGCCACAUGUAAUAUAUUCUGCUCUGUCAGCUCAUUCACGUUAGAUAAUAGUACUUGAGGAUCUUGUCGGAGUAUCUCCUCCAAAAUUUCUGUUAUUCCGUUGCUAGCUGCAAAGUGUAAUGUCCUAUCCUGUGUUGUGGCGUUUUCACCAUCCUCAACUGGGUCGUUAGUGCCAUCUUUUUUCCUCAGCACCUCGAUCAAUUCUUCAGCUGAAAGAUCAACAAGUUUUUUUCCCAAGAUGUCCUUUCCUUUGCCCAAUCCCAAGGUAAUUGUUUUCGUUUCUUGUUCCGUUGUUUCGGAAAUUUCUUGUUCCGUUGUUUCCGCCUUUUGGGGAUCAGAGGAAGGGUUCAACCUUUUUAUUUCAACCAGGCUUUUGACAAGGGCAACCGCAUCUUCAUGCGUUUUCUUUUCCUUCCAGAUUUCCUCAAUCCAUGAACAUCCUGGUGAUGCAUGCAUCAACAUCUUAUUAAUUUAUGAACAAAAUUAUGCACGCAAACGGCAAAACCGUUCAUCAAAUGAAUUGAAGUUAUUAGACAUUUCCCUGUACUUCUAAUGUGUCUCAUAUAUGUAGAAGUAAUUAAUGAAAUUAUUAUUUGUCGCACCUUCAAUCACCUGCCUCCAAAUACCAAUAUACAUCUUCCGAAUUGACAUUCCUGCAUUUUGAUUAACCUGGUCAGGAAAAAUUUUAUAUGCACAUAAUUAUGAUAUGAAAAAUUAAUGCUAACGCAUCGAAAAGGAAACCGCUCGGACUCAAGUUAAAAGCGUGGGGGUUUAAAUAUAAGGAGACAUGUGGAUGCAAUUUAUUUGAGAUGGUAAAUAUUUUAAUCUGCAAUUUGUAGAUAAGCUCCUUACCAUAAGAUAUGCAUGAGUCCAUAGAAACUAAAGAAAAGGGAACAUCUUUCCCCCAACUAUUUGAGGUAUUAUAUACUUUUCCUCUCGAUAUUUUCAAAACGGUCAUGUACCUCGUUGUUAAAGAGAGAAUACAUUAAAACAAUCCUUUUUACUAUUUUGUCAUUGAAGCAAUAUAUUUUUAUCCUAAAAAUUAAUGAAUAAAAUAAAAUCUAAAUAUUUAUUUGAAUAUUAAAUUUGUUAAAAUAUAAAUUGCAACAAAUUUCCAAUCGGUCUCUUUUGUCAUUAUUUUUUUCUGACGUGCCAAUGAAAAUAUUAAAAUCAGACUUUCUAUUUGAUACAGAGAUAUUUUUCAAAGAUCAAGGUAGACUGGAUAGUAGCUCAAAUGUUUAAGGGGGAACAAAUAGAUUUCUAAUAAAAAAUACAAAAAAAAGAGCAUGCAAUGAUAAUACCAUUAGAUGUCAAAAUUAAGGCUUCGUUUGCCUUCUGGGCUAUAUAGAAUGAAAAUUUUCGUUACUAAUAGAAAAUUUAUGGGUAUUUUAUAAAAUUAAACACUACUAGAUGUCAAGUAAAAAUUGGAGUAUAUUAUCAAUAAAUAAUUGUGAAAAAUAACCUACUUAAUUAAAAGCCAAACUGACAAAGUGUUUGCAGCUGAUUAGGUGUGCAAAAAGCUAGCCGAAACAAAUAUAGCCCAAUUACGAUCCAGAGUCGUAUGCGUAGGGGGGUUAUGACUUAUAACCGUAGCUAAAACCUAAAGCUGUUAGUUCGGGUUUUGAUUUUUGAAUUUAUAGAGUUAUAAUGAUUAAUGAAACCUCUAUACUAUGAUUAACAAAUUAAAGCUGCUCUUUCAGCAUUACCUAGCCUCUUCUUUGUGUGGCCGCGGCGAUUGUCAAUCUUAUCAGUCUCUAUAUCUUCGUUAUAAUUGCAGUCGUCAUCCAGACACGUUGGAAGACCUGCAAUUAGAACUACAAUUGAAUUUAGCUAUAUAUAUUCUAAGUUCUAAUAAUGUAACAAAGCACUUUUUUUUUUUUAAAUUUAUGCUUAAAUACAAAUUAACUAAAAUAUUUCUCCUAAUGAAUUUUCUUAUGUUCCCAUCGUAGCCGCAUGCACCCAUGACAACGGGACUAUAUAGAUCCGUUUGGGGUAACUGCGCUGCCACAGUGUAGCUCCUCCACCUCCUUGAUUUUAAGAAGAUUCUCUUAGAGUAAAGGGUAGAGCAGCUACCCCAAACGGCCUCCAUAUCCCUUUAGAGAUUAAAUUAUAUUUGCAUAUAAUUAAUCUAUUAAAAACAUUAAGAAAAACUAAAGGCGGAUAGAGUGUUGGGCAGAAAUAACAGUAUCUCAGUCGGGGCAGGUGGACCAUUGUUUCCGUAUAUUUUCCAUGAGAACGCUGAUAUUAUGAAAAAAAAAAAUACUGAAAGAAACAAAAUUAAAUGCAAUCAAAUUUGCAUGGUUAAUUGCUAAUAUAACCCGGACCGAAUGUAUGUAUAAUAGACAAAGUCAAUAUUGAUGCUUAUUCAUUUUUAUAACUUUUCUCUGCUGUAAAUCUCUUUUAUGUAUAUUUUAGUUACGAUCGACGGUACAAUCAGUGGAACAAAUUGUUGUCUUGUAUUACAAAUAUUGAGUGAACUCAAUGAGAAAUAGUAGAGUCAUAUUUUCCAAACCUGACAUCAAACAAUGUAUCCACGCACGAUAAUGGAAAGGACUCUUGAUCAUUCCCUUCUUGUCAUCCGCACUCUUGAAAGCAUCUGGCAUUAGAGCUAGUAGUUCAAGACAUGUAAAGCCCUUAAGCUUGUCGGACGUGGACGAGAGCUCGUCGGACUUCAGCGUUGCACGUUUUUCUGCAACUCUUGCACGUUUUUCUGCAAGGCUUGAGUCGUGGUUAAGUAACCAAAUAGCCGUCUCUGUACGUAGUCGAGAAAAUUAAUUAAUCAGUUAAGAAAAUAAUAAUAAAUUUUUUAACUCUUGAUCUAUAAACGCAUGAAUUAAUUGGAGAUUUAAUUAUUAUAUAUUACCGAAGUGUUGGCCGAGGACAGCCAUAUGAAGAAUUGUCAUAUCAUCUUCUCUACGGAAAUGAUAACCAUAACUUGAGUCACAAAAUUGCUCAGUCAAGAUUUGCAGCACUUUAGUUUUUCCAAGAGCGGCAGCCCUGUAAACUGGAGUUUCCCCCAAACCGUUACGAACCCUGAGUAGAUUUUCGUGCGCAUCAACAGACAUUCUGGAAAAGUCAACCAAAACCCUGGCCACGGCGAAAUCUUCGACGAUGGCCGCUUCGUGAGGACCAUUGUUUUCAAACGCAUCUGUUUGCUUCAAGGCUUCAAGUCUGGUAUCUGGUGUUAGCCUUUCGAGAAAUUUCUGGAUCAGCCGAGGGUCUUCCAUGGCCGCUGCAAUGUGAAUUGCGGAGUCUCCAUUGGCUGUCCUGUAAUCCAACAACUCUUUAGCAGGCCAAUCAGCAAAGCACUCCAAGACGCCUCGACAGUCUCCCUUCAAGGCCAUUCCAACAGGAUCUCCCAUCGCCCUCUCUCUCUCUCUCUCUCUCUCUCUCUCUCAUUUGUAUAAUUGAUGCACAGAACAAGCUAUACGAUGUUCUUCGAUAUCCAUAUAAUUAAUUACUUCCAUCGCCGUCCCUUAUAUAGAAGUUCUAAACGAAGUUGGCAUAAUCACUUUGCCUAUUUUACUAAUAAAGCUCGAGCAUUAUAAGGGAAAAAAAAAAAAGUUCGAAAGUGACAAAACGGAAAAGAUGAUAAAAGAACAAAGUUCUGAGAAGAGAAGUGAUUAUUGAUGAAAAUUUGUUUACAUUGUACGGUAUUGUUCCUUAAAUUCAUAGAAUGUGAAGUUACCAAAAGAGCAAAGUUAAAAGUAAAAUAAAAUUAUUAUGUUUGAGAUAAAAGAGAAAAAGAAUAAGAAAAAGAAAACGCAUGCAAUUAAAAAUGAUAUUUUUUGUUGAUUCAAGAGGCCAAUCACCUCUGAAAUGAAAUUCACUUUUGUCUUUCUAUGUGUUUGGGAACGAUAUAUUAUAUAUGCAAAAACGAACAGUUGUAUCUAAAAUUACAUUUGGGAAAGUAUAAAGAUCAAGUUCCACGUCAUAACGUUUGUUAACAAAUGAUGUCAAUAAAAAGAAUAGAAUAUAUAAAUUAUUUCCAGGCUCAAGUUACAGCUCCGAGAAGGUGUAUGGUCCAUGUUGUACAUCAUAAGGUUUGUUAAUCAAUGGUGUCAGAAAAAUAGAGUAGAAUAUAUAUAAUUAAUUUCCACAACUUAAUUUUGUCUCCAUUGCUUUUUCCGCGAAUAUAUAUAAAAAGAGUGGGAGAGAUCCUAACCCUUACUUUAAUAACAUGGUGAUUAUUGUAAACGCGAUUGUGCUUUGACUAGACUAAAGCCUUUUGCUAUUCUACAUGUUAUCAUUAUUUCUCGUCAUGGAGUGGCAGCCAAUCAUUAAGAAAUAAAUAAAAAUGUAAAAAUAUUUGGAAAGUUUAAAACUUAUGAUAGAAUUUGGCCUUAUUUUGUAUAGAUGUGUUGUGAAAAUCAACUGUAUACUAUACUGUAAAUAUAGCUUUGGAAAAAUAUUUUUACAGACUUUUAUCGUAUAACUAUAGAAUAAAAUCAACUUAACUUCAAAACCAUAGCAGUAACUAUUUAUUAAAUACUUUAUUGAUCUAUUUUAAAAGCUUCCACUGCUCAAUUACAAUAUCAAACAAGAUGUUGAUCUAAGUUGGUUCCAACCACAAUACCAAAUAGGGACUUACAUUCUAUCAGUUAAGUCAUUAAGUUUAUUUCUUUUUUUAACUUAUUACAAAUUUUCAAUCAUUAAGCUAUUAAGCCAAUUUUCUUAGCUUCUUAUUUAAUCUAAAAAGUCUGAAUAAUGUUAUUAAAGAUAUUAUUUAAAAUAUUCCUAUCCAACUAAUUUAUUUUCAUCUUUACCUAAAUAUAUAAAACUUACUAAUUAGCAUACUAUUCAUCUUUAUCACUUGCGAGAAUAUAGUAUAUUUUUUAUUUUAAUAUUUUUUAUUUUCUUCAAAUUAGCAUUAUCUAUUUUCAUAAUUUUUUAUGAGUAUUUUUUAUAUGAAACACCAUAAAGUGCAAUAGAAUUGAUUCACACGUUCUAAUUUAGAAUAUUAAAGGGUUGUAUUCACCUGAACAUGAUUCAUGUUAUGAUAGAAUAAUAUCAUAUUUUUGUUCAAUGAGAUUUUAUUAUUUAUUUGACAUUUGAAAUUUAUGAGCGUACAAAUGUAAAAGUAUUGGUUUUUAGAUUUUUAAGUUGAAAAAAAUAAUUAUCGUUCAAAAAUUCAUAUUAAAAAAAUAUGUUAUUUGGAUUUAAACGUUUAGCUCUAUUCAAAAUUCAGAUUAACUUGGGUCUACUCAAAUUUUAGAUAAAAAAACAAAUGUCACCUAAGUAAAUCUAUGAUGAUACAAGCAUAUUAGUAUUUAAAAAAAAAAAUCAGCAUCUUCUUUUUUUAAAUAUUACACAAUAUAAAUUAAGCUUCAUAGAAUGCGAGUGUGAAUGGAAUUUAAAGCAUAUGGCCAUUCUUCCGUAGCUGUCCUUAUCUCAUCCAUAAGUGCCAUCUCUGUCUCUCACGUAGUCACUGUAUAAUUGAGACACAAAACAAGCUAUACGUGUUCUUCGAUAUCCUUAAUUUUACUUCUCUUAAUAUAUAUGAGUAGGUUUGAUGCAUCCUUCUACAAAUUCUCUAAACUAAGUUGGCAUAAUUAUAAGAAUAAAAUAAAGUUAGUCCGUCGGGUCAGGAAAAAGAAUAGAAUAAAUUAUUUAAUUUCAAAACAACUUUAAUCCUUCCGCGAACAUAAUAAUCACAUUUAUUCUACCGUGUUCGUGUUCUUCGAUAUCCUUAAUUUUACUUGUCUUAAUAUAUAUGAGGUAGGUUUGAUGCACCCUUCUACAAAUUCUCUAAACGAAGUUUGUAAUAAUUAUAAGAAUAAAAUAAAUUUAGUCUGUUGGGUCAGGAAAAAGAACAGAAUAAAUUAUUUAAUUUCCAAACAACUUUUGUCUUUCCGCGAAUAUAAUAAUCAAAUUUAUUCUACCGCUUUUGUCUCCAUUGCUGAAUUUGUCCGCGAAUAUAAUAAUCUCCAUUUUAUUUAAGUAAAGGCGAUUGUACUGUGCCUAAGCGUAAAGCCAUUUGCUAUUUUGGCGGCUACAUGUGUUACAGGCCAAUCCACGUGCCAAGAAUAGACAGGACUUGUCCAUACAUAUCAUAAAGUGCAAUAAAAUUGAUUCACAUGUUGUAAUUUAGAAUAUUAAAGGGUUGUAUUUGAUAAGGAAAAAGAUGAUAAGGAAAGAACUCAAUCAUUGGAAAAUCAUGAAGAUCAAUUUACGGAAAGAACUCAAUCAUUGGAAAAUCAUGGAGAUUAAUUUGCGGAAUGCAUAGCACUAUCAAAGGGAUUUCCAACGUCUAGAUUAUCUCUAUAGAAUAUCUUCAAUGAUUUAAUUCUUUUAUAAAUAUUCCUUUUAUGCUAGCAGUACAUAAAUGUCAUGCAUUAGUGGGUAUGAUUUGGCCAUUAGUUAGGACAGCAAUAGCUUAAGUUUAGGCCACUUGCUCCUUUAAUCUCACGUAUUGUCUUGUAUAAAUUUAUGGUUUCAGUUGCAAUAAAGGUCAACCAAUUCUCUCACGCUUCAAUUUCUUUAGUAUUCACCUGAACAUGAUUCAUAUUAUGAUAAAAUAAUAUCAUAUUUUUGUUCAAUGAGAUUUUAUUAUUUAUUUGACAUUUGAAUUUUCUGAGCAUACAAAUGUAAAAGUAUUGGUUUUUAGAUUUUUUAAGUUGAAAAAAAAAUUAUUGUUCAGAAAUUCGGAUUAAAAAAAUAUGUCAUUUGAAUUUAAGUGUUCAGCUCCAUUUAAAAUUCAAACUAACUUAGGUUUAUUCAGAUUUUAGAUAAAAAAAAAACAAAUGUCACCUAAGUAAAUCUAUGAUCAUAAAAGCAUAUUAGUAUUUAAAAAAAAAAAUCAGCAUCUUCUUUUCUCAAAUAUUACACAAUAUAAAUUAAGCUUCAUAGAAUGCGAGUGUGAAUGGAAUUUAAAGCAUAAGGCCAUUCUUCCGUGGCUGUCCUUAUCUCAUCCAUAAGUGCCAUCUCUGUCUCUCACUUAGUCACUGUAUAAUUGAGACACAAAACAAGCUAUACGUGUUCUUCGAUAUCCUUAAUUUUACUUCUCUUAAUAUAUGAAGUAGGUUUGAUGCAUCCUUCCACAAAUUCUCUAAAUGAAGUUGGCAUAAUUGUAAGAAUAAAAUAAAGUUAGUCUGUCGGGUCAGGGAAAAGAAUAGAAUAAAUUAUUUAAUUUUCCAAACAACUUCAGUCUUUCCGCGAACAUAAUAAUCACAUUUAAUCUACCGUAUUCUUCGAUAUCCUUAAUUUUACUUGUCUUAAUAUACAUGAGGUAGGUGUUUAACAAAAAUAUAUAUAUUUAUGUAUGAGGUAGGUUUGAUGCAUCCUUCUACAAAUUCUCUAAACGAAGUUUGUUAUAAUUAUAAGAAUAAAAUAAAGUUAAGUCUGUUGGGUCAGGAAAAAGAACAGAAUAAAUUAUUUAAUUUCCAAACAACUUUUGUCUUUCCGUGAAUAUAAUAAUCAAAUUUAUUCUACCGCUUUUGUCUCCACUGCUUAAUUUAUCCGCGAAUAUAAUAAUCUCCAUUUUAUUUAAGUAAAGGCGAUUGUGCUGUGCCUAAGCGUAAAGCCAUUUGCUAUUUUGGCGGCUACAUGUGUUACAGGCCAAUCCACGUGCCAAGAAUAGACAAGACAUGUCCAUGCAUAUCUUCGUGCGCCUCGUACUCUUAAAAGCGGAUGCCAUUAGAGCCAGUGGUUGAAGGCAUGUCAAGCCAUCGUCCUUCUUGGACUUGGUUCUUUUCCAAGACUGGACUCGCGAUUAACCAAAUAGCAGUGUCUCUGUGCGUGAUAAGUCCACGAAUCAUCAGUUUGAAGCAACUGUGGCAACAUGCGCUGCAUUAGCUAGCCAGGGGUCUACACUCUACACAAAGACCCCUUUAAGGCAAAUUCUGGAUGUUAGAGAUUAUACUAAUGAAGAAUUUGGUCACCUUGAACAUAACUCAAUAGCAACAGACCUGAUGCCUCCCAACGGCUCCUAGAAUAUCAUGCAUAAGAUUAAGUCAUGAGAUUGCAUCAACGAUGAAGCCUUUAGUUUAUGUAAAUAUCUUUGUAAUUAUGAGAUGUGUUUUAUUCCUUUUAAAGCAUGAUACAACUUGUAUAUAUGCUGUACGAUUUGUUUGAGUAGAAACAAUCUCAAUUACUUUCUCAUAUUUACAUUUUCCACAGCACGUAUUCAAGCAGGACAGAAAUGUAAUUAAUUAAUUAAUUAAAAAGAUAGCAAUAAAUGUUUAAACUCUUGAUAUAUAAAUAAAUAAAUAAAUUCAUUAAUAUAAAUAUAUUCACUACUACUCAUAUAUAAAUAAAUAAAUUCACUGAUAUACAUAUUUUAGUUUUCUAAAAUACAGAAUGAAUGGAAAGAUUUAAUCAUUAUUACCCAAGUGUUUGGCAAGGACGGCAAUAUGAAGAAUGGAAAUUUUGUCCCAACAAAUCUUCGGCAGUUAGUUGAGCAAAGUAAUCCAAGAAGGCUUCACAGUCUCUCUUUAAGGCCAUUUGUUAUCAUCUCCACUGCUAUCUAUCUCUUUCUCACUUGUACAGUUGAUACACAAAACAAGUUGUACGUACCCGUUCUUCGAUAUCCGUAAUUUUAAAAUUGACCAUUUUCUCACUCCAAGAAAUCUGGAAUAUGACAUAAUAGAACUAGAUCUCGUUUCUACUGCGGUGUUGUGGGAAAAAAAAGGAUAUAGCUAAAAUAAAAGUCAAUAGUUUAUGAUAAAUAUAGUUUUUAAAUAAUUAAAUAAAAAUAGUAAAGGAUAUUAUAGAUAUUCAUUGUAUAAGUGUGGGAUAAAAUUAACUUAAUUUUCAAAUCAUAAGUCAAUAGUAAUAAAUAUUUGCCAAAGAUUUUAAUGUUGUAGUUUAAAAAGCUACUCUAUGCACAUCCUUGAUUGUACAAGCAUAUUAUUAUUAAAAAAAUUAUUAUCUAUUUUUUUUGUUAGUUACUUCUUUUUCCAAUUAUUGCAAAAUAUAGACAAAACUCAUGCUUGGCGAACGUUUUUAUUGUUAAUAGAUUAAUGUAAGUUGAUUAUAAACUUGGUUGAUAUUCAAUAUUCGACGUAAUGUCUUGGCCGGAUGUGGUUAUUCCAUUGCAUCAAUUAAUUGCACGGUUGAAUACCAUGAUUGUUUUGCCUUAAAACAUUUUCUAAUUUCUUUCUUGGACGUUCUUCAAUAUUGAGAAAUAUAUUUAAUUUUCUCCGAAUUUUUUUUUCUUUCAUAGUGACAUAAUCCAAAAAUUUAAGGGUCCAUUUGAUUACAAUUCAAAAAUAAUUUAAACAAAUAUAAUCUCAAAAUUUGUGUUGAAGUUUUAAUGUGUUUACUUUUUAUUAUUUAGCCUGACAGCACUCAAUUCCCUCUCCACCUGUGUGAACGGAAUUUAACUCCUAAAUCUCUUGUUUCAAGAAACUAAAAGAGAUUUUAUUAUCUUAACUAAAUGGUAACUACAAGCUUUAAUGUCUUUAUAUAAUAUUUAAAACAAACAAUUUCAACAACUGAAACAUGUUUAACAAAAUUUCUAAUUAAUAAAAAAUAAAAAUACUUGUUUAGGUGGUGUGAUUUCAAAGGUAAUAUUUACUUAAGCAUUUACAAUUUUAUUUUCCUUUCAGCUAAUUACAUUAUAUCAAGCAGUAACUUGACCAAAAUAAACAUAAAACAAGCUUCAUCAAGAUUCAAUAUUGAUUAUAUUCUGUUAGCUUCUAUUCUGUUACAUUAUACCUGUUAGGCUUGCCACCAAAUAAAAGCUGGCGCAGUUGUGUGUCACUUUGCACGUUCAUCUACUUAGCAUCAGGACAAUGCUUAGAUGCCCAUUUUCGGAACCUGUUAACGGCAGCUUCUUGCUCUGCUCUGGCCACCUUCUCAAUCUCAGAAAGAUAUUCCCGAUCAACCAACAUCCCCUCAGUUUCCAUUUUAACUAGAAUCUCACCGAAUGGUUGCCAGUAUUCCGGAUAAAAGUCAAACAUGGAUUUUCCUGGAACUGGUUUCCCAUCAAGUUUCCAUGACAUUUCUAAAAGUAUUUUUUUUCAAGCUCUUACAAAGCUUCAGUGUGUUUAUUGAAUCAAAGGCAGAAUAAGAGAUCCACAAUUCUCGCUCCUUUCUUUGAAGCUCUUCAACAGGAGCAAUGGUGCUUAUCUUGCCAGCAGAUCCAUCCUUUUUCAACUUUCUCCUGCCAAAGAUAUCUUUCAUUGAUAUUUUGCCCAUGAAACCCUCAUCUGUGUUGUCCUUAGACAUGUCUUUCUGAUAAGCUUUCUUAUCCUCAGACAUGACUUUCCGAUCACCUGUAAGUGCUUCAGACUGUAACCACCCUCUGUGUGUUUCGAUGAAUCCCAAAGCUGUGCCAUAUGCAUUGUGUCAGCAUGAAAACCAGAAACCUUCAGCCCAUAGUUCUCAAGGACAUGGUUAUCAAAGCUAUAGUUAUGCCAAACCUACACAAAUGAUAGCUGUUAAUAUAAGAUCAUAUGAAAAAGCAGACGACAUAAUUUUUUUUUCUUUUUUUGUGAUCCAAGUAAACUAAUACGGAGUAAAGCAGUUUGUUUAGCUAAGUAAAGGAAAUUGGAUCAGUUACGUCUAUAGAAGGUGGAAACAGCUAGAAAUCCACCAUAAAGAGAGAGAGAGAGAGAGAGAGAGAGAGCACACAGAGAGAGGAAACAGCUCUGCAACUGAGCAGAGUAUUUCCUUUCUUUGAUCGGCGUACAACAUAUUUUCCUCAACUAACAUAAAUAGCUAUCUAAGGGGGAAAUUGGAGUUUUAGGUUUCAUCAAAUCUAUGAACUGUACCACACGGGUAGGAGAACAUAGCAUAGAUGUAGAGGUAAACUUGUAACCCAGUAGACAGCAAUGGGAACCCUAGCUUAAAUUGGAAAAGAGCAACAAAACUUGAGAAAAUGCACAGCGUAGGCAGUCACCGUAAAUCUUAAACCUGUCACUGCAAAGCAAUGACAAUAAAACUCCAUCUAAUUAAACCAUAAUAUGUGAAAAAUCAGUUAUCCAGAAAUUUACUAAAGCGCAUAACCAGCUGCAAGUCCAAUGCUUGAACCGUGCACCAAUUACAUAAUGACUGGUGCAGAUUAUCAAAGAAAUAUCCGCCAAUCCAUUUCUCCAUACUGCUAACCAGAUGAUAAUUAUUCUAAUUAAAAAAAAGCGUGCAUAUGAAAAGGACUAUAAACAAGAAAAAGACGUGGUGAAGGGGGAGGAAGGGCUCACCUUUUUGAUGGAUGGAUCCUCAAAAAAUGGAGCAAAUUCAUUCAAAAGGUCCCUGCCACCACCGUCAAGAAGAUCAACCCAGAUGCAGGACUUCCCAUUUCCAAAAUCUGCUUCUGGUCCAGAAUAAAUACUGAAGCAUAUCACUUCUCCAUGAUCAACAGGUGUCUCUUGCUUCACAUCAAUUUUGGCCACCUAUAAACAUGCUAUAAUUAGAUUCCUGUAUGCACAAAACUAGGGUAUCUACAUUGAGUAAAAUGUAUGCUUCUAUACAGGAAGACAUGCAAGGAAGAAGUAAAAAAGAAGGCAAAUAAGUACAUCACUCAUUACCUGCCGACAAAAAAUAAAAUAAAAGUACCAAUUUCAACUAGAAAAAGAAAAGAACAAAGUACCUCAGUAUCACAUGCAUGGACAAGAUGCUUAUAUUUGUUUGUAAGCAUCCAUACAACCUUCUUUGCGGCAGAAACAUUAUCGACAACCAUAACAUUGCUGUAGAAGCUAGCAAGUUUACUGCGAAGAAUCUCGAGUUUUUCACUAUUUUCAUUUUCUGAAGCCUUUGUGUUCUGGCCAGUACCUUCUGCAGCAUCAUUCUUAGGAUUCUUUUGAUUACUUCGCUUAGAACUAACUAGUUUUGGAGGAGGUGAAUAGGAACUACCAUCUUCAAAGCACGCAAUCUCUGAGUUCCUGAAAUCUGACAAGUUGGGAGCUGUCAAAACAGUGGCUCCUUUUCUCUCUUGAUAUUCUGCAACUUCCUUUUUGUUGAAAGGUUGACCAAAUCAAAUUGUGAUUUGGUUUUCCUUAUAUAUUUAGGUGUAUAUUUGGUGUAAAUAUAGAGAGUUAUUGCUUCCUAGAAAUCAGUGUGUAAUAUUCUGCUUUAAUUUUUUCCUUUCCUUUCUUAGUCUCUUGUAUCCCUAUAUUAAGACUGUGUACAGUCUCAUGAAGUAAAAAAAUUGAGAAUUGUUCCAUAAACUUUUUCUCUACCUAUUUUCACAUGGUAUCAGAGCUAGGCUCCCUUUCUUUCUGAUCUCUUCCCUACCAUGUCUGACCAAAUUUCCUCUACUCCUAGUGGUUCAACUACUGCUACUCCUAGUGGUUCACUAGCCCAAACAGGUAGUAUUAUUAAUGCUCUAUUUAGCCACUCAACUACUGCACCAUGGAUUAUUGAUUCGGGUGCUUCUGAUCAUAUGACUAGUAUUUCUAGUUUAUUUGAUUCCUAUUAUCCUUGCCCUGGUAACAAAAAGGUAAGAGUUGCUGAUGGAAGCUUAUCUUCCAUAGCUGGAAAAGGAUCAAUAAAAAUCUCUGGAACCAUUGAGCUUAAAAAUGUGCUACAUGUCCCUAAACUUUCUUGCAAUCUGUUAUCUGUCAGUAAAUUAACCAAAGAUUCUAAUUGUUGUGCUGUCUUUUUUGACUCCCAUUGUGAAUUUCAGGACAGGGACUUGGGGACGAUGAUUGGCAGUGCUAGUUUCCGAGAAGGUCUUUACUAUUUUGAUGACUACUUAUCAAGGAAUAAACAAGCUCAAGGUUUGAACAGUAGUAUUAGUUCAAACUCUGCUAGGGAUCAAAUAAUGCUUUGGCACCUUAGACUAGGACAUCCUAGCUUUCCUUAUUUGAAAUAUUUGUUUCCAGAUUUAUUUAAAAAUGUUGAUUGUACUACUUUUCAGUGUGAAAGUUGUUUUUUAUCUAAAAGUCAUCGAAUUUCAUAUAAAGCACUUACUUAUCGUGCCUCAAAACCUUUUUAUUUAAUUCAUAGUGAUGUUUGGGGACCCUCAAAAAUCAACACUUUAACUGGAAAAAAAUGGUUUGUAACAUUCAUAGAUGAUCAUACUCGGCUUUGUUAGGUUUAUUUAAUGAGAGAAAAAUCUGAAGUUGAGGGGUUAUUCAAAGAUUUUUAUAACAUGGUUGAAAAUCAUUUUCAAACAAAAAUAAGCCUACUCCAUACAGAUAAUGGUACUGAAUAUUUUAAUAAUUAUCUAGAGGUGUUUUGUAAGGAAAAGGGUAUAAUUCACACAUCCACUUGUCGUGAUACUCCACAACAAAAUGGAAUUGCGGAACGGAAAAACCGCCAUUUACUUGAAGUUAGUCGGGCUAUCAUGCUCUCUAUGCAUGUUCCUAAAUAUUUGUGGGGUGAUGCUGUUUUAACAGCAUGUUAUUUGAUUAAUAGGAUGCCUACCCGUGUUUUAAAGUAUCAAUCACCUUUAGAAUACUUCACACUUAUAUAUCCUUCUAGUAGGAUUACCUCCAAUAUUCAGUUAAGAGUCUUUGGGUGCACUGUGUUUGUUCAUGUUCCUAAUCAUCUUAGAUCUAAAUUGGAUCCUAGAUCUGAAAAAUGUGUUUUCUUGGGCUAUGCUCCUAAUAAAAAAAGGUUACAAAUGUUUCAAUCCUCAAACAAAGAAAUUCCAUGUCAGUAUGGAUGUUAUAUUUCUCGAAAAUCAACCCUUUUUUGGCCAAAAUUCUCUUCAGGGGGAGAAAGAAAAUAGUGAAGAUCAUUUUUGGCAUACUUCUACACCUAUGCCUAAUCUUUGGCAUACUUCUACACCUAUGCCUAAUCCUUUUUUACCUGAUCUGGGCACUUCAACUCAAACUCAAAAAACUGAUAUUUCUAAUAAUGAAAAACUAGGAACCCUUGAACUACAGGAACCAAGUGUUAAUGUACCAAAGACAGGGGGAGAAAUACUACAAGAUAAAAUUCCACCACCAGAGCUUCGGGUUUAUACUCGAAAGUAUCAUCACAGCAGUAAAGACCCUCCCAUAAACUCGGUACAGCCUCAAUCGUCGCCUCCAAGCACUGAUUCCUCAGAAAAUUCAGGUAACAUUUCUUCUCCUAAACAUUCCAGCAUUUUUUUUCCUGAUCUUGACUUACCCAUAGCACAUAGGAAAGGAAUCCGAACUUGUACUAAGCACCCCAUUGCUAGAUAUGUUUCCUAUGAAAAGUUGUCCAAUAAACAAAGAGCCUUUACCACAAAAAUCUCUCAGAUACCAAUUCCUAGAACCAUAAAAGAAGCCCUAGACCAUCCAGAUUGGAAGUUAGCAGUUUUAGAGGAAAUGAAUGCUCUAAAGAAGAAUGGUACGUGGGAGAUUGUGGAUUUACCAAAAGAAAAGAAAACUGUGGGUUGUAAGUGGGUGUUUACACUUAAAUGUAAUGCUGAUGGGAGUGUUGAGAGAUAUAAGGCAAGGCUUGUAGCAAAAGGGUUCACUCAAACUUAUGGAAUUGAUUAUCAAGAAACCUUUGCCCCCGUUGCAAAGAUAAAUUCCAUCCGGGUCCUUAUCUCAUUGGCUGUACAUUCUGAUUGGAAUCUAUACCAGUUAGAUGUUAAAAAUGCUUUUCUGAAUGGGGAGCUAGAAGAAGAAGUCUUUAUGGAUUUACCACCAGGUUUUGAGGGAAAUCAUGGCAGCAGUAAAGUGUGUAAACUACAUAAGUCUUUGUAUGGGCUCAAACAGUCUCCUAGAGCAUGGUUUGAACGCUUUGGUAAUGUUAUGAAGGGACACGGCUACUCCCAAAGUCAGGCAGAUCAUACAAUGUCUUACAAACAUUCUAUUGAAGGGAAAUUAGCCGUGUUAAUUGUAUAUGUAGAUGAUAUAAUUUUGACUGGUGAUGACUUAGUUGAGAUUUGCAGAUUAAAGAAAGUGCUUGCACGUGACUUUGAAAUCAAAGACUUAGGCAGCCUGAAGUAUUUUUUGGGCAUGGAGUUUGCUAGAUCAAAAGAUGGGAUUGUUGUGUCUCAACGCAAGUAUGUUCUUGAUUUGCUUGAAGAGACAGGUCUACUCGGAUGUAAAGCAGCCGAGACACCCAUAGAUCCUAAUAUGAAAUUACAGCCAGCUAAAAUUGAAGAUGUGACCAACAUAGAUCGGUACCAACGCCUUGUAGGUAGAUUAAUCUACCUUUCACAUACACGCCCGGACAUAGCCUUUGCAGUGAGCUUAGUCAGCCAGUUUAUGCAUGCUCCAGGACCAGAACACUUUGAAACUGUAUAUAGAAUCCUUAGAUACUUAAAAGGAUCUCCAGGUAAAGGUCUUUUGUUCAGAAAAAACGGGCACCUACAAGUGGAAGUCUACACUGAUGCUGACUGGGCUGGUAGUGUAACCGAUAGAAGAUCCACUUCUGGUUACUGCACCUUUGUUGGAGGAAAUUUGGUCACUUGGCGCAGCAAGAAACAAACUGUGGUAGCAAGGAGUAGUGCAGAGGCAGAAUAUAGAGCAGUAGCUCUAGGAAUUUGUGAGGUUUUUUGGAUCAAAAAAAUUCUUGAAGAACUUAAGGCAAGUAAUUCUCUACCUAUGAAAGUAUAUUGUGACAACAAAUCUGCCAUUGCAAUAGCACAUAAUCCAGUACUCCACGACCGAACUAAACAUGUUGAAGUGGACAAACACUUCAUAAAAGAAAAACUGGACAGUGGUUUGGUCUGCAUGCCCUACAUUCCUACAAAUGAGCAGAUUGCGGAUAUACUCACCAAGGGACUACCUAAGAAACAUUUUGAGAAAUUGGUUUGCAAGCUGGCCUUGAAAGACAUUUUUAGACCAGCUUGAGGGGGAGUGUUGAAAGGUUGACCAAAUCAAAUUGUGAUUUGGUUUUCCUUAUAUAUUUAGGUGUAUAUUUGGUGUAAAUAUAGAGAGUUAUUGCUUCCUAGAAAUCAGUGUGUAAUAUUCUGCUUUAAUUUUUUCCUUUCCUUUCUUAGUCUCUUGUAUCCCUAUAUUAAGACUGUGUACAGUCUCAUGAAGUAAAAAAAUUGAGAAUUGUUCCAUAAACUUUUUCUCUACCUAUUUUCACACUUUUCAUAUCGCAAGCACUCCAUAUUAGUCUUCUUGUCUAAGGGUAUUUGAUCAUUCACAAAGUCUUUGCUUUUUUCUUCACUGCCAGUAACUUCUUGUUUAAUAACAGCCAUCACAGAUCCAGGAUGAUUCGUAGGAUGACCACCUACUGCACCAUUUCAGAAAUCUGCCAGUCCCUAACAAUGGGCUUCUUCUGCUGCUUAAAUUUCUGAAAAUAAUGUUGCUUAGAACUUGUGAUUGAAGACUAGAAACUACUGUCUUGCAAGCACUCAGUCUUUGAUGAAGUAAGUGAUCUGUCAUGCUUGGAUUCCAGUAUGUUGAUAACAGUGGAAAUGGCAGCUCUUUUUCUCUUUUGAGCUUUUGCAUCUUCCUUCUCAUCUCUCGAGCUCUCUGUAUUUGUCUGACAAGAUUCUACUUUUUUCAUUACAUGCAGUCUGGUCGUUUCUGUCAUCCACCCUCUCGAACUGCGGACAGUAUUUUUUGCAGAAAAUGUUUCAUUACUGGAAAUAGAAGGAUUAGGACGAUAGUAGGAUGCAACCUCCAGAAAUUGAUUUUUGUAAAGUUUUUCUUCUCUUUUUUCAUCUGUUUUUGGCAGAUCAAAAGUUCCUUUUGAGAAGUACUUUCCUUCAAAACUGUUGAGAUCUUGGCAGAAAGGGACCAUCUUAGCUGGCGCAGCACCCACCGAAAGUCUAUAAGCAUAUUUUUUAAUGGGAAAUCUCCUAGCAUUGUUAAAAGAACUAUAAAAUCGGGGAAAACUACUCGAUAUCAUAAUGUUGGGAAAGGUAGUGUUGGUUACGCAGCCUUCUUUCCUGAAUUUUUUUUCAAUGGAAACAAUAUCAAAGGCAGCAGAAGGUCAAGCAACCAUGAUAAUAUACAACUUGCUGCAUGCCAAGUAAGAAAGGCGGAACAUCUCAAACAGCACCAAUAAGAAUUUAGCACCAUAUGCACAGCUCAAACCCACUGAACACUGAACAUCAGUACAGGAUGACAUUCGAGACAUAACAUAUCAUACAUAAUCACACAUAGCAUCGAUAUGACAAACCGAAACCCAGUUAACAGAAAUAAAAUGUGGGUGUUACAUAAUCUUCAAAAGUCAAAACCCAGAUAGCAAAAGCUAUGCACGCAAAAAUACAAUCUUUUUAACCUCUCCAAUUCAACAAAGCAAAACUGUAAGUGGGUAUCAAAUAACCCUAAAAAGUCAGAAUGAAAAAGCAAUAAACAGCACAAAAACACAACAAAUAAUUUCAUAACAUAACAAAUUAGAGCCAAAAAUAUAUAUGUAAAAAAAUUGAACCGAACCUUUUAAAAGAAGUGAGAGAGACAUGAGGAGAGGAGCAAGGAGUCCACUUUCUGGUGGUGAGAUUCGGGGAGACUCCCAUGACCGUUAUCAAGUUCGUAACUUUUGUUCUGCUAAACAGCAGCUUGUUGCCAGUGGUGGUUGUGCUUGUAAGAGCCGUUUUGAAGGGUUUAAGAGGGGGCAGAACGGUAAUAAAGGUGGGAUUUUGAGGGUGGGGUUUAAGAGUAUGGCGGUUCAGUGUCUGUUUCUGUAGCUGAAAUACGGAGUGUGGCCAUCAACAAUCUCAACUCAGCACUACUUGAUGAGGCAGCGACAAUAGUUAUAGCUAAAACCCUUCGUCGCACUGGCGCCCUUUAUUAUUAUUAUUUAUUCUUAUUUUUAUUUUUUAUUUUUUAUUUUUUUUUACUUUUGGGUAAUUUUUCAAAAUCUCCCUUCAGGUAUGGUGAAUUUCCAAGUAGAUGACGAGAAUUGUUUAUUUUUGAAAACCCUCUACAAAAUUUUGAAGUUUGACUUUUGUUAACUGGUUGAGUAAAAUCAUAAAACUACUUGACAAAGUGAAAUACUCAAGCUUUACGUGUGUAAUCAUUCAUAAUUAUAGAUAAUUUACUAUUUAUUUGAGAUUAAGGUUUAACUUAAAUUUUCGGAUUCCUAGUAUAGUAUUAUAGAAUUCAUAAUAAACACCAAACCAAAUCUAGCACUUCAACACUUUCUCUCAUAAUUCAUUUAUAAAAACUAUUAAAUAGACUAAUCACAUAGCCUUGCUCUUUCUUGACAAUAUCUAAGUAAAAAACUACCACAUUUGAGGUAAAAUUAAAACAAGAAAAUCUAAAAACAAAAAAUAAAGAAAUUUAAUGUUUCUAAUUUUCUCAUUAAAUUAAAUGUAACGGUAAAUUAAUAAAUAAAGAGUGGCUAGUUAAAAAAGACUAUCAAUUUUGUUAAACAUAUUUUGAUUGCAAAAGGCACUAUUUGUACACAUAAAGCAUUUUUGGAUUUGGUUGUUUUAGUGGCUCUAAAGAAAUUAAUUGCCUUUUCAGUAUGACUUAUUUAAUAAACAUAAGUAUUUAUUUAUUUAAUUUAAUGAGCUCUUUUCAAAUUUAUUGUUGUUGUUUAAAUUUUUUGGUAGAACUUCUAAAGGCUAAAUAAGUUAUUUUACUUUUAUCUACAAAAGCUCAAAUUUGGAGUAGAAGUUAAAAAGUUUUUUUUAAAAUAUUAAAAUAUUAAAAUUAUCCUUUAUUUAUUUGAGAAUCUUAUUCAUUCAUUUCACAAUAUAACUUUAAAAUAAUUUUAUAACUUUUACUAAAUGCUCUUAUUGACAACUAAAUAAUUAAAAAAAAUUUAGAAAAAUCUCUACUUACAAAAGUUUUACUGACAAUAAUUCUACUCAAACAAAUUUUAUUUGAAAAGUUAUAUCUAAUAGAGCUUAAAAGUAUCAUGAUCAUUUGUUAUUAUGUAUUGGUACGAGUUUUUUUCUUUUAUUUUUAUUUUUUCCCAAAUUUUUUUAUAUGAACUUUUAUAAAGAUUUCCCUCUGAAAUUGAGUAUAGAUUUGUAGGUAAGUCAGGCCUUGAUUGUAUCUAAGGGCGUUGUGAUGCUUUCUCAGUUAAGAGAUGAUCAACAAAAAUUUUAACAAAUGACGAGAGGAUUAUAAUCAAUAAAAUGACUUUUCCAUCUAAUUGCAAAUAGAUUAUACCUCAGGGGAGGUUACGAAAACGUACGCACAAGAGAACAAACGUUGUAUACAGUGACUGAUGUUGACUUUGCCACGUGGGUACUUGUGAUGUGUGGCUGUGUAGUUUUCAGAUUUCUGUCAAUUUUUUAAAAUUUUUAUAAUAAAUCCCCCUUUUUUAACUAAAAAAAAUAUUUAUGCGGCGUUUACUAAAUUACAAUCGGAAUAAAUUGAAAUCGAAAUAAGUAGAAAUGAGAAUGUGGUAGAAUUAAAAUAGAUAAUGAGAAUUAAAAUAGAUAAUGAGAAUUAAAAUAAGUUGUUUAUCUCAACUGUAAGAAUUUGAAUCGAAAUCAGAAUGAGUUAGAUUUUCAUUAAUGUGUUUACUUUAUAUUGUAAUCGGAAUCAUAAUAAAUUAAAUUAUUAUAAAUUACUAAAAAGUCGUUAAUAAUAAUGACAAUAAUAUUCAUUAAAAAUAAAUAAAUAAAUAAAUAAAUAAUAAUAAAUUUAAUAUAAUCUAAUAGUAAUAACAACAUUUAAAUAUUAUAAAAUAAUAAAUAAAAUUAAUAAAUUUUAAUAAAAUAAUAAUAAUGACAUUAUUAUUAUUAUUAUUAUUAUUAUUAUUACAACAACAACAACAACAACAGCAAUAGCAACAAUAGCAACAACAACAACAACAAUAAUAAUAAUAAUAAAUGACCUACUUGAGAGCAAUAUUAGAGUAAGCUUUUAUAUGCAAAACCAUUUCACAAUGUUGUAGACUCAUUUACAAUAUUAUAAAAAUUCAUAUUGCACUUUAAUAAAGUGUGAGAUCUCUCAUUAAAAAUGAACUAUAUAGAUAUAUAGGAUAGUAAUAUAGUUUAGAAUCUUGAAUCUUAUUAAAGUUUGAAAAAACUAUCAUGUCAAUCUUGACAAAAAUAAUGGUUUCCCUUGAAAGCCAUUCCAUAAAGAUCGCCUUUUUGUUUUCCACAUUUUAUCCACAUGAUCUAUCUCUAGCGUUAUCCUCACCACAUCCGUAUGAUCCAUUUCUCUUUCUUUCACUCACUUGUAUAUAUAAUUGAUACACAGAACAAGCUGUAUGUAGAUGCUCUUUGGUAUCCUUAAUUUUAAGGCAAAUGCCAAGUUACUUUUAACUAUAAUUUAUGCCACACAUACAAAUCAUGCAGAUACCACUAAUAUGUUACUGUCAUUGUGUGUGGCAUAAGUUACAGUUGAAUAUAACUUAGGGGGUCCUAAUCUUAAUUGUCUUUGUCUUAGUAUCAUAAGGUCCGUUCGAUGCAUCCUUCUACAAGUUCAAAGCGACGUUGGCACACUUAUAAGAAUAAGAGUAAUGGUAAAGUUAAUCUAUCGAUGGCGUCACGAAAAAGAAUAGAAUAAAUUAUUUAAUUUCCAACAACUUAAUUUUGUCUCUCCGCGAAUAUAAUAAUCACAUUUAUUCUACUACUUUUGUCCCCAUUUGCUUAAUUUAUCCGCGAAUAUGAUAGUCACACGUUUUUAAAGUAAAGGCGAUUUUGGAAGAAGCCUGUACGGUUUGGGAAGAGGAUACUUCAAGGCCCGGGGCACAACCAUGCAUAAUAUAGAAAUUACACUUGAAAAAGGGUGAAUAAUUAAUUAAAGCAGCUGGUGCUUGCUACAACUAUUGUAAAACAGAGAAAAUCCGCCGCAUUACCUUCUGAGGAGGUCUCCUUGAUAUCCAAAAACGUGCUGUGCCUAGGCCCAAAGCCUUUUGCUAUUUUACCGAUUACUGCCCGAUGCAGGCCAAUCCUUGGUCACUCUCAUAAAUAAGGUUUUGUCUGGCCGCCACAGUCAUUAAAACAUGAGUGAAAAUAAAUGGGAAAUUAUCAAUUUCUCGUCUGAUUGGUGAAAAUGCAAAAAUAGUUGAAAAUUUUAAAACUUCUCAUUUUUCUUUUCUUUUCCACUAGAAAAAAUAUGGGAUCUGACAGGGAAUUAGGUGUUGAUUGAUAUGAUCUAUUGUUAAAAAAAGUUAUAAUUAUAAAAUAAAACUGUGCGAUAAAUAUAGUUUAAAAAUAAUAAAUUUAAUAAAGUAGUAAAGAUUUAUAGGUUUUAUCGUAUAGAUGUAAAAUUAAAUCAAACUUAACUUUCAAAUUAGAACAACAAGUAUUUACCAAAUAUUGUUAAAUAUGUAGCUUAAAAACUACCACUACUCAACCACAAAAACACAAGGCCUUGAUCUAAGUUAAUCCCAACAAAUUUCCAACUGUAACUAAAUAAAAAAAAAUCAUAUUAGAAGCAAAAAAAUCAACAUCUAUUUUUUAUUGAUUUUUUUUUCAAAUAUCAUGUUAUAUGAACAAAACACAUGCUUGACUUCUUUUUUUCAAUUAAACCUUGACCAGUAAGGCAAUUUAUUAAAUUAAAAAGCAGGGAACACUUAUGUAAGGGAUAUAAUAAACUAUAUCCUGCAAAAUAAUUAAAAACCUGAAACAGUGGGAUCAAGAUCCUCUCUUGAUCUGAGCAAAUUCUAUUAAUGUGAUUGGUGUUUAAUAAAUUCAAAAGAAAAAAUAGUUAAAUCCUAAUCAUUCACUAACACUAAAAGACAGAUAACACAAGAUCUGUAAAAUAUCAGCAGUGUUCAGAUCAAAAGAAAAUCUUAAUCCGAAACAGUGAGCCCUGAACAAUUUUUUGGUUUACCAGAUAACCAAAAAAAAUGAAAAAUAAAAAACCAUUUCUCCGUUAGCAUUAUUAUGAGAGACGAACUUGGAAGCUUCUGGAAGUUCAUAGUCCCAGCAAGUGAAAGGACCAGCUUAGGCCCGAAUGAGCUUUGCUGCCGCCACACACACAGAGGCCACAGCCUGUGGAAAGAUGUAGCUAAUACGAAAAUUCAUUUGACUCACUAGAUGACAACAAUUAAACACGUGUUUGAUCGAAUGCGCGUGUGAAGGGAGUUUUAAAUCACCAAGGUCUUUAACCAACAAUUAACACUUGUUAAUCAAUAGAGUUGUGCUUUUGACACCCCUCUAAAGUUAAUCAGGAAUGCUCAGAUUAUAAGAAGAUCCUAAUCCAUUUAAAAUACAUCUUACAAUUAGAAGCUUUGAAAAUUAUGAUACUUUAAUUUAAUUCCCAAUCAACCCUUGAUAAAUACUUCUACAUCUCUAAAAGAACUAUCUACUUCCUAAUGUCUAUUGUAAUUAAAUGAUGAGGGCUGAUUUUGUUUUAUUUCUAUUUUCAGUAUCGCUUAGAGAAGGUCGAUGACCUGUUUGAUUUUCAUUUUAGGUGUGAAGCUAAAAGACCUAAGUCAUCUUCAAUUAAAUAUUCUUUUUUUUUUUAAAUGUUCUUUUAUCUCUCUUUUUCUAAAACCUAAGUCAUUAAAAAAAAACUGCAAAAUUUCACCCAAUUUAGCCGAAAAAUUGCCAUUCUUACUGUAUUGAUAAUUGAGGAGUGAACAACUUGCAUCUAUCAGCGGGAUUGCGGGAAAAAGAAAACCUAGAAAGUGAGUUUGCUCUUGAAGAGUUGUAAGUUUCUUCAAGGGUUACUUGUUGAAUAAAUGUCAGAUAAUUGUAAGCACCGAAAUUUAAAAACUCUUUUAAAUGGAUUUAUUUAGAAAAAGGGUUCAUACGAGUUUUGCUGUUUUGGAGGGGGUGCUAACAGCUCGACUCUAUUCAAUAUUCGACGUUAUGUCUUGGCCGGAUGCGAUGAUUCAUUGAUUCCAUUGCAUCAAUCAAUUGUGCUAUUUUGUCUUAAAGCAAUUUCUAAUUUCUUUCUUGAAUGUUCUACAACAUUUUGAAAUACAUCAAUUUAUGCUUAAUUUUUUAUUUCAUAAUCCAAAAUUUAAGGGUUCAUUUGAUUUACGAUUCAAAAAUAAUUUUUUUAAAAAAAAUGAAUUUAAAAAUGUGUUGAAGGUUUUAAUGUGUUCAUUUUUCUUUAUUAUUUAUAUUAAUGGCAACCUAAUCAUCUCCCCACCUAUGUGAGAGAGGUUCGAAUCAUAAACCCAUUUUUCCAAGAAAAGGGAGUCUACCAAUCUAAAUAAAUGAUGCAAAUUUUAACAAGUUUAUAUAAUAUCCAAAAACGACAAUUUAAACAACUGAAACAUGUUUAACGUAAUUUCUAAUUAAAAAAAAGAAAAACAUGUUUAGUUGCUGUGAUUUUAAAGGUAAUUCUUAAUGAAGUAUUAAGUUUCAUAAAAUUAUAGUCUUGUUUUCCUUUUAGAUAAUUGCAUUACAUCAAGGAGUAUCUUAGAACAAAAUAAAAAUGAAACAAGCUUCGUCAAGAUUUCAAUAUUUAUUAUCUUUAGCUUAGCUUCGAUUCUGUUAUGUUAAACGAAAAAAAGUAAUUAAAUUAAUGGUAUGGAGACUGAUUUACACAACACAAAUUGCCAACAACGUAUACUUUAAUUUGUAGUUAACAUGGAUGUUGUGUAACAGACCAAAUUCGUAACCCAACUGAAGCAAUUAAUCAGUUUUACAAACAAGCAAGAACCCAGAAAACGAACCAGGGGAUACAGUCAAGUAACCAAGAACAAGAAAGCAAACUUAAACAAGAGAUACAAAACAGAGGUUAACGUGGUUCAAUACCAUGAGUACUUACAUCCACGAUCAGGAACAGUAGAGCUAAAGCUUUAUUAGGAGAUAUCAAGAUUACAAUGGAAUCCACUCAGAGCAAGAAACUAAACUCACACAGAGAAUCUUUCUCAACUCACAAACUAUCUCACUUGACUAACUGAUCAGCUCUCUCUCUCACUGAAGCUUAUAAAGCUAGCAAUUUACAGCUGGUUAUAACGACUAACUAAAACCACCUGAGGACCCACCCAUGCUGACUCAGCUUUCCAACUCAGCUAAUAUAACCGAAUAUAACUAACUUGAUCCCACAAAUCUCCACCUUAGUUAACUCGGUUAUAGCUUUACUCAUCACUGCUCCAUCACCAGUUAACUUUGUCUCACAAGUUAAUAACCCCAAUCAAGUCCAAGGAGUUCCUGAACUUAACUGUUGGCAAAGGUUUUGUUAGCAUGUCUGCUGGAUUUACUUCAGUAGGAAUUUUAAUGACAUUAAUCACACCAUUUCGAAUUUCUUCCCUGAUAAAGUGCAUCCUCACAUCCACAUGUUUUGUUCUUUCAUGGUACUUGGGGUUUUUGCUCAACUGUAUAGCACUUGAGCUAUCACAAUUGACAGUGACUGAUUCUUGUUCCAAACCCAGUUCUGUAACUAACCCCUUCAACCAUAAUGCUUCUUUCACAGCCUCUGUUAAAGCAAUAUACUCUGCCUCUGUUGUUGAGAGAACAACUACUGAUUGUAAUGUUGACUUCCAGCUCACAGCAAGAAACUAAACUCACACAGAGAAUCUUUCUCAACUCACAAACUAUCUCACUUGACUAACUGAUCAGCUCUCUCUCUCACUGAAGCUUAUAAAGCUAGCAGUUUACAGCUGGUUAUAACGACUAACUAAAACCACCUGAGGACCCACCCAUGCUGACUCAGCUUUCCAACUCAGCUAAUAUAACCGAAUAUAACUAACUUGAUCCCACAAAUCUCCACCUUAGUUAACUCGGUUAUAGCUUUACUCAUCACUGCUCCAUCACCAGUUAACUUUGUCUCACAAGUUAAUAACCCCAAUCAAGUCCAAGGAGUUCCUGAACUUAACUGUUGGCAAAGGUUUUGUUAGCAUGUCUGCUGGAUUUACUUCAGUAGGAAUUUUAAUGACAUUAAUCACACCAUUUCGAAUUUCUUCCCUGAUAAAGUGCAUCCUCACAUCCACAUGUUUUGUUCUUUCAUGGUACUUGGGGUUUUUGCUCAACUGUAUAGCACUUGAGCUAUCACAAUUGACAGUGACUGAUUCUUGUUCCAAACCCAGUUCUGUAACUAACCCCUUCAACCAUAAUGCUUCUUUCACAGCCUCUGUUAAAGCAAUAUACUCUGCCUCUGUUGUUGAGAGAACAACUACUGAUUGUAAUGUUGACUUCCAGCUCACAGCAAGAAACUAAACUCACACAGAGAAUCUUUCUCAACUCACAAACUAUCUCACUUGACUAACUGAUCAGCUCUCUCUCUCACUGAAGCUUAUAAAGCUAGCAGUUUACAGCUGGUUAUAACGACUAACUAAAACCACCUGAGGACCCACCCAUGCUGACUCAGCUUUCCAACUCAGCUAAUAUAACCGAAUAUAACUAACUUGAUCCCACAAAUCUCCACCUUAGUUAACUCGGUUAUAGCUUUACUCAUCACUGCUCCAUCACCAGUUAACUUUGUCUCACAAGUUAAUAACCCCAAUCAAGUCCAAGGAGUUCCUGAACUUAACUGUUGGCAAAGGUUUUGUUAGCAUGUCUGCUGGAUUUACUUCAGUAGGAAUUUUAAUGACAUUAAUCACACCAUUUCGAAUUUCUUCCCUGAUAAAGUGCAUCCUCACAUCCACAUGUUUUGUUCUUUCAUGGUACUUGGGGUUUUUGCUCAACUGUAUAGCACUUGAGCUAUCACAAUUGACAGUGACUGAUUCUUGUUCCAAACCCAGUUCUGUAACUAACCCCUUCAACCAUAAUGCUUCUUUCACAGCCUCUGUUAAAGCAAUAUACUCUGCCUCUGUUGUUGAGAGAACAACUACUGAUUGUAAUGUUGACUUCCAGCUCACAGCAAGAAACUAAACUCACACAGAGAAUCUUUCUCAACUCACAAACUAUCUCACUUGACUAACUGAUCAGCUCUCUCUCUCACUGAAGCUUAUAAAGCUAGCAGUUUACAGCUGGUUAUAACGACUAACUAAAACCACCUGAGGACCCACCCAUGCUGACUCAGCUUUCCAACUCAGCUAAUAUAACCGAAUAUAACUAACUUGAUCCCACAAAUCUCCACCUUAGUUAACUCGGUUAUAGCUUUACUCAUCACUGCUCCAUCACCAGUUAACUUUGUCUCACAAGUUAAUAACCCCAAUCAAGUCCAAGGAGUUCCUGAACUUAACUGUUGGCAAAGGUUUUGUUAGCAUGUCUGCUGGAUUUACUUCAGUAGGAAUUUUAAUGACAUUAAUCACACCAUUUCGAAUUUCUUCCCUGAUAAAGUGCAUCCUCACAUCCACAUGUUUUGUUCUUUCAUGGUACUUGGGGUUUUUGCUCAACUGUAUAGCACUUGAGCUAUCACAAUUGACAGUGACUGAUUCUUGUUCCAAACCCAGUUCUGUAACUAACCCCUUCAACCAUAAUGCUUCUUUCACAGCCUCUGUUAAAGCAAUAUACUCUGCCUCUGUUGUUGAGAGAACAACUACUGAUUGUAAUGUUGACUUCCAGCUCACAGCAAGAAACUAAACUCACACAGAGAAUCUUUCUCAACUCACAAACUAUCUCACUUGACUAACUGAUCAGCUCUCUCUCUCACUGAAGCUUAUAAAGCUAGCAGUUUACAGCUGGUUAUAACGACUAACUAAAACCACCUGAGGACCCACCCAUGCUGACUCAGCUUUCCAACUCAGCUAAUAUAACCGAAUAUAACUAACUUGAUCCCACAAAUCUCCACCUUAGUUAACUCGGUUAUAGCUUUACUCAUCACUGCUCCAUCACCAGUUAACUUUGUCUCACAAGUUAAUAACCCCAAUCAAGUCCAAGGAGUUCCUGAACUUAACUGUUGGCAAAGGUUUUGUUAGCAUGUCUGCUGGAUUUACUUCAGUAGGAAUUUUAAUGACAUUAAUCACACCAUUUCGAAUUUCUUCCCUGAUAAAGUGCAUCCUCACAUCCACAUGUUUUGUUCUUUCAUGGUACUUGGGGUUUUUGCUCAACUGUAUAGCACUUGAGCUAUCACAAUUGACAGUGACUGAUUCUUGUUCCAAACCCAGUUCUGUAACUAACCCCUUCAACCAUAAUGCUUCUUUCACAGCCUCUGUUAAAGCAAUAUACUCUGCCUCUGUUGUUGAGAGAACAACUACUGAUUGUAAUGUUGACUUCCAGCUCACAGCAAGAAACUAAACUCACACAGAGAAUCUUUCUCAACUCACAAACUAUCUCACUUGACUAACUGAUCAGCUCUCUCUCUCACUGAAGCUUAUAAAGCUAGCAGUUUACAGCUGGUUAUAACGACUAACUAAAACCACCUGAGGACCCACCCAUGCUGACUCAGCUUUCCAACUCAGCUAAUAUAACCGAAUAUAACUAACUUGAUCCCACAAAUCUCCACCUUAGUUAACUCGGUUAUAGCUUUACUCAUCACUGCUCCAUCACCAGUUAACUUUGUCUCACAAGUUAAUAACCCCAAUCAAGUCCAAGGAGUUCCUGAACUUAACUGUUGGCAAAGGUUUUGUUAGCAUGUCUGCUGGAUUUACUUCAGUAGGAAUUUUAAUGACAUUAAUCACACCAUUUCGAAUUUCUUCCCUGAUAAAGUGCAUCCUCACAUCCACAUGUUUUGUUCUUUCAUGGUACUUGGGGUUUUUGCUCAACUGUAUAGCACUUGAGCUAUCACAAUUGACAGUGACUGAUUCUUGUUCCAAACCCAGUUCUGUAACUAACCCCUUCAACCAUAAUGCUUCUUUCACAGCCUCUGUUAAAGCAAUAUACUCUGCCUCUGUUGUUGAGAGAACAACUACUGAUUGUAAUGUUGACUUCCAGCUCACAGCAAGAAACUAAACUCACACAGAGAAUCUUUCUCAACUCACAAACUAUCUCACUUGACUAACUGAUCAGCUCUCUCUCUCACUGAAGCUUAUAAAGCUAGCAGUUUACAGCUGGUUAUAACGACUAACUAAAACCACCUGAGGACCCACCCAUGCUGACUCAGCUUUCCAACUCAGCUAAUAUAACCGAAUAUAACUAACUUGAUCCCACAAAUCUCCACCUUAGUUAACUCGGUUAUAGCUUUACUCAUCACUGCUCCAUCACCAGUUAACUUUGUCUCACAAGUUAAUAACCCCAAUCAAGUCCAAGGAGUUCCUGAACUUAACUGUUGGCAAAGGUUUUGUUAGCAUGUCUGCUGGAUUUACUUCAGUAGGAAUUUUAAUGACAUUAAUCACACCAUUUCGAAUUUCUUCCCUGAUAAAGUGCAUCCUCACAUCCACAUGUUUUGUUCUUUCAUGGUACUUGGGGUUUUUGCUCAACUGUAUAGCACUUGAGCUAUCACAAUUGACAGUGACUGAUUCUUGUUCCAAACCCAGUUCUGUAACUAACCCCUUCAACCAUAAUGCUUCUUUCACAGCCUCUGUUAAAGCAAUAUACUCUGCCUCUGUUGUUGAGAGAACAACUACUGAUUGUAAUGUUGACUUCCAGCUCACAGCAAGAAACUAAACUCACACAGAGAAUCUUUCUCAACUCACAAACUAUCUCACUUGACUAACUGAUCAGCUCUCUCUCUCACUGAAGCUUAUAAAGCUAGCAGUUUACAGCUGGUUAUAACGACUAACUAAAACCACCUGAGGACCCACCCAUGCUGACUCAGCUUUCCAACUCAGCUAAUAUAACCGAAUAUAACUAACUUGAUCCCACAAAUCUCCACCUUAGUUAACUCGGUUAUAGCUUUACUCAUCACUGCUCCAUCACCAGUUAACUUUGUCUCACAAGUUAAUAACCCCAAUCAAGUCCAAGGAGUUCCUGAACUUAACUGUUGGCAAAGGUUUUGUUAGCAUGUCUGCUGGAUUUACUUCAGUAGGAAUUUUAAUGACAUUAAUCACACCAUUUCGAAUUUCUUCCCUGAUAAAGUGCAUCCUCACAUCCACAUGUUUUGUUCUUUCAUGGUACUUGGGUUUUUGCUCAACUGUAUAGCACUUGAGCUAUCACAAUUGACAGUGACUGAUUCUUGUUCCAAACCCAGUUCUGUAACUAACCCCUUCAACCAUAAUGCUUCUUUCACAGCCUCUGUUAAAGCAAUAUACUCUGCCUCUGUUGUUGAGAGAACAACUACUGAUUGUAAUGUUGACUUCCAGCUCACAGCAAGAAACUAAACUCACACAGAGAAUCUUUCUCAACUCACAAACUAUCUCACUUGACUAACUGAUCAGCUCUCUCUCUCACUGAAGCUUAUAAAGCUAGCAGUUUACAGCUGGUUAUAACGACUAACUAAAACCACCUGAGGACCCACCCAUGCUGACUCAGCUUUCCAACUCAGCUAAUAUAACCGAAUAUAACUAACUUGAUCCCACAAAUCUCCACCUUAGUUAACUCGGUUAUAGCUUUACUCAUCACUGCUCCAUCACCAGUUAACUUUGUCUCACAAGUUAAUAACCCCAAUCAAGUCCAAGGAGUUCCUGAACUUAACUGUUGGCAAAGGUUUUGUUAGCAUGUCUGCUGGAUUUACUUCAGUAGGAAUUUUAAUGACAUUAAUCACACCAUUUCGAAUUUCUUCCCUGAUAAAGUGCAUCCUCACAUAAUCGUCAUCAUCAUACGUUGGAAGACCUGUAAUUAGAAGUUGCAAUUGCAACGGCAUGCACCGAAGUCAACUGGACUAAUAUAAACGCAUCUUUAUGCUUCAAAACUUCGAGUCUGUUCUCCGGUUCUAGCCUUUCGAGCAAUUCCUGGAUCAGCUGAGGGUCUUCCAGGGCCGCUGCAACGUGAAUUGCUGAGUCUCCAUUGACCGUCCUGUAAUCCAACAACUCUGCAGGUCGUUGACGAAAGUAAACCAAGAAACCUUGACGGUCUCCAUUUAAGGCCAUAUUCCAUAAGGAUCCAUCUUUCUCUCUCUCACUCACACUCUUGAAUAUAUAAGCUUUAAUGCAUCAUUGUUGAAGUUCUAAACGAAGUUAUCAAAUUGGCACAAUCACUUUGCAUUUUAUAUUAAUAGAGCUCAAGCAUAUUAAUUAUAAGAAUAAAAUAUUGGUGAAGUUUAUCUCUUGGGUCAGGUAGAAGAAUAGAAUAUAUUAUUUCCAACAGCUUUGGCGGGUCCUUAUUGCUUUUGCUGCGAAUAUUAUAAUCACAUUUAUUCUACAGCUUCUCUGCCUCCAUUGCUUUUGAUUUCUGCGAAUAUAAUAAUCACAUUUAUUCUAAAGUGUUAAAAUACCUGAAAAUUUUGACACUUACGAUUUCUCCACCCGGGUUUUUUUUUUUAUAAAAAAAAUCAUUUUUUUUUCGCCUUGACGUUAACAAAGUUCGAAUUUGUUAGGAAAUGCUUACAAAAUGAAAGUUUUGCUCUUGUAAUAUAAACAAUGUCGGAUUUUAACGUUUAAUAUCAGAAUAUUUUGAUUUGCCCCAAAACAAUUUCUAAUUUCCUUCUUGCAUGUUUUUCGACAUCGUGAAAUACAUUAACCUUAAUCUUCAAUUUUUAUUUCAUAAUGACAUAAUCCAAAAGUUUGAGGAUUCAUUUGAUUUAUGAUUCAAAAAUAUUUUUCAAAACUCAAAACUCAAAACAGAAUCUAAAAAAUUGAGUUGAAGUUUUAAUAUUAUCUGUUUAUUUUUAACAUUUAUCCAAUUCUCUUCCCUAUUAGCGGGGUCGAAAAUUAACCAACUUAAAAAGCCAAACUGACAAGAUGUGUACAGCUGAGCUUUCAAAAAGCUAGCCAAAACAAAUACAGCCCAAGUACAAUCGAGAGUGUUGAGAAGUGAACACAAAUCUGGAAUUGUGGUUGAAUAUGACAUGUCCGUUUGAUGUUUUGAGACUGGAUGAUAUGUCGGUUGUGUGGCACAAGAGAGCCGUAUGACAAGCCUGGUUGAUCAGCCGAGUGAUUAAGUUAAGCAGGUGCUGAGGCACACGACUUCACUUAUUCUAAACGGCAGAAGAAGGCAGCGUUUUGGAUGCAGUUACUACACGUGUCUUGAGGCCGGUUUAAAGGGCUGGUAAAGCUGUUAAAGUAAGCGGGAAAAUUCUGGGUUUGUUGCCAACAAACCCAGGGUUGUUACGCUGGCUUCUGGGGAUUGUUUCUACAGCAAUCUAGGCGUGUAUAUAAGGCUUCAUGGUCUCGUAUUUGGCUUGCUCAAGUGUGUAACAGUUUCUCAGAUUACUUGUAUCUUGUAAACACCAAAUCAGUAAAAGCUCUUUCUCUUUUUCACAGUGGAUGUAGGUCAAUUGGUGGCUGAACCACUUAACUCUUUUAUGUUCGUGUGUGAUUGUUUCUGCUUUCUUUAAGCUUGUUAUCUAUUGAUUCGAAUUGAUGAUUUCACAAUGAUUUCACAAAGCUUUAGUUGGUCAUAAUUAGUUCUUGGAUUAAAGCUAAGUCGAGUGAAUCUUGGGGGAUUAAGAUCGGUUCUUGACUGGUUUUGGUCCAACAGAGAGUCGUAUGUGUAAGUUGGUUAUGACUUGUAACCGUAGCUAAAGUUGUUUGUUCGGGUUUUGAUUUUCGAAUUUAGCGUUAUAAAGAAGCCACUAUUUCAUGAUUACGAACAAAUUAAAUCUGCUCUUUCGCCAUUACUCUUCUCUGCCUGGCUGAUGCGAUUCUGCAAUCCUACCUGUCUUCAAAUCUCUUUUAUAAUUGUAGUCAACGAUAUCUUCAUCCAGAUACAUUUGGAAGACCUACGAGUAAAAAUGCGAUUGAAUUUAACUCUAUAUAUUUUAAGUUCUAAUGAUGUAGACCGGCAAGUAUUUUUUUUAUUUUAAAUUUCACUUCACCAUAUAUAUGUAUAACCGCAAAUUAAAUAAUUAUUUCUCCUAAUUAACUUGCUUAUUGUUUCCAUUGCAAAGGCAUGCACCUAAGUCAACUGGACCAUAUAUCUCAUAAGAGAUGGAUACAUAACUAAUGUAUAAAAAAUGCUAAAGAAAAUGAAGGUGAAUAGAGCGUUGACAGAAAUAAUAGUAUAGUAAAUUGGGGUUUAUUAUUUUUAAUUAAGUAUAAGUCGAUAAUCUCGGCCGGGUGUACCACUGUUUCUGUCAAAUUUUUCAAUCUUACUCAUGAUAUAUAAAUAUCAUGCAUAUGUUUUUCAUAAGAGAACUGAUAUUCAGUCAAAAUACUAACAAAAAUAAAGUAAAUCCGGCCAGGUUUACAUAGUUAAAUGCCAACAUAGUAACCCUGGCUAGGUGUAUAUAUACUGUAUUUGUCAGCGUUUAAGUCUAUUUUAUCAUUUUUUUUCCUCCAUGAAAGGUAGUAAUUAGUUUAUAUAUCUACGUAUUAAGAAUGUAUGGACAAGACUCGUCCAUAUCUUCAUGCGCUUCGUAAUCUUGAAGAUAAUAAUAAAUUUUUAUACUCUUGAUCUAUAAAGAAAUAAAUUCAUUAAUUUAUGUAUAUAAAUUCACCAUUAAUUACUCAUGAUCAUCAGCUCGUUUCUAAAAUGCAGAUUGAACCAGAGAUUUAAUUAUUAUUACCGAAGUGCUUGGCAAGGACAGCAAUAUGAAGAAUGGAGAUAUUAUCCCAACAAAUAUUCAGCUGUUAGUUGAGCAAAGUAAUCCAAGAAGCCAUCAUCACAUUCUCUCAUUAAGGCCAUUCCAUAAGCAUCUUCCUUCGUUAUCCUCAUCUCAUCCAUAAACAUAAGCGCCAUCUCGCUUCUCUCUCUCUCACUUGUAUAAUUGAUACACUGAACAAGCUGUGUUCUUCGAUUUCCUUAAGUUUAAUUGUCUCAAUGUAAGUUGGCAUAAUCACUUUGCUUAAUUUCUUAAUGAAGCUCAAGCAUUAUAAGAAUAAAAUAAAGAUAAAGUAUUUAACCUAUCGGAUUCAGAAAAGGAAUAGAACAAAUUAUUUCAACGACUUUUGUCUGCAUUGCUUUUUCAUCGAAUAUACAUAAUAACCACCAAUUCACCAUAUUCUCAUAACGUAAAGGCGCUUGUGCUUUGCCUAAGCCUUAAGGUUUUUGCUAUUUUAUAAAGAAUUCAUGACCAUUAUGGAUUACAUUGAAACGACCUGCCUCGAAUCAUAGGGAUGAGUCUAUUUAGUCUCAUCAAAUUGAAUAGAUAAUAAUCUAAUUAGUAGGGAUUCUGCUGAAAAUUUGAUAAAGUUUUCUUUAUAAAUAUAACACUUCAAACUUGUAAAUAUGUAAUACAAGUACUCCCAAAAUAAAUCAAAAUAUAAGCAACUCCAAGGAUCAAUAUUCUCAGUGAAAUACUGAAUUAUUACCUAAGAUAUCUCCAGAGUAUCGAAAGAUUAUAUUAGAACUAAUAUUAAUAUACAUUAGUUUAUUCUUAAUCCCGAAAGAAUAAUACAACAAAAUUUGUACAAUCUAAAAAGAAAAAGAUGAUUUGGAUGUCCUAAUAAAAAAAUCAUCUAUAUUUUCUAAUACCAUCACGUGACUAAAACUUAAAAUAUAUCUAUAGUCGUUGGGUCGAUUUGGUGUACCUGCAACCUCUUAUUGUGGGGAGGGGGGGGGAAUAUAAUAAAACGAAAUGAGUAUAAAACUCAUUGAGCUCAGUGAGUGGAUAUUAGUUUUUUUUUUGGAAAAUAAAUUUACUAAAAAUAAUAAUUUAAUGAACGAUCCCAUCAAAAUAUCAUAAGAACUUAAAUAAAUUUAUUUAAUUUAAAUCAUGCAUUGAUAUAACAAUAAUACAUAAUACUGCAUAAAAUCAAGGAAAUCAUAACACUUAUAAUAACAGAGAGUGAAUGUCGAAAUUAUGACUAAACAAUUACCCAUGAGAAAUAAUCUUGUUAUAUCCUAACCUCAACGGACGGGUAAUGAUGUACUAUCUAGAUACUAUCAUGCCCUCGGACUACACGAAUAAACAGGGAGGUGCCACAUCAUAUCUCAUCAUAUCUGUACAUGCAUAACCUAAUCCCCAAAGGAUAAAAACACCCAAGCACACAGCUCAAGACCUUUAUGUGUAUUUAGACGGGCCCCAAAAGCCUGUAUCUCAUCUGUAUCAUCUGUAUUUGUAUUAUUGUUAUCAUCAUAUCACAUGCAUAUGCCCCCAAAAGGCAGAAGUGCCUCGAAAUAAAUUUUGUUCACGCAUUGAUAUUUUAUUAAAAUGUUUGGUUAAUGGUUUUUUGUAUUGAUUUUGAAUAAAUUAUGAUAGUAUUUUAAAGGCGAGAAAGGUGGAUUUAGAUGUGAUAAUGAAAAGAAAAUGGAUUUUAAGUAUGUUAAAUAGAAAAGAAACAAGAUUUAUAUUAUGGUUAUAUGUUUAUGUAUAUGUGUAUAAAGCGUUGUUUGUAAAAUCAUUGGACAAUAUCCUUCCUCGGUUACAGUGAUACAGAUAUGAUGAGGCUUUUAGGGCCCGUCUGAUCACAUAUAGAAGCUUUAGGCCGUGUGUUCAGAACAUUUAAAAUAUUUAUUUUGCAAAUAUGUUUUACUAUCAUAAUUAACUAUGAAAAUAAGUUUUUUAUAUUUUAUUCACAGUGACGAUUUUUAGAUUCGGUUAUCGCCCAUGUUCGAGGACUGGUUCUCGCUUGUAGAUCCUUCUAAAUUAAGGAAAUGACAUAAUUAUUUUCCGUAAAUCGAAAUUAGGACUAAAUUUAUGCAAUAAACUUGAAACGAACAUAUAUCCAUAAUUUACAACUUUCGUGUCGAUAAAAUUACUAAAAUACCAUCGAAUCCGUAAAUCAUUAAAAUACUCUGAAAUUAUAAAUCACUACAAUACCCUUGAAAUCAUAAUUACAUCCAAUCUUCAAUUUUAGAAAUUAUUAAAAUCUAUAUCGGGUCAGAAAUUACAAAAUCGCCCUCAAAAUGUAAAAUUACUGAAUUGCCCUCGCUAACGGUAACUCGGAAGGUCAAGUGUGAAAUUUUCAGCCACGAUGAGUCUAAUGGUGCCUGCAGUGACCUCCCACGUGUGCAGACGGUGGCAGAUCGAAGUCCCAAAGCCGUGAGCUUUCCGGCGCCCGAUCGACAGCAAUUCGGCGGUUUCGGGUGGUGGGAUUGGUCGGAAAAUGAUGAGGGUGAGCUAAGGAUCAAGAUCCAGGCAGUGGCAUCAUCCAAAAAUGGCGGAAUCGACAACGAGAAGAGGUGGGUUUUGCCGCAGCUUUUCGGGCUUCAAAAGGCGGCGUUCCGGUCAGUUUUUGGCGGCAAGGAUGGCAUAGAAACAAUGGCCGUCUUCCAAGCUUCAAAUCGGUACCUUGAUCGGCCGGAGGGGGUCGGAAUUGUGAGAUAUGGCCGGGUCGAUUUUGUGUUAAACGGGUCAGGUUUUCCGGGUCGGUUUGAUAGCUUCCUCCCUCCAUCUCUCACACGUGUGGUCUCUUCCUGUCCUUCAAGCCUUUUAUUUAUUUAUUUAUUAUUAUUAUUUUCUUAACUGCUUUUUUUUUUUUCCUCACAUAUGUUACGUACAUAAUUUGGAAGGUGAGGAGUUCGUGAUUUAUGAUGAUUUCUUCGGAAGAAGAUGGAUACGUAACUUAUGAUGAUUUUUUUACCAUAGUUCGGAAGAUGAUGAAUCCAUAAUUUAUGAUGAUUUUUUAGUAUAUAUAUAUAUAAAUUUUGUUUUAAGAUAGAGAGGUUGCGAAGCCCAAAUCAAUUUUUAAUUAUAAUCUUAUCAAAAACUAUUAAAUUAAUGGUAAUGGGACCGAUUUACUGUACAAAUUGCCAACAACAUAAAUGGUGAUUGAUUUGUUACUUUUAUACAAUUUUGUAUAAACAGAGCCUUGGAGCCAUAUGAUACAAGAAGAGUCCGAAUUAUUAUUAUUAUUUUUUUUAAUUGUUUCUUAAAUUUGUGGAUGAAGCUGACGGUUUUUUUUUUUCCUUUCUUGAUGAAAAAUAUAUUCUUUGGAUAGAGACUUUCAUUCUGAUCUAAAUUUUCAUUUGAGCACAUACAUGUGGGUGUAAGUUGUCAAUAUAAUGCAAUGAUGAUUCUAUCAUUAUAUAUAUAUAUAUAUAUAUAUUCAUAUUGAUGAUAAUGAGUAAACAGAUAGAUCAUACAUUCAUUAUUUAAUUUGAAAUACACACAGUACAUUAUUAUUAUUUGCCACAGCAAACCCAUCUUUUACAUGAAGUAAUACGACACACCCAAAGGAAAAAUAUAUGUGAGAACAAAUGAGAUAAAUAGCGUUAAUUAGAGCUGCAUUACAUAUAAGGAUUGUCAUCAUAUCAUGCGUACGUAUUAAUUAUUAACGCCAAUGCGCCCUCUUCUUCUUCUUCGAAGGUCCCCAGUAAUCCUUAAAAUUAGCCGCAAAAUUAGCAUAGACAGGAAACUCCAUGAGUGCUAAAACAACCACUGGAAAGAUAGCAGCGUCGUAGAGAGUGGCGGUCCAUUUCUUCCCCAAACGAAUGAUGAGCAGAAGUGAAGCCGAGAACGUAAGCAUGCUUGUUAAUACAGAGAAGAAGAGUAAAAUGAAGCCAGUCGUCAGCUUGAACGGAAGGUUGCUAAGGAAAUCAGAUGACUCACGUGGCGAGGUGAGGAUAGAUAGAAACAUCACAACGGAUGACAAAGAUAAGGACAGCGAGGCAACGUCUGUUACGGUAAAAACAAAGAAGAGUGGUGACGUAAGGAAAUUAGGAAACCCCCUAUCAUUGUUACUUCCAGGUACCGUGAAGGCAGCUGUAAAGACGACGGUCGCGAUUAGGAUUGCCAGUACGGAGCAUGCAUGAGCGGUUUCUUUGAUCCAUUCUUGUGCUUUCUGUUGAAAAGUCAGCAAUCAAAGCCAACUUUUCAAAAAGGAAACACACAGCUAGCAUGCAAGCUUUUGAGAAAAUACAAAGUUGGCACCGGCCCUUGAUAAUUAAUUGGCAAGUUGAUGGAGGAGCCACAUGCAUUUCUUUUGUUUUUCAAGUCGGCGCCAAAUUAUAGGACUCUUGCCAACUACUUGAAGAAUUUUUUCAGUGAAGCUCAACUAUAAAUAGUGCUUCAUUUAGAGAGAAAUAUGCAUCCCAAAAUUGUUAAGCUUAUAAGUUUCUAAGCUUUUGAGAGAAGUGAGAGAAGUGUGUCUGGGGAAUUUAUUUUUCUUGCAGAGUGUGAGAGUACUGGGUAUAUUUGGGUUUCUGGGAAGUGAGAUUAGUUACUCAAAUAUUGUACUCUAUUAAUUGUUAAAUAAACAAUUAUUCUUUUUUGCCUCCGUGGAUGUAGGUUUAAUUACCGAACCACGUAAUUCUUGUGUCCUUUAUUUUUCUAUAAUUAUUUGGUGCGCUUGAUUCCACAUUCCGCGCACAACAAGUGGUAUCAGAGCCGACGGUUCGUACUUGGGGGGAUACGGUACUAUUCACGUAUACGGUACUGUUCACGAAUACGGUGGAGACAGCAAUUUGUACUUGGGAGACAGUCUAUUGAAAGUAGUGUGUAUUUUUGCAUGUCUAGGAAAGUUCUGUCAACAAAGGUGAUAAGAGUCUAAGGAUUCUGAUUUUUAAUUGGGACCGAGUUCCCGUCCAGUUUCCUGGGAACUUUCCUGGUGCAUUUAUUCACGCGAAAUUAACAUCAUAGAGACUGUUUUUUCAAGUGGAAAUAGUUCGUUGAGAAAAUGGUAGAAGGUGAAACUUCCAGAAUUGGGAAGAGAUCUACCGAGACUAUUUCAGGAGACACUUUAGGUGGGAGGCGAGAUUUGUAAAAUCGCUAUUCAGCACAUGUUAUAGGAGGCCAGAAGAUCGAUGUUAAAAAGUUUGAUGGGAAAAUCAACUUCGGCAUGUGGAGGCGCGAAGUUAUGGAUGCCCUUAUUCAAAUCGAUCUCGAUGUUGUUCUGAAAAAUAAAAGACACUUGUAUGAUGAAGAAAUUUGGGAUCGUAUGAAUGAAAAAGCAUGUGGUCAGAUCAGAUCUUGUUUGACCAAGGAGGUGAAAUACUUGGUGAAAGAUGAGGAGUGUGCGGUGACUUUAUGACGUACAUUGGAGGAGAAGUACCUGGUGAAAAGUCCUGAAAAUCGCCUUCAUGCAAUGAGCCAAGUAUAUGGUUUUCGAAUGAAGCCUGGGGUGUCAAUGCAUGAUCAUGUUUCAAGAUUUGAAAAGUUACUUGCUGAUUUGAAGAAUCUUGAUGAAGAUAUUAAGGAUGAAGUCAAGGCUAUGAUUCCGUUACACUCACUACCAGAGGAAUAUAGCCAUUUUGUGACUACUUUGAUAUAUGGGAAGAGUGUGAUCGUCUUUAAAGAUGUUUGCACAACAUUGACUAGCUUAGAGAUUCAGAAUAAUGAUAAAAAUUUUGAACGAGCAUCGUCUGAAGCUUUGGUGAGCAGAGAUUGGGCGAUGGAGAAACAGAAGAAGCGUGGUGGAAAGAAUUCUCGAUCCAAAUCGAGAAGCAGAAAUAUAGCUCGAGAUGAGUAUGCCUUUUGUCAUGAAAAAGGCCAUUGGAGGAAAGAUUGUCCAAAGGCUCAAAAGAGAGAUGGGAAGAAACCAGCAGUAGCAAACAUGGCACGGAAAGAUGAGGGCUCUGAUUAUUCACUAAGUAUUACUCCUGCAGCAUACGUGGCUAGUUCGAGUGAGUGGAUACUUGAUACUAGAGUAACCUAUCAUUUGUGUCCUAUUAAGGAAUGGUUUACGGAUUUUCGUAAUCUGGAAUCCGGUGCAAUUGUGAUGGGGAAUGAUCAACCUUGUCGUACAAUGGGGAUAUGAACAAUUCGGCUCAAAAUGUUUGAUGGAAUGGUCAGAGAACUCAAAGAGGUUAGAUUUGUUCCAGCUUUAAAGAAAAAUCUAAUUUCUGUGGGUGCUUUGGAAGCUAAAGGCUACAAGGUUACCAUUGAAGAUGGUAUAAUGAAGUUUAUACAUGAGGCUAUGGUGAUUCUGCAAGGGGUUCGGCGUCACAAUCUGUACUAUUUGAAGGGAGGUACAACUGAUGAAGCAAAUGGUGUUGAGGCGUACAGUGACACCACCAAGCUAUGGCAUGUACGACUGGGACAUGCUAGAGAGAAGUCUUUACAAACUCUGAUGAGGCAUGGACUCUUAAAAGGUACCAAAACCUGUAAAUUAAAUUUCUGUGAGCAUUGUAUAGUAGGCAAGAAAACAAGGGUCAAGUUUGGUACAGCUAAUCACGAUACUCGUGAGAUCCUUGAAUAUGUUCAUAGUGAUGUAUGGGGACCAACCAAGACUGCAUCAAUUGGUGGAAGCCAUUAUUUUGUUACAUUUGUUGAUGAUUUCUCUAGACGUGUGUGGGUGUACACCAUGCGAGCAUACUCCGCAACAGAACGGUGUGGCUGAGCGUAUGAAUCGUACUUUACUGGAGAAAGUAUGGUGUAUGUUAUCUAAUGUUGGUUUAGAUAAAAAGUUUUGGGCUGAAGCUGUGAGCUACACAAGUCACUUGGUAAACCGGUUGCCUUCUGCUGCAAUUGGAGGUAAAACUCCUAUGGAAAUGUGGUCUGGAAAACAUGCACAAGACUAUGAUUCCCUUCGUAUAUUCGGGUGUCUAGCUUAUUAUCAUGUCAAAGAUGGUAAACUGGAUCCUCGUGCUAGAAUAGCUAUCUUUAUGGGAUUCAAAGGUGGAGUAAAGGGCUUCAAGCUUUGGGAUCUCGAAGAUAAAAAGUUUGUGUGUAGCAGAGAUGUCACAUUUGAUGAAGCUUCAAUGAUGAAAGCUUCAAGUUCUCAGCAGGUGGAGAACAAGACCAAAGAGGUAUUGCAGCGGGUGGAGUUUGAUGCAACUCCAUUUGUACCAGUUAGUUCUACAUCAAAGAAUAGUUCAACUAUGGAGGUAACACCUAGAAUUGAAGAAGAGGUUGUUUCUUCUGAUGUCCUACAAAAUGAAGAAACAAUUGAUGAUGUAGAUAAUGAUGAUUUUAUAGCAACAAGGAGGCCAAGAAGAGAGAUAAAGAAACCCGGAUGACUUACUAAAGAUAUGGUGGUAGCCUAUGCACUUCCAGUUAUUGAUGAUGACAUCCCCAACACUUUCGGUGAAGCAUUACGCAGCAGUGAAAGUGAUCAGUGGGAGUUAGCCAUGGAGGAAGAGAUGAAAUCUCUCCAUUAAAACCAGACUUGGGAACUUGUAAAGUUACCAAAAGGGAAAAGGGCUAUUGGUAAUAAAUGGGUCUACACCAAAAAGCAAGGAUCUCCGAAUCAAUAAACUCCUCGAUACAAGGCAAGGCUCGUGGCAAAGGGUUUUGCUCAAAAGGAAGGUAUUGACUACAAUGAAAUUUUCUCUCCAGUUGUAAAACAUACUUCCAUUCUCAUCCAACUUGCCUUAGUUGCAGAAUAUGAGUUAGAGUUGGCUCAGUUGGAUGUUAAGACGACGUUCUUACAUGGAGAUUUGGAGGAAGAAAUCUAUAUGAUUCACCCUUGUGGUUUCAAAGUUGCUGGAAAAGAGAAUCAGGUGUGUAGGUUGAUUAAAUCUUUGUACGGACUGAAGCAAUCGCCAAGGCAGUGGUACAAUAGAUUUGAUCAAUUUAUACAAGGGCAGAAAUUUACCAGAAGUGAACACGAUCAUUGUGUUUACUUUAGAAGACUACCAGAUGGAGCUUUUAUCUAUUUGUUACUCUAUGUCGAUGAUAUGCUUAUAGCUUCGAAGAAUAGAGAUGAGAUCGAAAGAUUAAAGAAGCAGCUGGCUUCAGAGUUCGAGAUGAAAGACUUGGGUGAUGUACAGAGAAUACUUGGGAUGAAGAUUCGUAGAGACAAGAAGAAUGGGAGCGUAUGGUUGACUCAAAAGUCUUAUUUGAAGAAAGUGCUAGAAAGAUUCGGUAUGGAUGACAAAACUAAACCGGUAUGUACACCUUUAGCUCCUCAUUUCAAAUUAAGCUCCUCAUUUCAAAUUAAGCUCUUCUUCAUGUCCUAGAUCUCAAGAGGAGCGCGAUUACAUGGCUCGUGUUCCAUAUGCUAGUACUGUGGGUAGUCUUAUGUAUACUAUGGUAUGCACAAGGCCCGAUAUAUCUCAAGCAGUGAGCAUGAUUAGUAGAUACAUGCACAAUCCGGGUAAAAAUCAAUGGCUUGCGGUAAAGUGGAUUCUCCGAUAUCUGUAUAGGACAAUUGAUGUUGGGUUAUUGUUCAAGAAAGAUUGUGGUCAACAAUGUGUUGGGUAUUGUGAUUCUGAUUUCGCUGGAGACCUUGACAAGCGAAGAUCAACAACAGGCUACGUAUUCACAUUGGGUGGAGGUCCGGUUAGCUGGAGGUCGAUUCUACAAUCGACAAUUGCUCUGUCCACUACAGAAGCAGAGUAUAUGGCAGCAACUGAAGCUGUAAAAGAAGCUAUCUGGUUGAAAGGCUUGUUAGGUAAUUUGGGAGUAAUCCAGGAGAACAUUGCGGUCUUUUGUGAUAAUCAAAGUGCGAUAUUCCUUGCGAAGAAUCAAACAUAUCAUGCUCGGACGAAGCACAUAGAUAUGAAAUAUCAUUAUGUGAGAGAGAUUAUCGAGAGCGGUGUUGUGUUGUUGAGAAAGAUCGAUACCAAAGAUAAUCCAUCAGAUAUGUUGACGAAGGUAGUUUCUGGAGUUAAGUUUCAACAUUGCUUGAAAUUAAUUCAAAUCCUUCGAUUGUGUUAAGAUAUGUCCUUCGGGAAUUAUGAACUACGGUUGGCUUGAUCCCAAAUUUUAGGUACGUAGGUAGUCGAAUCGACAUAGCCAUUCUGGAUCCUUAUUGAAGGACCACUUUGGGGAUGAUGGUUCGUUAAUAGUCGGCUCAGAUUUGUCUAAAUCUUCGCCGAGGUGGAGAAUUGUUGAAAAGUCAGCAAUCAAAGCCAACUUUUCAAAAAGGAAACACACAGCUAGCAUGCAAGCUUUGGAGAAAAUACAAAGUUGGCACCGGCCCUUGACAAUUAAUUGGCAAGUUGAUGGAGGAGCCACAUGCAUUUCUUUUGUUUUUCAAGUCGGCGCCAAAUUGCAGGACUUUUGCCAACUACUUGAAGAAUUUUUUCAGUGAAGCUCAACUAUAAAUAGAGCUUCAUUCAGAGAGAAAUAUGAAUCCCAAAAUUGUUAAGCUUAUAAGUUUCUAAGCUUUUGAGAGAAGUGAGAGAAGUGUGUCUGGGGAAUUUAUUUUUCUUGCAGAGUGUGAGAGUACUGGGUAUAUUUGGGUUUCUGGGAAGUGAGAUUAGUUACUCAAAUAUUGUACUCUAUUAAUUGUUAAAUAAACAAUUAUUCUUUCUUGCCUCCGUGGAUGUAGAUUUAAUUACCGAACCACGUAAUUCUUGUGUCCUUUAUUUUUCUAUAAUUAUUUGGUGCACUUGAUUCCGCAUUCCGCGCACAACACUUUCCUAAGUUGAUCUUCAUGUGUUAGAUCGAAGAGGUCACUUGCAGUGAUGUUCUUUUUCUCGUCGCGGUGCAUGACAAAAUGGCGAGGCAUUAUCUCUUUUACACGCUGCAUACACACACACACAUAUAUAAUGCAUGGAGUCCAUCCGAAAAUAUAAUAUUAGAGUAUGCUUUUAUUGAUAAAAACACAAUGAAUAAAUUAAAUGUACUUAGGGGACAAAAUUAAAUAUUAUCAAAGGGCUGACCUCGAACCACUGUAACUCCUCCUGAAAUUGGAGAACAGGACCAGAGCGGGUUCCUUGCUUAUAAUGUUUCAUGUCUGCGACAUUGUGCAAUAACGUAUAGCCAUAUUUGUCAAUUUCUGCAGCCCAUUUGGGCACAUACAGUUGCAUUUCCUUCAUGAUGAAUUCAAAGACCUUAUGUUGACGGCGCUCUACGGCCACAUGUAAUAUAUUCUGCUCUGUCAGCUCAUUCACGUUAGAUAAUAGUGCUUGAGGAUCUUGUUGGAGCAUCUCCUGCAUAAUUUCUGUUAUUCCGUUGCUAGCUGCAAAGUGUAAUGUCCUAUCGUCUGUUGUGGCGUUUUUACCAUCCUCAACUGCGUCGUUAGUGCCAUCUUUUAUCCUCAGCACCUCGAUCAAUUCUUCAGCUGAAAAAUCAACAAGUUUUUUUCCCAAGAUGUCACUUCCUUUGCCGAAUCCCAAGCAAAUUGUGAAAAUUUCUUCUUUCGUUGUCCCCGAAAUAUCUCGUUUCCUUGUUUCGGAAAUUCCUUGUUUCCUUGUUUCGGAAAUUUCUUGUUCCGUUGUUUCAGCCUUUUGGGGAUUAGAGUAAGGGUUCAACCUUUCUAUUUCAACCAGCCUUUUGACAAGGGCAACCGCAUCUUCAUGCAUUUUCUUUUCCUUCCAGAUUUCCUCAAUCCAUGAACAUCCUGGCGAUGCAUGCAUCAACAUCUUAUUAAUUUAUGAACAAAUUUAUGCACGCAAACGGCAAAACCGUUCAUCAAAUGAAUUGAAGUUAUUAGACAUUUCCCCCGUACUUCUAAUGUGUCUCAUUUCCCCUGUACAAAUAUACCAAUUACGAUCCAGAGUCGUAAGCGUAGGGGGUUAUGACUUAUAACCGUAGCUAAAGCCUAAAGCUGUUAGUUCGGGUUUUGAUUUUUGAAUUUAUAGAGUUAUAAUGAUUAAUGAAACCGCUAUACUAUGGUUAACAAAUUAAGGCUGCUCUUUCACCAUUACCUCGCCUCUUCUUUGUGUGGCCGCUGCGAUUGUCAAUCUUAUCAGUCUCUAUAUCUUCUUUAUAAUUGUAGUCGUCAUCCAGACACGUUGGAAGACCUGCAAUUAGAACUACAAUUGAAUUUAACAAUAUAUAUUCUAAGUUCUGAUAAUGCAACAAAACACUUUUUUUUUUAAUUUAUGCUUAAAUACAAAUUAACUAAAAUGUUUCUCCUAAUCCAUUUUUUUAUGUUCCCAUCGUAGCCGCAUGCACCCAUAUCCAAACCUGACAUCAAACAAUGUAUCCACGUACGAUAAUGGAAAGGACUCUUCAUUUCCUUCAUGUCAUCCGCACUCUUGAAAGCAGCUGGCAUUAGAGCUAGUAGUUCAAGACAUGUAAAGCUCUUAAGCUUGUCGGACGUGGACGAGAGCUCGUCGGACUUCAGCGUUGCACAUUUUUCUACAACUGUUGCACGUUUUUCUGCAAGGCUUGAGUCGUGGUUAAGUAACCAAAUAGCCGUCUCUGUACGUAGUCGAGAAAAUUAAUUAAUCAGUUAAGAAAAUAAUAAUAAAUUUUUUAACCCUUGAUCUAUAAACGCAUGAAUUAAUUGGAGAUUUAAUUAUUAUAUAUUACCGAAGUGUUGGCCGAGGACAGCCAUAUGAAGAAUUGUCAUAUCAUCUUUUUCUCUUUGGAAAUGAUAACUUGAGUCACAAAAUUGCUCAGUCAAGAUUUGCAGCACUUUAGUUUUCCCAAGAGCGGCAGCCCUAUAAACUGGAGUUUCCCCCCAACCGUUACGAACCCUGAGUAGAUUUUCGUGCGCAUCAACAGACUUUCUGGAAAAGUCAACCAAAACCCUGGCCACGGCGAAAUCUUCGACGACGGCCGCUUCGUGAAGACCAUUGUUUCCAAACGCAUCUGUUUGCUUCAAGGCUUCAAGUCUGGUAUCUGGUGUUAACCUUUCGAGAAAUUGCUGGAUCAGCUGAGGGUCUUCCAUGGCCUCUGCAAUGUGAAAUGCGGAGUCUCCAUUGGCUGUCCUGUAAUCCAACAACUCUUUAGCAGGCCUACCAGCAAAGUAAUGCAAGAAGCCUCGGCAGUCUCCCUUCAAGGCCAUUCCAACAGGAUCUCCCAUCGCCCUCUCUCUGUCUCUCACACACUUGUAUAAUUGAUACAUUGAACAAGCUAUACGUGUUCUUCGAUAUCCAUAUAAUUAAUUACUUCCAUCGCCGUCCCUUAUAUAGAAGUUCCAAACGAAGUUGGCAUAACUUUGCCUAUUUUACUAAUAAAGCUCAAGCAUUAUAAGAAAAAAAUAAAGUUCUAAAGUAACAAAACGGAAAAGAUGAUAAAAGAACAAAGUUCUGAAAAGAGAAGUGAUUUGACACCGGACACAAUAGAUGAGAAAGCACAACGUCACACACCCAAGAAAUCACAAGCUCAUCACCACAGCAAACAACAAAAGGAUACAAAAAAAUAUUCACCACCUAAAGUUGUUAAACUAAGGAUACAGAACUUAAAACACUCACCACUCAAUGGAAUCCACCAAAGAGAUACAGAGUUUGAUAAUAGCUCAAAGUUCAUUCAAUUUCCAAAAUUAAUAUCUAUCCUUUGGUUACAACUACAUAAGCUUAAAUAACUUUCUUAGAACAAUCCUCCAAGCAUAGAUAUACUACAAAGAAACCCUUCAAAUAACUUGACUUCAAAUACCAACAUUAAAGCUAGACAUUAAUAAAACAUUGGUAUGCUUAAAACACAGCAAAGAGCAUUAAAAAAAAUCCAAGUCCCGAAAUAUUCUUCUUGACUCAAAACUGAACAGUCUGCACUUAACUGAUCAUAAUUUACUGUAGAAAACUCCAAAUUUAGAUUAGUAAAAUUCAUUGGAAAGCUAACAGAAAUAUCUUUCCAAUGAUGUAUGGAUCGAAAAUUAAUUCGAUCUCAUGCAGUACAGUUUAAUUCCCAAAGAUGCCCCUUCUGCACAGAAAUUCUGCUCACUUGAUUAAUGUAAGAACUUGAGCUACACUUGGUAUAAUUUGAUUACCAAAUAUUUCAAACACUCAUGUGUUAUGAUUAUUGAUGAAAAUUUGUUUACAUUGUACGGUAUUGUUCCCUUAAAUUCAUAGAAUGUGAAGUUACCAAAAGAGCAAAGUUAAAAAUAAAAUAAAAUAAUUAUGUUUGAGAUAAAAGAGAAAAAGAAUAAGAAAAAGAAAACGCAUGCAAUUAAAAAUGAUAUUUUUUGUUGAUUCAAGAGGCCAAUCACCUCUGAAAUGAAAUUAACUUUUGUCUUUCUAUGUGUUUGGGAACGAUAUAUUAUAUAUGCAAAAACGAACAGUUGUAUCUAAAAUUACAUUUGGGAAAGUAUAAAGAUCACGUUCCACGUCAUAACGUUCGUUAACAAAUGAUGUCAAUAAAAAGAAUAGAAUAUAUAAAUUAUUUCCAGGCUCAAGUUACAGCUCCGAGAAGGUGUAUGGUCCAUGUUGUACAUCAUAAGGUUUGUUAAUCAAUGGUGUCAGAAAAAUAGAGUAGAAUAUAUAUAAUUUAUUUCCACAACUUAAUUUUGUCUCCAUGCUUUUUCCGCGUAUAUAUAUAAAAAGAGUGGGAGAGAUCCUAACCCUUACUUUAAUAACAUGGUGAUUAUUGUAAACGCGAUUGUGCUUUGACUAGACUAAGUGCCUGUUUGGUAUGGCUUAUUUAAGAGCCAUAAGUGCUUAUUUAAUCGUAUAAGUACUUUUUAAAAUUUUUUAUGGUGUUUGGUUAUUUUUUUAGUAGAGUUUUUUUAGCUUAAAUAAGCUAAUUUACCUCUACUAACAAAAGCCCAAAAUUUGAGCUUUUGGGAGUAGAGGUUAUAGAGCUUUUCUAAAAAUAUCUAAUAUAAAAAAUAUCACACAAUUUAAUGGUUCAAAAGUACUUUUUUUAUUGACAACCAAACACCCAAUGACUUUUUGUCCAAAAGCUCUAUUGGUAUAAGCUCUAGUGCUAUAAGCUCUACUGUUAUAAGCUCUAUUUAAUAAGCUGUACCAAACGGAGCCUAAAGCCUUUUGCUAUUCUACAUGUUAUCAUUAUUUCUCGUCAUGGAAACUAAAGUUGGUUGGUGUCAUGGAAACCAAAGUUGGUUGGUGUGAGUGGUUCGGCACUCUCACUCCUUAAGAGAGGUCAGGGGUUCAAGCCCCGUUCUCGUAUGGAGUCACCACUUUGGCCAGCACUUUAUCCCUUAUGGGUCGACCCGGUGCGAGCGGGGAUUAGUCUGGGUUGUGGUACGGGCUUAAAGGUGCCUCCCACAGUUGGGGCCCACUCAGGACCACCUCGUGGUUCAGACAAAAAAAAAAAAUUAUUUCUCAUCAUGGAGUGGCAGACAAUCAAUAAAAAAUAAAUAAAAAUGUAAAAAUAUUUGGAAAGUUUAAAACUUAUGAUAGAAUUUGGCCUUAUUUUUUAUAGAUGUGUUGUGAAAAUCAACUGUAUACUAUAUUGUAAAUAUAGCUUUGGAAAAAUAUCUUUAUAGACUUUUAUCAUACAACUAUAGAAUAAAAUUAACUUAACUUCCAAACCAUAAUAGUAAUUAUUUAUUAAAUACUUUAUUGAUCUAUUUUAAAAGCUUCCACUGCUCAAUUACAAUACCAAACAAGAUGUUGAUCUAAGUUGGUUCCAACCACAAUACCAAAUAGGGACUUACAUUCUAUCAGUUAAGUCAUUAAGUUUAUUUGUUUUUUUAACUUAUUACAAAUUUUCAAUCAUUAAGCUAUUAAGCCAAUUUUCUUAGCUUCUUAUUUAAUCUAAAAGGUCUGAAUAAUGUUAUUAAAGAUAUUAUUUAAAAUAUUCCUAUCCAACUAAUUUAUUUUCAUCUUUACCUAAAUAAAACUUACUAAUUAGCAUACUAUUCAUCUUUAUAACUUGGGAGAAUAUCGUAUAUUUUUUAUUUUCUUCAAAUUAGCAUUAUCUAUUUUCAUAAUUUUUUAUGAGUAUUUUUUAUAUGAAACACCAUAAAGUGCAAUAGAAUUGAUUCACACGUUCUAAUUUAGAAUAUUAAAGGGUUGUAUUCACUUGAACAUGAUUCAUGUUAUGAUAGAAUAAGAUCAUAUUUUUGUUCAAUGAGAUUUUAUUAUUUAUUUGACAUUUGAAAUUUAUGAGCGUACAAAUGUAAAAGUAUUGGUUUUUAGAUUUUUAAGUUGAAAAAAAUAAUUGUUGUUCAAAAAUUCAUAUUAAAAAAAUAUGUUAUUUGGAUUUAAGUGUUCAGCUCCAUUUAAAAUUCAGACUAACUUGGGUCUACUCAAAUUUUAAAUAAAAAAACAAAUGUCACCUAAGUAAAUCUAUGAUGAUACAAGCAUAUUAGUAUUUAAAAAAAAAAUCAGCAUCUUCUUUUUUCAAAUAUUACACAAUAUAAAUUAAGCUUCAUAGAAUGCGAGUGUGAAUGGAAUUUAAAGCAUAUGGCCAUUCUUCCGUAGCUGUCCUUAUCUCAUCCAUAAGUGCCAUCUUUGUCUCUCACGUAGUCACUGUAUAAUUGAGACACAAAACAAGCUAUACGUGUUCUUCGAUAUCCUUAAUUUUACUUCUCUUAAUAUAUAUGAAGUAGGUUUGAUGCAUCCUUCCACAAAUUCUCUAAACAAAGUUGGCAUCAUUAUAAGAAUAAAAUAAAGUUAAAGUAUGUCGGGUCAGGGAAAAGAAUAGAAUAAAUUAUUUAAUUUUCCAAACAACUUCAGUCUUUCCGCGAACAUAAUAAUCACAUUUAAUCUACCGUGUUCUUCGAUAUCCUUAAUUUUACUUGUCUUAAUAUACAUGAGGUAGGUGUUUAACAAAAAAAUAUAUAUUUAUGUAUGAAGUAGGUUUGAUGCAUUCUUCUACAAAUUCUCUAAACGAAGUUUGUUAUAAUUAUAAGAAAAAAAUAAAGUUAAGUCUUUUGGGUCAGGAAAAAGAACAGAAUAAAUUAUUUAAUUUCCAAACAACUUUUGUCUUUCCGCGAAUAUAAUAAUCAAAUUUAUUCUACCGCUUUUGUCUCCAUUGCUUAAUUUAUCCGCGAAUAUAAUAAUCUCCAUUUUAUUUAAGUAAAGGCGAUUGUACAGUAGGCGGACUAAUUAGAUUACAGUAAAGUAUCGAUUUCCCUUUCUAGCCUUUCGGAUUUAUAAGAUCAAUUCGAUGGUGUUCGGGUUUUCUCGAAGAUAGACAUGCAGAGUGGGUAUUAUCAGAUCAAAAUUCGGCCAGGUAAUAAGUGAAAUCGAAGUUUAAGAAAAAGAAAGAGUUGUAUGAAUGGUUUAUUAUGCCAUUCCGAUUAUCAAACACCCCUAGUACUUUUAUGUGUUUGAUAAAUCAGGUUCUGAAACCAUUUUCCUGCAAAUUUAUUAUGGUGUAUUUUGAUGAUAUUUUAGUUUAUUCUAUUAAUGUGGUGACGCACCUACAACAUUCAAGAAUGGUUGUGGAGGUGCUGGGAAAAAAUAAACGUUACAUUAAUCGGAAAAAGUGUAGUUUUUUGUAGAGUAAUAUAAAGUUUUGGGUUUUAUAGUUGGAGUAGAUGGGAUUCAAGUUGUUGAGUUGAAAAUACAAGCCAUUAGAGAAUGACCUAUGCCUAAGACUGUAGGUGAAGUUUGGAGUUUUCAUGGACUGGCAACAUUUUAUAGGAGAUCCAUUCAUGAUUUUAGCAUUGUAGCUGCAUCUAUUAUCGAGUGCUUGGAGGAAAUGAAGUUCAAGUGGGAAGAAGAGCAAAAAGCGAGUUUUGCUUUACUAAAGGAGAAUUUAUCCUUGGCCCCUGUGUUAACCUUGCCAAACACAGAUAGAUUGUUUGAGGUCGACUGUGAUACUUAUGGUAAGGGAAUUGAUGCUAUUCUUUCUUAAGAAAGACGAGUAAGAUGCAUGUGAGAUAAAUGAGUUAUAUGUAGAAGUUUACUUUUGUUGUGAAGCAUAAAUCUAGGCAGCAAAACAAAGUGGCAGAUGCAUUUAGUAUACGAGCAACUUUACUAGUGACUUUUAUCAAUGAAGCUACUGGUUUUGAGUGGUUGAAGGAGUUAUAUGUUGAAAAUGACAACUUUGCAGACGAUUUCCUUAUUCAAAAUGGGUAUUUGUUCAAAGCUAUUCAAUUAUGCAUGCUCUAAAGUUCUUUAAGAGAGGAGAUUAUCUGUGAGUUGUAGGGAGAAAGACUGGGUAGACAUCUUGGUCGAGAUAAGACUUGGGCGCUUAUGACGGAUCGAUAUUAUUGGCCACAAUUGAAUAGAGAUGUGCAUAAGAUUGUGCAGAGGUGUCAGAUUUGCCAAGAGGGCAAGGGACAUCUGCAAAACACAUGAUUAUACAUGCCAUUACUUAUUCUAGAAAAUAUUUUAUUGGAUUUGUCCAUGGAUUUCAUGUUAGGAUUGUCGUGCACAAUGAUGGGUCAAGAUUCUAUAUUGGUUGUAGUGGAUAGGUUUUCAAAAACGGUGCAUUUUAUUGCUUGUAAAAAGACAUAAGAUUCUACUUCAAUUGCGCAUUUUUUCUUUCAAGAAAUGGUACGUGUGCGUGGUAUUUCAAACACUAUAACUACCAAUAGGGAUGUGAAGUUCAUAGUAAGUUUUGGCAUCAUCUCUGAGAUAAGUUUAGUACACAGUUGCUGUUUAGUAGUGCUUUUCAUCUGCUUAUAUGUUGCAGCUACCAGAUAGCUGGAAUAUCUAUCACACAUUCAAAGUUGCUCAUCUGUUCGAAUAUCAUCUUGAUGACAAAGUGUUGUACGAGCCAAAUUUGAGGACAAGUUCUUUUCAAGUGAAAGGGAUUGAUGUAGAAUGGUUGCGUGUCGUGAACAAGUUACCUUUUGGAGGGCAUAACUUAGGCUAAAGAUGUUCGUUUGGGGUUUAUAAUAUACAUUUUGAAACUUGCAGCAAGAUAAAUCAAACCUAAAACUGUUGCACCAUUCUAGGCUAUGCUCAAGCCCGAAAUUUCGUUUCUUUCUUGGUCAUUUUUAAGUUUUAAGAUUUUUUUAUUUUUCUUGUUUCUUCUAGGAUUUUUAUCUUUUUUUUUAUAAGUUAGAUUUGGACACCAUUUUUUUAGAUUUCUUAUUUCGAUUUGGAGAAUUUUAUUAUACAAUAAUAUUUUGGAUUUGUCUAUUUUGCUAAAUUCACAAUAUUUAGGCUUAUUAUAAAAGGAGCUCAAAAUCCUAAUUUUAUUAAUUUAGACUUUUCAAUAAAAAUUAUCAUUAUUCGGGAACCUAGUUUCUUCUAACAACAAACCUUUUAAUGUUUCCGUUUGUCAAAAAGAAUGCAAACGAAUAGCAAUACAUGCGUACGUCCACCCGCUUGUUGUGCGCUAAAUACUCUAUUACUGCUACGAUAUUGUUCGUCAUUGGCCUUGUUCCAACUUCUUCUUGCAAACACAUAUCGUUGUUGCAGCCCGCAGCAAGUUCUUUGUUCAACAUUUUAUAGGGUAGUUUCGUUCUAUAGCUUGCAAUGGUAAUAUGGGAACUAUAGCUAGCAAUUGUAAUAUGGGAACUGACUUAGAAUACAAAUGGCCAACAACUUAAAUGACGAUUGAUUUCAUACUUUUAUAUUAUUGAAUCUUUUGUAUAAUAAAAUUAGGCCUUGGAGCCAAUUGAAAUAAAAAGAGAGUGAAUUAUUAUUCUUCUUUCAUUUGUUUUUUUAAAUUUGUCAGAUCAAGCUGAAUUUUCUACUUUCUUGAUCACUAAUACUUUAGACAAUGGCUUUUGAUCUGAACAUGUUGGUUUUAGUGUUAGGAAAUUGAUGGGUGAAGCAGACACGCAGCUAAAGUGAAGUUGGAAGAAAAUAAAGAACAAGCACAAUAGAGGACACCAGAAAUUAUGUGGUUCGGCUUUUAGGCUACGUCCACGGGCGAAAACAGAAGAAAUAUAUUAUACUAGUGAAAAGGAGUUACAAAUAUUGUAGUAUUUUAGUUCACUACCCAAAACCCCAAUACAUCCAAACUCUCAAAUCACUAAACACUUAAGAGUUUAUUAAACUCUUAAUACUCUCAACUCUAAAGGAAGGCAAUGUUUCUCUCUUGAUGGAAUUGGAUACAAGCUCUAGAUUGAGAGGUUGUAUUUAUAGGCAAAACUUUGCCUCAAAAGUCAAACAAGUGGCCAUAAACUUCAAGCCAUACAGCUCAAAAAUUUCAAACUUUGAAUUUUUAGCUUUGAAUUUUUCUUUUCUUUUCUUUAAACUGUCUAGAUGCUGCAGCCAAUUUUGACAUUCUCCCACUUGGAGAUUAGAUUAAAAAUCAAUCAAUCUCCACACCAUCCUUUCUGCUUCGCCAUAAUCAUGUUGCCUACGUUUCUGCUAGGCCACGAGAGGAUCUACUCCAGAUAAACUUGUCAGCAUUUAUCGGUUUGGUCAAAACAUCUGCUAGGUUCUCUUUGGUAUGGAAUUUCUAAAAAUCCACACUUCCGUCUUCCACUACUUCUCGAACGAAGUGAUACUGAACUCCUAUGUGCUUUGUCCUGGAAUGAAAGACUGGAUUCCUUGCAAUGUGUAAGGCACUCUGACUGUCACAAAAUACAGGAAUUUUCUGUUGUUUGUGCCCGAACUCCUCCAAUAAUCUUUGUAUCCAAAUAGCUUCCUUACAAGCUUGUGUAGCUGCCAUGUAUUCUGCUUCUAUUGUAGAUAAAGCCACAACGGUCUGCAGUUUAAAAACUCAGCUUACAGCUGCUCCCGCAAGUGUAAACACAUAGCCAGUAGUGGAUUUUCUUUUAUCAAGAUCUCCUGCAAAAUCUGAAUCCACAUAGCCCCUGACAAUAAACUCUGAUCCUCCAUAAUAUAAUGCAACAUUUGAGGUUCCUCUGAUGUAUCUCAGAAUCCUCUUCACAGCUAUCCAAUGCUCUCCACCAGGAUUCGCCAUGUAUCGACUGAUUGCUCCCACUACUUGUGUAAUGUCUGGCCUAGUAUAUAUCAUAACGAACAUCAAACUUCCCACUGCUGAUGCAUACGGUACUCGAGACAUCUCAUUACUCCGUUUUAUUGCUAGGACACAUACUUGAGGAUAAUUUGAAAUUAACAGGAAGUGGGGUAGAGAUUGACUUACAAUCUUACAUGUUGAAGUGCCGUAAGAUUUUCUUCAAGUAAUUCUUCUGUGAAAGCCAAAUCUUCCUGUUAUUUCUGUCUCGGUGAAUUUGCAUCCCUAGAAUCUUGUUUGCUGGUCCCAAGUCCUUCAUUUCAAACUCCCUAGCCAACUAUGCCUUCAAUUCUUGGACUCGAUCUUUGUUGGGGCCUGCUACCAACAUGUCAUCCACAUACAACAGCAAAAUAAUGAAAUCAUUAUUUUCAAACCUCUUGUAAUAUGCACAAUGGUCUGAACUGAGUCUGUUGUAUUCAAGGCUCAUAAUGAAGAAAUCAAAUCUCUUAUACCAACACUUCGGCGCCUGUUUGAGACCGUAUAGAGAUUUGUUUAACCUGCAAACCAAGUUUUCCUUUCCUGUUUCUGCAAAACCUUCUAGUUGGAGCAUAUAUAAUUCUUCCUCAAGUUCUCCAUGAAGAAAUUCAGUUUUCACAUCCAACUACUCAAGAUGUAAGUCAAAUGUAGUACACAUUGCCAAGACUAUUCUGACUGUAGUGAGUUGAACCACCGGUGAAAAUAUCUCGUUGAAGUCAAUACUUUUUUUCUGAGCAUAUCCUUUCACCACCAAUCUCACACGAUACCGCUCCACUUGGUCAUUGCCAUCACGUUUGAUCUUGUAGGCCCAUUUGUUUCCAAUGACUUUUCUUCCACGUGGAAGUAGUACAAGUUCCUAUGUCUUGUUCUUGUGUAGAGCUUAAAUUUCUUCCUGCAUUGCUGUCAUCCACAAAGCAACAUCUGAGCUUUCUAAAGUUUCUUGGAAAGUUGAUAGCUCUUCAUCCUCUAUUAGAAGAUAGUACGCAACAUUGAUCUCUGUGACAUACUCCGAGUGCCACGCCGGCGGUCGUCUCUCACGAGUUGACCGACGAGCUUCUGGAGCCUCAGACUCGACUGGUUCUUGUUCUUCGUGCUCUGGUGCUGCUUCCGAAGAAUUUGAAUCUUCUAGAUUAUUUUUCACAUAUACUAGCACAGUCUCUGACUUUUCUUUUGCAGUGCCAUCAUCCUCAUCUCUCCUUUGCAGUUGAUCUUCUACAAAGAUAACAUUUCUACUGAUGACGAUCUUGUGGGCAGUGGGGUCCCACAGACGAUACCCCUUUACUCCAUCAGCAUACCCCAAAAAGGUACAUUUUGUAGAUUUUGGAUCCACCUUUGUUCUUUCUUGGGCAUUGUAUAUCACGUACACAGGACAUCUAAAUGCAUGUAGGUAGGAAUAAUCAGCUGGCUUUCCAGUCUACAUCUCCAUCGCUGUCUUCAGGCCAAUAGCUGUAGAUGGCGACUGAUUUAUUAUAUAACAAGCAGUUUUGGCUGCUUCUACCCAGAAUAAAUUGGGUAGACUAGCAGUCCUCAACAUAGCUCUUAUUCUUUCUGUAAGAGUUCUAUUUAUCCGCUUCGCCACUCCGUUUUUUUGAGGAGUGUAUGCUACCAUGAACUGCCUCUGAAUACCUUCUUGCUUACAGAAAGUAAGAAACUUGCCGUCUGUAUACUCUCCACCAUUAUCCGUCCUCAAGCACUUGAUCAUUUUACCAUAUUCAAGUUCCACCCGCACUUUGUAUUAUUUAAACACUGGAAAUAAAUAUGACUUUUUCUUAAUUGGAUACACCCAACAUCUUCUGGAAUAAUUAUCAAUGAAAGUCACUAUGUACUUUGUACCUCCUAUGGAUAUAUUCUGUGAUUCCCAAACAACAGAAUGAAUCAAGUCUAGAAUGCAUUUACUUUUAGCAAUAGAUCUACUGAAUUUUAAUCUAUGCUGCUUACUUAUAACACAAUGCUCGCAAAAUGGUAAACUUACCGAUUUGAGCCUCUGAAGCAAUUUUCGUUCAAAGAGAAUUUUCAAACCUUGUUCUAACAGGUGGCCAAGUUUGAAAUGCCACAUCAUCGUUCACUCUUCUCUAUUUGAUGCGACACACGCAUCAGCCUCCUGUAGUGUUUCUCCUUUAAGCAUGAAUAGAUUAGGACCGAUCUUUUCUGCUUUCAUCAAUAUAAGUGCUCCUUUAACGAUCUUAAUAAUUCCAUUAUCCACAUGAGUUUUGUAACAAUGACUAUCUAUUUGUCCCAAAGACAAUAGAUUUUUCUUCAGGCCGUUGACAUGUCGUACCUCCCCAAUUGUGCGAAUUGUACCAUCAAACAUUUUUAUUUUGAUAGUACCAAUACCAGCGAUCUCCAAGGUAUGAUCAUCUCCCAUAUAUACAGAUCCUCCUGAGAUAGAUUCAUAUGUGUGGAACCAUUCUCUCCGAGAGGUCAUGUGCCAGGUAGCUCCUUAGUCUAUAAGCUAGACAUCAGAUAAUCGUUUUCUGCCUUCUGAAACAAUUGUUGCCUCGCUUUAGAGAAUUUCGCCAUCAUCCGAGGUACUUGCUACACAACCCUGAGCAUUUGAUGACUCAGGUUCUUUGCCCUCUUUUCUCUUCUGGUUACUCAAACACUCUUUCUUGACGUGCCCUUUCUUGCCACAGUUGUAGCAUUUAACAUUCUUCUUACUUUUGAAUUUUGAUAUACCAUGAUUUUGACACCCAUUAGGGCCACGUUUCGUUGAUCUCCCUCUCGUCACCGAUAGCGCCUCCGCUUGCUGCGAACUUGCUUGUCUGUUUUCCUUAUUUUUCCGCCUGCUCUCCUCAUUUAAUACGGAGGCUGCAACAUCGUCGAAAACUAGACUCUCCACUGGAUUGUUGUUCGUCAGGUUGAUGAUGAGUUGAUUAUACACAUCUGGUAGACUUUGAAGUAGAAGCUCUGCAUGUUCAUUUUCCUCUAUAUUAUGACCCAACGUUGUGAGUUGUGAAAAUAGAGUUUUCAAGGUGUUGAUGUGGUCGGUCACCAUUGUAGAUUCCGCCAUUCGAAGAGUAUAAAGUUUCUUCUUCAAGAAGAUUUUGUUGUGUAGUGACUUGGCAUCAUACAAUUUUGUGAGAGUAUCCCAUAUUUCUUUUGUUGUAUUUUUCUCUACCACAUUGGAUAAUACUCCAUCUGCAAGUGCCAAGUGUAGAUCAGAAAUGGCGUUGCCAUCUAUCUCGUUCCACCUGUCAUCAGUUAUCUCCAUGGGCCUUUCUCCAAUUGCUGCCAAGCAAUUAUUUUUCCUCAAUACAGCUUUCAUCUUCAUUUUCCACAACAAAAAAUUAUUUCCGUUAAACUUCUCAAUUCCAUACUUUGCCACCAUUUUGUUGAUAAAUACUGCACACAAGCUAGUGUACCACCCUGAAUAAUUGUGAGUAUGUGUAAGAAUGCACAUCGGGAAAGUUCCCAGGAAAGACUGGAGGGGUCACAAUGGUCCCACUUAAAACUCAGACUCCUUAAGCUCUUAUCGCCUUUGUGACAUAACUUUCCUAGACAUGUACAAAACCACAUAGUUGUUUUACUCACACCACUAUUCCCUACUUUGCACCGCAAAAUUCUUGGAUCACUCCCACCAUUUCACGUCAAUAGUACCGUAUACGUGAAUAUUAAUGUAUAUGUGAACAAUGCCGUAUAUGUGAAUAGUACCCCUGAUGUGAACAGUACCUGACUCCAAAAAAUACAAUCAAUAGCUCUGAUACCACUGUUAGGAAUUUGAUAGGUGAAGCAGACACGCAGCUAAAGUGAAAUUGGAAGAAAAUAAAGAACAAGCACAAUAGAGGACACCUGAAAUUACGUGUUUCGGCUUUUAACCUAUGUCCACGGGCGAAAAUAGAAGGAAAAUAUUAUACUAGUGAAAAGGAGUUACAAGUAUUGUAGUAUUUUAACUCACUACCCAAAACCCCAAUACACCCAAACUCUCAAAUCAUUAAACACUCAAGAGUUUAUUAAACUCUUAAUACUCUCAACUCUAAAGGAAGGCAAUGCUUCUCUCUCGAUGGAAUUGGAUACAAGCUCUGGAUUGAGAGCUUGUAUUUAUAGGCAAAACUUUGCAUCAAAAGUCAAACAAGUGGCCAUAAACUUCAUGCCAUACAGCUCAAAAAUUUCAAACUUUGAAUUUUUAGCUUUGAAUUUUUCUUUUCUUUUACCAAACAUUACAGCAUCUAGAAUUUCAAAGCAAAGUGCCAACCAUUUUGCUUCUUCAAACCUUCUAGAUGCUGCAACCAAUUUUGACAUUUAGUUGUCAAUAUAAUGCAAUGAACUUCAUUGUCGAUAAUGAAUAAAUAAAUUAUUUAGUAUUGAGAUAUAGCAUCUGUAACUUAAAAGCUAUAAUAACAAAGUGUUUGGUGAAUAUUAGUAGUUGUGUCUUGAAAGUUAAGAUGAUUUAACCCCAAAAUUGUAUGAUGAAAAAUUUAUUAUAUGUUUAUUAUUUUAUCAAAGUUAUUAUUUAAUAGUCAUAUUUAUUAUAUAUUAUUGACUUUUAUUUCAUAAUUAUAAUUUUUUUCAAUGGUUGCGGCUUUAAAGUUAUAAUAUUUCAACAUCAAAGGAGGCCUAAAUUUAUUAUACAUAUUCAUUAUUUAAUUUGAAAUACACAAUUGUACAUUUUUAUUAUUUUGUCACACCAAACCUAUCUAAACGACCAAAGCAAUACAAAUUGAACAGCCGAGGAAUGUAUUGCAUUAACAUUUGAUACACAUAUAUAUACUACAUGCAAAAGGAGUUCCAAUUAAUCAAUAAAACAAUUGUUGUACACAAGAAGUACAUAAAGGAGUACUCUUGGUAAUUGUGAUCAUGCUGAGCAGAAUUGAUCUUCUUGCCAAACAUUAUGUUUUGCAUUACAUGAUACGAAACACCUAAAGGAACUCGUAAGAACCAAAAAUAAAUAAAUAAAUAACAUCAAUUACAGAUACCUUACAUAUAAAAAUUGUCUUCAUAUCAUGCAUAUUAAUUAAUCCCAAUGUGUCUUCCUCUUCUUCUUUCGAGGAAAAAUGCCCAUAAAUUCCAAAUAAUAGACCUUCAAAUUAGCCACAAAUGCAGCAUAGAAAGGAAACUGCAUGAGUGCUAAAACAAUAACUGGAAAGAACGCCGCAGCGUAGAGAGUGGCAGUCCAUUUCUUCUCCAAACGAAUGAUGAGCAGAAUUGAAGCCGAGAAAGUAAUCAUGCUUGUUAGUACAGAGAAGAAGAGCAAAGUGAAGCCAAUCGUCAGCUUGCUUGGAAGUACGCUUAGGAAAUCAGAUGAAUCAAAUGACGACGUGAGGAUAGAGAGAAACAUCACAACGGAUGACAAAGAUAAGGCUAAGGAGACAACGUCCAUUACAGUAAAAACGUAGAAGAGUGGUGACUCAAGGAAAUGGGGAAACCCCUUAUCGUUGGUCCCUCCAGGCACCGUGAAGGCAGCUGUGAAGACGACGGUCGCGAUGAGGAUUGCCAGUGUGGAGCAUGACUGAGAGGUUUCUUUGAUCCAAUCUUGUGCUUUCCUAAGUUGAUCUUCAUGUUUUAGAUCGAAGAGGUCAUUUGCAGUCAUUCUCUUGUUUUUAUCACGGUGCAUGGCAUAAUGGGGAGGCGCUAUGUCUUUUACACGCUGCAUAUAAUGCAUGCACAGAUACAAUCAAAAAGAUAUAGUAUUAGAGGAUACUUUUAUUUGUAAAACCAUUUGACAAUGUCAUGACAUCAUUAUAAAACUUCAUCCCGACUUAAAUAAAACGGGGAUUUGUUAUAUAUGUAUAGGGUGAGUUUUCAAUAAAGGAACCUGAUCGUAUUAAAUUAGAGAUAAGAAUUAAAAAUUAAAGAACACUGAUUUUAAUUUAUUAUAGGAUAGAAAACAUUAUACUGUAGUAUUUUUUUUAAAUCUUUUAACUUAUCACUAAUUUUAAUGUAGUUAAGGAUCCUUGAUUAUAAUAUACAUACAUACAUGUGUGUGAAGUAGUUUUCUAGUUUGGGGUUCUGAAGUGCAGGAAAAAUUUAGGAAAGCUUUAAAACCAUGGGAUUUAAGAGACUUAAAAUUUAAAACGCUUAAACCGCACGGUUUAUGUUGUUUCAUAGAUUUUUUUUUCACUUUAAAAUUUCAAAUUGGAACAUGUUUACAUACAUACAUAGAUACAUACAUGUGUGUGUGUGUAUCAAAUUGGAACAUGUUUACAUACAUACAUACAUGUGUGUGUGUGUGUAGAGAGAGAGAGAGAGAGAGAGAGAGAGAGAGAAAUGUUCUAAUAUGGAAUUUUAAAGUGCGGGAUCGUCUGGAAAAACGCAUAAACUGUGCAGUUUAAGUAUUUUAAGUUUUAAACCUUUAAAACCCUGCGGUUUUAAAGCUUUCCCAAAUUUUUCCUGCACUUUAACAUCCCAUACCUAUAUAUAUAUAUAUAUAUAUAUAUAUAUAUAUAUUAUCAAAGGGCUUACCUCGAACCAUUCAAGCUCGUCCUGAAAUUGGAGAACCGGACCAGCUUGGGUUCCUUGCUUAUAAUACUUCAUGUCAGCAACCUGGUGCAAUAUUGUGUAGCCUUCAUUAUCAAUUUUUAAAGCCCAUUCGGCCAGCGACAGUUGCAUUUUCUCCUUAAUGAUUUCAAAGAUCUCAAGUUGACGAUACAUUAUGGCCACAUGCAAUCUAUUCUGCCCUUUCUCAUUCACGUUAUCUAAUGUUUGAGGAUAUUUAUGGCGUAUCUCCUCCAAAAUCUCUAUUAUUCCAUUGCUCACUGCAAAGAGUAAUAUCCUCAUCGUCCUCAUCGACGAGGUCAUAUCCUUCGUUGUAUCAUUUUCCUGAUCGACUGCUUGAGGAUAUUGAUCAACGUGUGCUUUGUUAGUGCAACCUUUCUUCACCUGCAUCAUUAAUUCGACCCAUUCUCCAGCCGAAACAUCAACAACCUUUUUUUCAAUAUUUCCUUUGCCUAAUCCUAAGGAAAUUUCUGUAACACCUGGGGUCGGCUUUUCAUGCGUUGCGCAAUCAUCAAUUCUUUUUUCAACCAGCAUUUUGACCAGUGCAACCGCUUUUUUAUGAAUUUGCUUUUUCUCCCAGAUUUUCUUAAUCGCCGGACAUCCUGGCCAUGCAUGCAUGCAAGAACUACAUAUUACUAAUUUAUAAGCGGCAAAUCCAUUCAUCAACUGAAUGAAUUGAAGUUGUGAUAAAUUUCCCCCGUUCUGCUGUGUAAUUCAUAUUAUCAUGUAUGUAGAAUUAAUUAAUGAAAUAAUUAUUGGUCUUACCUUGAAUUACUUGCCUCCAAAUUGCAAUGUACAUCUUUGAACUUAAAAUUGAAAUUGCUGCAAUUUGAUUAACCUGGUCAGCCACAAUUUUACAACUACAUAUAUAUAUAUAUAUGAGAUAGUAAAAAAUUAAUUUGUAGAUAGGGUAUGUACGAGUCCGUAGAAACUAAAGAAAAAGGGAACUUCAUGAUCCCCCCCACUAUUUGAGGUAACACACAGUUUACACCUAAUAUUUUCAAAAUGGCCAUAUAUUGCACCAUUGAAAGGAAAGACAUUAAUGUUAGUAAAUUGUUGGGUGGCGCAGACACGCAGCUAAGUUGAAAUUGUAAGAAAAUAAAGAACAAGCACAAAAAAGAGGACACCAAAAAUUACGUGGUUCGGCUUUUAGCCUACGUCCACGGGCGAAGACAGAAGGAAAUAUUUUACUAGUGAAAAGGAGUUACAAGUAUUGUAGUAUUUUAGCUCACUUCCCAAAAACCCCAAUACACCCAAACUCUCUCAAUCACUGUAAUAAGAGCUCAUAAAUGCAAGCUCUUGAAUUCUCUCUCGACUCCCUAAAUUGCUCUCUGAAUAAUGGAAUGAAUAAGCUCUUCAUUUGCACUUGUAUUUAUAGCAAAAUGUUGGCCAAGAAAGUCAAAGCCGUGGGUAUCAAAACUUCUUCAAAACCGUGUUCAUCAAAGUUUGGUGGGUGAAAACCGUGUUCAAUUUUCAAAGCCAUGUGCCACCAUUAUUUGUUUAUGCAAAGCUUCUAGAUGCAGCUUCUAGAUGCAGCCGAUUGACAUUCUCCCACUUGGAGAUUAGAUUAAGGACCAAUCAAUCUCCACACCAUCAUUUCUGCUUCGCCAUAAUCAUGUUGCCUACGUUUCUACUAGGCCACAAGAGGAUCUACUCCAGACAAACUUAUCAGUAUUUAUCGGCUUGGUCAAAACAUCUGCUAGGUUCUCUUUGGUAUGGAUUUUCUGCAAAUCCACACUUCCAUCUUCCACUACUUCACGAACGAAGUGAUACUGGACUCCUAUGUGCUUUGUCCUGGAAUGAAAGGCUGGAUUCCUUGCAAUGUGCAAGACACUCUGACUGUCACAAAAUACAGAAAUUUUCUCUUGUCCGUGCCCGAGCUUCUCCAAUAACCUUUGUAUCCAAAUAGCUUCCUUGCAAGCUUGUGUAGCUGCCAUGUAUUCUGCUUCUGUUGUAGAUAAAGCCACAACGGUCUGCAGUUUCGAAACCCAGCUUACAGCUGCUCCUGCAAGUGUAAACACAUAACCAGUAGUGGAUUUCCUUUUAUCAAGAUCUCCUGCAAAAUCUGAAUCCACAUAGCCCCUGACAGUAAAUUCUGAUCCUCCAUAACAUAAUGCAACAUCUGAGGUUCCUCUGAUGUAUCUCAGAACCCUUUUCACAGCUAUCCAAUGCUCUCCACUAGGAUUCGCCAUAUAUCGACUGACUGCUCCCACUGCUUGUGCAAUGUCCGGUCUUGUACAUAUCAUAGCGAACAUUAAACUUCCCACUGCUGAUGCAUACGGUACUCGAGACAUCUCCUUCCUCUCUGCUUCAUUACUAGGACACAUACUUGAGGAUAAUUUGAAAUUAACAGGAAGUGGGGUAGAAAUUGGCUUACAAUCUUGCAUGUUGAAGCGUCGCAAGAUUUUCUUCAAGUAAUUCUUCUGCGAAAGCUAAAUCUUCCUGUUAUUUCUGUCUCGGUGAAUUUGCAUCCCUAGAAUCUUGUUUGCUGGUCCCAAGUCCUUCAUUUCAAACACUCUAGAGAUUUGUUCAACCUGCAAACCAAGUUUUCCUUUCCUGUUUCUGCAAAACCUUCUGGUUGGAGCAUAUAUAUUUCUUCCUCAAGUUCUCCAUGAAGAAAUGCAGUUUUCACAUCUAACUACUCUAAAUGUAGGUCAAAUGUAGCACACAUUGCCAAGACUAUUCUAACUGUUGUGAGUCGAACCACGGGCGAAAAUAUCUCGUUGAAGUCAAUACCUUCUUUCUGAGCAUAUCCUUUCACCACCAAUCUUGCACGAUACCGCUCCACUUGGUCAUUGCCAUCACGCUUGAUCUUAUAGACCCAUUUGUUUCCAAUGGCUUUUCUUCUACGUGGUAGUGGUACAAGUUCCCAUGUCUUGUUCUUGUGUAGAGCUUCAAUUUCUUCCUGCAUUGCUGUCAUCCACAAAGCAAUAUCUGAGCUUUCUAAAGCUUCAUGGAAAGUUGAAGGCUCUUCAUCCUCUGUUAGAAGACAGUAUGCAACGUUGAUCUCUGUGAUAUGCUCCGAGUGCCAUGUUGGUGGUCGUCUCUCACGAGUUGACCGAUGAACUUCUGGAGCCUCGGACUCGACUGGUUCUUGUUCCUCGUGCUCUGGUGCUGCUUCAGAAGAAUCUGAAUCUUCUAGAUUAUUUUCCACAUUUACUGGCACGAUCUCUGACUUUUCUUUUGUAGUGCCAUCAUCCUCAUCUCUCCUUUGCAGUUGAUCUUCUACAAAGAUAACAUCUCUGCUGAUGACGAUUUUAUGGGCAGUGGGGUCCCACAGACGAUACCCCUUUACUCCAUCAGCAUACCCCAAGAAGUUACAUCUUCUAGAUUUUGCAUCUAACUUUGUUCUUUCUUGGGCAUUGUACAUCACGUACACAGGACAUCCAAAUGCAUGUAGGUAGGAAUAAUCAGCUGGCUUUCCAGUCCACAUCUCCAUUGCUGUCUUUAGCCCAAUAGCUGUAGAUGGCGAUCGAUUUACUAUAUAACAAGCAGUUUUGGCUGCUUCUGCCCAGAAUGAAUUGGGUAGGCCAGCAGUCCUCAAUAUAGCUCUUAUUCUUUCUGUAAGAGUCCUGUUCAUCUGCUCCGCCACUCCAUUUUGUUGAGGAGUGUAUGCCACUGUGAACUGCCUCUGAAUACCUUCUUGCUUACAAAAAGCAAGAAACUCGCCGUCUGUAUACUCUCCACCAUUAUCUGUCCUCAAGCACUUGAUCCUUUUACCAGAUUCAAGUUCCACCCGCGCUUUGUAUUCUUUAAACACUGGAAAUACAUCUGACUUUUUCUUAAUUGGAUACACCCAAUAUCUUCUGGAAUAAUCAUCAAUGAAAGUCACCAUGUACUUUGCACCUCCCAUGGAUAUAUCCGGUGAUUCCCAAACAUCAGAAUGAAUCAAGUCUAGAAUGCAUUUACUUUUAGCAAUAGAUCUACUAAAUUUUAAUCUAUGCUGCUUACUUGUAACACAAUGCUCGCAAAAUGAUAAACUUACCGAUUUGAGCCCCGGAAGUAAUUUUCGCUCAGAGAGAAUCUUCAAGCCUUGUUCUGACAUGUGGCCAAGUUUGAGAUGCCACAUCAUCGUUGAUUUUUCUCCAUUUGACGCGACACACGCAUCAGCCUCUUGUAGUGUUUCUCCUUUAAGCAUGAAUAGAUUAGCACCGAUCUUUUUUGCCUUCAUCAAUACAAGCGCUCCUUUAACGAUCUUCAUAAUUCCAUUCUCCACAUGAGUUUUGCACCCAUGAUUGUCUAUUUGUCCCAAAGACAAUAGAUUUUUCUUCAGGCCGUUGACAUGUCGUACCUCCCCAAUUGUGCGAAUUGUACCAUCAAACAUUUUUAUUUUGAUAGUACCAAUACCAGCGAUCUCCAAGGCAUGAUCAUUACCCAUAUUUACAGAUCCUCCUGAGAUAGGUUCAUAUGUGUGGAACUAUUCUCUCCGAGAGGUCAUGUGCCAGGUAGCUCCUGAGUCUAUAAGCCAGACAUCAUAUAGUCAUUUUCUACCUUCUGAAACAAUUGUUGCCUCGCUGUAGAGAAUUUCACCAUCAUCCGAGGUACUUGCUACACAACCCUGAGCAUUUGAUGACUCAGGUUCUUUGCCCUCUCUUAUCUUCUGGUUACUCCAACACUCUUUCUUGACGUGCCCUUUCUUGCCACAGUUGUAGCAUUUAACAUUCUUCUUACUUUUAGAUUUUGAUCUACCAUGAUUUUGACUCCCACUGGGGCCACGUUCUGUUGAUCUCCCUCUCGUCACCAAUAGCGCCUCCGCUUGCUGCAAACUUGCUUGUCUGUUUUCCUUAUUUUUUCGCCUGCUCUCCUUAUUUAAUACGGAGGUUGCAACAUCGUCGAAAACUAGACUGUCUACUGGAUUGUUGUUCGUCAGGUUGAUGAUGAGUUGAUCAUACGAAUAUGGUAGACUUUGAAGUAGAAGCUCUGCACGUUCAUUCUCCUCUAUAUUAUGACCCAAUGUUGUGAGUUGUGAAAAUAGAGUCUUCAAGGUGUUGAUGUGGUCAGUCACCAUUGUAGAUUCCGCCAUUCGAAGAGUAUAGAGUUUUCUUUUCAAGAAGAUUUUGUUGUGUAGUGACUUGGCCUCGUACAAUUUUGUGAGAGUAUCCCAUAUUUCCUUCGCUGUGUUUUUCUCUGCCACACUAGAUAAUACUCCAUCUGCAAGUGCUAAGUGUAGAUCAGAAAUGGCGUUACCAUCUACCUCGUUCCACUUGUCAUCAGUUAUCUCCAUGGGCCUUUCUCCAAUUGCUGCCAAGCAAUUAUUUUUCCUCAAUACAGCUUUCAUCUUCAUUUUCCACAACAAAAAAUUAUUUCCGUUAAAUUUCUCAAUUUCAUACUUUGCCGCCAUUUUGUUGAUAAAUACCGCACACAAGCUAGUGUACCACCUUGAAUAGUUGUGAGUAUGUGUGAGAAUGCACACCAGGAAAGACUGGAGGGGUCACAAUAGUCCCACUUAAAACCCAGACUCCUUAAGCUCUUAUCGCCUUUGUGACAGAACUUUCCUAGACAUGUACAAAACUACACAGUUGCUUUACUCACACCACUAUUCUCUGCUUUGCACCGCAAAAUUCUUGGAUCGCUUCCACCAUUUCACGUGAAUAGUACCGUAUACGUGAAUAGUACCGUAUACGUGAACAGUACCAUAUAUGUGAACAAAACCGUAUACGUGAAUAGUAUCGUAUACGUGUAUAGUGCCGUAUACGUGAAUAGUACCCCUUACGUGAACAGUUCCUGACUCCAAAAAAUACAACCAAUAACUCUGAUACCACUGUUAGUAAAUUGUUGGGUGGCACAGACACACAACUAAGUUGAAAUUGUAAGAAAAUAAAGAACAAGCACAAAAAGAGGACACCAAAAAUUACGUGGUUCGGCUUUUAGCCUACGUCCACGGGCGAAGACAGAAGGAAAUAUUUUACUAGUGAAAAGGAGUUACAAGUAUUGUAGUAUUUUAGCUCACUUCCCAAAAACCCCAAUACACCCAAACUCUCUCAAUCACUGUAAUAAGAGCUCAUAAAUGCAAGCUCUUGAAUCCUCUCUCGACUCCCUAAAUUGCUCUCUGAAUAAUGGAAUGAAUAAGCUCUUCAUUUGCACUUGUAUUUAUAGCAAAAUGUUGGCCAAGAAAGUCAAAGCCGUGGGUAUCAAAACUUCUUCAAAACCGUGUUCAUCAAAGUUUGGUGGGUGAAAACCGUGUUCAAUUUUCAAAGCCAUGUGCCACCAUUAUUUGUUUAUGCAAAGCUUCUAGAUGCAGCUUCUAGAUGCAGCCGAUUGACAAUUAAAACAAGCAUUUUAUGGUUGUUUACUUGUGGGAUUGGGGACUCAAAAUUCAGAAUUGGAAUGAUUGUUGCUGUUUAUUUGUAAAAAUUGAAGGAGGGGAUGAGAAUGAAAUGGUAGAGCCACAUAAAAUUAGGAACAAGGAAUGGCCCAAGAGGGUUAGGAAUCAAGUUUCUAUUUCUUGAACUCACAAUUUUACCCUACCUAAAUUUCAUAAUUCUACUUUUGUCUUUGAUUAAAAUAUUAUUAUUAUUAUCACUAUUGUUGUUGUUGUUAUUAUUAUUAUUAUUAUCUUUAUUUUUGUCAUUAUUGUUAUUAAAAACAACAAUAACAACAACGACAACAACAAUAAUAAUUGUUGUAUUAUUAUUGUUAUUACUCUUAUUAUUAUUGUCAUUGUCUUUAUUAUUAUUAUUAUUGUCGUUGUUAUUGUUAUUACUAUUAUUGUUGUUAAAAUAAUUUCUAAUAAAUAAACACAAUUAUUAUUACAAAUAAUAAUAAUAAUAACAACAAUAAUUAACUAAAGACAUUUUAGUAACUUGAAGCAAUUCAUUGCGAUUUCAAAACAAAGUAAACACAUCAAUGGCUAUGCAAUUCAUUCGAAUAUCGAUUUCUAUAACGCAAGUAAACAAUUUAUUUUAAUUCACAUUUCUCAUUCUCAUUCCAGCACUUUCCGAUUUCUAAUUGGUAAACACCAUUACUAUUUUCCUUAGUCAACAUAAUUUCUCCUAGAAAUUAACGAAUAUAUAAAGGAUAGCUAAUCAAGUAGAGUAACAGCCCAUGUGGCCUGAUCUCAAUAGGAGAGCUUUGGUUAAUUAACCUAUAUAAAUACUGAGCUUUCGAUCAUAGCUCAAAUAUUUAAGGGGAAAAAUAACUAGGUUUCUAAAGAAAAAAAUUAGAAAACAAUGAAUAUACAAUAUAAAGUUUGCAUACUGUUAUUUUCGUCUAAAAAGAAACUAGCUUUUAUAUUAUUUUUCAUUAGGGUCCAGCUAUGGUGCCACAGUUGUAUGGUACCACAGCUGGAUCCAGCCAUUGGAUCUAACUCUAGUGACAACUGUGGACUAGAUUCAAUGGCUGGAUCCAACUAUGGUACCAUACAACUGUGGUACAAUAAGUUUGUCCUUUUCAUUAUUUAUUUUGGUCUUCAAAUUAAGGCUUCGUUUGGCUUCUAAGCCACAGUUGCUCUAGACUGUAAGUUUUAUUUAUUUUUUAAAUAAUAACUAACACAUUCAUUUAAGCUCGAACCGAAGACCUAUUGAACAUAUGCAUGCAUGUGGCAAACAAUUGUAUGUGGCUAGCAUGUAACUUUAUAACUCUUGGCAUAAAGUUCUUGAGUAAGUGAGAAAAGUGGGAGGAAUCAACUUUUGACUUUGACACUAAACUGGAAAAGUUGAGUGGAAAUUUAUAUUAUUUUAAUGCUCACCAUUGUUGAUUUUUGGGCAUGGCUUGGCCUAUAAAUAGAGGCCUCAUUUGCCCUCUUCAAUCAUCCCAUUUUUCUCUAAUUCAAGAGAGAGAGCCAAGAGGCGUAAGUUGAGAGUGUUGAGAGCUUUGAGCUCUAGUUCUAGUGUUUUGAAAGUUUGGGUGUACUGAGGUUUUGAGUUAUGAGAUAAAAUAUUACAAUACUUGUAAUUCCUUUUCACUAGUAAAAUAUUUCAUUCUGUCUUCGCCCGUGAAUGUAAAUUAAAAGCCGAACCACGUAAAUUUUGGUGUCCCUGUGUGAUCAUUAUUUCUCAAUUUCAUUUUAGUUGUGUGUCUGCUGCACCGCCGAAUUUCCAACAAGACCUAUGCUCCUUACCAACUGUAGUUAGACCUUGUCUUCAUCAAAUGAAAGUUUUAGUUAUUAGUGAAAAAUUUAUGGGUGUUUGAUAAAAUUAAACACCACCAGAUUGAAGAAAUUUAAUGGUACAUGAGAGGUGCUGCACUCAAUUAAUGUAGGUAUGCCAUCUAUGCAUUUGUUUUCUAGAAUCUCUCACUAGAUUGAUGUCAUAAAAAUUUUUAUUCUCAUUUUUAGAGUAUAUUUAUCAAUAAAUAACUGUGAAAAAUAAACCAUCUUCUAAGAAAAAUUGACAAAGUGUUUACAGCUGAGUUGUCAAAUGCUAGCAUAAAUAAAUACAGCCCAGGUGCGAUCGAGAGUAUUGUGUCGGUGGGUUAUGACUUGUAACCGCAACUAAAGCCUAAGCCGUUUGUUCUGUUUUGAUUUUUGAAUUUACAGAGUUAUAAUGAAGCAACCAUAUUAUGAUUUUGAAAAAAUUAAAGCUGCUAUGUCACCAUUACCUCUCCUCUUCUUUGUGUGGCCAAUGCGAUUGUCAAUCUUACCAGUCUCCAAAUCUUCUUUAUAAUCAGGGUCAACGUUGUCGUCAUCCAGAUACGUCGGAAGACCUGCAAUUAAAAAUUAGAUGAUGUAGCAAAUCAUUUUUUUUUUUCACUUCACCCUAUAUACGUAUAAAUACAAAUUAAAUAAUUAUUUCUCCUAAUUAAUUUGCUUAUUGUGCCCAUUGUAACGGCAUGCAUCCAAGUCAACUGGACUAUAUAUUCAUUUAGAUAUGGAACUUAUGCGGCUAUAUGCAUAUAAUUAAUAUAUAAAAAUUGCUAAAGAAAUUUGAGGCUGAUAAAGCAUUGACAGAAACAACUAUAUAUCAAGCCGGGGUUAUUGUGUUCAUUGAUUUGGUAAUCUCGGCCAACUAUCAUUGUCUCUAGCCAAAUUCUUUGGUCUAAAGUAUCAUUGCAUAUAUAUAUAUAUAUAUAUAUAUAUAUAUAUAUAUAUAUGUGCGUGUGUGUGUGUACACAUACCUGACUAUAUAAAAGUUAUUGAUAAACUAAAAAAUAAAAACACAUAUUUUAAUACACUUUAAAAAAAUACAUGGUAUUAAAGUCUAUAUUUCUUUAUCUUGUAAUUUAUCCCAGACUUUAAUAUGCUCAAGAUCCUUAAAUAAAAAAUUAUUAUAUAAAAAGUGCGGAUAUCUAUAAUUUUUUAAAAUGCAGAUUCAAAAUUUUACAACAUUCUAAAAGGUUGCUGCGAUAUUGUAAAAUGAUUUUUUCAAUGGUCGACAACGUUGUAAAAUCCUAUGGUAGACAACGUUGUAAAAUCCUAAACUCAGAAAUUUAUAUAAUGAGGACAUCCACCCCUAAAAAUGACUAUAAGAACAGUGAUAUCAAAUAAAAUCCUGACAAAGACAACGUUAGACCCGGCCGAAUUCACGUUUUUAAUUGCCAAUAAAAUAACCCGAUCGGUUCUAAUGCACUGUAUUUGUCAGCGUUUAGUCUCUUUCAUCAUUUUUGUUUCCAAGAAAGUAAUAUGGUUUAUAUAUCCACUUACAGGAAUAGACAAGACUCGUCCAAAUCGUCGUGGGCUCCGUACUGAAAACAGAUGGCAUUAAAGCUAGUAGUUCAAGAGAAGUAAAACCAUCAAUCCCCUUGGACGUUGAUUCGUUUGCAAGGCUUGAGUCGUGAUUAAGUAUCCAAAUAGCAGUGUCUGUACGUAAUCAAGCAGGACGGAAAUGUAAUUAAUUAAUUGAUUAAUUAAGAAGAUAACAAAUAAUUUUCAAUAACUUUUAACUCUUGAUCUAUAAAUAAAUAAAUUCAUUCACCCGUACUCGAUCAUCAGUGAGUCUUUAAAAUACAGAAUGAAUGAACGAGUGAAUGAAUGAGAGAUUUGAUUAUUAUUACCGACGUGAUGGCUAAGGACAGCAAUAUGAAGUAUAGGAAUAUUAUCAUGUCUACGGAAAUGAUGCCUUAAGUUAGAGUCACCAACUUGCUCAGCGAAGUAUCGCAACGCUUCAAUUUUCCCAACAGAAGCAGCCCUAUAAAGUGGGGUUUCCCCCAAUUUGUUUUUAACCACAAGUGGAUUUUUGUCUGCAUCAUUAGAUUGCUUCGAAAAUUCAACCAAAGUUUUGGCUACGUCAACAUUGUUGAUGGUGCCCAGUGCGUGAACAGCAGUGUUUCCAUUGUCAUCUGUUUGCAUCAAGGCCUCAAGUCUUUUUUCUACUGGUAGCCUUCCGAGAAAUUUUUUAAUCAGCUCGGGGUCUUCCAUGGCCGCUGCAACGUGAAUUGCGCAUUCUCCAUUGAAUGUCCUGUAUCCCAACAACUCUUCAUCAGUUUGUUGAGCAAAGUAAUGCAAGAAGCCUUGACGGUCUCCCUUUAAGGCCAUUCCGUACGGAUCCAUCUUUUUCUCAAUUGUAUAAUAGAUGCACAGAAGAAGCUGUCGUUUCUUCGUUAUCCUUAAUUUUAAUUGUCCUAAUAUAUAUAAGGUUUUAUGCAUCUUUCUACAAGUUCUAAACGAAUUUGGCAUAAUCACUUUGCAUAUUUUAAUAAUUAAGCUCAAACAUUAUAAGCAUAAAAUAAAGUAAAGUUAAUCUAUUGGGUCAGGAAAUAGAAUAGAAUAAAUUAUCUAAACAACUUUUGCCUCUAGUGCUUUUUCCGCGAAUAUAAUAAUCACUAUGUUAUUAAAGUAAAAUAAGGUUUUGAUCCAUCCUUAUGAAAGUUCUAAUCGAGGCCACAGACUAAAUAGUCCAAAGGAUAACAUUUUAUAUUUAUUAAAAAUAAGAAAUUAUUAAUAAAAGAGAGAGAGAGAGAGAGAGAGAAAUGAAUAUGUUAAAAGGUAACUUCUAACCAUUACUACUCUAAAAAAUUCCUAAUUCGUCCAUUCAUUUUCACCGCCCCCACAAUUCAACCGUCACCAUUUUUGCUCAGAGUGAAUUUUAAAAUCAUGACGAGCAAGAAAGAUAAAGAAGAAGAAGAGGAGGAAGAUCCUUCCGAGCUCAGGCAAGGGGCAAAAUGACAGCUUUGAAGAAAGAGGAGAAGAAAAUGAGCUUCCGUUAAAGCCAAGGAUGUUCCUUAAUUUACCUGAAAACAAUGACUUUGAGAUCUUUUGAUGCAACAUAAGUUAAAUGUUCUAAUAUUUCGUUAAUAUUUAAGGAUACCAAAAUAAAAAAAAAAUGGUCUAAAUUCACAUUGAUUUGAAAGAAUGCCGUGAACUUAGGGUUAAAAUUGAUAUGAAAAUAAACUAAAUAACUCAUUGAUUUCGCAUAAUGCCAAAAAUUAACUAAACUAAAAAACUCACAUAGAGGUUUGAAAACUGAAAAUAUUAUUAAACUCAAACCUACCUUCAAACACUAUAAGAUAGGGUAAAACAUUGAAAAAAAAAGUACUAAAUUAUUAAGAAAAAGAAUAAUAAACCUUAGACAAUAAAGAUAGGGAUUCCUAAUAUGUAUCAUAUUCACAUUUUACCUUGCUAAUGAGGUCUCCAAUAGAAAUUGGUAUGAAACUAAUUAGCUCCUUUUAAUGAGUGUGUGGUUGGUGGGCAAAGUGAUGAGAUGAAAUUAGGUUUUUGUUGCUAUUUUUUUACUUUAUUUUAUCUUCUUUUUUGAUGGAUUGAUCUGCAGUUUGAUUGUUGAAAAAACUGCGAACAAAGAAAUUUUCGGUUUGAAAAUGAUGAGAAAUUUUGUUUUUUGGUUUUUUUGGGAUUUUGUUUUAAACUUCGUAUCGAUGAUGAGAAAGUUGACUAAUUUUUUUUCAGUUAUAAAGUCUACUGUAGAUGUUUGUUUGGAUUUUUGGAAUCAGUGAGUCUCCGAGUAAUCAAACUUCUACUUCAGUUGAAAUCUACAUUUGGCAUUUAGGUUGUUCAUGUCCUGAUAGUCGCAACAGAUGUGCUCCCCAUUUGAUUAUUAGGUUGAGAAUUUUGCCUUAAAUUGUUGGCAAUUAAUUUAGUAUGUCAAUGUCAUGCUUUCUUUAUAAAAAUAAAACUUCUUCUGUAAUUGAGACUUUUUCAUUAGGUGCCUACUCAUUUAUUUUGUGUGGGAAUUGAUUUACCAUAGCGAAUAUACUAAUUUGAAAUUUGUUGGAAUUUGGUUAGGCUUGUGAGUCAUGUUGUUAAGUUAUUAUUUUCUUUUUGUUACUAUUAUUAAUAUUAUUCGUUUAGAGAUUAAUGGAUAUAUAUUUUAUUACUAAAGUGUGGUUGAUUGUUUUGAAUCUGUCUCAUUGGUAUAUGGGUCUAGUUUUUGAAUUUAUUGGCUGUUGUGGUAACUCUACUUGUGGAGACGAUUAGGUGGUUUAAUGGCGUUGUCUUGGGUUUUGGCUUUUAAUUGUCUGUUGUUUCUGUUUUUUUUUUUUUUAAAUAUUUGUUGCUGUUUUUGAUUUUUUGGUUUUUUCGCUAUCGGUUGAUUGGGUUUACUACGAUAUUAUUUUCCGUUUUGAUUUGAUGUCAAUUUUUUUUUUCUUUUUUUCUCCUUGUCAUUGUUGCUUUCAGAGUUUUUUAUUUUGCUGUGCCAAAGAUUGGUCAAAUAGUAGUUUUAUUGCUGUUUUUCGCUAUUUUGCUGUUGUAUCUGUGAUAAUUUUUUGUUAUUUUUGAGUUUGAUUACCUGUUAGUUUUUGGCUUUUUUCCUUCUCUUUCUGGGUUAAUUUGUUGUGAUUUUUUAGUUUUGAUUUGCUUUUGCUUCUGGGUUGAUUUUUCUAUUAUUUUGGGUCAAUUUGCUGCUAUUUUUUCUGAUAAUUUCUAUACUAUUUUGGGUUUUAAUUUGCUGUAGAAACUAACAUUUUUCACAGAGUAGGAUAGAAGUCGACCCUGAGGUAUUGGAAAAUGAUCCUAAAUUAAGUUACUUUUAUAAUUAAAGAUGUAAUUUAUUAUGUUUUUGACUUGGCAAAUGGAAAAUGUAUUAUUGGUGAUAUUGAGAAUAUGAAGUGUUAAUUUAAUUCUAUUAAUUUAAAUUUAUUAAUGUAUUUAUAAUGUCAUUUAAUCAUAUGGUCUAACACUAGGGCCACAAUUCCAUAUUUAUUUCUUAUAAUAAUUAUAUAAUUAUAAAUUAUCACUUGCAUUGUCAAGGCAUUGAUUGGCUUGUGAAAUGUGCAUAUGAAAUAAAAGAUGAAGCUAAAGCACCUUGAGGAUGGAUGGUAAACAUAGUUAAUGGACUCUUAUUCCAUAAUUAUUAAUGGGGUUUAUAUUUUAAUUCUUGCAAGUUUUGGAUUAUAGUGGUGAACCAAUAUUAAGACUCUAAGUAGAUUUAGGAACCUCGAAAUUAAAUAUGUAUAUUUUUUAAAACAUAUUUUUUAGACAAUUUGUUUUUAUAUUUAUAACUUUUCAAUAUUGUAUGUGUAUAAUUGUUGAAAUUAUUUUGUAGAUAAUUUGUGUUUAUAUUUAUAACUUCUCACAUUACUAUUUUUAUUUAGUGUUUACGUUGUAAUUUUGAAGUUUUUAAUAAUAUUAAUAAUUAUAUUUAGUCCAUACAAAAUUAUUUAUAGUUUCAAGAUAAUUUAUAUGGUAGCAUAUAAAUGUAAUUCUCCUAGGAUGAGAAAUAUGCAAUUCUCUUGUGGAUGGUGAUAUUUUCACCCCACUAUUUUUGUAAAUCCACCAGACUUUUAGAAAAUAAUUACAAUGAGUUCACAAUAUUCUUAAAAAAUACAAAUCAAUAAAAGGUUUAUACAGUUAAUCAAUUAAAUCCUCUAUUAACUUUUUUUUUAGGUUCUUGGACCAUCUUUAAUCAUAAUUUUUAAUAUAAGUUUUAUUUUACUAUUUUAUUAUUAUGAUAUAAAAAGACAAAAUUACCCUAAUAAAACAUGAGUUAUUAUAUCUAAUAAUUUAUGUAUUUAAUUUUGCGACUUGUAAUCUAAUAUUUUAAAGUAAACCUAAUUAUUACACUUACGUGUAAAUGACAUAAUUAAAUUUGACAGCAUAAUAAUUUACAUGAGAAUUGCGCUAUCAAGACACUAUGUUAGUUUAAUUAAAAAUAAUAAUCAUACUAAUCAAGUUGUAUUAGAAACAAUGAGUUUGGUACAAAUUAGGAAAAUAUUGAAGUUAAAGUAAAUUCUUGAUAAUUUUACUUUAUAAGGAUAAAAUAGUCAAUUUAAGCUUAUGCCAAAGCAAUCUUUUUAAUCAAAUAUACUAAAUAAAUCUAAGUCACAAACUAAUGAAUUAAUAUAGAUUUAAUUAAUUAAUUCUUCAAAACUCUUCUUGAUUUGAAAAUUUUAAAAAUAAUGUGCAACUUUUAUAAUUUACUAGCUGUAUCAAUUUGCACCCCAUUGUAUUUCUAUAUGAUUUAGAGGAAAAAUUUAUUAAUACACCAAAGUUUUAAUAAAUUUAUGUCUAAUAGUAGACUUUUUACUUUAUUUUUAGGGUAAGUGUUUGUUUAGUCCCUAUAUUUAACUUAAGUGCUCCUUUAAUCCUUAUAUUUUAAAAAAUGUCUCAAGACAACCUUGCUGGUAACUCUAUUAUAAUCAGACCCUUACUUUGUCCUCACUUUUACAAUAAUACCCUAGCAACAAUAUUCUUGGAGAUAAUUAUGAAAAGAAAAAAAAUGUGAACUUAUCAAAUUAGCUUUAAAAUUAAAAUUAGUUUUUUUUUUUAAUUUUAUGUGUAGGAUUAAAUUAUUAGUAAGAUUAUUGUAAGGGUAUCAAACAUUACUUUAAAUUCUUUAAAUUGGAUGGUAUUAAUUUAUUUAUAAAUAAUAAUUAGCAGGAUUGCUACAAGAGUAUGAAAAAUGCCAAUUGUUUCAUACUAGUAUUUAUUUCUUAAUUUGUUGAUAAGUAAUUAUUGGUUAAUUUACUAAUUAACUUUUUUUAGAUUAAAAAUUAAUUUCAAAUGUAUUGCUGCAAGAUAUUAUUGUAAAAACAAAGAAAAAGUAAGGAUAAACAUACAACAUAUUUAAUAGUAGGGGUAUCUUUGAGGUAUUUUUUAAAAUAUAGGCACUAAAUCAGCAUUACCCUUAAUGUAUAAAAAGGACUAAAUUACAUAUUUAUUGAAUAAAUUAAAAUUAUUAGAGGAUAAAGGUUGAAGAUAUUUGAAUCCAUCAAUUUACUCUCAACACUCUCUUUGUAAUUAAGAAUUUUAUUAUAUAAAUAAAUUUUGUAAAAAUUACUUAAUCAACCAUUUCUUCUCUUUCUCUUCUCCAUUUCACAAAUUCUCAUCAACUUAUUCAAAUAUAUUCUUUUAACUAUAAAUAAUUGAUAUCACUAACUAAGAGGAAAAAUCCCACCAUUUAAAAAUAAACAUCAAUAGAUUUUUAUUGGCCAUAAAAGUUAAUUAAUAUAAAAAUUAAUUUUUACCAAAGACAAAAGCUAAUGAAAAUUAAGAAAAAAAAUUCUUAUAUAUAGAAAGUAUGAAAUAGCUAUCAUGAUAUACUAAGAAAGACAAAAAAAAAAAAGAAAAAAAAAAAGAAAAAAGAAUUCAAAAGAAAGAGAAAUUGGUGUUUAGUUUGCAUAUGAGAGUAGAGAGAGAGAAAAUACACGGUUACAAGAUAGAGAGAGAAAUAGAUUAGUGAAAGAUAAUUUUGAGAUUUUUAAAUUUUUAAUAACAAAUUUACUUUCAAAAUUGGUGUACAGAGAAAUUUAAUGGGUUCAAGUAGCCCCACUAGAGAUAAAAUCUUAUUAUUAGUGCUUAUUAUUAAAAAAAAAAUUGUUAUGGUUUGGUCCAACUGAAAUAUAUUAUAUGUAGCAACAUUCUCAUGAAUAUUCACAAUAAACUUAUAAAUUAGCGCGGGUUGAUCAAAAGUCCAGUGUUCACCUUAGUAUAAUUUAUACACAACUUCUACAUAAGCUAACGUGUAUCUAUCUAUUAUUGGAUUGCAUAAAAUCAUUUGCUUAGAAUUUAUGUCAAAAUUUUAAAUUAAGAUAGCUUAUUCUAUUAAAUAUGAUCUUAUGAAACAAUACAACUGCAUCUUAACAAAUUAAAUUCAAUAUAAUACUAUCAAACAUAUUCUAUAUAUAUAUUUUUAGCUGGUAGUUGAAAUAGGCAUUAAAAUUUAUACGUAUAAACGCUAACAAAUUCAAAUUAAUACUUUCUGGGUUAAAUUGAAAAAAAGAAAAAGAAAAAAACAAAAUCCCAUCUAUACGUCAAAGAAAUAAAGAAAAAACAAAUUAUAUCUAAUUUAGAACAUAAAACGUAAAACACGAGUCAUGGAACAAACACGAGCCCCGAACACGAGCACUCAAGCAUUAUCAGAAUAAAAUAAAGUUAAUCUAUCAGAUCAUGAAAAAGAAUAGAAUAAGUUAUUUCAACAACUUUUGUCACCAUUGCUUUUCCCGCGAAUAUAAUAAUCACCAUGUUAUGGAAGCCAAGUGGCAGCCAAUCAUUAAAAAAUAAAUAUAAAUAAAAGGGAAAAUUAUCAUCCUCAGUUUGGUAAAAGAAAAAUUUUAAAACUUACCAUUUUUUUGCUCGUAGUAACCUAGGGUAUUACAUAUUUUAAAUAAUAGUUCUGGUAAAAAAAAAUAAAAAUUACACAUUGUUAUUUGAGAAAAAUAAACUUAAUUUUUAAAAUACAAUAAUAAAUUUUUGGUAAGUACUUUUAAUUUUAUAACUUAAAAGAUAUCACUGCCUGACAACAAUACUAAACAAAACCUUGAUAUAAGUUAAUCCUAAGAAAUUUUUUAUUGUAACUCUCAAGUAAAUUUGUUAUUGUACAAGAUUCAGUUUUUUUUUUGGGAAAAAAAAUUUCAGCAUCUACUUUUUUUUUCCCAUGUAGUAUAUAACAUAAAGUUAAAAGAUGUUUGAUCGGAUGCGAGUGUGAAUGGAAUUAAAAAAAAAAAAUUGGUUAUACGGCGAUAUAACAUAAAUUUUUUUUUAAUUGGUUAAUUAUUUAAUUAUAUUAAAAUAUUUCAUAUAUUAAAUUGAUGAUUUUUUGUUAUUAGAUUAAUGAAUGUUGAGUAAAAACUUGGUUGUUAUUCAAUAUUCGACUUCAUGUCUUGGCCUGAUGUGAUGAUUCCAUUGCAUCAAUUGAUUAUACGGCGCUGGGUGGAAUCUCAUCAUCGUUUUCCCUUGAAACAAUUUCUAAUGACGUAAACCAAAUAUUCUUUUUUACGGUGGAAUAUCAUCAUCGUUUUGCCUUAGUACAAUUUCUAAUUCCUUUCUUCAAUGUCCUUCAACAUUGUGAAAUACAUUAAAAUUUUUCUUAAAUUUUUUAUUCAUAAUGACGUAAUCCAAAAAUUCUUCAAUUUUUUAUUUGAGAAUGGCAUAAUCCAAAAUUUUAAGGGCUCAUAUUUGAUUUAGGAUCAAAAGUAAAUUUCAAAAAAUUAAAACAGAAUCUAAAAAUUAAUUUCCAUUGGAGUUUUGAUGUUAAUUUUCCUUUUAUUAUUUAGCCUUACAACAACUUAAUCCCCUUCAUAUCCAAUUGAGUGGAGUACAUACCUUAAACCUCUUAUUUUCAAUACAAUAGUCUAUAUCGUUUCAACUGAAUGGCACCCACAAGUUUUACUGUGUUUAUGCAAUAUCCAAAAAUAAUAAUCCCAACAAUGGAAACGUGUUUAACAUAAUUUAUAAUUAAAUUAAAAAAUAAAUAUUUAGGCGCUGCAUGUGAUUUCUAAGAUAAUUUUUGAUGAAAUAUGAAGUGUUUAUAUAAUUACAAUUUCUUUUCCUUUUCGUCAAUUACAUUACAUCAUGCAGUAACUUAAACGAAAUAAACAUAAAACAAGCUUCAUCAAGAUUUCAAUAAUUGAUUAGUAUCUUUAGCUAAGCCUCAUUCUGUUGCAUUAUAGAUUCUAGAGCCACAAGAAACUUCCCACCAAAGCAAAGGCAGAAAUAGAAACUGUUUUACAAUACAAAUUGCCAACAACAUGGAAAAUAUAUCCCUCGAAACAUUACAGCUGAAAUAAUGUUGCUUAGAACUCGUGACUAGAGAAUAGGAACUACCAUCUUGCAAGUGAUCCGUCGUACGCUUCGGCCUUGAGUGUUCAUCUAAUGCUGGAGGAUAUUGAUGGAGUAUCUCCUCCAAAAUCUCUAUUAUUCCAUUGCUUGCUGACAAGAUUAAUGGCAACCUCAUCAUCAACCAAGUCGUAUACUCUGUUGUGGCCUUUUCUUGAUCGUGAACUGCUUUGUUAGUGCAAUCUUUCUUCACCUGCUGCAAUUCGACCAAAUCUCCAGUUGAAACAUCAACUAGUUUUUUAACUUGAUCACAUUUCCUUUUCCUAAUCCAGAGGAAAUUGUAGAAAUUUCUUUGCAUCGACUUUACUUACGGCUUUCUGUCCGUUGCCCAGUCUUCUUCUGUAGGAAGAUGAUCCUCCGUUACCCAAACGUAGUCGGUUUCUUCUCUAACCAGAACUUUGAUCGGUGCAACCGCAUUUUUGUGCUUUUGCUUUUUCUUCCAGAUUUUCUUUAUCGCCCGACACCCUGGCCAUGCAUGCGUGAACAUCUUAUUAAAUUCUAAACAAAUUACGCACGCAAAUCCAUUCAUCAAAUGAAUGAAUCGAAGUUCUAUACGUGGCAUUUCCCUUGUUUUGUUGUGUGUUUAAUUCAUAAUUGUUUGCAGAAGUAAUUAAUGUAAUAUUAUUAAUAAUGGUCGCACCUUCAAUCAGUUGCCUCCAAAUAGCAAUGUACAUCUUUAAAUUGCUGCACUUUGAUUAACCUGUUCAGGCGUAAGUUUGCAGCUACAUGUAUAUAUGAUAUGAAAAACUGAUGCUACCAUAUCAAAAAGGAAACAAUUAAAGCUGUGGGAGUUUAAAUUCAGGGAGACUGUCAUUUCCCAAGAUAUUGCAUUAUUUGUAUCAGUUUAUAGAUAAGGUCCUCCUUAUCAUAAGAAUAUUCCGUAGAAAAAAAGUCUAUGGUAUAUCAAAGAUCAUACAAUCUACACAACUAACUAUUGUAUAUGUGACACGUGUAUUUGAAUUUAAUGUAACUAUCACUUGCAUGUUGGUUUACUAUUGAGCUGAGUUUAUGCUAAUAAGAAAAAAAAUGAAAAAUAUAAAAAUAUAAAAAUAAAUCCUGACCCUAAGUUUAAUGCUCAUAAAUAACUUAUCUCAAUGCCGAAUCCUGAUCCAUGGGUAUGUAUUCCACUAUUAGGACAGAUGACAUUGAAACAAACUUUUUACUAUUUUGUCCUAAAAUAGCAAAAUUUAUCAUAGAAAUUAAUGAAUAAAAUAAAAUCCAAUUAAUAUUUUAAUAUUAAGUUUGUUGAAAUACAAAUUACAGAGAAUCUCAUAUCAGUCACUUCCGUCAUUUUGUUUUUUCAAUUUUCUAACGUGCUAAUGAAAUUAUGUGUUGAAAAAAUAGCAUAUCAAUAUGCUAUUUUGAGGGCACAUUUUGAGUGGGUCCCACUUAGCGAAAGUAAGAAAUCUUGUGAGGUUCGGAUUCUAUUCCGUGAAUACUUCGAAAGUGUAAAUUUAUUUACUCAAAAUGGUGCUUGAGUGAAUGAGAAAUUGUCUCUCAAAGUGCACCCUUGAAGUUGAAAAUUUGAAAGGAAAUGAGGUUUAAACCACAAGGGAAAAAUAAACCAACGGAUUUGUGUUUACAUAUAGACACUUACCCAUGCAUGAGCAACAAUUAUAAGGAUAGAGGCUCUCUCCACACGCGCGUGCGCAAGGGGGGUGCGAAUUUAAGAUCAAUUUGGUUGAACUCGUGUGCGUUCUGCGUACGCGAAUAUUAGCCCAAAAUCACCUAAGCUUGCAUGGCACAUUUUUAAUUUCCUUUUAAAUUUUUUGUAAUAGUUUACAAUGAUUAUUUGUGAAUCUUUUGAAUUCAAAGAAUUUGUAACAGCUUCACAAUUAUUUUUGGGUUGUUAUGCAAUUCAAUUUUGAAUUCAAUAGACUGAAUUGAAUUGUUUUUAUUUAGUUGGUUGUUACAACAAUAAAUCAUAUAUAUUGAAUUCGGAAAUUCAAUAUUAUGCUACUGUUACAUACUCACAUGUGUAUAAAAAGACAGCUUCUUCUUCUGUUUUGGACGCACAAGAACAACCAGUACAUAGAGCACUUAAAAAUUUCUUUCCUUCUUCAGACGUCCUGUUUCUAAUCGAGUUUGUACGUUGUAGUGGUUCGUUAGAAUUAUCUGUCUGUGCUUGACGGAUAAUUCGUACCUGUUGUAUCUUGGGAAAUAAACCUAAAACACUACAGUAGGUGGUAAAUAUGUUUUAAGGACACUGUGUUACAGGCCUCAUGUUUAUUUUCUCUGUUUCGUUAAUUUCUAGUUGUUGAUCUUGUUUUUUUUUUAAAUUCCAGUUGUUGUUUUUAGCUGCUGUUUAAUUCUGUUACCAAUUAAUUUCACGUAAAUUACCUAUUGUUCUUAAUUGUUAACUCAAUUUUUUUUAACAUUAUGAAAAUCUGACAUUGCAAUUGAUAAAGACUGUUUUGCCUUUAAAGUCAAGAUUUUGUUAGAAUAAGCUAAAAAUAUGCGAUACAGAGAUAUUUUUCAAAGAAAAAAAUAGGUUUUUGUAGUAUUUAUUUUAGUCAUAUAAUGGUUCCAACAUUUAAGAGGAAUAAAUAGGUUUUGAAAGAAACCCAAAAAAAAGUAUACAGUAAUAAUACCAAAGACUUCUCUGAUUAAAUUUUGCACACUGUUAUUUUCGUCUAAAAAUAUAAUUUUUAAGGUAAUUUGUUUAUUUAAAAAAAGAUUUACUUAUUUAUUUUGGUCUAUGAUAAUUCUAUGAUAUAAGAGUUAUUAUGACACUUUUGCACUUAAAUUAAGAUUACUUAGAGAGUAAAUGAGAUGUUUUUAUUGCAUUUUAGUGGUAUUUUGCAUGAAUAUCUAUUUUAGUUUAUUUUUAAUAAAUUCUACUGUUUUAGAAUAAUUUGUGUGCUUAAAUUGGAUGCAUAAUUGUAGGUGACUGGAAGCUUAAAUUUCAAGGGAGGAAUGUUGUUGCAAUAGACUUACGAAAAUAAGGAAAGAACUUGGCUAAGGAAGAAUUGAAACAAGUUUGGAACAAUGCAGAUGUUGUAGCAACCAUUACUGUAGUAAUCCUGGAGCAUUGACAAAGAAGAUUUCAUGCGAGAUCCUUACAAAAUUGCAAUAUAGAGUUUCCAAAUCUAGAAUAUACGUGCCCUAGACUUCUGGUUGCCCUAAUUUUCAACUAUAAAAGAUGCACACACAAGAGAGAAAAGGGGGGGGGGGCUGUCAACAAAGAAAAAAACUGAAAAGAAACAAGAGAAAAAUAGAAUUCAAGAGCAAGAUUUAGGGCUGUAUUAGAGGAGAAAUUGUAGAGACAAUAAGGGAAAUCAAUCAUUCUUAUUUUUUUCUUGUUUUCUCGUUUACUCUUUAAUCAUAGGGAUAUAUUUAAUGGCUGAAACUCUUUUAUUUAUUUUUCUUUUACAAAACAUGAACUAAAUUUAUUAUGAUUGAGUGAUUAACAAUCUUGAUGGUUCAUUAAAUGAAUAUAUGUGUUGUUGUUGUUUGCUAUAGUACUUUGUUUUGAUAAUUCUUAUUUCUAUUUGUUAUUUUCCUUGACCACCCAUUUAAUGAUACCUAAGAAAGAGCCAAAAAAUGGUAUAUCUGAGUGGAACAUAGCAAAGCAAUACUUAGUUUUAGAUUUAGUUUCCUGAGUUGAGUUUAACCUGAUUUCAAAAGGGUCAUACUUGAUCUAAAAUUAGUGAUGAACUAGAUAUAUGGAUUCACCUUGUACGGUAAUUAGAAUAUGAACGUGUAAUGCUAUAUCUUAUGCUGGCAUAACAAUUGGUCAUAGUUAAGUUGUAUAACGAUAUAAGAUAUUCAAUAAGCGACAGCUAAGGAUACAUAAAGAUUUUGCCUAGUGCUGUAGUAGAUGUUGUAGCAACUGAACCAAACAUUAGAAAAAUAGUCAAAACCAUUAAGUGAGUUUAAUCACUCAACUACUCUAUUCCCAUUAUUUUUAUCUUUGUAUUUGACGUGAGAAUUUUAUUUAUUGCAUUUUUAUUUAUUAGCAUUUUAUUUUAAAUAGAUUCACUAGUUUAAUAAAUUGUCUUAAUUUAAUUUAUAACAAAAUUGCAUUGUUAAGAUUGUAAGAUUGUUGAGCAACUCAUAUAAUAUCAAUCCAUGUAAAGACGAUCUCGAAUGCUUAUCAUAUAUUACUUGUUGUGUAUACUUGCACAUUAAAACUAAUAGUAUUAGAAAAAGUACAGCAGUCUCAUGGCUAAGGCUUUGUUUGGCUUCAAACCUAUCGUUGCUCUAAAAUGGCAAUUUAAUUAUUAAUAGAAAAUUUAUGAAAGCUAAACAUCAAUAUAUAUAUAUAUAUAUAUAUGGGCUCUGUCUAUCAUGGCCCUUAGGCACUGUACCCUGUUUAUUCAUCUAGAUGAAAGAUAGUAAUAUCAUGUAGUUGUGAAUUGGCCACGUGGCACACAAAGCAAACUGGGAUCACAAGUCAUUAGAUAGAAAUUGUUAAUGUAGCAAUUAUUUUAUCCAAGGAAGCAAGAAAAUGUUGGUAUAUAUAACAAUAAAUUAGUUAGGUACAAUAGAAAUUUGUCUAAGCAAAUAGUUAGUUAAGAAUAGUAUGAUGUACAUUAUUUAAAAUUUUGUAGUUGCAAUUGUAAUAAAAUGUAGGUGACUGUAGCAGUAUAUACUAUAUAAUCAAAUGGCUAAAAGUGAUGUUAAUGAAAGUAAAAAUGAUCUAAGAAUGAAAGGAUAUAAAGUAGUUGUAGGAAUUUAGGAGUGUUUAGGAUGCAAUUCGAACUGCUGAAUCCGCCUCCUCCAUAAAAAUUCGAGCAAAAAAGUAAGAAAAAAACCAAGAAAUCACCAAAAUCCGAACCACCACAUGCAGCAAUGCCACUGCCUUUGCCAAGGCCUUUCCUUGAUCAAGACUUCCAUCAAAGUUAAAAAGAGCCGUCAAUCGAAUCCCGAGGAAAAUUGUCAUCGAUUACCCGAAAAAAACUGAAAGAAAUUGACCAUAAUAACCACAAACGCUGUCACUUCCGUUCAUCGUUGUUCGCCAUGCAUUGAUUAACAGCAUCACCAUUAAUCAACUCCUUUCUGCCACCACAGCCUUUCUAACUAUUCACCACCGUUGAUCGACGUAUAGAUAACCGAAAUCGAACACAAAAACCACCACUGCUUGCCUCAAAUUUCUGACCAAACCACCAACUUUAAGAAAAACCUCCACCAGCAUCACACUCACCAUCGUCAAAUCCUCCAUAAUUGCACUGCAUUAAGAUCACUCCCCGACAGCAGUCAAAAGCAAUUGCAGUCACGGUUUAUAGAACCUUAAGACUAAUAACGAAGGCACAACAUAUGGGGGUGGUAGCCUAAUUUUACAUUACUAUUCAUUCUCAAAACCCUAAAUGUUCGAUUAGACUCAAUAUAUUCUAACAGCUUGCCAGCAAGCCGACAAAUAAAAGGGGUACGGUGCCCCUUAAGCAUUGUAGCUAGAUCCAUAUAUAUGUUAGGUAAAAGUUUUUAAUUCUCAUUUUAAGGUAUAUUUAUCAAUAAAUAAUUGUGAAAAAUUACCAGCUUAAAAGCUAAAGUGACAAAGUUCUUGAAACUGAGUUUUCAAAAUAAUAGCUAAAUCAAAUACAGAGCAAGUACGAUUGCGAUUUGCAUGUGUCAGUGGGGAUAUGACCUGUAACCCUAGCUAAAGCCUAAAGCUGGUUGUUUGGAUUUUUAUUUUUGAGUUAAAGCUGCUCUUUCACCAUUACUUCUUGUUCAAAAAUUUAUUAGUGAAGUAGACACGCAACUAAAGUGAAAUUGAGAAAUAAUGAGACAAUAUAAUCACCAAAGUCCUUCAUUUUAAACUCCCUAGCUAUUUGUGCCUUCAGUUCUUGGACUCGAUCUUUGUUGAGGCCUGCUAUCAAUAUAUAUCCAUGUAUAACAGCAGAAUGAUGAAAUCAUUAUCUUCAAGCCUUUUAUAAUAUGCACAAUGGUCUGAACUGAAUCUGUUAUAUCCAAGGCUCGUGAUGAAGGAAUCAAAUCUCUUAUACCAACACCUCGACGUCUGUUUGAGACCACAAAAAGAUUUAUUCAUCCUGCAAACCAAGUUCUCUCUAUCAUUUUCAGCAAAACCUUCUGGUUGGAGCAUGUAAAUUUCUUUUUCAAGUUCUCCAUGAAAAAACGUAGUUUUCACAUCUAACUACUUUAAAUGUGGGUCAAAUGUAGCACACAUCACCAAGACUGUUCUGACUAUUGUGAGUCGAACCACCGGAGAAAAUAUUUCAUUUAAGUCAAUACAUUCUUUAUGAGCAUAUCCUUUCACUACCAAUCUUGCACGAUAUCGUUCUACUUGGUCAUUGCUAUCAUGCUUGAUCUUAUAGACCCAUAUGUUACCCAUGGUUUUUCUUCCAUGUGGUAUGGUACAAGUUUUUAUGUUUAGUUCUUGUAUAGAGCCUCAAUUUCUUCCUACAUUACUGUCAUCCACAAAACAAUAUCUGAAUUGUUUAAAGAUUCAUGGAAAGUUGAUGGCUCUCUAUCCUCUGUUAGAAGACAGUAUGCAACAUUGAUCUCUGUGACAUUAUUGGUUAAUUUUAAACUCAAUUACUAUUGAUGCCAAUGUGAAAGUGUACUUAACAAGUAAUAAAGUGAUGAGUAUUUAAGAUCGUCUCCGCAGGGAUUGAUGUUACUAGAAAUGCUACAACAAUCACAAUAGCACUAUCUAUCUUUAUUUCAAGAUGAACAAAUUUAAUGUUGUUUACUACCAAAAUUAACAAUCGUAAGGAAAUAAAACAAAUAAUUGCAGUAGUAAGAUAAACUAAGUAAAUCACGUAAAAGAAUCAAUUGAGAUGAGGUAAUUGAAUGAUCAAACUCUCUUCAUGGGCUGACUGCUUUUCAUCAUAUUAACACCAGUUGUUACAGUAAUUCCUAUAGCACUGGACAUAAUUAUUUUGCAUCCUUAGCUGUCACGUGUUGGAUUUCUCAUGCCUUUAAGUAUCCUAACAAUGACCAAUUGUUAUUCUACAUGAGGCAUGGCAUUGUGAACAUCCAUUUUAUCAACCCUAUAAAGUGAGUGUCUAUAUCUAGUUCUUCACAAAUCUUAAUUUCAAGUAUAGUCCUUAUGGGAUUCAAGCUAAACUUAAUUCAGGAAACUCAAAUUAAGAUCAAGUUUUACUCUAAUAAUAUCUACUAAGACAAGCCCUUUUGCGGCUCUAUCUUAACUUGAACCAUUAAAUUGGUAGUCAGUCGAGAUAACAGUUAUAAUAAUAGCUACUAGAGUAAAAUGUUAUAGCAAUCAUACAGCAAGACAUAAGAACAGACAAAAACCUAUUCAGAUUAUUUGUCACUCAACUACAAGCAAGUUUAGUUCAUACUUUGAAAUAAAGAAACAAACAAUGAACUAAUGGUCACGAAAUACAUUAGUUCAAUCAAAGAGUAGAGAAAAGAACAAGUAAAGGAUGAUGAAGACUGAAUUUAGAUAACUCUACUGGAUUCUUCACUGCUGCGGACUCAGUUCCUUUGAAUUAUGAUAGUUAUCCCCUUUUCCUCUUGAUUUUUCUCAAUGUUAAUUGAUUGCCGCUGUUUUAUAUGAUGUGCGCCUCUUUUUUAUAACUGAAAUAUAGGGUAAGCAAAAACCUAGGGCGCGCAUGAGUCAAAUUAUGAAACCUUAGAUCGCGAUCCUGUAGAUUUCCUAUGCUAAGUUUCCCUAUUAUUGUUCUAGAAUUGCUAUAGCAAUGGCUGCUUUAGCAACAACUACAGCACUGCAAUGCUCCAGAUUUGGUUUCACUUCUUUUGUGGCCAUAAUCUUUAUCUUUUGUGCCAGCCUAUUGCUUCCGUAUUCUUUCCCUGAAUCAUAAGCUUCUAGAAACCUACGAUUUUGCACACAAUUUGAUCACAAAUUAAUCUAAAUCAAGUAGAACUUAUUAAGACUAAAAUAAAAUGAAUGUUUAUGCAAAAUGUAACAAAAAUACAAUAAAAACACAUCAUUUGCUCUCUAAGUGAUCUUGUUUUUAGUCUAGAAUUGCCGUAGUAACUCUCAUUUCAUAGAGUUAUCAGGCAUAAUCCGAGUACCACAUUGACAGUCGUCUCUCACUAGUUGACCGACGAACUUCUGGAGCCUCGAACUUGACUAGUUCUUGUUCUUCAUGCUCUGGAACUACUUCAGAAGAAUCUGAAUCUUCUGGAUUAUUUUCCACAUAUAUUGGCACAUUUUCUAUCUUGUAUUUUACAAUGUUAUCAUCCUCAUCUCUCCUUUACAGUUGAUCUUCUAUAAAGAUAACAUCUCUACUGAUGAUGAUCUUGUGGGCAAUGGGGUCUCGCAGACAAUGCCUCUUCACUCCAUCAGCAUAUCCCAAAAAGAUACAUUUUCUAGAUUUUGGAUCCAGCUUUGCUCUUUCAUGGGCAUUGUGCAUCACGUAAACAGAAGAUCCAACUGCAUAUAGGUGAGAGUAAUCUACUCGCUUUCCAGUCCACAUCUCUAUAAGAUUUUUCAACCCAAUUUUCAUAAAUGGCACGCCAAACUGUAUGUAAGUGAGAGUAAGUAGUUUUGUAAGCCAUAAUACGCCUGACAGCUCGUCAAACCAUGCCCUCUUCAUGUUUCUCAAUCGCGUGUUUAGGUGCUUUUUAAAGGUUUUGUCACUACCUUAAGCUACCCGUUUUCUCUUGGAUAAGUAGGGGAGCAAAACCUUAAUUUUAUGAUCAGCUUUUUACAAAACUCUUUGAAAUUGUGAUUAUUGAACUGUUUACCAUUAUCUAUUAUAAGCACAUGAGGGAUUCCAUAUCUGCAUACAACAAUCUUCCAAAUGAAGUUGGGUGUCUUCUUUUCUGUGAUCUUACUGAGAGGUUUGACCUCACUCCACUAAGUGAAAUAGUCAAUUACCACAAUGGUAUGAGCAACAGCUCCUUAUCCUUUUAGUAAUAACCUAAUCAGAUUGAUCUCUUAUUGUGUAAAUAGCCAUGAUGAGGACAUUGUAGCUUUUUUUACAUUUGUGCUACAUAACAUGUGAAGAUCUGACAGUUUUUAUAAUGCCCAAUCUUCUCUUGUACAUCCAUGUGCAUUGUCAGCCAAAAAUACCCUUACCUUAAAAAGCCUUCAAUGCUAAAGACCUCACCCCUGAGUGAUUUGCAUAGAUCCCUUCAUGAGUCUCUCUCAACACGUAUCUACUUCAUUAUUAUUCGAGCAUCGGAAGAAAGACAAUUAUAUUUUCGUUUGUACAACACCCCAUCAAUCAAUGUAUACCGGGCUGCUUGGCAUUGAGCUUUCUUCUCAUGUCUUAUCUAUAAGAAAUGUCCCGUCUUGAAUGCACAAGAUUAUUGGAUCCAUCUAUGAGCCAUCUUUAUCUAUCUUCAUCACAUCUGAUUCCUAUUUAAUGCUUGGAGAGGUUUUAACUUCCGUCUUAACUGACUAAGGCAUUCUCGUGUCUGAUGUGGUAGUUAUUUUGGCUCAGAUAUCUACUUGGUAAUUUUUUGUGCUUGAAAUCUACUUUAUGUUAAUAAGCUCGAAUUUCUUCAUUAUUUGCCUGGUCUUCCUCAAGUACGACUAAGAGCAUCUCCAAAAGGCUCUAUAAAUUUUACUCUUCAAAUAUUCAUUUGCUUACCUAUGUGACAAAUAGAUGAGUGAAAAAAAAAAUUGUUCUCCAAAAGACUCUUCAAAUAAAAACGAAUUAAAAUUAUUUUAAUUAAAUAACUAUUUUUUUAAAGGAAAAGUCAAUAGUAAUUAAAGCACAUUUCUCUUUUUCUUCAACAAAAAGUAAUAAAAUAUAAAUUGAAGAGUGAGAAAGUAACUCUUCAAAUUUGAAGAGAGAGUAUCAUUUCUUAUUUGAAAAAUCUUAAUUGGAGUAUAUUUUGGAGCCUUAAAUGUUGAUGUAGCUCUUCAAAUAAGUAAUAAAAUCUUAUUUGAAGAAUCUUUUGAUGAUGCUCUAAUAACUUUAUGAAAUUAGAGUUAUCAUGACAUUUUUAGACUUAAAUCAAUAUUAUUUAAAGAGUAAAUGACAUGUUUUUAUUGCAUUUCAGCUAUAUUUUGCAUGAACAUCCAUUUUAGUUUAUUUUUAAUAAAUUGAAUUAUUUUAAAAUAAUUUGUACUUCGGUUACAUGCAUAAUUAUAGAUGAUCGAAAGCUCAAGUUUUAGGAAAAGAAUGUUGUUGCAACAAACUUGCAGAGACAAUAAAAGAACUUGAAUACAAAGGAAUUGAAACAAAUUUGGAACAAUGCAGAUGUUGUAGUCGUUGUUAUAGCAAUUCUGGGUCAAUGAUAGAUUGGAUUGGCACGCAUCAACUAAAAGAUUGCGAUCUAAAGUUUCCAAAAAUGGAGGAUACACACCAUAUUCUUUCGGUUGCCCUAAUUAUAAGUUAUAAAAGGAGUACGCUUGCAAUGGAAAAAAGGAGCCAUCAAUCAAGGAGAAAAUUUGCAAAAAAAACAACUUGAGAACAAAAAUCAUGAGAUAGAUUAAAAGCUGAAACAAAGGAGAAAUCACAUAAAUCAAUUAGAAAUCAAUUCUUUUUCUUAUUUUCUUGUUUACUAUUUAUUUAUAGGGAUGUAUUUGAUAGUUGAACCAAUGUUAUUUACUGUUUUAUCUUAAAUUAUGAAUUGAAUUUGAUUGUGCUUGAGUGAUAAAUGGUCUUAAUGGAUGUUUGACUGACAUAUGCGUGUUGCUCUGUGUUUGCUACAUCAUUUUAUCUUGAUUGUAUUUAUUUUAAUUUUCUAUUUCAACUGACCACCCAUUUAGUGGAUACUAGUUACGAAAGAGCUUAAAAAAAGUCUGACUUAAUGGAUUUUAUUAAGACAACACUUGGUUUUAGAUUAUGUUUUCCAAGUUGAGUGAAUCUCAAUUUGAUUGGGGUCAUGCUUGAUAUGAAAUUAGUGAUGAACUAGACAUAAAGAUUCACCUUAUAGGGUAAAUGGAACCUAGAUUAUUUAAUGUUAUAUUUAAUAUUAGCGUAACAAUUGGUCACUGUUAGGUUGCAUUAGAUAUAAGAUAUCCAACAGGCAACAAGUGAUGAUGCAUGAGGGAUUCUACCCAGUGUUGUAGUGGAUGCUGUAGCAAUAGUACUAUAAUUGAAAAAUAGUCAAUGCCAUUAAGUGAGUUUGUUCACUCAACUACUCUAUUUCUAUUGGUUACAUUCUUGUGUUUGAUGUGGGAAUUUUCUUUAUUGCAUUUUCUUUAUUGUAUUUUUUUAAUUAGUGUAUUAGUUUUAUAAAUUAUCUUAUUUUAAUUUAGAACAAAACUGCACUAUUAAGGUUGCUAUAGUAAAUCUGAUAACAUCAAUUCCUAUGGAGACGAUCUGAAUACUCAUCAAUAUAUUACUUGUUGCGUAUACUUGCACAUUGACACCCAUAGUAUUAGAGAUUUUCAUACCAACAACUUUAUAUUCUCGUCCUUGGCUUGGAAGUUCUCAUUCAAAUGAUUGGUGAUGAGCUGGGAAUUUAUUUGAAUCCUCACUCUAUUUGCUCGCACAACUUAAGUUAACUUCAAUCUUACUAUGAAGGCUUUAUACUCCACCUAAUUAUUAGUUUUGUUAAAUUUAAACCUUAAGGCAUAUGAAACCUCUUCUCCUCCAGGCUUCUAAAAAUCACUCCUGCCCAUACUCUUUAGUCAUUAGAAGAACCAUCCACAGUGAUUGGCCAGAUCCUGUCUGCACUUCUGCUUGAAAAAAAUUGUGCAUUAUUGACCUCCACAUCUGGUUCUGUGAACUCGACUACAAACUCUGCUAGUGCCUAUGCUUUGAUCGUUGCUUGUGACCUAUAACUUAUUUAAACUCACUCAAUUCCACCGAUCAUUUCACAAAGUGCCUGGAAGCUUUGGGUUUAUGUAAUAUUUGAUGAAAGGUCAAUUCAUCAUUAUAAUAACUAGAUACACCUAAAAGUAUGGCUUAAGUUUGCAAGCGGCUAUGAUUAGCGCUGGGGCCCAUUUUUCCCUCUUUAUAUGCAUGUUUCUACAGUAAAAUAGAGUUUUCCUAAUGUAAUACACUGGGUGUUGGAUUCUUAUUUCCUCUCUUACCAAAACUGAACUUGUGGACACUGCUAAGCACAAAUACAAUGUAUCACUUUCUAGUUGUGUUGACAGCAAUGGGGCCUUGAGGCGACACUUCUUUAACUGAUGAAAUGCCUUCUUGUACUCUUGUGUCCUUUCGGUCUCAUUUCCUUUCCUCAUUACAUAAAAUAAGACGUGGCACUUAUAUGUUGCCCUAAACAUGAAUCGAUUUAGUGCUGCAAGUUUUCUCAUAAGGCUUUCUAUGUCCUUAAGUGUUCGAAUAGACUUCAUCUCUACACCACACGAAUUUUCUUGGGAUUUACCUCGAUCCAUUAUGACUUUCCAUGUGCCCUAAAACUUUCCAAAGCCAACUUCAAAUACACACUUCUCAUGGGUGAGCUUUAUUUUAUAUUUCGUUAAUAGCCCAAAGGUCUCUUCCAAAUGCAUUGUAUGCUCAAUCGGGUUUUUAAACUUGGUGAUCAUAUCAUCUAUGUACGCCUAUAUAGUGCACUCGAUAAGUGGCUUGAAUGUUUUAUUUACCAGCCUCUGGUAUGUUGCUGCAACAUUCUCAAGACCAAAAGGCAUUACCAUGUAACAAAACAAUCCCUAGUUAAUAAUAAAUGAAGUUUAUUCUUCGUCCUACUCAAACAUGAGGAUUUGGUUAUAGCCUACGAGAGUGUUCAUAAAGCUAAGAAAGCUAUGACUCACGGUAGAGUCUACUAUGUUAACAUGAAUAUAUUAAUAAUAUUGAUUUUGAUGAUAACAAAUUUUAAAUGGUUUUUGAUAAAAAUGUUGGAGUUAUUCCUUAAUAAACGAAAGCCUUAACAAUCAUUCCAUUCUUAUUCAUAAAAGAUGGACUUUCAACUUAGAAAAAGAUUCUCUGCAAAAUCUGGUUUAAAAUGUGAUUCUGGAAAUAAACGGUGAACCGUUUCCUUUUAAACGGUUAACCGAUUAGUACAAGAGAACAACAUAUUGCUUAAGCUCAAACCGUUUAUGAAAAAUGGAAAACACAACCGGUUAAGACUAAAUUAUUUUGCAGGUUACUGGAAACAAACAGCGAACCGUUUAUUACAAACGGUCAACCGAUAAUAUCCAGAGAAGUCAUUUCAUGAAAAUCCUUAACCGUUUACUUUAAACGGAUAACUGAUGUUCAUCUUGCAGGUCUCUGGAAUUUAACGGCGAGAGGGUAACCCUUAACGGCACACCGUUUAUUUGAAUUUGGCCCAACGGUAACUUUUGACCAACCUAAACGGUUAACCGUUAAUGGUUAACGGCGAACCGUUUUCGGACUGACAGUUUGUAACGGCUAGUUUUUCAGCUUCAAAUAUAAAUAAGCUCAUUCAAAUUCAAAGAAGAUUGAUCACAAUACGACUAUUGAGCUUAUACUUGAGAGUACAAUUUUCAUUGAGCUUUAAAAUACAUUCUUGCUUUAUCUAUUCACAUAUUGGGUAUUAUUUUGUAAUCUUAAAUACUGUGAGAGGCAAAACUAGUUUAUAAUCUAUUAUCUUUGAGUGAUUUUAAGUGUUGGGAUGCACUUGGGUUAAGAGAUUAGAAUAAUCUCUUGUUGUAAAGGUUAUUGACACCUUGGAAGUCAAAUGUAAGCAUUUGAAGCCUUGGAGGCUUGCUUAGUGGAAUCCUCAAGCUCGGAAAGCUUGGAGGCGUGGACGUAGGCAAGGUUGGCCGAACCACGUAAAAAUCUCAGUGUUUGAAUCUCUCUUCCUUUAUCCUUUUUGUUGUGGUUAACUCAUUUGUUAUUGCUUUGAAUUUGUUUCGUAUUUGCAUUGAGAUUUUAAAUUAUAAAUUGAAUAAUUUUUUAGAAUUCUAAUUCACCCCCCCCCCUCUUGGGUUGCAUAACUAGUAUUUCAUACUAGCUGGUCAAUUUUAAGAAGCCAUCUUUAGAGCAUGCCUUCUUGAGGUCUAUGAAGUAAAUGAAUAUUCUAAAUUUUCCAUUGGCUUACUUCAUUAGGACCACAUUGGAAAUCUAUUUAGGUUUGUUUACUUCCUCGAUGAAGCCUACUUUCAGCAGCUUUUCUACUUUAUUGUUUAUGGCAUCGUGUCUCAAUAAAUUAAAGUAACUUUUUUCUAUUUCAUGAGUCUUGCAUCUCUACUCAUCGCCAGCUUAUGACAAGCCAUCUUGGGAUCGAUUCCUGGCAUGUUUUUAUCCGAUAAGGCGAAUACAUCAGUAUAAACUCACAAGCAUUUGACCAACCUUGCUUUUUAAUUCAUUCCUUAAUUUUGAUCCAAUCUUGCAGUUUUCUUUGAUCACCCUACUUUAUUCUCACUAUUUUCACUUUUUCAAUAGGAUCAUGUCAUCUCUUCUUGGAGUCUCCUUGCAAAUCUAAGGAGAUUAUCUACUUGGUUUCUCUAACCGCGGUCGCAUAGCACCCUCUAGCAAUCUUCUAGUCACAUUUCACGACUCUUACCAUAUUAUUUACUCGGUACCUAAGUGCUAAGUAAUGAUUAGACAUUACUGUUAUGCUAAUCCUCAAGAAAGGCCUACUAAAAAUUAUUUAGUACGAAUUGUCUUCUAUAACCACCACGAAGUUAAGCAUCAUAAUCGUCUUGAAUAGUCUAAUACCUAUUGUUAUUGGUAGCUUCACAACCCCAUGAGACUCAGCCGUCUUUCACCAAAUCCCUUCAAGAAGGUACUGGUGUGCUCUAGUCUCAAGUAAGUAAUUCCCAUCUCGUCUAGGGUAGAUUUAAAGAUAUCCACUAAGCUUUCUGAAUCCACAUGUAUUCUAUUAAACUCCUUGCUCGCAACGUUGCCUUUUAUCACCAGGGCAUCCUCAUGUGAGUACAAUACUCUCUUCUCCUUGUCUUAUGUCCACAUAAUUAGGACUUGAUUGGUUUUUGCUCACUUUGGUGCUGGCAUGUUGAAGAGCACAUCACGGUUGAUCAUUGCAUAUCUUUUGUAAGUUUUGUGAGCUUUGUUUGAAUCUUCGGCUAAUGUUGGGCCUCUUACAAUGACUUUUUUCACUGGCUGCUCGUGAUCCAUAUCAUCAACAUUGCCUUUUGCAGUAAAUUGUUAAUCUGUAACAGGGUGAGAACCAUCAAUGAAUUCAUGAAGGUAAUAAUUUCUUACAGGAUCCUCUAUUUGGUUCUUAAAGUUAUACCACUGGAUUAUAAUGUGGUUGUGAGUGUCAUAGAUCUCAUAUAAUCUACUUCGAUCUCACAUGUUAGAAGCCUUUGUGAAUGGUGUAAGGGGAUAUAAUAAACCCCGAUCCUUAUUACAUAGUAUAGUAAUGAAAAUUUUAAGGGUGUGUACUACUUAUAGGCAAUGCUCUAGUCAAUCAUCUGCAUAGCUUUGUCCUUUGGGAAAUUACUCUGAGAAAGGGGAAGAGGUAGCAGGUGAUGCCUAUUGAAUCUGAUGUCUUUUGAAUGGUUGGUUGUUGAGUGUUAUGGUAAGGUUAUUUGAUGGUCGAUUGUGCUCUUCCCAGUGGCCUCGAUUUUGAAGGUGAUUUAGUAAAAGUCUUUCUUGAUGAAAUAGAGAAGGUUUAGGGUGACGCAUGUAGGAAUCUGCUCUCACGUCUAUUUCUUUACUCGUAUUUAGUUUUUCAUUACACUUAAUUGACCCACCCUUUUUCCAUGCUCUUUUUUCCUUGCACCUUAUCUCUUUCAGCUACUCGCUCCUCAUUCUUGCGACAUUUUUCCUUUCAAUCUCUAUGUCUCUCUUUGCUUACUCGUAAGCUGCAGAAUAAGAUUAGGUCACAGGGCUCCUCAAAUUAUACCACAAAUGCCCUAUCUUUAUUCCUUACUUCAAGCCCUUCAAGGCUUGAAGAUAGUUAAAGGCUUCAAGGUCGAGGAUCGCUCGAUGAUAGUGUUAGCCUAAAAGGGCUACACAUAAUGUAAUUUUGACGAUAACAAACAUGUGUCAUAAGUGAUUUAAUAAAUAUUGUAUUUCACAAGUUCUUGAAGGAUAAUGUUUAUACAAGUGAAUCAAAUGAAAUUAAGUUCAAGACACUCAACGGACAACAGCACAAGUUCUUGAAGGGUAAUGUUUAUACAAGUGAAUCAAAUGAAAUUAAGUUUAAGACACUCAAUGGACAACAACACAAUCAAGAAUAAAGUUUAGAGCUCAACGGACUCAUUAUUGCGAUAAUUCUUGUAAAGCCGGUAUAAUUUAAUAGAUGAAUGAUUUAGCAUUUGAGAAGUUCAAGAUUGUAUUUAAUAAAUUAUCAAUUUUCAUAAACCAAAGGUUUUAUAAUUAUAAGCUCAAGAUUUUAUUUAAUAAAUCAUCAUUUUUCAUAAACCAAAGGUUUUACAAUUAUAAGCCAAGUAUUUUAUGCAAUUAAGUUGUUUUUCAAGAUAUGAACUAAAAUGAAAAACUUCUACAAUCUUUGAUUUUAAUAAGUAUUGUUUUGAGUUCUGGAGUUGGACUUAUUUAUAAAUAUUUCAAACAAUUUGGGCCAUAUUAUAAUUUAUUAAAAUUUGAGGACCCGAAUGUAAUUCACAAAUAUGAAAUCCAAAAUUGGAUAGAGAGUGAGUGACUAACCGCUUGAGGGCUAGUGGCCAGCCGCUUAAGGAAAAUCUCAUAUUUUCAAGUUUUGGACUAAAGUGAAAGGUUUUGAGAACUUUGAAAAAUAUGGGUAUUAUACUAGAUUUUAAAAAGAACUUCUUUGGAAAAUAAUAAUUUAUUUCGGGCCAUAUCAUAAUUUCAGAAACGUUUUGGAAUGGACCUAUUUGUAAAUUUUUAUGACAUUUUGGGCUAUAGUAUAAUUAUAGAAAGUUUUGGACUAAAUUGUAAUUUUAGUGAACAUUGGUAUUGUAGCAAAAUUCAAAUUUAACGGUAAUAUCACUGGUACAAGCGGCUAGCUGGAUAAAUCAAUCGGUUAACUGCUUGGUUGCGGGAAUUUACCUGUAACAGCUAGUUUUUUUAGCUUUAACUAUAAAAACUCAACUCCAACUUUAUUUUAGAGACUCAAGCAAACAUAAACAAGUGCAAAUAACAUAUAUUGAGUUUCCAUUUCGCAAAUCAUAUAAAUGGAAUCAUUAUUAUGCUAUUAUUUGCGUAUCCACUCUUAAAGAGAGUUUCAUUAUUAUAAUUUUCAUUUCUCAUCAAAUUGUGAGUGUACAAGUGUGAGAAACACUUAGGGUGAAGAGAUUGAGAGAUAAUCUCUUGAUUGUAAAGGUCUAUUGACACCUUGGAAGUCAAUUGUAAAGAACUUGAAGCAUUUGGAGGCGUGGACGUAGACGGGAUUUACCGAACCACGUAAAAAUUAUUGUGUUUGCUCUCUCUUCUCUUACUCUUUUAUUAUUGUGCAUUAUUCAACUUAUUGUUUUUUAUUUGAUUAAGGCAAUAGAUUAAAUUGUUGUGUAAAUUGUUUAGUACAAAAUUUAAAAUCCCACUUCACCCCUCCUUUUGGGUUGCAUAACUUGCAUUUCAGAUACCUUUUGACAAAUUCUCUAAGGGUCUCAUCCUCACCCUAUUUGAUUUAUAUCAGCUCUAUCAUAUCAUCUUUUGGAGUUAGCCCUCCCUGGAAUUGAUCCGCAAAAUCUCUACACAUCUGCUUGAAGCUUUUUAUAUUAUCGCACGGCAUCCUUCGAUACCAAACUCGUACUUGCCUUUCCAAUAUUAGUGGAAAUGCUCUACAUCUCUGCAGCCAAUCAAGCCUUGCCCUCCAGUCAUGUCAUUGAAUCAUUUGAUGUGCACCAAAAGAUCACUUUUCCCAGAGUAUUUGAGAACAGGAAAGCGGAAAUCUUGUGUGUAUAAUUUUCAUUGAUAGCAAGGAUUUGUUGUCUAGCAUGAUUCUCCAACUUAGAGCCCUUCCCCGAUCUUGCAUCUCCUCAAUGACUUAUGGUAGCCUUUGCACCUCACCUUCCAAUUCCCUUGCUCGAUUAGGAUUUUGCUCAACUACUUGUUCACGUUCUUGUUCAACAUCUCGCAAAUGCUGACAUAACUCUCUUUCUUCCAUGUUUACUUCCGCGUUUGCAUUUACUAGGCAUGUGUGAAUGUCAAGUACGAUGAUUGCAUAUACUCACCAUGAGGUAUGUGUGAAUGUCAAGAAUCAUUAUUAUAACAUUUGCAUUUAUUGGAAGAAAUCAUGACCAUUAUGGGUUACAUAAUUUGGAAGAUGACAAGUUCGUGAUUUAUGAUGAUUUCUUCAGAAGAAGAUGGAUCCACAACUUAUGAUGAUUUUGUACCAUGGUUCAAAAGAUGAUGGAUCCAUCACGUACGUGAAAUAUAAGUGUGCAACCCAAGAGGGAGCGUGAAUUGGAAUUUUAAAAAAUAUCCUAGCAAAUCCACACACCAAGCAAUCUAAUGUCUUAAUAAAAAUUGAAAGCAAUAAGUUCAAUAAAAGCACAAUAACUAAUGAGUAAGGGAGAAGAGAAACAAACACAUAAAUUUUUACGUGGUUCGGUAAUCCCCGCCUACAUCCACGUCUCCAAGCGAUCCAAGCUUGAGGAUUUCAUUAUUCAAACCUUUCCAAGGCUUCAACCAUUUACAAUUGACUUCAAGGUGUCAAUGAACCUUUACAACAAAGAGAUUAUCUCCCAAUCUUUUCACUCAAGUAUCUCACACACUCAAACUCUUACAAUUAAGAUGAAGAAAUGAAAGUUACAAUAAAACUUACUCAAAGAGUAGAUAUUCAAAAAUGAAGAACAAGAAAUGAUUUAAUGUUUUGUGAUUUGCAAAUUGAAAGCUCAAGAUAUCUCAUUUGCUUUUUGUUUAUGCUUGUUGGAGAGCUUGAAAAUGAGUUAGAUUUGAGUUUUUAUAGUUUAAGCUCAAAAACUAGCCGUUAUGCACAUUUUGGUCGUAAUCGCCUUGCCGUUUAGGAAUUCGGCAUGCUGCUUUUAUGUUACCGUUAAGGCAAAAAUUUGAAUUUCAGAAUAUCCAGCAUGCCAUUUUUCAUAUCUGAUAAGUCGCUUUUGAAAUCCGGAUUGCCACUUGUGAAAUCCAGAUAGCCGUUUAUGCUCCAGAAGCUUACUGCUCAAAAUUCAGUUUGCCGUUUAACAUAUCCGGUAAGCCGCUUGCUACACUGACUGCUACAGUGAACUAUUUUUUAAAAUUAUAGUUUGGCCCCAAAACUUUACAUAAUUGUAGUGUGACCCAAAACGUUAUGAAAACUUUCAAAUAUGUCCAAUUUCAGAAUUUUAAAAAAUGCUUUGUCAAUCCCAAAAAUUUCUGAAAUUAUGAUUUCACCCAAACUAUGUGAAAUUAUAGAAUGACCCAAAAUAUUUAAAUAGUUUCAAAUAGGUCCAAAUCCGAAAUUUAAAACCCUAUCAAAAAUUUAAAAAUACUUUCAUUUUAGUCCAAAAUACUUUAAUUCCAUAACAUCAUUUUCUUAUUAUAAAAGCACAAAUCAUAAAUCUUUGCUUAAUCAAUACAUGUGGUUUGUUAUCAUCAAAAUCAAUAUUUAUAAUCAUAUAGGCUAAUAAUCUCCCCCUUUUUUAUGAUGACAAAACACAUUAUAAAAAAUUUAAUCUAAUUAUGAAAAGCUCCCCCUUAAUCAAUGUAAGUUAAAAAAAAUUAAUUUGAAAAUUAUUUAACAAGACUCCCUCUGCAUACAUGCAUACUACCCCUGGAUACAUGCAUAUUGUCAUAACACUUUUUAUAACAACACAUAUUAAAUUAUUCUCCCCCUUCAUCAUAAAAAAGAAUAAAAGCUCCCUCUAUCAAUCAUCAAAGUCGCAAUGCAAACACGUUAGUUAAAAAAAAAUAUCCAUAAGCAUAAGGAAAUCCAUAUAAUCCAUAACAAAUAAUAAAAACAAAUCCAUAUCAUCCAAAACAAAUACAUAAUCCAAAAGCAAAAUAACCAUCCAUAGAGUUGAAGAUAAAAGAACAUAAUGUAGUAAAUGAAAUAUAGGUGUGUCCAAAUACAAGCAUAAGAAACUACUCAGGUGGUGAGGAUGGAGGUGGAAAUGGAUAUGGAAUGCCGAAGUGCUCAAAGAGAAGGCGUUGUCCAUGAAUGAGCUGCUGCUGCUGCUGAAACUCAGUCUGCCGCAAAGAGAGUGUCCGCACCUCAUCCAUAAGCUGUUGAAGAGUAACCUCUUCAGAGGUAGGAGGUUGUGGAGGUGAUGAAGUGGAUGCAGAGGCACCAGAAGCUAAAGUAAUCAUGGCAGGAUCUCGGCGUCUACGCUGCCCUCGAAAUGAGAGUGAGAAAAUGGGUAGCUGAUUGGCUGGAACCACAACAUUAAAUGGCCGAUCAUCACUUGGAGCAAGAAAGAUAAACUUGUUCUCAGUGUAUUUGACCCAAGUGCCAUUUUUUCACUCAAAGCCUAAGCCGAAAAUAACAUCAUCCCCAAUACCCUUAGACGGUCUACAUGAUGGUUCUAGAAUCGACACAUUAAAAAAUUUAAGGAUACGGGUAAUGAAGUGACCAUAUGGAAGGGAGAGGGUAAUCAAGGCAGGUAUGGUCAACAUGGUGCGGAUGAUGGUAUAGCCCAAGUUAACCGGACGACGUCUAAGAAUACAGUCAAUCAAAGCAACGUCCAUGUGAGAAACCUCAUCCAAAUGCCCUAAUCUAGGAAGUACGAUGGACUGAAUAAUGCAAAGCAAAAUGCGAGUUUGAAGACAAAGACACUGAGUGCGGAAAUAAAUGGUACAGUCUUCAACAGAAAGAUCAUUACGCCGAAAAAUAUUACGAACGGCGUCAAUAUGAACAUAACUAUCAAGUUUAGGAGAUUUCCUAGGCGAAUAGAUUUCUAGGCCAAAAUCGGAUGAUCCUAUAAUAGAGUUUAACAGAGAAACGUCAAAAUCAAUCAUAACUCCUCCAACAUUGGUGAUUACUCGAGUCUUGUUCCCCUCGAAAACUUCCAUAUUUGAGUAAAACAUUUUCACCAAGUCGGGAUACACAUUCUCCUCAAUCAAAAGUGCAUAAAUCCAACCAACAUCUUCCAACAAUUGAAAUAAAUUUCUAUGACUGAUAUUGAGAGUAUGCAUCACAUCCGGUAAAACAUAAAACGUAUUGAGUACCUCACGAGUUCUGAAGCUUUAUUGAAACCGUUUGAUCAAAUAUUUCUUGUUCUGAAAGUAAGUGGACUCAAAAUUGGAUUGAUUGGAGGUGCCCCUUGCUUCCCGUGACCGGUCAGUUUGUUGAACCGGUUCUUUGCCUUUUCUUCGAACCGGCCGUGAGUUUGACAUUGGGAUUUUGAUUGAUUUAAAGUUGAAAAAGACAAAGAGAGUGAAGAUGAUGAAGAUUGAGAGUGAUUUUGAGAAGCAAUUUGGAUAAAAAAGGCUUGAGAUUAAGAAAUUUAGAGAGAGAAAAAUUAGCUGAAAAACCUAGAUUAAAUUUGGGAUAUAGAGAUUUAGAUGUUGAAAAUGGAGUUUAAGGAUGAUUUUGAGUAAAUGAAGUGAUGGGGAAUGAUUUUCAUGACUCAAUUUGAUGCGAAAAAGGAAGAGGAUGAUGGAUUUUGGAGUGAGAUAGAGUGAGGAGCAAAUGGUUUUUAGAGAGAGAGAGAGAUCCGGUUGGCCAAAUGAGAGGGAGAAGAUGAACAGUUUAUAUAGCUCCCGAAUCCGGCUUGCCGGAUGCCUUUAACCAGAAAUCUGGUUAUGUUCCAGCAAGGUCUUCACACGAAUCCGGCUAACCGGAUAUCACUAACCGGUUAGCCGGUUAUGGGACAUAAAGCAAAUUCACGUAUCCGGCUUUCCAGUUUAUCUAACCAGUAGUUCGGUUUUGAGGCAGAGAGUUGCCUUUCGAAUUCGGUUUGCUGGAUUUACGAACCGGUUAGUCGGCUGUUUGGCAUAACCAUUCAAACCGUAACCGAUUUUCCGGAUUUGAAGAACCGGCUGUCCGGUUUUGAGGCAGAGAGGAGGCUUAGCAAAUCCAGUUUUCCGAAUUGAAAAUUCGAUUAUCCGAAUGUUGACCCGAGAGCAACCAAUGCUAAUCCGGCUUACCGGUUUGCUAAAUCCGGUUAUCUGGAAUUUGUCCCGAGAGAAAUCAAUAAGAAAACAUUUUUCCGGAUGAGAGGAAGUGGUAUACCGGUUUAGACUUGGAAAUCGUUUUGACUCUAAUUGAAUUUUGGCAAGCUCUUAUACUUGUAUUACACACACUAUUUUAUUUUUGGCUUUUAAAAUUGAUUAAUUGUAAAUCAUUUUGAGAUUUAAAACUUUUUAAUAAGUCAUUUAAUGCAUCAAACAUAAAAUCAUAAAAUUACAAGCAUAUCAAGCUAUAUAAUUCAUGAAGCAUAAAUCCAUAUAAUAACAAACAUAUCAAGCCAUGAAGUAAAACAUAAGUCAAGAUGCAACAUUCAUCAUUCCAAGCUCAUGUCUUAUCUUUAUAAAAUGCUCUUCGCUAAGAGGUUUUAUAAAGAUAUCCGCAACCUGAUUUUCAGUAUAAACACAUUUAAUUACAACAUCUCCGUUUUGAACAUGAUCUCUAAGGAAAUUAAGUCUAAUUUCUAUAUGCUUAGUCCUAGAAUGUUGAAUGGGAUUCUUAGAAAGAUUUAUAACACUAGUAUUGUCACACAAGAUAGGUAUUUGAUCAAGUUUAAUACCAUAGUCUCUAAGGGUUUGUUUCAUCCAAAGAAUUUGUGCACAACAACUACCUGCGGCAAUAUAUUAUGCCUCGUUGGUUGAAAGCGCAACCGAGUUUUGUUUCUUACUAAACCAAGAGACAAGAGAAUGGCCUAGGAAGUGACAUGUUCCACUAGUACUUUUUCUAUCAACCUUAUGUCCAGUAAAAUCGGCAUCUGAAUAACAAGUUAAGUCAAUAUGAGUUCCCCUAGAAUACCAAAGGCCAAGAUUAAUGGUGCCAAUCCAAUAUCAAAAAAUGCGUUUGACAUCAAGCAUGUGUGACUCUUUAGGACAAGAUUGAAAUCUAGCACACAAGCAUACACUAAACAUAAUAUCAGUCCUACUAGUAGUUAAGUAAAGUAAGGAUCCGAUCAUACCUCGAUAUGUCUUGAUAUCAACUUCUUUACCUUUCUCAUCUUUGUCCAGCUUGAUAGUAGUACUCAUUGGAGUGCUUUUUGCCGUUCCAUUAUCAUAGCCAAAUCUUUUGCGUAGAUCUUUCACGUACUUGGCUUGAUUUAUGAAAAUCCCUUCCUCGUUUUGUUUGAUUUGAAGUCCAAGGAAGUACUUCAACUCUCCCAUCAUACUCAUCUCAAAUUCUUUGCUCAUAUAUGAUGAAAAAUCUUUGCAUAAUAACUCAUUAGUAGAACAAAAAAUAAUAUCAUCAACAUAAAUUUGAACAAUAAAUAUAUCUUGGUUCUUAUGCUUAACAAAUAAAGUUGUGUCCGCUUUUCCCAUCGAAAAAUCGUUAUCCAAUAAGAAGUUUUUAAGCCUAUCAUACCAAGCUCUAGGUGCUUAUUUUAGACCAUACAAAACCUUAGAUAACUUAUACACAUGAUUUGAAAAUUUUUCAUUUUCAAAACCAGGAGGUUGUUUCAUAUAAACUUCCUCUAUAAUAUAACCAUUUAAGAAAGCACUAUUGACAUCCAUUUGAUAUAAAAUAAAAUCCUUAUGACAUGCAUAUGCUAACAACAUCCUAAUCGAUUCUAACCUUACUACAGGUGCAAAUGUUUCAUCAAAAUCAAUUCCUUAUUCUUGGUUGUAACCUUGAGCCACUAAUUUAGCUUUAUUUCUUACAACCACACCUGAUUCAUCCAUUUUGUUUCUAAAUACCCAUUUAGUACCUAUAAUAGAUUGAUGUUCUGGAUUAAGAACUAAUUCCCACAUAUUGUUUCUCUCAAAUUGAUUCAACUCCUCUUGCAUUGCCAUAAUCUAAGAUUCAUCAUUUUCUACAUCCACAAAAGAUUUUAGUUCAAUUUGAGAAAUAAAUGCAGCAUGCUCACAUGUGUUCCUAAGAGAUGAUCUAGUGGUAACACCUCGUGAGGGAUCUCCUAAAAUUACAUCCUUAGGGUGAAAGGAAACAUACCUCCACUCUUUGGGGAAUGUUUGAGAAAUACCUUCAUUUUGCUCUACAUUUGUUUCUUCAUGAUGUUCCUCUCGAAUUCCAUGUGGUGUGUCUUUUUUGUUGUCAUUUGAUGCUUCUUCUUAUUGUUCUUCUUCUGCAUUAUCAUCAACAAUGACUUUCUUCGUAGAUGAGGGGUUAGAUUCAUCAAAUGUAACAUGCAUAGAUUCUUCCACAACUAAAGUUUUUUUAUUAUAAACUCUAUAAGAUUUGCUUGAAUUUGAAUAACCAAGAAAAAUAUCAACAUCAGAUUUUGGAUCAAAUUUACUAAGAUUAUCUUUUGUGUUCAAAACAAAACAUUUGCAUCCAAAAACUUUAAAAUAGCCAAUGUUGGGUUUUCUAUCUUUCCAAAGCUUAUAUGGAGUUUUAUUAAGAUUAGGUCUAAUCAACACACGAUUCAAAACAUAACAAGCGGUAUUGACGGCUUCAGCCCAAAAAUACUUAGGCAAAGAAUUUUCAUUCAACGUAUUCCUAACCAUUUCUUGAAUAGACUUAUUCUUUCUCUCUACUACUUCAUUUUGUUGUGGAGUCCUAGGUGAUGAAAAUUGAUGUUCAAUGCUAAAGUCAUUACAAAAAAUUUCAAAUGCAUGAUUUUCAAAUUCUCCACCAUGAUCACUUUUAAUACAAGUAAUAGAAUAACCUUUUUCAUUUUGAACCUUUUUAUAGAAAAUUCGAAAUGCAUCAAUGGCAUCAUCCUUAUUAGCUAAGAACAAUACCCAUGUGUAUCUAGAAUAAUCAUCCACAAUUAUAAAUUAAUAAAAUUUGCCACUUAAACUAGCAUAUCUAGAAGGUCCAAACAAAUUUAUGUGAAGUAAUUGAAGUGGUUUUGAAGUAAAGACAUGAUUCUUGUUUUUUAAGGAAGUUUUGAUUUGUUUUCCAAAUUAGCAAGCUUCACAAAUUCUAUCUUUUUGAAAAUUGAUUUUUGGAAGACCUUUAAUGAAAUCAUUUUUCACGAUUUUUAAAAUCAAAUCUAUGCUUGCAUGACCUAAUCUUCUAUGCCACAACCAACCAUCAUCAUGCAAUACGGAGAAACAUUUAUCAUUUGUCGAUGCACAAUCUAUAUUAAUGGUAUAGACAUUAACACAUUUAUUUCCAACAAACAAAACUUUCCCAUCACAUGCAUUCUCAAUAACACAUUUUGAUUCAUCAAAGAUAACUCUCUAUCGCUUAUCACAUAAUUGACUAAUACUAAGCAAGUUGUGUUUCAAGUUUUAACCAAAUGAGAGUAGAUGAUACAUUACCAACAUUUCCAAUGCCAAUGAUUUUUCCUUUUGAAUUAUCUCCAAAUGAUACAUCUCCAUCAUUUUCGAUCUUAGUAAAACUUGAAAACUAAGAAUAAUUCCAUGUCAUGUGUCUUGAACAACCGUUGUCCAAGUACCACUUAUUCUUCUUCUUCUUCAAGCCCUGUAGAGAAAAUCUCAAGUUUUAGGUACCCAAACCUUUUUGGGUCCUUGAGAGUUAGCAAUGGUUCCUUUUGGAACCCAAACACAUUUCACACCAUAAUAUGCAUUUCUCUUCAUUGCACAUCUAUUUUUCAUAUGACCAUCUUGAUUACAAUAAUGACAUACAAUUUAAUUGUUAAUAGAUGUAUUCUUUACAAAAUAACUCUUGUAAAAUUUUUGUUUCAAAUUUGGUUUAUAACCAAUGCCACUUUUGUCAAAUGCACAUUUUUGUGAGUUUAGCAAAUUGUCCAACAUCUUUUGCCCAUUUGUGAAUUUUAUCACAAUUUCAUUUAGUUCAUUGCUCUUCUUUCUAAGCAUCUUAUUUUCAUUUUUCAAGUCAUUCAUGUGUGACUUCAAGUGCUCAUGUGGAGUGCUCGAAUUCUCAAAUAAUGCAAUGCUAUCAUGCAAUGUUUUAUUUUCUAAUUCUAGGCAUGUAAUCUUUGCACUAAAUGAUUCAUUUUCAUUUUGAAGUUCUAUCAUCUUCUUUUUAAGACAUAUAUUCUUUUUACCAAUUUUCAUCAGCUCAUCAUGCAAAUCCUUAAAGGCAUUAUGUAAUUCAUCAUAUUUAGGAAGAACACUUACCUCAUCAAGUUCAUUACAUGAUUCUUCCUCAAAGGUCAUGAGAGCUAAAUUUAUCAUUUCUUGUUGUUCAUCAUCAUCACUUGUUUCCUCAUCGCUAUCAUCCCACGUGGCUACUAUAGCUUUCUUCUUGAGUUUGUUGAGAAGAGGACAUUCCGGUCGUAUGUGUCCGGGCUUCUUGCAUUCAUAACAAGUGAUUGGUUCCUUCUUCUCCUUCUUAUUCUUGUAGCCUCUGAACUUUCUCUGCUCAUUAUUCUUUUUGUAAAAUUUUCUGAAUCUUCUAACCAACAUUACCAACUCCUCAUCAUCCAUUUCGUUUUCCUCAUUACUCUCACGUUUUGAAGCCUUGAGAGCAAUGCUUUUCUUCUUUUCCUUAUGCCCUUUUUCAGCUACCAAAUCUUCUUCAUAUGAAAUGAGAGAACCAAUUAAACCAUCAAUAGGGAAUACAUUUAAAUCUUUGGCUUCCUCAAUGGCAGUCCUUUUUGGUCUACAUUCCUUAGGUAGCGACCUAAUGAUUUUCUUAACUUUCUCGCUACUUGAAAAGGUCUUUCCUAAGGCUCCUAGAGUGUUUACUAUGUUCGUAAAUCUAGUAUACAUAGAGUACACAUUCUCAUUUUGUUCCAUUUGGAACAAUUCAUAUUGUCGAGUGUACCUACUUAUUUUAGAUUCUUUCACUUGGUUCGUGCCUUCAUAGACAACUUCAAGUUCGUGCCAAAUCUCAUUAGCACUUUCGCAACUAGACACUCUAUGAAACUCUUUCUUAUCUAGUGCACAAAACAAGGCAUUCAUGGCCUUGGAAUUUAGAGAAGCUUUUCUCUUUUCGAAUUCAUUCCAUUUCCGUGAAGGUUUUGGAAUAUCUUCCCCGACUUCAUUUUUAGUCAAAAGCAUGAAAGGACCAUCAUUAAUGAUUUCCUAAAUUUCAUAAUCUAAGGCUUGGUAAAUUCUCAUCCUAUUUUUCCAGUAUGGGUAAUCGUUUCCAUUAAAGUAAGGUGGUCUAGUGGUGGACUGUCCUUCCAUAAAUGUGGAAUCAUUUUGAGUAGCCAUUGAUCUUUAUCUCUAGACGGUUAAGUCUAAAUAAGAGCACCUCGCUCUGAUACUAAAUGAAAUAUAAGUGUGCAACCCAAGAGGGGGGGUGAAUUGGAAUUUUAAAAAAUAUCCUAGCAAAUCCACACACCAAACAAUCUAAUGUCUUAAUAAAAAUUGAAAGCAAUAAGUUCAAUAAAAGCACAAUAACUAAUGAGUAAGGGAGAAGAGAAACAAACACACGAAUUUUUACGUGGUUUGGUAAUCCCCGCCUACGUCCACACCUCCAAGCGAUCCAAGCUUGAGGAUUUCACUAUUCAAGCCUUUCCAAGGCUUCAACCGUUUACAAUUGACUUCAAGGUGUCAAUGAACCUUUAGAACAAAGAGAUUAUCUCCCAAUCUCUUCACUCAAGUGUGUCACACACUCAAACUCUUACAAUUAAGAUGAAGAAAUGAAAGUUACAAUAAAACUUACUCAAAGAGUAGAUAUUCAAAAAUGAAGAACAAGAAAUGAUUUAAUGUUUUGUGAUUUGCAAAUUGAAAGCUCAAGAUAUCUCAUUUGCUUUUUGUUUAUGCUUGUUGGAGAGCUUGAAAAUGAGUUAGAUUUGAGUUUUUAUAGUUUAAGCUCAAAAACUAGCCGUUAUGCACAUUUUGGUCGUAAUCGACUUGCCGUUUAGGAAUUCGGCAUGCUGCUUUUAUGUUACCGUUAAGGCAAAAAUUUGAAUUUCAUAAUAUCCAGCAUGCCAUUUUUCAUAUCUGAUAAGUCGCUUUUGAAAUCCGGAUUGCCACUUGUGAAAUCCAGAUAGUCGUUUAUGCUCCAGAAGCUUACUGCUCAAAAUUCAGUUUGCCGUUUAACAUAUCCGGUAAGCCGCUUGCUACACUGACUGCUACAGUGAACUAUUUUUCAAAAUUAUAGUUUGGCCCUAAAACUUUACAUAAUUGUAGUAUGACCCAAAAUAUUAUGAAAGCUUUCAAAUAGGUCCAAUUUCAGAAUUUUAAAAAAUGCUUUGUCAAUCCCAAAAAUUUCUGAAAUUAUGAUUUCACCCAAACUAUGUGAAAUUAUAUAAUGACCCAAAAUAUUUAAAUAGUUUCAAAUAAGUACAAAUCUGAAAUUUAAAACCCUAUCAAAGAUUGAAAAAUACUUUCAUUUUAGUCCAAAAUACUUUAAUUCCAUAACAUCAUUUUCUUAUUAUAAAAGCACAAUUCAUAAAUCUUUGCUUAAUCAAUACAUGUGGUUUGUUAUCAUCAAAAUCAAUAUUUAUAGCCAUAUAGGCUAACAGUACGAUGAUUUUUUAAUAUAUAUAAUUUUUGUUUAAAGAUAGAGAGGAGUGCAAAGCCUAUAUCAAUUCUCAACCAAUAUCUUAUAAAAAAUUAUUAAAUUAAUAGUAAUGGUGACUGCUGUACCGUAUAAAUUACCAACAACAUAAAUGAUGGAUUUCUUACUUUUAUGCAAUUUUGUAUAAACUAGGCCUUGGAGCCAUAUGAUACAAGAGUAGACCGGAUUGUUAUUCUUUUUUCAAUUGUUUCUUAAAUUCAUCGGUUGAAGAUGACUUUUUUUUCUCUUUCUUGUUGAAAUAUAUAUUCUUUGGACAGUGACUUUCAUUAUGAUCUAAAUUUUCAUUCGAGCAUAUACAUGUCCGUGUAAGUUGUCAACAUAAUGCAAUCAACUCCAUAUUGAUGAUGACUCCAUCAGGAAGAGAUAGAGGAAAAAGAAACCUUCAUAUUGUUGAAAAUUCAUGCAUGUGGCAUCCAAAUUCAAGAAGGCUUGCAAAAUUUCAAAAGGUUUCCAAACAAUUAAAGAAAAAAAAUGAAAAGUUGGCAAAUUUGUCAAAUUUUCCAAAUGGACACCAUUGACAUAUUUGCAUGGGUUAUGUGGAAUAAUGUUUGGGUUACAUGGAGUAGUACUAGCUUCAAGCCUAUAAAUAGAGAGCAUUUCUUCAUUCCAUUUCAUCCCAAAAUUUGUUAAGCUUAUAAGUUCCUAAGCUUUUGAGAAAAGUGAGAAAAGUGUGUCUGAGGAAUUUAUAUUUCCUGCAGAGUGUGAGAGUAUUGGGUAUAUUUGGGUUUUUGGGAAGUGAGAUUCAUUACUCAAAUAUUUGUACUCUAUUAAUUGUUAAAUAAACAAUUAUUCUUUCUUGCCUCUGUGGAUGUAGGUUUAAUUACCGAACUACGUUAAAUUUUGUGUCCUUUAUUUUCUGUAAUUAUUUGGUGCGCUUGAUUCCGUAUUCCGCGCACAACAAGUGGUAUCAAAACCGACGGUUCGUACUUGGGGGAAUACGAUACUGUUUCACAUAUACGGUAUUAUUUCCAUAUACAGUACUGUUCACAAAUACGGUGGAGACGACCAUUUGUACUUGGGAGACAGUCUAUUGUAAGUAGUGUGUAUUUUUGCAUGUCUAGGAAAGUUCUGUCAACAAGGCGAUAAGAGUUUAAGGAUUUUGGUUUUUAAUUGGGACCGAGUUCUCGUUGAGUCUCCUGAAAAAUUUUCCGGUGCAUUUAUUCACAUGAAAUUAACAUCAUAGAGACUGUUUUUCAAGUGGAAAUAGUUCGUUGAGAAAAUGGUAGAAGGUGAAACUUUCAGAAUUGGGGAGAGAUCUACCGAGACUAUUUUAGGAGACAUUUCAAGUGAGAGGUGAGAUUUGUCAAAUCGCUAUUCGGCACCUGUUAUAGGAGGCCAAAAGAUCAAUGUUGAAAAGGUUGAUGGAAAAAUUAACUUUGGCAUGUGGAGGCGCGAAGUUAUGGAUGCCCUUAUUCAAAUGGAUCUUGAUGUUGUUCUAAAAAAUAAAAGACACUUGUAUGAUGAAGAAAUUUGGGAUCGUAUGAACGAGAAAGCCUAUGGUCAGAUCAGAUCUUGUUUGACCAAGGUGGUGAAAUACUUGGUGAAAGAUGACGAGUGUGCGAUGACUUUGUAGCAUACAUUUGAGGAAAAGUACUUGCUGAAAAGUCCUGAAAAUCGCCUUCAUGUAGUGAGCUAAGUAUAUGGUUUUCGAAUGAAGACUGGGGUAUUAAUGCACGAGCAUGUCUCAAGAUUUGAAAAGUUACUUAUUAAUUUGAAGAAUCUUGAUGAAGAUAUUAAGGAUGAAGUUAAGGCUGUGAUUCUGUUACACUCACCACCAGAGAAAUAUAACCAUUUUGUGACUACUUUGAUAUAUGGGAAGAGUGUGAUUGUCUUCAAAGAUAUUUGAACAGCAUUGACUAGCUUGGAGAUUCAGAAUAAUGAUAAAAAAUCAUGAACGAGCAUCGUCUGAAGCUUUGGUAAGCAGAGAUUGGGUGACGGAGAAAAAUAAGAAGCGUGGUGGAAAGAAUUCUCAAUCUAAAUCGAGAAGCAGAAAUAUAGCUCGAGACAAGUGUGCCUUUUGUCAUGAAAAGGGUCAUUGGAGGAAAGAUUCUCCAAAGGCUCAAAAGAGAGAUGUGAAGAAACCAGCAGCAGCAAACAUGGCACGGAAAGAUGAGGACUUUGAUUAGUCACUAAGUAUUACUGCUGCAGCAUAAGUGGCUAGUUCGAGCAAGUGGAUACUUGAUACUGGAGCAACCUACCAUUUGUGUCUUAUUGAGGAAUGAUUUCGUAAUAUGGAAUCUGGUGCAGUUGUGAUGGGGAAUUAUCAACCUUAUCGCACAAUGGGGAUAGGAACAAUUCGGCUAAAAUUUUUUGAUGGAAUGAUCAGAGAACUCAAAGAGGUUAGAUUUGUUCCAUCUUUAAAGAAAAAUCUAAUUUCUAUGGGUGCUUUGGAAGCUAAAGGCUACAAGGUUACCAUUGAAGAUGGCACAAUGAAGUUUAUACAAAGGGCUAUGGUGAUUCUGCAAGGGGUUCGACGUCCAAAUUUGUACUAUUUGAAGGGAUGUAAAACUGGUGACGCAAAUGUUACUGAGGAGCACAGUGACACCACUAGGUUAUGGCAUGUACGAUUAGGACAUGCUGGAGAAAAGUCUUUGAAAACUCUGAUGAAGCAAAUACUCUUAAAAUGUACCAAAACCAGUAAAUUAAAUUUUUGUGAGCAUUGUGUAGUAUGCAAGAAAACACGGGUUAAGUUUAGUACAGCUAAUCACGAUACUCGUGAGAUCCUUAAAUAUGUUCACAGUGAUGUAUGUGGACCAACCAAGAUUGCAUCAAUUGGUGGAAGCCAUUAUUUUGUUACAUUUAUUGAUGAUUUCUCUAGACGUGUGUCGGUGUACACCAUACGAACAAAGAUAAGGUUCUAGAGAUUUUUGUGAAAUGGAUGAAAUUGGUAAAGACUCAAACUGGUAGAAAGAUCAAAGUAUUACGAUCUGAUAAUAGAUGUGAAUAUACUUCUGAUCUAUUUUUACAAGUAUGCCAGAACAAGGGUAUUAAAAGAUAUUUUAUGGUGAGACAUACUUUGCAACAGAACGGUGUGGCUGAGCGUAUGAAUCGUACUUUGCUGGAGAAAGUACGGUGUAUGUUAUCUAAUGCUGGUUUAGAUAAAAAGUUUUAGGUUGAAGCUGUGAGCUAUGCAAGUCACUUGAUAAAUCAUUACCUUCUACUGCAAUUGGUGGUAAAACUCCUAUGGAAAUGUGGUCUGAAAAGCAUGCACAAGACUAUGAUUCCCUUCAUAUAUUCGGGUGUUCAGCUUAUUAUCAUGUCAAAGAUGGUAAACUGGAUCCUCGUACUAGAAAAGCUAUCUUUGUGGGAUUCAAAGGUGGAGUAAAAAGUUUCAAGUUUUGGGAUCUCGAAGAUAAAAAGUUUGUGUAAUAGAGAUGUCACGUUUGAUGAAGCUUCAAUGAUGAAAGCUUCAAGUUCUCAGCAGGUGGAGAAUAUGACCACAGAGGUAUUGCAGCGGGUGGAAUUUGAUGCAAUUCCAUAUGUACCAGUUAGUUCUACAUCAGAGAAAGGUUCAACUAUAGAGGUGACAUGGAGAUUUGGAGGAGGAAAUCUAUAUGAUUCAGCCUUAUGGUUUCAAAGUUGCUAGAAAGGAGAAUCGUGUGGGCAGAUUGAGUAAAUCUUUAUAUGGAUUUAAACUAAUUCUUCGAAUGCGUUGAGUUUGGAUAAUUACGAACUACGAUUGGCUUGAUCCCAAAUUUUCGGUACGUGCAGUCGAAACAACUGUCAUUCUGGAUCAUUAUUGAAGGAUCACCUUAGGGAUGAUGGUUUGUUGGUAGUCGGCUCAGAUUUGAACAAAUUUUCGCCGAGGUGGAGAAUUGUUGAAAAGUCAUGCAUGUGGCAUCCAAAUUCAAGAAGGCAUGCAAAAUUUUAAAUUUGUCAAAUGGACACCAAAAUUUUAAAUUUGUCAAAUGGACACUAUUGACAUAUUUGCAUGGGUUAGGUGGAAUAAUGCUUGGGUUAGGUGGAAUAGUACUAGCUUAAGCCUAUAAAUAGAGAGCAUUUCUUCAUUUCAUUUCAUCCCAAAAUUUGUUAAGCUUAUAAGUUUCUAAGCUUUUGAGAGAAGUGAGAGAAGUGUGCUGGUGAAUUUAUAUUUCCUGCAGAGUGUGAGAGUAUUGGGUAUAUUUGGGUUUCUAGGAAGUGAGAUUCGUUACUUAAAUAUUUGUACUCUAUUAAUUGUUAAAUAAACAAUUAUUCUUUCUUGCCUCCAUGGAUGUAGGUUUAAUUACCGAACCACGUUAAAUUUUGUGUCCUUUAUUUUUUUGUAAUUAUUUAGUGCGCUUGAUUCUGCAUUCCGCGCACAACACAUAUUGAUGAUAAUGAGCAAAGAAAUGGAUCAUAAAUUCAUUAUUUAAUUUGAAAUACACACGGUACAUUAUUAGUAUUUGUCACACCAAACCCAUCUUUUACAUGAAGCAAUACGACACACCCAAAGGAAAAAUAUGUAAGAACAAAUAAAAUAAAUAGCGUUAAUUAGAGCUGCAUUACAUAUAAGGAUUGUCAUCAUAUCAUGCAUUUUAAUUAACGAUAAUGCUUCUUCUUCCCUUCCUUCGAAAGACCCAAGUAAUGAUCCAAACCCUUCUCAAAAUUACCAUAAAGAGGAAAUGAUAUGAGUGCUAAAAGAAUCACUGGAAAGAUAGCCGCAGCGUAGAGAGCGACAGUCCAUCUCUCCCCCAAACGAGCGAUGAGCAGAAUUGAAGUCGAGAAAGUAAUCAUGCUUGUUAAUACAGAGAGGGAGAGUAAAAAGAAGCCAAUCCUCAGCUUUUUUGGAAGGUGGUCAAGGAAAUCAAAUGACUCACGUGGCGAGGUGAGGAUAGAUAGAAACAUCACAGCGGAUGACAAAGAUAAGGACAACGAGGCAACGUCCGUUAUGGUAAAAAGGUAGAACAUUGGUGAAUCAAGGAAAUGGGGGAACCCCUUAUCAUUGUUACCUCCGGGCACCGUGUAGGCAGCUGCGAAGACGAAGGUCGCGAUGAGAAUUGACAGUGUGGAGCAUGACCCAGAGGUUUCUGUGAUCCAGUCUUGUGCUUUCUUAAGUUGAUCUUCAUGUGUUCGAUCGAAGAGGUCCUUUGCAGUCAUUCUCUUUUUUGCAUCACGGUGCAUGGCAUAAUGGCUAGGCGCUAUGUCUUUUACACACUGCAUACACACACACACAUAUAUAAUGCAUGGAGUCAAUCAGAAAAUAUAAUAUUAGAGAAUGCUUUUAUUUAUAUAAACACAAUGAAUCAAUUAAAUGUGCUUAGAGGACAAAAUUAAAUAUUAUCAAAGGGCUUACCUCGAACCACUGUAACUCCUCCUGAAAUUGGUAAACAGGACCAGGGCGGAUUCCGUGCUCGUAAUGUUUCAUGUCUGCAACAUGGUGCAAUAUUGUGUAGCCUUUGUCGUCAAUUCUUGUAGCCCAUUUCAGCACAUACAGUGGCAUUUUCUCCAUGAUGAACUGAAAGAUAUUAUGUUGACGACGCCUUAUGGCCACAUGUAAUAUGGUCUGCCCUUUCUGAUUCACGGUAGAUAACAUCGCUUGAGGAUUUUGUCGGAGUAUCUCCCCCAAAAUAUCUCUUAUUCCAUUACUAGCUGCAAAGAGUAAUGUCCUAUCCGUUGCUGGGGCGUUUCUAUCAAUUUCUUUCUCAGGGUGAUCUUUUAUCUUCAGCGCCUCGUCCAAAUCUUUAGCCCAAAAAUCAACAAGUUUUUUUCCCACGAGGUCAUCUCCUUUGCCGAAUCCCAAGGAAAUUGUGGUGGGAUUUGUGGAAGUUUCUUGUUCCCUUCUUUCAGGUUUUUUUUCUAGUUUAACCAGCAUUUUGACAAGUGCAAGCGCAUCUUCACGCGUUUUCAUUUUAUUCCAGGUUUCCCUAAUAAUCCCAGAUCCUGGUCAUGCAUGCAUCAACAUCUUAUUAAUUUACUAACAAAAUUACGCACGCAAGUACGGAAAAUCCAUUCGUCACAUGAAUUGAAGUUAUUUGACAUUUCCUUUGUACUUCUAAUGUAGAAGUAAUUAAUGAAAUUCUUAUUGGUCGAACCUGGAAUCGCUCGCCUCCAAAAACCAAUGCUCAUCAUCCGAAAUAAAAUUCCUGCAUUUUGAUUAACCUGAUCAGGCAAAAUUUUACAACUACAUGUAUAUAUUUAUGAUAUGAAAAAUUAAUGCUACCGUAUCGAAAAGGAAACCACUGAAACUCAAGUUAAAAGGAUCAUACACUAAUAUUAAAAGGCAUGAGGUAUAAAAUUUUUAAAAUAUCAGAAAAGUUCAGAUCAGGAAAGGAUCCUAAUCCUUAAAGAAGUGUGAGGGUUCAAAUUUAGAAAGACAUGUGGGUGUCAUUCAAUUGAGACUAAUGACUAAUCCUCGUGAGGGUUUUUAUUUAAGGAGACAUGUGGGUGUAUUGAGAUGGUAAAAUUUUUCGCCUUGAAAAAAAGAAUUCUAUGGUUCAAGCCCGGUGAGUAACAAAUUGGGUUGCGAUUCAGCUAAACAAUAAUUUAAAAGAAAAAAAAAAUUGGAAAGACCGUCAUUUUCGAAAAUAAAAUGCUGCAAUUUGUAGCUAUGGUCCUUAUCGUAAGAAUAUGAAUGAGUUCGUAGAAACUAAAGAAAAAGGGAAUUUCAUCUUUACCCCAACUAUAUGACGCAUUAUACACUUUCCCCAGCAAUAUUUUCAAAAUGGCCAUGUACUGUCGUUAAAAAGAGAACAUAUUAAAAGAAUUAUUUCACUAUUCUGUCCUUGAAACGGCAUAUUUUAUCCUAGAAAUUAAUGAAUAAAAUAAAAUCUAAAUAAUAUUAUUAAUAUUAAAUAUGUUAAAAUACAGAUUGCAACAAAUCUGCGGUCAAUUUCUUUUGUCAUUUUUUUUUAUGCUGACGUGCCAAUGGAAAAAUAAAAAUCAGACUUUCCAUUUGAUUGGAUAAAGAUCGAUUUACCCUCCAAAAGCUAAGAUUUUGUUAAAAAAACUACCGAUAGGCCGAUACAGAGAUAUUUUUCAAAGAUCAGGGAAGAGUGGGGGGUAGCUCAAAUAUUUUAGGGUAAUAAAUAGGUUUCUAAAUUAAAAUACAAAACAAGAGCAUGCAAUGAUAUUACCAAAGACUGCUCCGACUAAAUUUGCAUGCUGUUCUCAUUUUCGCUUGAAAAAACUAACCUCAGUAUUUUUUUUUUUUUUAUCUCAAAAUUUAGGCUUUGUUUGGCUUCUAAGCCAUAUAGAAUAAAAAUUUUAGUUAUUAAUAGAAAAUUUAUGGGUAUUUUGUAAAAUUAAACACCACUAGAUGUCAAGUAAAAAUUGAAGUAUAGUAUUUAUCGAUAAAUAAUUGUGAGAAGUAACCAACUUAAAAAGUCGAACUGACAAAGUGUUUACAGCUGAUUAAUUGUCAAAAAGCAAGUCAAAACAAAUACUAAAGCUAAAGCCUAAAGCUGUUUGUUCGGGCCUUGAUUCCUGAAUUUAUAGAGUUAUAAUGAUUAGUGAAACCACUAUAUCGUGAUCAUGAACAAAUUAAAGCUGCUCUUUCACCAUUACCUUGCCUCUUCUUUGCAUGGCCCUUGCGAUUGUCAAUCUUAUCAGUCUCCAAAUCUUCUUUGUAAUUGCAGUCGUCAUCCAGAUACGUUCGAAGACAUGAAAAUAUAACUGCGAUUGAAAAUAAAUAUUUUAAGUUCUAAUCAUGUAGCAAAGCAUUUUAAAAAAACAAAAAUUGGCUGUAUCCUCUUUAUGUGUGAAUACGAAUUAACUAAAUAUUUCUUCUAAUUAAUUUGGUUAUUGUUUCCAUUGUAACAGCAUGUACCCACGUCAACAGGACUAUAUAUAUCUCCUUAGAGAUUAAUUUAUAUGCGCAUAUAAUUAAUAUAUUAAAAAUGAUAAAGAAACUGAAGGCGGAUAGAAUGUUGACCGAAAUAACAGUAUCUCAGUCGGGGCGGGUGCACCAUUUUUUGCGUAUAUUUUUCAUGAGAACGCUGAUAUUAUAAAAAAGAUACUGACAAAAAAUAGAAUUUGUUACAUGCAAUCAAAUUUACAUUGUUAAUUGCUAAUACUGUAACCCUGCCCGAGUGCAUGUACACUUUAUACGUCGGUGUUUAGUCUCUUUUAUUGUUUUUGUUUCCAAGUAAUUAGUUUAUAUAUAAUAGACUUAAGUCAAUAUUGAUACUUAUUCAUUUUUAUAUUUUUCUGCUGUAAAUAUCUUUUGUAUAUGUAGAUUUUAGUUACAACUUUACACAUGAUACUAGGAAUUAGUUAGCACUUAUCCAGGAAUCAGUUGAACAAAUUCUUCUUUUGUAUUAUAAACACUCAGUGAACCCAAUGGGAAAUAGUGGAGACAAAUUUUCCAAACCUGGUGCCAAAUAAUACAUCCACGUACGAGGAUUGAAAAGAGACGCCUGAUUCUUCAUAUCGUCCGCACCCUUGAAAGCAGUUGGCAAUAGAGCUAGUAGUUCAAGACACGUAAAGCCAAUACGCUCGUCGGACUUUGGGGGCUUGCGGGACGUCGGGAGCUAGUCGGACGUCGGGGGCUUUGUACGUUUGUCUGCAAGGCUUGAGUCUUGGUCAAGCAACCAAAUAGCAGUCUCUGUACGUAUCCGAGAAAAUUAAUUAAUUAGUUAAGAAAAUAAUAAUAAAUUUUUUAACUCUUGAUCUAUAUAUGAAUGAAUGAAUUGGAGAUUUAAUUAUUAUAUAUUACCGAAGUGUUGGCCAAGGAUAGCCAUAUGAAGAAUGGUCUUAUCAUCUUUUCUAUGGAAAUGAUAAGGUAAGUCACCACGGAAAUGACAACAUAAGGCACCAACUUGCUCAGUCAACAUUUGCAACACUUUAGUUUUCCCGAGAGCAGCAGCCCUGUAAACUGGGGUUUCCCCCAAACGAUUUUUAGUCACUAGUAGAUUCCUGUACGCAUCACCAGCCUUUCUCGAAAAUUCAACCAAAAUUCUGGCCACGUCGAAAUCUUUGACGGCGGCUGCUUCGUGAAGACCAGUGUUUCCAAACUCAUCUAUUUGCUUCAAGGCUCCAAGUCUGGUCUCCGGUGUUAGCCUUUCGAGAAAUUUCUGGAUCAGCUGAGGGUUUUCCAUGGCCGCUGCAAUGUGAAUUGCGGAGUCUCCAUUGGCUGUCCUGUAGCUCAGCAAAUGUUCUUCACUUUGGCGAGCAAAGUACUUCAAGAAGCCUUCACAGUCUCUCUUGAAGACCAUUCCAACAGGAUCUCCCAUCGCCCUCUCUUUUCUCUCUCUCUUCCUCAACUUGUAUAAUUGUUGCACAGAACAAGCUAUACGUGGUCUUCGGUAUCCAUAUAAUUACUUCCAUCGCCAUCGCCUAUAUUUAUAAGGUAUGAUGCAUCCUUAUAGAAGCUCUAACCGAAGUUGGCAUAAUCACUUUGCUUAUAUUACUAAUAAAGCUCAAGCAUUAUAAGAAUAAAAUAAAGUUCUAAAGUGACAAAGCGCAAACUAUGAUAGAAGAACGAAGAUGUAAAAAGAGAAUCGAUUAUUGAUGAGAAGUUGUUCACAUCGUACGGUCUUGUUCCCUCAAAUUCAUAGACUGUGAAAUUACCAACAGAGCAAAAUUAAACAUAAAAUUAAAUUUUAAUAUAUGAGAUUAAAAAAAAAAAAGGAAAAGAAAACGCAUGCAAUUGAAAAUGGAAUUUCUUCUUGAUCUACGAGGCCAAUAAGCUCUGAAACUAAAUUAACUUCGUCUUUCGUACGUUUCGAAGAGGUACAAUAUAUGUCCGAAACGAAUAACUGUAACUGGAAUGCCAGCACCGGAAAAGUAUAAAAGUCAUGUUCUACGUCAUAAAAUUUGUUAAUCAAUGAUGUCAGCAAACAGAAUAGGACAUAUAAAUUAUUCCAACAACUUUAUUUUGUCUCCAUUGCAUUUUACGCGAAUCUGCUUUUGACUAACACUGUAACCUUUUGCUGCUUUACACAUUACUUCAUUAUGUCUCUUGUCGCGGAGUGCCAGCCAAUCAUUAAAAAAUAAAUAAAAAUGCAAAAAUAUUGGAAAGUUUUUAGGAACUUAUAAUAGAAUUAGGCCUUAUUUUGUAUAGAUGUGUUGUGAAAAUAAACUAUAGUUUUUUUUUUUAAUACAGGAAAAAUGCAAAGGUCCGCAAGGACGAACCUUAUUGUAGUAUACGGUACGGACAGUUUUUGAAUAACAUCUUUACAGAUUUUAUUGUAGCAGUUUUUUUAUAAAAUCAACUUCAUUUACAAACUAUAACAAUAACUAUUUAUUAAACACUUUAUUUCCGUAUUUUAAAAAUUACCACUGCCUUAUCACAAUAUCAAACAAAAUUUUGAUCUAAAUCCCAACUACAAUACCAAAUAAGGACUUAGAUAGCUUUUUUUUAUUCUAAAAUUUGAAUAGACAUGAAUUUAUUUAAAUUCUUAAUAGAACUAAACGUCUAAAUCUGAAUAAUUUUUUUUUUGAAUCUCUGAAAAUAAGUAUUAAUUUUUUUUAUCUUUAAAUUUUAAAACAUGUACUUUUAUAUUUGUAUCCUUAUUAAAUUUGAAUAUCAUAUAUAUAUAUAAAAGAACAUAAAUACCAUAAUAUUUCAACAUAUAUAAGAAAAACCACAUUCAAUUGAAUAUAUAAUGAUUUUAGAAUUAUAGUAUAUAAAACACCAUGAGUUUCAAAUUUUAUCAAAAGUUCUCAAUAAUAGUACAUAAUAUAAGAUUAUUAAUGGGUAAAUUUUAUUGGGUGGCUUUUGAAAUAGGCCCUGAGAAAUAAAUUACAAAGUAGUGAUAUUUUUUUAUGUUAGAUAUUAGUUGGUUUAUUCAGAUUUCUCUAUUCAGUAUAAAGCCAAAAAAGAGGUACUUUUAUUAAGUCAAAAUUAUUUAAAAAUCAUAUUAAAUUAUGAAAACAAACUCCUCUACUUAAUUAAUUAUGUUAAGUCACUUUAAGUUAUUAAGUAAAGAAACAAACACCCUCUUAAUGACUAAAUUAACCUAAAUUCAAUCAGUUUAAGUCAUUAAGUUUCUUUUUUUCUUAACUUAUUAAAAAUUUUCAAUCAUUAAGUUAUUAAGUUAUUAAAUCAAUUUUUUUAGCUUCUUACUUAAUCUAAAAAGUCUAAAUGAUAUCUAAAAGAUAUUAUUUAAAGUAUUUCUAUCUAAGUAAUUUAUUUUCGUCCUUACCUAAAUAAAACUUACUAAUUAGCAUUACAAUUCAUCUUGAAAACUUGUAAUUAUAUGGUAGUGUAUUUUUAUUGUUUUUAUCUUCUUAUUUUCUUCAAAGUAGCAUUCUCUAUUUUCAUAAUUUUUUAUGAUUAUUUUUUAUGUGAAACAUUAUAAGAUACAAUAAAAUUGAUUAACACAUUCUAAUUUAGAAUAUUAAGGGGUUGUAUUCACUUGAACAUGGCUCAUGUUCUGAUAAAAUAUUAUCUUAUUUAUGUUCAUUGAGAUUUUAUUAUCUAUUUAACAUUUGAAAUUUGUGAGGUAUAAAUAUAAAGGUGCUUGUUUGUAGAUUUUUAAAGUAAGAAAAAAUAACCCAAUAAUAAUUUUCAGAAAUUCAUAUAUUUGAAAAAAAAUAUCAUUCAAAUUCAAGCAUUCAAUUAUUUUUAGAAUUUAGACUAAAUUGGGUCUAUUUAGAUUUCAGAUAAAUGUCACCUAAAUAAAUCUAUGAUGGUAGAAGCAUAUUAGUAAUAAAAAAAAAAUCUUUUCUUUUUCCAAAUAUUACAUAAUAUAAACAAAGCACAUGCUUGACAGACUGCGAGUAUGAAUGGAAUUUAAAGCAUAAGGCCAUUCUUCCUUUGCUAUCCUCAUCUCAUCCAUAAUGUCAUCUCUGUCUCUCACUUAGGCCCUGUUUGAAAUUAAGGUUGAAACUAAAUAAACUACUUACUUCGUAAUUUGUGACAAAAAUAAUGUUUGGUAAAUUUUGUAAAAACUAUUUUUUUUAUAAGUUUCUCCAUUUUAACAAUAGCUUUAAAAGUAAUUAAGUAGGGGUUGCUUUUCAUAAAUAACUUAUUAAAUAAGCCACAUCACCUUUUUAAAGUUUUAUUAUAACCUUAAUAAUUUAAAAAAAAUAACUAUGAUUUAUUUUUCUGUAUAUCUAAUAUAAGCUAUUAGAUAACAUAUUACCACCACAACUACUGUACAUUCUCUCCAGUAUCAAAGUUUUGAUCCACUAAUUUUAUAUUUUUUAUAUUUUACUUUUAUUUUCUAUUGUAAGAUUCAAUAAGACUUGCAUAUGAUAACGUAUAAUUUUUUGAAUUAUGAACAAUUUUACUUGUGAGUCUAGUAAGUGAGAGAUUAGGUGUAUUGGGGUUUUGGGCAGUAAGUCAAAAUAUUACAACACUUUUAAUUAUCAUAUCACUAGUGAAAUAUUUUCCUUCUAUCUUCACCUGUGGAUGUAGGCUAAAAGUUGAACCACGUAAUUUUUUUUUUAUUUUCUGUGUGUGCUUGUUCUUCAUUUUCUUUAAAUUUCAUUUUAGUUGUAACUCUGCUUCACCCAUCAAUUUCCUAAUACCGAAGUGCUGGCCAAAGGCAGCCGCAUGAGAAUGGAAAUAUCAUCGUUUUUACGGAAAUAAUAAGUCACGAACUUGCUCAGCCAAGUAUUUCAACAAUUUAGUUUUCCCAAGAGCAGUAGCCCUUUAAAGUGGGGUUUCCCCAAAAUAGUUUUUGACCUCCAGCCUAUUUUUGUCCGCACCAUGGUACUGCUUGGAAAAUUCGACCAAAACACUAGUCAUGUCACGUUUGAUGAAGCUUCAAUGAUGAAAGCUUCAAGUUCUCAGCAGGUGGAGAAUAUGACCCCAGAGGUAUUGCAGCGGGUGGAGUUUGAUGCAAUUCCAUAUGUACCAGUUAGUUCUACAUCAGAGAAAUGUUCAACUAUGGAGGUGACAUGGAGAUUUGGAGGAGGAAAUCUAUAUGAUUCAGCUUUGUGGUUUUAAAGUUGCUAGAAAGGAGAAUCAUGUGUGCAGAUUGAGUAAAUCUUUAUACGGAUUUAAACUAAUUCUUCGAAUGCGUUGAGUUUGGAUAAUUAUGAACUACGAUUGGCUUGAUCCCAAAUUUUGGGUACGUGCAGUCAAAACGACAGUCAUUCUGGAUCCUUAUUGAAGGAUCACCUUAGGGAUGAUGGUUUGUUGGUAGUCGGCUCAGAUUUGGACAAAUUUUCGUUGAGAUGGAGAAUUGUUGAAAAGUCAUGCAUGUGGCAUCCAAAUUCAAGAAGGCAUGCAAAAUUUUAAAUUUGUCAAAUGGACACCAUUGACAUAUUUGCAUGGGUUAGGUAGAAUAGUGCUGGGGUUAGGUGGAAUAGUACUAGCUUCAAGCCUAUAAAUAGAGAGCAUUUUUUCAUUCCAUUUCAUCCCAAAAUUUGUUAAGCUUAUAAGUUUCUAAGCUUUUGAGAGAAGUGAGAGAAGUGUGCUGGUGAAUUUAUAUUUCAUGCAGAGUAUGAGAGUAUUGGAUAUAUUUGGGUUUCUGGGAAGUGAGAUUCGUUACUCAAAUAUUUGUACUCUAUUAAUUGUUAAAUAAACAAUUAUUCUUUCUUGCUUUCAUGGAUAUAGGUUUAAUUACCGAACCACGUUAAAUUUUGUGUCCUUUAUUUUUCUGUAAUUAUUUGGUGCGCUUGAUUCUGCAUUCCGUGCACAACACAUAUUGAUGAUAAUGAGCAAAGAAAUGGAUCAUAAAUUCAUUAUUUAAUUUGAAAUACACACGGUACAUUAUUAGUAUUUGUCACACCAAACCCAUCUUUUACAUGAAGCAAUACGACACACCCAAAGGAAAAAUAUGUAAGAACAAAUAAAAUAAAUAGCGUUAAUUAGAGCUGCAUUACAUAUAAGGAUUGUCAUCAUAUCAUGCAUAUUAAUUAACGACAAUGCUUCUUCUUCCCUUCCUUCGAAAGACCCAAGUAAUGAUCCAAACCCUUCUCAAAAUUACCAUAAAGAGGAAAUGCUAUGAGUGCUAAAAGAAUCACUGGAAAGAUAGCCGCAGCGUAGAGAGCGACAGUCCAACUCUCCCCACAACGAGCGAUGAGCAGAAUUGAAGUCGAGAAAGUAAUCAUGCUUGUUAAUACAGACAGGAAGAGUAAAAAGAAGCCAAUCCUCAGCUUUUUUGGAAGGUGGUCAAGGAAAUCAGAUGACUCACGUGGCGAGGUGAGGAUAGAUAGAAACAUCACAGCGGAUGACAAAGAUAAGGACAACGAGGCAACGUCCGUUAUGGUAAAAGGGUAGAACAUUGGUGAAUCAAGGAAAUUGGGGAACCCCUUAUCAUUGUUACCUCCGGGCACCGUGUAGGCAGCUGCGAAGACGAAGGUCGCGAUGAGAAUUGACACUGUGGAGAAUGACUCAGAGGUUUCUUUGAUCCAGUCUUGUGCUUUCUUAAGUUGAUCUUCAUGUGUUCGAUUGAAGAGGUCCUCUGCAGUCAUUCUCUUUUUUGCAUCACGGUGCAUGGCAUAAUGGCUAGGCGCUAUGUCUUUUACACACUGCACACACACACACAUAUAAUGCAUGGAGUCAAUCAGAAAAUAUAAUAUUAGAGAAUGCUUUUAUUUAUAUAAACACAAUGAAUCAAUUAAAUGUGCUUAGAGGACAAAAUUAAAUUUUAUCAAAGGGCUUACCUCGAACCACUGUAACUCCUCCUGAAAUUGGUAAACAGGACCAGGGCGGAUUCCGUGCUUGUAAUGUUUCAUGUCUGCAACAUGGUGCAAUAUUGUAUAGCCUUUGUCGUCAAUUCUUGUAGCCCAUUUCAGCACAUAUAGUGGCAUUUUCUCCACGAUGAACUGAAAGAUAUGAUGUCGACGACGCCUUAUGGCCACAUGUAAUAUGGUCUGCCCUUUCUGAUUUACGGUAGAUAACAUCGCUUGAGGAUCUUGUGGGAGUAUCUCCUCCAAAAUUUCUGUUAUUCCAUUGCUAGCUGCAAAGAGUAAUGUCCUACCCAUUGCUGGGGUGUUUCUAUGAUCAUAAACUGCUUUGUCAGUGUGAUCUUUUAUCGUCAGCGCCUCGACCAAUUCUUUAGCCGAAUAAUCAACAAGUUUUUUUCCCACGAGGUCAUCUCCUUUGCCUAAUCCCAAGGAAAUUGUGGUGCGAUUUGUAGAACUUGUGGAAAUUUCUUGUUCCCCUGUUUCAGCCUUUUUUUCUAGUUCAACCAGCAGUUUGACAAGUGCAAGCGCAUAUUCACGCAUUUUCAUUUUCUUCCAGAUUUUCUUCAUAAUCCGAGAUCCUGGUCAUGCAUGCAUCAACAUCUUAUUAAUUAUGAACAAAAUUACGCACGCAAGUACGGCAAAUCCAUUCGUCAAAUAAAUUGAAGUUAUUUGACAUUUCCCAUGUACUUCUGAUGUGUUUCAUAUAUGUAGAAGUAAUUAAUGAAAUUCUUAUUGGUCGAACCUCGAAUCACUCGCCUCGAAAAACCAAUGCACAUCAUCUGAAAUAAAAUUCCUGCAUUUUGAUUAACCUGAUCAGGCAAAAUUUUACAACUACAUGUAUAUAUUUAUGAUCUGAAAAAUUAAUGCUACCGUAUCGAAAAGGAAACAAUCAAACUCAAGUUAAAAGGAUCAUACACUAAUACUAAAAGACAUGUGACAUAAAAUUUUUAAAAGAUUAGGAGAGUUCAGAUAAGGAGAGGAUCCUUAUCCUUAAAGAAGUGUGAGAGUUUAAAUUUAAGAAGACAUAUAGGUAUCAUUCAAUUAAGACUAAUGACUAAUCCUUAAAGAAGUGUGAGGGUUUAAAUUUAAGGAGACAUAUGGGAGGGUUUAAAUUUAAGGAGACAUAUGGGUGUGAUUCAAUUGAGAUGGUAAAAUUUUUCGUCUUGAAAAGAAGAAUUCUAUGGUUCAAGCCCGGUGAGUAACAAAUUGGGUUGCCAUUCAGCUAAACAAUAAUUUAAAAAAAAAAAAAUUGGAAAGACCGUCAUUUUCGAAAAUAAAAUACUGCAAUUUGUAGCUAUGGUCCUUAUCGUAAGAAUAUGAAUGAGUUCGUAGAAACUAAAGAAAAAGGGAAUUUCAUCUUUACCCCAACUAUAUGAGGCAUUAUACACUUUCCCCAGCAAUAUUUUCAAAAUGGCCAUGUACUGUCGUUAAAAAGAGAACAUAUUAAAAGAAUUAUUUCACUAUUCUGUCCUUGAAACGGCAUAUUUUAUCCUAGAAAUUAAUGAAUAAAAUAAAAUCUAAAUAAUAUUAUUAAUAUUAAAUAUGUUAAAAUACAGAUUGCAACAAAUCUGCGGUCAAUUUCUUUUGUCAUUUUUUUUAUGCUGACGUGCCAAUGGAAAUAUAAAAAUCAGACUUUCCAUUUGAUUUGAUAAAGAUCGAUUUACCCUCCAAAAGCUAAACAAGAGCAUGCAAUGAUAUUACCAAAGACUGCUCGGACUAAAUUUGCAUGCUGUUCUUAUUUUCGCUUGAAAAAACCAACCUCAGUAUUAUUUUUUUUUUUUAUCUCAAAACUUAGGUUUUGUUUGGCUUCUAAGCCAUAUAGAAUAAAAAUUUUAGUUAUUAAUAGAAAAUUUAUGGGUAUUUUGUAAAAUUAAACACCACUACAUGUCAAGUAAAAAUUGAAGUACAGUAUUUAUCGAUAAAUAAUUGUGAGAAGUAACCAACUUAAAAAGCCGAACUGACAAAGUGUUUACAGCUGAUUAAUUAUCAAAAAGCAAGUCAAAACAAAUACCAAAGCUAAAGCCUAAAGCUUUAGCCGUAGCUAAAGCCUAAAGCUGUUUGUUCGGGCCUUGAUUCCUGAAUUUAUAGAGUUAUAAUGAUUAGUGAAACCACUAUAUCGUGAUCAUGAACAAAUUAAAGCUGCUCUUUCACCAUUACCUCGCCUCUUCUUUGCAUGGCCCAUGCGAUUGUCAAUCUUAUCAGUCUCCAAAUCUUCUUUGUAAUUGCAGUCGUCAUCCAGAUACGUUCGAAGACAUGAAAAUAUAACUGCCAUUGAAAAUAAAUAUUUUAAGUUCUAAUCAUGUAGCAAAGCAUUUAAAAAAAAAAAAAUUGGCUGUAUCCUCUUUAUGUGUGAAUACGAAUUAACUAAAUAUUUCUUCUAAUUAAUUUGGUUAUUGUUUCCAUUGUAACAGCAUGCACCCACGUCAACAGGACUAUAUAUAUCUCCUUAGAGAUUAAUUUAUUUGCGCAUAUAAAUAAUAUAUUAAAACUGAUAAAGAAACUGAAGGCGGAUAGAAUGUUGACCGAAAUAACAGUAUCUCAGUCGGGGCGGAUGCACCAUUUUUUGCGUAUAUUUUUCAUGAGAACGCUGAUAUUAUAAAAAAGAUACUGACAAAAAAUAAAAUUUGUUACAUGCAAUCAAAUUUACAUUGUUAAUUGCUAAUACUGUAACCCUGCCCGAGUGCAUGUACACUUUAUAUGUCGGUGUUUAGUCUCUUUUAUUGUUUUUGUUUCCAAGUAAUUAGUUUACAUAUAAUAGACUUAAGUCAAUAUUGAUACUUAUUCAUUUUUAUAUUUUUCUACUGUAAAUAUCUUUUGUAUAUGUAUAUUUUAGUUACAACUGUACACAUGAUACUAGGAAUUAGCUAGCGCUUAUCCUGGAAUCAGUUGAACAAAUUCUUCUUUUGUAUUAUAAACAUUCAGUGAACCCAAUGGGAAAUAGAGGAGACAAAUUUUCCAAACCUGGUGCCAAAUAAUAUAUCCACGUACGAGGAUUGAAAAGAGACGCCUGUUUCUUCAUGUCGUCCGCACCCGUGAAAGCAGUUGGCAUUAGAGCUAGUAGUUCAAGACACGUAAAGCCAAUAUGCUCGUCGGACUUUGGGGGCUUGCGGGACGUCGGGAGCUUGGACUUUGUACGUUCGUCUGCAAGGCUUGAGUCUUGGUCAAGCAACCAAAUAGCAGUCUCUGUACGUAUCCGAGAAAAUUAAUUAAUUAGUUAAGAAAAUAAUAAUAAAUUUUUUAACUCUUGAUCUAUAUAUGAAUGAAUGAAUUGGAGAUUUAAUUAUUAUAUAUUACCGAAGUGUUGGCUAAGGACAGCCAUAUGAAGAAUUGUCAUAUCAUCUUUUUCUCUACGGAAAUGACAACGUAAGUCACCAACUUGCUCAGUCAACAUUUGCAACACUUUAGUUUUCCCGAGAGCAGCAGCCCGUAUUAUAUGUAGCAACAUUCUCAUCAAUAUUUACAAUAAACUUAUAUAUUAGCUCGGGCUGAUCAAAAGUCCAGUGUUCACCUUAGUAUAAUUUAUACACAACUUCUACAUAUGCUAUUGUGUAUCUAUUUAUUAUUGGAUUGCAUAAAAUCAUUGGCUUAGAAUUUAUGUCAAAAUUUUAAAUUAAAAUAGCUUAUUCUAUUAAAUAUGAUCUUAUGAAACAAAAUAACUGUAUCUUAACAAAUUAAAUUCAAUAUAAUACUAUCUAACAUAUUCUAUAUAUAUAUUUUUAGCUGGUAGUUGGAAUAGGCAUUAAAAUUUAUACGUAUAAACACUAACAAAUUCAAAUUAAUACUUUGAAAUUAAAAAGAAAAUCCCAUAUAUACGUCAAAGAAAUAAAGAAAAACAUGAAACAAUUUACAAAUUAUAUCUAAUUUGGAACAUAAAACGUAAAACACGAGACAUGGAACAAACACGAGCACCGAACAUGAGCACUCAAGCAUUAUCAGAAUAAAAUAAAGUUAAUCUAUCAGAUCAUGAAAAAGAAUAGAAUAAGUUAUUUUAACAACUUUGGUCACCAUUGCUUUUCCCGCGAAUAUAAUAAUCACCAUGUUUUGGAAGCCAAGUGGCAGCAAAUCAUUAAAAAAUAAAUAAAAAUAAAAGAGAAAAUUAUCAUCCUAUUGCUAAAAGGAAAAAUUUAGAACUUACCAUUUUUUUGCUCGUAGUAACCUAGGGUAUUACAUAUUUUAAAUAAUAAUUCUAACAAAAAAAUUACAUAUUAUUAUUUGAGAAAAAUAAAUUUAAUUUUUAAAAUAUAAUAAUAAAUUUUUGGUAAGUAUUUUUAAUUUUAUAACUUAAAAGGUACCACUGCCUAACAACAAUAUUAAACAAAACCUUAAUAUAAGUUAAUCCUAAGAAAUUUUUUAUUGCAACUCUUAAGUAAAUUUGUUAUUGUAAAAGAUUUAGUUUUUUUUUUUGGAAAAAAAAAAUCAGCAUCUACUUUUUUUUUUCUUCCCAUGUAGCAUAUAACAUAAAGUUAAAAGAUGCUUGAUCGGAUGCGAGUGUGAAUGGAAUUAAAAAAAAAAAUCAGCAUCUACUUCUUAUUUCAAUAAUUAACAUACUUUUUAAUUGGUUAAUUAUUUAAUUACAUUAAAAUAUUUCAUAUCUUGAUUUUUUGUUAUUAGAUUAAUGAAUUUUGAGUAAAAACUUGGUUGUUAUUCAAUAUUCGACUUCAUGUCUUGGCCUGAUGUGAUGAUUCCAUUGCAUCAAUUGAUUUUACGGCGCUGGGUGGAAUCUCAUCAUCGUUUUCCCUUGAAACAAUUUCUAAUGACGUAAACCAAAAAUUCUUUUUCACAGUGGAAUAUCAUCAUCGUUUUGCCUUAGUACAAUUUCUAAUUCCUUUCUUGAAUGUCCUUCAACAUUGUGAAAUACAUUAAAAUUUUUCUUAAAUUUUUUAUUCAUAAUGACGUAAUCCAAAAAUUCUUCAAUUUUUUAUUUGAGAAUGGCAUAAUCCAAAAAUUUAAGGGCUCAUAUUUCAUUUAGGAUCAAAAAUAAAUUUCAAAAAAAUUAAAACAGAAUCUAAAAAUUAAUUUCCAUUGAAGUUUUGAUGUUAAUUUUCCUUUUAUUAUUUAGCCUUACAACAACUUAAUCCCCUUCCUAUCUAUGCGAGUGGAUUACAGACCUUAAACCUCUUACCUCUUAUUUUCAACACAAUAGUCUAUAUCGUUUCAACUGAAUGGCACCUACAAUGUGUUUAUGCAAUGUCUAAAAAUGAUAAUCUCAACAAUGAAAACAUGUUUAUCAUAAUUAUAAUUAAAUUAAAAAAAAAUUCAUAUUUUGGUGCUGUGAUUUCAAAGAUAAUUUUUAAUGAAAUAUUAAGUGUUUAUAUAAUUACAAUUUCUUCUCCUUUUCGUCAAUUACAUUACAUCAAGCAGUAACUUCAAAGAAAUAAACCUAAAAAAAGCUUCAUCAAGAUUUCAAUAAUUGAUUAGUAUCUUUAGCUAAGCUUCCAUUCUGUUACAUUUUAAAGAUUCUAGAGCCACAAGAAACUUCCCACCAAACUGAAGGCAGAAAUAGAAACUGAUUUACAAAACAAAUUGCCAACAACAUGGAAAAUAUAUCCCUCGAAACAUUACAACUACAAUAAUGUUGCUUAGAACUCGUGACAAGAGAAUAGGAACUACCAUCUUGUAAGUGAUCCGUCAUGCUCAGAUUCCAGUAUGUUGAAAAAAGUGGAUUAUAGCUAAAAUACUGAAUUAUACGGCUAUUGUGAUGAGAGGAUAAAAGAAAAAUAUGCACUGAAAGUGAUUAACCAACACUACUAGAAAAAAAAAAAAAAAAAAACAGUUCAUUGACACCAAUUUAGUAUUAGUAAUUACUUUCCUUAACACUUACUAAUUAUGUCAGUAAUGCUCCAGUCAGAACACACUGACACUAAUUUUUAGUGUCAGUGAUUUUUAUGUCAGUAAUUCGUCUCACUACAGUGUCACAAAAAUAGUGAUACUAUGGUAUUAAUAUGUUACGAUACAAAAAUAGUGAUACUAUGGUGUUAAUAUGUUAUGAUACUAUUUAAAUAUCAAUAAUUCGCGUUACUUUAAUAUCACCCAAAUAAUGACACAAUGACGUUAGCAUUUAACGAUACUAUUUACAUGUCAGUAAUUUAUAUUACUACAAUAUCAGAAACACACUGUCUCAAUAGCAUAAAAAAUAUUAACGUUAUUUUAAAUAUUCAAUGUCAACGUUUAGUAAUGUUAUACUGCUUUUAAUUAAUAAUAUAUUUUUGUUUUAAUUAUCUUUUUCCCGUUUGUUUUACAAUUAAAAGAAAGCUUAAAAUCCCAAAUAUUCUAAAUCUCACAAUACAAUUCACAUAAUAAACAUCCCAAAUAUAUUACUUGAAGUAACAUAAUUUAACUACACAUUUUUAAAAAAAGAAAAAUAUAAGUACCAAAUCAAGUUUUGGACAAGGAAUAAACAACAAAAUAUUAAAUAAAGUUUAAACAAAACAUUAACCAACAUGAAGCAUAAUAAUGUCACAGAACAUCCACACGUGCCUUUAUUUUUUUCGACCUAUAAGUACAUAAAAUCAAUUAGUACACCACAAAAAAUAAUUCUUGUAUAUUUGAAAGGAAAAAUAAUAAUAAAUUACUCAUAUAUUACUUCACAAUUGUAGGCUGGAAUUAACUUGAUAACAUAUGUAGACCAUUGAUUACGAAGUCUGGAGAGGUCUGUCAUGGUGUAUUCAUUGAUUCCCUUGAACUUCAAUUUCAAAACAAGUUAUUCACCAAAAAUCUUUUAUAAAACUAUUUAAUUAUCAUUCAUUUAAAUAUAUUUGUGUAAAACAAUUAACUCCAAUACAUGAACUCUAAUAAUAUCAUUCUUUUAUCCAAAAUUAUACAAGCAAUCACUGAACAUCUUGACUAUGCUGAUAAAUAAAAACAUUUCAACAAGUAAUUAUCAUAUCAAUUACUACUUUUCACUCAACUUAUAUAGUAAUGUUUGAAGCCGAAGCAACUUGUGAACACCAGUAGUAACAAAUUUAAUGCAAAUAUGGAUGUAGUAUGCACAUUAUUGUAAGUAACUUUACUUAGAGCAUAUAGAAUACAUACAAAAUGUGGUAAAAAUAUAACAAUCAAGAAGCACACAUUUGGUCUAAUAAUGAAGUAUGGAGGCACAAAAUAACGAACCACAAACUUUUCCUCUAAACUUAAGUAUGAUAGUAGAGGUUUAACUCAGCCUGAAGAAAUUGUGAAGGGAGUAUCCUUUCUACUAUAAGACACGUUGCUCUCUUCCUCUAUCCUCUUUCUGAGUAUGUUUACUGGUGGACUCUCCUUCAAGACUGAGAAAUUCUUUAUAAAGCCCAUUUUCCUUAAGCUUAGAUUGUGAAUUUUCAUAAUCAAUCUAUAAAAUUAUUUAUAAAAAAAUACAAUCAUUUUCUUUAAUUCUCAUUUUUAAGCUAAACACGGAGACAUGCAUGGGGAGUAUAUAAGUCUGUAAUACAGAACCAACAGUACAAGACUAGUCUGACAAAGGCUCUCGAGAUAGACCCACCUUGGAAGGCUCAAAUCUGAAGCUGCAUAUCUAUGAACAAACACCCCUACGCAUGUGAACAUUAUAGUCCAUCCAGCAACUGUUUGCCUGUUCUCUUCAUUUAAAAUGUCUGUAAUAAUCAAAUAGAACAUAAUUAAACACUUAGAACCCAAAAGAUAAAGUAAAAAAUGCAUGGCAAAAAAAACUAAAUGGUCAAAGGGGAAUCCGGAGAGCAAUAUAUCCAAGAGUCCAACACUAUCCAACCUCCAUAAAUUAAAAGAGGAUGAUAGUAUAUCCAAUAAGAGAAUUAUUUUUGAGAUGGUAUAUUCUCAAUAAAAUCAUUAUGCAGUAGCAAACAAUAAGAUAGUAGUCUAGUGUACAUUGUCCUGUUCUAUGCAAGCAAUUUACCAUUUGGGGAGUCCAGCAGAGAUGAAAUGAAUAGAAAUAUGAGAACAACCCUUCGAAACUUGAUAAACCAAAAGACUCAUCUAUAUCAAGAACUGUUUCUUCCAACAUAAAUAAAAAAAGUCACUGACCAUUUCCCAAAUUUUCAAAACAAUCAUAGAUGUGGAUCAAUAACAUUACAGUAAUAUCAUCUCAUUAAAAGCUUCAUGGAACGUGAAGCAAAUACAACAGUUGUGCUUCCAUAGCAGGAAAUCUAGGCAUUACCUGAGGAAGAAUUGAACCCAUUAAUGUUGAGUAAAGUGCAGUAACAGCUCCAAUAGCUAUUACAUAUCUGCAACCCAAAAAUACAAUAAUAACAACAAUAAGAACUUUUGCGGAACAAAAUAUAAUGCAUUGCGUGUUUUAACCAGAACUAUAAACUCAUGAAGCCCAGUGCAUCCCAUGGCUUGCAAAUGCUGAGGAGAUUGGAGUAUCAGCAUCCAUUGCAUAAUAAGGUACCAGACCAAAAAUGACAAUGGAGACCAGCAUGUAUAAUGCUCAACAAACAGAUAGUGCAGUUCCUAUACCCAAUGGCAAAUCUCGUUGAGGGUUUUUCACCUGACAGAAUGAUUCAGAUGUGAAAUUAACUUCUAUAAACCAUCAAGGCAUUCCUAUAAAAGUAACUGCAAGCUACCACAAAAGGAUAAAGGGUUGGGCAAGGAAACAAAAUAAAAGAGAAAAAGGGAUACAUUGACAAUUAAAAGUAAUGGUAGAGAGAAGUUUAAAUAUUAGGACAGGCCAGACCAGUGGUUAGCAUGAUAAUGAAAAAUUAUAAAUCUCAGGCGCACGUAUAAACCAUAAAAAGAUAGAUAGGCCAGAAUCUGUUGGUUCUUAGGAGCAAAAGUAUCAUUGUUUAUGGACCAGCAGUUUCAAUUUUUUCAAAAUUACAUCUUCAAUUUAGGUUUGAGAGACCAUUCCUUGCCUGGCUAGUUUACCUAGUCACCAACUUUGAUUGUCCAUUGAGGACUAAAUCUAUAAAAACUUAAAAUAAGUCUCCUCCGGAGGAAAUAAGCAUAAAAAAAUUCUAACUAGAUGAGACCCCUUAGAGUGAUGAUGCUACGCAAUGGAUGCUUUAAAUGCAUCCAAUUUAAUUUAUGAUGCUAAAGGACCACCAAGUACUGAGGACUGGUAAGUGUAACACGGUCCACAAGCCAAAACAUUUCCAGCUAACAAAGCACAAUAUGUGACAAAUCAAAUUGAAAAAGAAAAAUCUUCCAAAAAGUUCAUGUCAAUUAAGAGAAAAAUCGUAGGAUGCACAUUAAUGCAUCCAUAAAUGCCCUAGUUUCUCUGUCAACAUGUUAGUCAUAAGCACAAGCCAAAAUAAAUCAUUUGACUGAAAUGGUAGAAGACCAAGCAAAUAAAUACAAGUGCCACCACACAAAGCAUUUGCAUUUCCAAAAGUGAAGUUCAUAAAGUUUUUGCGGAAGAUAUCUUUCUAAUAUUAAAGGAAAAAAAAAACACACACACAUAAAAGAACCAGUCAAUUGCAAUGGGUUUGAGAACCACAUAUACCUUUAAAUUUGAUUAAAACCUUGGAGUCACUGAGCAAAUUAUUCAGUGUGCUAUAACAUUGAUAUUCAGCAGGGCUUUGUGUAUAAGAUUGGGCUUGUAUAGCUUGGGCAGUGACUUGUACUACGGCCUGCUGGUGCAUCAUUCUAAAGGCUUCCUAGGUUACAUCCAAUGAAUAAAAAAUUAGUAUAGAUAUACGAAAAAUUUGGAUACCGAACUAACAUAAUGCUAAUGAGGCAUGACAUACAAAACAGUAUAAAUAAUAAAAGUUAUCACUCACUCAUUCAAGCUUCAGUCCUCAAAUUAUAAUUGGAAGCUAAUACUUCUUCGGUCUUGGUUGCUAAUAAAGUUGUGACUAAAUUGGAGAAUUCCUCGCAUAUUUGGCUUAAAGCUACAUAAAUAUGUUUAUAUCUUAGAUAUGGGAGUCAAAAGUGUUCACAGUUCACAUGAAGACAACUGGAUCUCCAACACCAGUAAUACUAAGAGCUUUUCUUUCGUUAAUAGUUUGCAUUAACCAUAUGCUUCAUCUAAAAAGAGAUGAAACUAAAAUUAGGAAAGAAAAAUGCCCGAUUAUCAUUAAAACUUGACCUGGAUAGCCUACUAUACAGUCCAUUUGGAUAUUUAGAAUACCAAAACAAGAUGAGAUUAUCUCAGCAAUGCAAUCACAUUACAACAUUGCUCAAAAUGUUUUUCUUUUAGAUUAAUUAAGUCAAGAGUUUUUAUCCCAAUUACAGAACACAUUUACAAAUUAUAUAUUAAAUGCUUCAGCAAGCUCUAAUUCAAAAUUCCAACUAACAGUUAACAAGUCAAGGCAAUGAAGAAAAUUCUCCCUCCCUCCAUAAAAAUAAAAUCAAAAUUCGAAGCCAAGAAUUACUAGAAUUUAAAUGCGAAACCCAAUAAAAAUGAAGGCUUUCCUAAACAAGCUAAAAUCAGAAUGAAUUAAUGAGCAAACUUUAGGUCAGCUGAAGUUAAAUUGAAUUAUCUGUGCAGGAGAAAACAAACCGAAAUUCAGCGAGUCAAGUAGAGUUGCGAGGCUCAACUUGGGCGGCACCUCGAAAAUCGGCAACGGUUGAGCAAUCACCAGACCAGUCAGUCUAUUCUGACCAGAGAACCCCAUACUCUAGCGUACAAAUAAAGGAACCCAUCAGCUUACCUCUCACAAAAGAAGACAGUAGCUCGAUUCGUUUUUCAUUGCUUGGCUAGUAGAGGCACUAGAGGUUUAGUUGGAGAAAAAGCCUGUCCUGUAACAAACAAUUAGGGUUUUGAUUCAUUUUUCAAUUUGGGGAAAAAUGGAAAAAAGGAAACAGAGUGUAAGCUUUCGAUUAUCCAUUUGAACAAAUUGAAUUCAAUUUGUAAAUGGACAACAGAGAUAAGAAGAGAUCGAGAGAAGAAAAACGAAAGAGAAAAACAGAGGGAAAGGUUAGCGAUAGUGAUAGAGAGUUUGGGUAUUGAUAGCGAGAUGGGGAAAAUUGGCUAAGGUUAUGUUUGGUACAACUUAUUAAAUAGAACUUAUAGCAGUAUACUUUAUAGAAGUAGAGUUUAUACCAAUAGAGUUUUUGGAUAAAAAAUCAUUGGGUGUUUGGUUGUCAAUUAAAAAAGCACUUUUAAACAAUUAAACGGUUUGAUUGUGUAAAAUUAAAAGUACUUUUGUGUAAUUAAAUUACCAAAAAGGAUAUGUAUUCAUAAUUAUUUAACAUGUAACAAAAUGCAGCCAAGCUAUCAAUUAAUAAGAAAAAAUCAGUUCAAUCAUUUCUUUAAUUUUCAAAAUUAAAAAUUUCAUAAUUGAUAUAUUCUCCUAAACAAAUAAUACUAUCCAAAUUAAAAUGAUAAUCAAUAAUAUAACUGAAAUGUUAACGAAAUAUGAGAAGUGUCGUAUUACCUGACAUCCUCCUCACCAAAAACGUUGGCUAUGACUAUGAUUACUCUCUCAAGUGUUGGUUAUGUAUUAGAGAUUGCAAAAUUAAAGUGCUGGUUAUUUAAAAAAAAUAAAAAGAGAUAAAGUGAAGUGGUGGCAGCAAUAUGUUUAUAUGGCGGCAACAAUUUUCGUUGGGUAGCUUUUAUACAAAGGGUAUUAUGUAAUUAAUGAAAUAUGUCAAGGAUAUUUUUGAUAUUAUAUAUUUUUUAGAAAAACUCUCUAAUCUCUACUCCCAAAAGCUCAAAUUUUAGGCUUUUGCUAGUAGAGGUAAAUUAGCUUAUUUAAGCUAAAAAAACUCUAUUAAAAAAAUAACCAAACACUAUAAAAAAUUUUAAAAAGUACUUAUGGCUCUUAAAUAAGCCAUACCAAACAGGCACUAAGUUUAGGUUAUAUUUUGCUUUAGUUAUCGUACUUUUGAUUUUUAACUUUUUAAAAUAUUAUUUAAAACUUAAUUCAACAGGUUUCGAUGGUCUGUGGCCCUGUGCUUCAAACAUCAAGAUUUUAAAAUUUAGAAGUUUUAGGUUCGAGUUGAACUAAAACAAGUUUUUAUGAAUUUUUUUUAAUCUCUAAUACUUUGUGUUAGUGAUAAUUGAUAUUUAAUUUAUUGACACAUAAAUAUCAAUAAUCUAUAAUACCUACUUGUUAAAAGCGUGAAAUGGUAUAUAUGUACACAAUUACUGAUAUUUUUUACAAAGUGUCAGCAAACUAGGUGUCAGUAAAUGUCAUUUUUGUAAUUUGAUUUUAUUCCUCUCAUCAUUUCACAUUUAUACAAAAUUGUUGUACUGUAUUUACAGCUGUAACAUCACAAGAUCAAUGGCCUAGGUAAAAUGGUGAAUACAUACAAUGU